UAAGUAAACUUUAGAUGAUGGUUCUGACCUAAACCAUUUUAAUGCUUGGCAAAAUCACAUCCUGAGCAUAGAGUAAAGAAAGUGGCAUACAUGGUAAUCAACUUCAAGAAGCUCUUCGAAAUGCAUAAUACUGUUGGGGAGAAAAGAAAAAGAAAGAAUACAAAUAAAAAGAAGUCACACAUCAUCAGCAGUUUUUCGGGAACACAAAAAUGUUAUAAUAACUUUUCUUGAUUGCCACCCACAUGCUAAACUGAUCAAAUACAAAACAGGAUACAGAAAAUCUCUAACCUUUUUGGCACUGAAGAAGACGCCAGUGCUUUCAAAAGAAAAUGCUUGAUUGUUGGCAUUCUGGUUUGAAAAAUAUGAGUCCAAUUCCUGUGUCCAGUCAUGUACCAAAUCAGGACGACGUGCAAGUCAUACAAAGAUGACAAAAAUACAGUAUAAAUUGCGUCAAACCAAUUCAAGUCAAUUGGAGAAGUAAAUCAAGGACCAUUUGCAAUAGUUGUUCUCCACAUCAAAUUUGGGUGUCCAUCGUCUUCAUCCUCUUGUGCACUGAACCUGAGAGUCCACGAGAAAUACAUAUAAAAAUUAGGCAUGAUUGAAAUUGAUAGUAGUACAAAAUGGAUAUAAACAUCACGAUGAACAAAUUAAAUUGUUCCCUGUCAGACAAAUCCAACCUGCAAGCUUAAGCUCUUAAGCUAGACCAAAUCACACUGCAAAUAACAAGACAUAAGGCCAAAAAAAGAUAAUAUGUAUCAUUCAUAUGCUUCGCCCUAUAGAAAUGAUUUGGGCCAUAGGUCAAUUAUGUUAAAAGCAGCGAUACUAAACCCAAAAGAAGAGAGGUGAGGCGAGGGAGUGGUGGGUUUUUUUUUUUUUUUUUUCAUUUAUAUAUUUUUACCUUAAACCAAAUGACCGGUUUUACAGGUUUCUGGUUGUUUCAAAUUUUUUUAUUGCUUAAUAAUGAAACAAAUCUCAGCCAUUAGAUCACUCCAUUUAAUCCAAUGGUCAGUUUUUGUGCAUGUAUCAGAUGCACGCAUGUAUUGUAGCCGCCCCAUUUUCCUUUUUAGUUGCAAAACCUCGUUCGAAAGCAACAAUGACUUUCACUCAAAGUAAAUGAGAAAUUACAAUGAAAAUGGGAUCAGAAAAAGGUUGAGGUGAAAUAAAACCAAAGGGAUGAUGUUUCUGCUUUCCAGCUUUGGGAAACGGCGUGGAUGGAGCACGUUCAAUACGAAAAACUUCAUUAGCUCACGCGCUGCUCAGCUGAUUCUUAACAGAAAAUGAUUUAGUGGAAACGGCGUGGAUGGAGCACGUUUAACAUAUCAGUUUAAGUAACCACGUGAGAAAGCAUGUGAUGAAGGUUGUUCCGAGUUCGUUGAAGGUUGUUAACCACGUGUCAAAACAAAGUGUUCAUACUGGAAAGAAACAAAAUAUUAAUAAAUAAACCAUUAAAAAGAUUAUCUGAAAAUUAUGUUUAACUAGGCCAAUUCAAUUAUCGAGCAGUUUGAUAUAUUAAAUGAGCUAGAACAGUAGCCUUUUAAUUAUUUCACUUACUAUUAUCGAACAGUUUUAUAUCAUUCCCUAUCUUAUAGUAAAGGUAAAAGAACAGAAAAGGUAUAUUGCAUUAGAGUUCGUGUACUUCUACCUUUUAGUUUAUUCUUCAUUUUAUUAAAAUGACAGAUUCCUCAUUAAAAAAGGUCACUCUACAUAGUAUGUGGGUGUAUGUUCUUUUAAAAAGGACUGAGAGAAAAAUAAAUGUGAAAAACAAGUAACAUCUGAAGAAGAAAGUGAUGCUGACACAUUAACGACCACUUGAUUUUGUAGGGACUGCACAUAAUUGAUAAUUUCAUCCAACAUGAGACCUUUCCAAUUACCUAAUUUUAUACCAAACAACAUGAAGUUUAUAAGAAAUAUUAAAAACACAAAAACUCGUUAUUUGUUUUAAGACAGGAAAAAGUGAAUAAAAAACAAUAACAAAAAAAAGAACUCAAAUUACUUAAUUACCAUAGCUAUGAACAAGUUUUUGCAAAAUUUUCAUCCUCUCACUAACUUUCUCUCUUCUUACCUAAAACCAAAUAAUGACAAGACAACUGCCCAUUAGACUAUGACAAAAGUUGGAAAUUAAAAUAAUAUAGUAGGUUAUUUUGGAUAAAAUUAGAAAAAGAAAGUUUGAAUUUGUAUUAAUAUACUCACCCUUUCUGUUAACCCCUAUUUGAAGGGCCGAAAGAGUAGUAACAGUAGCAAAAAAUUCAAAUAAUAGAAAUCAGAGUGCCCACUACAUAUAAAUGGAUCUAAAGAAUAGAUUAUAUAAUAGCUUGUUUCUUAUGAAUGAUACAUGUGAUUCCACAGAUAAAAAGAAAAUAAAAAUCAAGUAUGUGAAUUAAAAAAAACACCUAACCAAUAGGGGUUAGUGAGAUAUUUUAGCUAAAUAUCAGUUGACAGAAUCUGACCCACAAUAAAAAUUGCUAUCUUUUCACAAUGGGAAUCUGAAUUAUAAAAUUACUGAACAAAACUUUUAACACCUACAAGUCCAAAUAACAUCAAAUAAAAUGCCUAACCAGCUGUUAAAUAUAAAAUGUCCAUGUAGGACUAAAGCCCUGUGGCUAAUCCUUCAAAGUUCCAAGCAACAAUAUGAUAAAAACAUAAUGCAUAAUAUAUAAGGAGCUUAUCUGUAAAACUUCCAUACAAUACUUAUCAUAUUAAACAAUGUACAUAAUGAAAUAUUGGCUUAUUUCUACAGAAUAUUACGAUCUAAGUACACCAAUUUCUCAAGCAAUGCCAUAUAGAAAGAUACCGAAGAAAAAAGGAAAAUAAAAAAUCGAAGUAUGUUAGUUAUGAUUUCAACUUUUGAACUAAAAGUCUGUGACAAAUUUUGCUUCGGGAAAUACUAACAAACACUUGAGAAAAACUAAAGUGUAUCACACUUGAACCGUAUAUAAAGCACAAGAAUAAAAACAACAAGGGGCAAAAAGAGGCUAGAUGUAUCAUCUUCAUUAGUUAAACAACAUAAAUAGAAUCAAAAUAUUAAUGCAUACACCAAAACCUUCAAAAUUCUCUAAACAUUCAAUUUUUUUCAGAGUAAGAAAAUAAAUUUAUAAGAAAUCGAGAAUGCGUAUUUGUUGCGGUAUUUUAUCAAGCAAUUAGCAUGCAGCAAUGUAAAUGACAAUUAAAACAUGUAAAUCUCUGUACUUUGAAAGCUCACCUUCGUUAUUCAUCCAAAGAGAAUAUAUAGGGCAUGUAAGCUCCUUCUUUGAUAUUUAUCCCUAUCGUUCAAUUAUUUUGUUUUCAUCAAAUUCCGUUAGCUCAAGUGGAGACAAAGCAAUACAAAUGGUGCAUUUAGAAGGUACAACUUUAGAAACCGAAUUUGUGCUUGCAACAUAGGAGAAACAGGGGCUCUCCUUCCAUUUUCCUGGUUUUGUGUUUGGUGAUUUUAAAAUUUUAUAUCUAUAUUUACGAAAAAAGAAAAGAAGUUUUCAAAACUAUUUUUUUUAUACAAGUUCUGUGUCAACUCAAAAAUUGCUCAUGACCAAAAAACAUCUAUGGUUCUUCAGUUACUCAAAAAUUCCUCGUUUUUGAGUUACUUUUUUUUUUUUUUUUAAUUUUUAUUCUCAAGUAAUUUUAUCAUGGAAUUGUUAAUUUUUAUUGAAUGUUGAACAAGCCUUUAUUUCUUUUCUUUCCCUUUUAAUGAAAUUAAAUAAAUGGUGGGGAUAUACCCUACAAAUUAUUGUCUCCACCCCAUAUUUAGUAUUGCUUUUACCACAUGAAAAAUUAAUUUUAUACGAUAAAUUUAUUUACUUGAAUAUUAAACCAUAUCAUGAACCAAUUGACAGGUUGAAGAAUUAACUUUCAAGUUUCAACAUUAUAAGAUUAAUAAAUAGCAUAAACAAAUUUUUAUUUUCAUUUAAAUUAAUCUAAUCCUACCAACUUCAUUUGGAUUUCAUAGUUGUUGGUUUCAUGUAUCACACGAAUUGUUAGGCACCAACUAACACAAGUAUAUGUUACUCAAGCAUCUCACUUGAAUAAUAGUCUAAGGAACUUUGAUUCGGAUGGUAGAUAUUUAACUAACUAAAACUAACAUUCUUAACUCAAAGCUCAUUUACUAGUAAAAGUAGAACCUUCUCCGUCAGCUUAUCUUGUUCAUUAUAUAACAAAAGAUAUUUAGUGAAAAAAAAAAAUUGGAGGGGGGGGGGGGAGGGGGAGACUAUGAUAAUAAUUAUGUUCAAGAUCUAGCCGCUAGGGAUAGAUUUGGCUAUGACUAUUUGUUGAUCCAGUAAUUAAUUUGAACAAUAUUGUUAAUUUUAGUUGAAACUGGAAUGAAUUUUGUGAAAGAUGCUUUCUCAUAACUAACCAACUAAAACUAACAAUCAAAUUAUCAAAAUCAGAGCUCAACUACUAGUAAAACUAUAAAAGUAAAACACUUGCUUCUCCAUCAAGUCAUCUCUUUAUAUAUAACAAAGAAUGUUUUAUGAAAGAUGGCAAAAGCAGUCAAUAACAAUUAAGUCUCAAAUAAUUCAUAAAAGAUGUCAAGCUCUGUUGCGAAUGCUGCUGAGGCUGAGAUUUGGAUUGUCCCAUUCUUCGGUAAGGGACAUAUGUUUCCAUGCAUUGAAUUAUGCAAGCAAAUCACUUCUCGUAAUUACAAAUCUACCCUCAUUAUUCCCUCUCACGUUUCCGCCACCAGCAUCACCCCUUCUUUUGUUCACCAAUACCCUCUAUUUGAAAUUACUGAAAUACCCUCCUCAUCUCCACUACUACCAUCGCCUCCUUCUUACCUCCAUGUUGUCAUGCACAACCAAAUGCUUCAGGGUCUUCGAAACCUCCUUUCAACCCGGAACCCGAAAGCCGACCUGUUUGCGUAGUCAUCGGCGUUAUGAUGGGCUGGACGGCUGAUGUUUUCAAGAAUUUUGAAGUUCCCAUUGUUGGGUUCUUCACUUCUGAUGCUUGCUCAGCAGCUGUGGAGUGUGCCAUGUGGCAGGCUCGCAUCCAGGAUGUCAAACCGGGAGAGGCCCAUUUACUUCUUGGGUUACCCAAGGAUGUUGCUUUAUUCCAAUCAGAUCUUAAACGCAGGCCUCACGGGUCCCUUCCUGGUGGCCCACAACCUUUGUGAGGUGCACCCGGUUCAGAGAAAAUAGGUCCAUCAGAACCGAGUGAUCAACCACACUGGAUGAAGCAAGUGGAGGGAUCGAUGGUGUUGAUGCUAGUGUGGGGAGUGGGCCCAUUGUUACCUGAACAAUUUUACAAAUCGACCGGUUCAGUGCUUCGUGAUUGUGAGAUGAGAACCAACCGGCGGAGUUCUAACAUGACCAAAGAUGAGAUCAUUCAAUGGUUAGAUUUGAAAUCAUGUGGAUCAGUGUUAUACAUGUCAUUUGGUACCGAAAUGGGUCCCACCUUAAAUGAUUAUUCAACAUUAGCCAAUGAUUUAGAAGCAUCAAAUCCACCGAUUAUUUAGGUAAUUCAAACUGAUGUAAAUAGAUUGGAUCCUCCACGUCAUUUAACCAGCUUAUUUUCAUAGUGGUUUAGAUAGUAAAGCCGGUAAAAAGGGUUUGAUAAUAGAUGGAAUGGCACCACAAUUAUUGAUGCCGAGUUAUCAAUUAAUAGGUGGAUUUUUAUCUCACUGUGGAUAAAAUUCAACUGUAGAAGCAAUUGGCUGUGGGGUCUCAAUUUUAGCAUGGGCAAUUAGAGGUGAUCAACGUUACAAUGCCAAAUUGGUGAUCAAUCAUCUCAAGGUGGGGUGCAUGAUCUCUGAUGAUCAGUCGAAAUUGACUUAAAAGGAUGAUAUAGUGAGUGGUAUAGAAAAGCUUAUGAGUAGGGUUGGGCAAAAUAUCCGACCCGAUCCGAUCCGAUCUGACCCAAAAAAUAUCGGGUUCAGAUCGGAUCGGAUUGUUAACAAAAUCCAAUCGGAUGUAACUUUGCCAACCCGAUCGGAUCAUGAUCGGAUCGGAUGAAACCCGAUCCGAUCCGAAAACCCGAUCGGGUUGGCUUAAAAAAAAAACUGUGUAACAAACUAACAAAGUGGCAAACACAACAAAAUCGGAUUCACACCACACAAAAAGCAAAUCUUAGAUCUAAAUUAAAAUAAUCUGUAAGUGCACACACACACACUCACAUCACACACGGUCACACACAAAUAGAGGUUUGGCCUCGGAGAUCGGAAAUGUUGAGAUGCCAAACAACGAAGCAGCAGCCAACAGAUUGGAGAUACAACCGCAAGAAGCAGCAACCAGCAGACCGGAGAUGCGGCCGCGCGAAGCCGCGAACCAGCAGCCAGCAAUCACCGACGUGAUCGUGCGAAGCCAAACCAUCGGAGAUCGGAGAUGUCAGCGAAGCAGCGGUGAGCAGAUCGGAGAUGCAACCGCAAGAAGCAGCAGCCAGCAAAUCGGAGAUGCAACUGCGUGAACCAGCAGCCAUCAGUCACCGACGCGAUCGUUCAAAGCUAAGCCAUCGCUGCAACCGCAACGUGCCGAUGGAAUCUACUACACCUCGACUGCUACCGCUUGCUGCCACUAGCUUCACCGGUUACCACAACUGCUACAACUAAAUUCACCUCCACAUUCACUGUCACCAAGUUUUUGGUGGUAUUGACUAUAUUGUUUUAAAUAAUUUAAUUUAAAAAGCUUAAAACAAAACUAUAUCUUGAGAAAAGGUUGAUUGUUUUACUUGAUUGCUUCUGAAAUUAACCCAGAAAUAUAGAAUGGAUAUAUAACCCGAAUGCUUUUAAAUCUGAAUCUAAUCCGAAUUAAUCCGAAUUUUCGAUCCAAUCCGAUCCGAAUUAUAUUCGGAUCGGAUUGGAUCGGGUUAAUAAUUCGGAUUGAGUUCGGAUGAUUUUUUCCCCAACCCGAUUGAUCCGAAAUUGAUCAAAUCAACCCGAACCCAAUCCGAAUCCGAUUUUGCCCACCCCUACUUAUGAGUGAUCAAAGAAAUUGAAAAACGAGCUCACAUGCUUCGCCGUGUAUUUAAUCAUGGCUUUCUUAUAAGUCAAUGACUUCUUUAAUAUAGUGUUUACUUUUUGGAGUGAGAGUGAGGAGUGUGGAUUCCUCUUACUCCAGUGUUUACUUACAAUUUUCAAAGGGGAAGUGAGAAUUCCACUCCGUGGAUCCCACCUAAUUUUGGAGUGGGGGAGUGAGAUUCCCACUCCCAUGGAGGAAGGUGGGAGUGGAAAUUCACUCGCCUCUCUUCCUUUUUCACCCUUAUAUUUAAUAAAAUAAAAUAAAUAAUAUCAUAUUUAUUUAACUUAUAUUAUUAUUUUAUUUUAUAAAUUACAUUUAUUAAAAAUAAUAAUAUUAAACAUAUUUAUUUUAUUAAAUUUAAUAAAAUAAGUAAAAUCAUAUUUAUUUAAAUAAUAAUAUUUUAUUAUUUUAUAAAUUAAAUUUAUUAAAAAUAAUAAUAUUAAACAUAUUUAAAAUAAUAUUAAUUUUUUGGUUAAAAAUAAUAAUUUACAUUGAUUCUAAGUUAAAAUUACUUAAAAAUAAUAUCAUUAUAUUCAUAAAGAAUUAAUAAUAUUACUAUAUUCUAUUUUUAUUUGAAAAUAUAAUAUUAUUAUACUUAUUUAAAAAUAAUACUAUUAUAUUUAUUUAAUAUUAGUAAUUAAUAAUAAUAAAUAUUUUAUUCUAAAAAAAUUAAUUUUGUACUAUAUUAUCAAUAAUAAUGUUUCAUUUGUAUUGUUGUUAUUAAUAAUUUUUUAUUUAUAUAAUUAAAAUUAAAAUUAAUAAAAUAAUUGUGAUUUACAUAGUUAAGAAUAUUAAUAAUUAUUAUUAAUUUAAAAAUAUAAUUUUUAUUAAUUUUGUAAUUAAUAACUAUAAUUCUUUAAGAGUAAAGCUGUAAUUUAAAAUCAUUACUCACAAUCUAAGACAAUGUAAACAAAUAAAUUGGAUUCUGAUUUCAAUUCCAUACUUCCAUUUCAGUGUAAGUAAACAACAUACUUCGACUCCCACUCCACACUCCUAAUCCCAGGAUUCUCACUUCUCACGAUUCUCACUCCAACGCAAAAUGUAAACGCUACCUAAAUGCUUUCAAAUAUCUUGUUAACCAGAAAUCAAUUUAACAAAAACAAUUACCGUGUAUAUUAUUAACGAAAAGGCUUUGAUUCCGUUGGCUUGGGUGUAAAUAAAUCGACUUUAUCAAGAACAGACAUCUCAGCAACUACAUAAUAAUAUAUGUAAGCUUUUGUUAAUUGACUGCAUUAAAUCAUUAAAUCAAAAGCCUUACAAAGCAUCUACAAUAAAAAGAUGGCACAUCCUCCAUCCAAACGACAAAAACAUGGACUCGCAACGCAAUUCUUGCUAAUUAAUUAAUAGGUAGUCAUAUUCCUCCGAGCAACAAAAUGAACAUCAAAUUGUUGAUGAGGCACCAUAUGCACAAAAUGUUGAUAUUGUUUAAUGUUUAAUAUUAUGGGAAAGUUUUAAUAGAUCUUCAUUUCCCUUACAUAUUGUGAGCUUAUAACCAAAAAUGGGACUAUAUGGUUGUGUGACAAACAAAAAGGGAAAUUUUUUACUAUUCGGCUAAAUUUUAAUGUCAAUAAUAUAGGAUCUGAAUUCACUUUAAUAUGAUAUCGACAUGUGUAGAAAAUUCCUUAAGUAAAUAGAUUUUGCAUAAAAGGUAUCGACCCAGAGUCAGAGGAAAAUUAAAUAGAAUGUCUUUUAAUACAACAAUCACUGGUGACCCUGUUUGGGCAUAGUUUGAGAGUACUAAAAUAUCUACUGCCAACUCUAUUCUAGUUGAAAGGCUAUCAAGGCAAAUUGGUCGCAUUGUUGAUGAUGAGGAAAUAGAGGUUGGAUUCAAGAAGAAGAAGAUUAUGGUAGUAAUGUUCUUGAAGGUCGAGAGAUGGAGAGAUUGAGAAAUAAUAGUGCAGCAAGUUUAAUGAGUGGAUAAUAUUAUGGUCAUAUGUUUUUUUUUUUUACACACAUGUAUAUAAUAUUAUAUUUCUAUGAACUAGUUUGAUUACAAUGAUUUUAUGUACAUAAAAGUUUAUAUAAAGAUUAAAUUUUUGCAUUUUCUUUUUUGCACUUAAUUUAUUAAUCAAACUAAUGAUAUGUUAGUAUUUGUUAUAUCACGAACUACAUAACAAAUUUUUUAGUUAAAAAGAUAUUGAAGUUAAUUUUAUUGCAAAUUAAAAUAGUUAAUAAAAAAUUAUUUAAAUAUGUAAUAAAGAAAAUAGAAUAUGCUCUUAAAAAAUCUUGUAAAUAAAAAAAGAUUUAAAUAAUAAUAUUCUAAAUAAAUUACAAACAAGUAAACAAGUACAUUUUUGUCAUUGUACAUGAACAUUUUACACUUUUAAUUUUCAUUUACCAGAUUUGUAUAGUAAACCGUUUAAAAAUUGAUUGUCAAAUAAUCAUCAUUUACCAAACACCCUAAUAGAUUAUUUGUAAAAUUAUUUUUUUGUUCAGAAUCAAGGUAGAAAUUAAUUCUUGGAAAGUAAAGGAAAUCUCAAACAUACCCUCAAUCAACCAUGGGAAGUUAUUUAAGUUGUAGUAUCUAAUAAGUUCUAUUAAUAGUGAGCGCACAUAUCAAAUAUAUAAAAAUAAGUAUUUUAGUUAUUAUCCACCUGUUCCCUUGAAAUCAAUCUCAGUUUUUUUUUUCUUUUACCUAAAAUUCCAAGAAAAAUAUAUAAAAGAAGAAGAACUUUUUUUUGGGGGGGGGGGGGGGGGGGGGGGGGCGGGGAUUGGGGUGGGGGAGGGGGGAGCUCCUCUGUUUUCAUUCCAUUGUUUUGAAAUUAUCUAUCAUCAGUAUAAAGUUAUACUUUUGAAUCAAUAUGCUUUGUGACUCGAUAAUUUAGCAUAAUAAAAAAAGAAAAACACACUUACUCACAUCCCGAUUGAAUCUUAUCUCUAAGGAUAAGUAAAAAAUUAUUGUUCCUCUUUUUCUUUUACGGUUUGUUUACGAAAAGAAAACACUCACACCUUCAAGAUAUUUAUAAGUAGAACACUUAAGUUUUAAGAAUAAUACACCCUAAUUUGAAAAAAAAUGAAUACAUGUAUCAUAUUUUAUGUUUUUUUUUUAAAAAAAUUAUUUGAUGACAUUAUGAGACUCUAUAUGCCAAGAUCUAUGUGAUGGUGAGAAUGGUUUCAUAAAAGAAGCAAUAGUAUAACCGCACACAUGGCAUUGUUUGUAAUGACUAAAAUUAGAAGAGAGUCUAUGUAUCUACUCCUGAAACAUUAAGAAUUUAACUAUUUAUUAAUUAAAUCAAAAUUUCAAGAUCAUAGUGUCGUUUUACAUAAAGAACCCAAAUACUAAAUCUAGCUAAUAAAGGAGAACGGUUUAGAUUAGUUGCUUGGACUUCCUUGUCUCGGGGCUGUGUGGUCAAGCCUGUCCAUCAGGCGGAUUCAGAUUUUGAAAGUUAUCUGAAUCUUCUUCUCUAUGUAAGCCUAUACAAUGAUUUUGUGAAAGACAUAUGCAAAAACAGUACCAGUAAGCAUAUUUAUUUAUCAAAGAUGUCAAGCUCUGAUGCUCAGAUAUGGAUAUCAAAGAGAGAGAUUGAAAAAGAGAGAGAGAGAGAGAGGAUAAUCAGGGACUCGUCUGUUAUCAUUCCCCUGUUUUUCAGUUUGGUGAUUGGAAGUAACAUUAUUUGCGUGUACUCUUUAUUUAAUUUAUUUUUCAAUUUUUUAAAAAUUAAUUAUUGUUCUUCUCAAAGCGUUUAGUAAAUUAUAUGAUAAUCUGAUCAAAUCUCUAACAUUAAUGUCCGCAUAAUCUAGUAAUGAAACUUAUAAUUUUAUAAUAAUCAAAUUGAAGAUUUCUUCACGCUGUUUUGUAUGAUGACGAGUUUUUAUUUUUCUGUUAAACAUAAGAUCAUUUUCUAAUAAUGUCCAUCUGGAAUUAGUAAUAACGAAGCAUCAUUUGUGGACAGAACAAUUGAAAUAUCAAGUCACUAUUGAUCCCACUUUGAUGAUUGCACUUUAGUUUCUUUCUAAAAUGUCAUUCUUCAUUCAAGCUUUUACUUUAUCUUUUAUCAGGUAUCUUACAAAGCUUUUCCCUCCUAAUAAGCUCUAAUAAACCAAUGUGCUUUUCAAUUUCGCAGGAUACAAGUAACGUAUAUGCCAAAAUUAUUCAAGCACAACAAGUAUUUAUUCGUCGAAAACUUCAACUUAAUUAUUUCAUUAGAAAAUAUGAAACGCAGAGCCAUAAACUAGUGUUUUCUUCAACUUACUUGGGUUAAAUAAAAUUUUUUCAGUAUUUUUCCCGAUCCAUUUCUUGUAUCUCACUGCAUGCUUUAUUAAAGCUUCGUCUUUGUUCUUGAUUGUGAACUUCAAGAUUAAAUCUUAAAAAUCGGGUAUAAAAGGGGUGCUUGAUUAAGUCUUCUUCUUUUGCAAUUCAUUGUUACGGCUCUUUUCAGCUUUUUACUCACAAAUUCCUCUGACGUUAACAGUGAUCUAUCGCUCACUAAAAUUGUUCUUCAUAAUUUCUUUCAAUACCAGUUCUUAAUAUUCAAGGCGAAUAGAGAGCUCAUCAACUCUCUGAUCCCAAAUAAUUAAAGAGGUACACAUGCUCCUAAAUCCUCUAAUAAUUUCUUUUAACAGCAGUUCUUAUUUAAUUUAAUUUCCGUCUAUUUUCCAAGAAAAAUUUCUCCGGUUUGUCUUAAUCUUAUCAUUUAUUUUGCUUGAGUUGUAAGUUAUUGUUCAUUUGUAAGGUCUGUGUUCUUAUUACUAGCUUUGGUUAAUUUGAAUCUAUCUUCCCCAAUAAAAAAAAAAAAGAAGUUUUUAAAAAAAGCGCGGGUUUUUAUUCGGACCCUUAAAACCUCUCUGUUAAUAGCAAAGAAAGACUCUAAUCCUCGAGCCAGGGGGAGUAAAAAAAGAACAAAGAAUUCUCUGUUUAAGUAUCAAUUGUCUCAAGAUCAACAUUGUUUUUUUUCUUUUUCUUUUUUUUGUUAAUUUGUUUGUUAUUUUAUUAGAUUUGCUUUUAAUCUAAUUGUGCUUGAGGAUUGAAGAUGAGUGAGAAAUACCCUUUUUUUCUGAAGCAACCUACAAAUUUUAGAAUAGGGUAAGAGUAUUAGAGAUUCAAUUAAUCAAAAAAAGUUAUUUACAUUCGUCAUUUGCAAAAAUGUUUGCAUUAGAAUUUUUCUAGCAUUCAAGAGCAUUACAUAUCAUCAUGUCACAAAAUAGCCUGAAAAACAAGAUAAAUCAAUUAGAGCAACUUGCUCUUUAUUGAAUUUUUUUUUUUUUUGUUUGGUUUGCCCGAAAUCCCAGGGAAAAUAUUAUAUAAGAACAAGAGUUAAGAUCAAAAAAAUGUAAAACAAGUUUCCUCUGUUUUCGUCCCCCCCCCCCCCCCCCCCCGGUUUGAUGAUUGAAAUUUUUUUUAUCUAAAUUUUAUGAUUUUCCGUUGGGGUUUUAUUAAAUAAAAAAUAAUUAGAAAAUGUAAUUCUAGAUUUACCCUUGUGCAUCGAGUGAUUAUUAUUAUGUUCUCUUAAGAUUUGAUAGUGCAAUUUUGUGUGAUGUGAAUUUCAUGUUUCUGUUAAUCAAUACAAACACAAUUUGUAAGUAAUGGCCAUGUGGAACUUAAUUAUAACCAAGCAUCAUUUGUGGAAAGAACAAAUGAAAUAACAAAAAAGCAGCGUUGGCAAUACAAUAUCAAACUUUAUUUAUUUAUUUAUUUUUGUUUUUGUUCUUGAAUAUGCAUUAAUCAAAUCAUAUAUUGUUGAUCUUACUUUGAUGAUUUGCUGUUCAGUUUCUCUCUCAAAUGAUUUUUGUGUGUUUCCGGUAUCUGCUUUUAUGAAAGAAGCCCUAAAGUGCAUGUGGAUUUUUAAAAAAAGAUUGCAUAUAAUUAUCCUAUACGUGCGUAAACAGGGCAACAAUAACCAAAUACAUGAUAUAAAAAAGGGGUGCUUGAUUAAUGCUUUUUCUUCUGCAAGUCAAUGUUAUUAUUCUCAUCAACCCUUUUCUUACACAUUCCUCGGCAGUUACCGGUGAUCUUUUUGCUCUUUGAGGUUGUUCUUAAAUAUUCAAGGCCAAAUAGAGAAUCUCACCAACUCUCUAAUCCCAGAUAAUUAAAGAGGUGCACAUUUUCCAAAUCCUCUAAUGUGUGUGUUUGUGUAUAGUAGAUCUUUGAUCUUGACAUCUGUUCUUUCAUAAUUUCCAUCUAUUUUCCAAGAAAAAAAAUUUCUCUGGUUUGUUUUAAUAUUGAAUUUACUUUGCAUGAGUUUUAAGUUAUUGUUCAUUGUUAAAGCCUGUGCUCUUAUUAUUUCGUUUGGUUAACUUGCAUUCUUCCCCCCCCCCCCCCCCCCCCCCCCCCCCCCCCCCCCCCCCCCAAAAAAAGAAAAAAGAAAAAAGAAAAAGAAAGUUUUUAAAAAGAUUAUAGGUUUCUACUCAGACCCUUGAAACCUUUUAGCUUUCCGGUAAUACCAAAAUCUCUAAUCCUCCAACAAAUGAAAGCUAGGAAAAAAAUGUCCUAAAGUUUAAUAUCUGUUGCCUUUGUAUCAAUAUUGCCAGUUUGUUGUCUUUUAUUAUAUUGCUUGUUUGUCAUUUUAUUUGAUUUACUUUAUAUCUAAGUUUACUUGAAGAUUAAAUAUCAGUAGGAAAAGCCCUUUUUCUAAAGCAACAUACAGAUUUUAGAAUAGGGCUCAGCCACAUGAAAAUGUUUACAUUGUAGUAUCUCAUAUCAAUAAUCUAAAAACAGCCAAUCCAACAAGUUCAAAUUCAGUCAAAUCUAAAAAUGAUUGCUUUUAAGGAGUACAUGAUAGCUAUUAAAAAGAUCUUUUAGGCAGAAUUGAAAUGCAGUCAAUCGUAAAUCAACCAAUCCAACGAGUUCAAGUACAGAGUCAAUUGAACAAAUUCAUCACUUGCAGAAUUAAGCUUAUCUUCCGAAAUUGAGUUGUUUCCAUUAGAAAUUUUCCCAUAGUCACGAGCACUAUCAUCAAAACAAGAUUAUUUGUAUAGGAACAAGAGUUAAGGAAAAAAAAAAAAAGGUAAAACAAGAUUCCUCUGUUUUCAUUCCCAUUUUUUUUCCUUGGUGAUUGAAAAAUUUUAUCUCUAAAUUUUUAUAAUUUUCCAUUAAGAUUUAUAUUUAAAUAAAGAAUUAAAAAAAUCUAAUUUUAAAUUUAUGCAUUGAAUGAUUAUUAUUAAAUUCCCUUAAAAUUGGUUACAAUAUCAAUUAAAUAACGCAUAGAGUUAUUGAUCACUUUGUUAAAAAUGAUCAUGUGUUCUAUUUAUAUAAUAAAACAAAAGAUGGGGUCACACUUAAGUCUUGUUCUUUUACAAUUCAUUUGUAUUACUCACUCUCAUGAACUCUUUACUUACAUUCGUCUGCAGUUAAUAUUCAUCUUCUGGUCGUUCUUAUAUAUUCAAGGCCAGCAGUGAAGGUCAUUAACUCUUUAAUAAUUAAAUAGGUACAAUUGUCCAAGAAAAAAUAGCCCUUGUUUGUUUUAAUCUUGUCAUUUAAUUUUCUACGUACUGUUCAUUGUUAACUUCUGUGUUCUUAUGUAAUAUUAGCAAUGGUUAAUCUGCAUCCAUCUUACAAUUUUUUUUUUAAAUUGUUGGUUUUCCAUUCAGGCCCUUGAAACCUUUUUUUAAAAAGUUGUUGGUUGUCAUUUCUUUCUCCGUCUUUCCCCUAGUUCAUUUUAAUUUAUUUGAAUCUAAUUUUUCCAACAGCUAAUAUAUAUAUAUAUAUAUGUAUGUAUGUAUGUAUGAAAGCAACAGGCUAGGCAAUGGCUGCAGACCUGGUUUCCACUACUUUUUCCGGCAUUGUAACAGAAGGUGCAAAGGCAUUGUUCGAACCGAUUAUGCGGCAGAUCUCUUAUGUGUUCAAGUACCAGAGCUACAUAGCUGAGCUAAAAGUUCAAGUGAAGGAGCUAGAAUAUAAAAGAGAAAGGGUGGGAAUACCCGUUCGUGAGGCUACUCAACAAAGAGAUGAGAUUUACAAGGAUGUUGCAGACUGGCUUAAUAACGUUGAUGAAUUCAUCAGUGAAGGGGUUGCAAAAUCCAUCAUUGAUGAUGAAGAUAGAGCUAAGAAGUCCUGCUUCAAAGGAUUUUGCCCCAACUUGAUUUCUCGUUAUAAACUUAGUAAACAAGCAGCAAAGGCCGCAGAAGCUGCCGCUAGUCUCGUGGGAAAAGGCAACUUCUCUAGUGUUUCCCACCGUCCUGCUCCAGAGAGUACAGAACAUAUGCAAGCGAAAGAUUUCGAGGCCUUUGAUUCAAGAAUGAAAUUAUUUCAAGAUGUUGUGGAGGCAUUGAGGAAUGAUAAGCUCAACAUAAUUGGGGUCCACGGUAUGGGCGGCGUGGGUAAAACCACGCUAGUCAAGCAAAUUGCAAAGCAAGUUAUGGAAGAUAAGGUGUUCGAUAAGGUCGUUAUGGCUGAGGUAACAGAGAACCCAGAUGUUCAGAAAAUUCAAGACAAGCUCGCUUCCGAUUUAGACUUGAACUUUGACUUGAAUGAUAGCAAACCCCACAGAGCAAAACAACUUUGUCAAAGAUUGACGAAAGAGAAGCGAGUCCUCAUUAUAUUAGAUAAUAUUUGGAAAAAACUUGGGUUGGAAGAAAUUGGAAUUCCUUUUGGGGAUGUUGAUGAGAAAGAUAGAAAGCAAGAUCUAAGGAGACGCAUGAUAAUAUUGACGUCUAGAAGUAAACAUUUAUUGACCAAUGACAUGAAUUCUCAGAAGAUUUUCCUAAUUGAAGUUUUAUCAAAGGAAGAAGCAUUGCAAUUUUUUGAAAAGAUCGUGGGCAAUUCCGCAAAAGCAUCUGCUUUUCAACCUUUAGCAGAUGAGAUUGUUGGAAAAUGUGGAGGAUUGCCUGUUGCACUGAGUACAGUUGCAAAUGCUCUGAAAAAUAAGAAGCUUCCCGUUUGGAAGGAUGCGUUGACUCAGCUGCGAAAUUCUAAUCCAAGAGAAAUUCAUGGAAUGGAUGCAAAUGUCUGCUCUUCCAUAGAAUUGAGUUACAACUUCUUGGAAAGUGAUGAAGCAAAAUCUUUGUUCCUUCUUUGUACUCUAUUUGGUGAAGGUACUCCUAUACAAGUUGCUUCCUUGUUGAGAUAUGGUAAGGGUUUGUUUAAAAAUGUUCGCACAUUGGAAAAUGCAAGGAAUAGAGUGGACGCAUUGAUCGACAAUCUCAAAGCUUCAUGCUUAUUGUUGGACGGCGAUGCUGAAGAUGAAGUUAAAAUGCAUGACGUCAUUCAUGUUGUUGCCGUAUCAAUUGCCUCAGAGAAGCUCAUGUUUAGUAUCCCAAAUGUUACCAACUUGAAGGAAGAGAUAGAAAAGAUCAUACAGAAAGGUGCAAUUGCUAUUUCUAUACCUUAUGGAGAUAUUCAAGAGCUUCCCGAAAGGUUGGAAUGUCCCCAACUCAAGUUAUUACUGUUGCUUGCAAAUGGUGAUAGCUAUUUGGAAAUUUCACACCUCUUUUUUGAAGGGACGGAAGAUCUCAAAGUUUUAAGUCUUAGCGGAAUUCAUUUCUCUUCAUUAUCUUCAUCACUUGGUCACCUCAUUAACCUUCAAACAUUGUGUUUAGACUGGUGCCAACUAGAAGAUGUAGCGGCAAUUGGACAGCUAAAGAAAUUAGAGAUUCUUAGCUUUCGAUAUUCCGACAUUAAGCAGUUGCCACUUGAAAUUGGUCAAUUGGCGCAGUUACAAUUGCUAGAUUUGAGCAAUUGUAGCAGCCUUGUAGUGAUAGCACCAAAUGUCAUAUCAAAAUUUUCUCGAUUGGAAGAACUAUAUAUGGGUGACAGCUUUCCGCAGUGGGAUAAGGUUGAAGGAGGAAGUAACGCCAGUCUUGCUGAAUUGAAGGGGCUGUCAAAGCUAACUACUUUGGAGAUACAAGUUCAGGAUGCCCAAAUGCUGCCGCAGGAUUUGGUCUUUGUCGAAUUGCCAAGAUAUAGGAUAUGUAUAGGAGAAGCGUGGGGCAUCUGGCGCGCUAAUUCUGAAACAUCAAGAUUGGUGCAGCUCCAUGGGUUAGAAAAUGUUAGCACUCUUUUGGAGAAUUAUGGGAUGAAAAUGUUGCUGAAGUUAACUGAAGAUAUCCGUCUAGAGGAACUGACGGGUGUUCAGAAUGUUGUUCAUGAAUUAGAUGAUGGGGAAGGUUUUCCACGAUUGAAGCAUCUUUGGGUAGAAAGGUGUUCUGAGAUUUUACACAUUGUCGGUUCAGUUGGACGGGUUCAUCGCAAAGUCUUCCCCUUGCUGGAGUCAUUGUCUCUCUAUAAAUUGAUCAAUUUGGAGGCCAUAUGCCACAGCCAACUCAGAGAAGAUCAAUUUUUCAGCAACUUAAAGAUUAUAGAAGUAGAAUCCUGUGAUAAAUUGAAGCAUCUUUUCUCAUUUUCCAUAGCCAGAAACCUACUGCGGCUUCAAAAGGUCAAAGUGGCUUCCUGCAAUAAACUGGAAAUGACUGUUGGUAAGUGUUGAAAUUAAGUGUUGGUGGAUUUAUGGACUUCGCCUCAAUUAUUUUGAAAAAAAAAAGACAACGACAAAGAUUAAUUAUGUAUAUUGUUUUUGUUUGUUUACAGGACCCGACAGGGAGAAACCAACAACUUCUUUGGGAUUCAACGAAAUCAUUGCUGAUGAUGAUACUGCUCCAAAGGUGAUAAUUUUCUGUUCAAUAAUUAAUUGAUUAAUUUAUUAUCACGAUUAAUCUUCGAUCAUCAACAGAAUAUUAUACUAGACGGUUGUACUUGAAGGAACAAAAAUGUACGGCUUUUCUUUGCAGGUUCUUCUUCCGAGCUUAGAGGAAUUGAAUCUCACGGAAUUAAGAAACAUCAAAAAAUUAUGGGCCGAUCAUAAUCAAGGAAUGUACUGUUGUCAAAAUUUAACAAAGCUGUACGUGAGAAGUUGUGAUCGUAUGAAGUAUCUGUUUUCGUAUUCUAUGGUUAAUAGUCUUUUGCAACUCCAACAUCUUGAAAUAUGGUCUUGUGAGUCAAUGGAAGGGGUAGUCGACACCACGGGGUGGUCAGAAAGAGAUGAAGGAAAGUUGAUUGAAUUAAAGGUUUUUCCUAAACUACACUCCCUGCAGCUCUAUUGGCUUACAGAACUGACAAGCUUCGCCAAUACAGGACAUAUUCAUUCAGAUUUAGUUGUUGAAUUCCCUUCUUUGCUAAACCUCGAGAUUGGUAAUUGCAGUAAUAUGUUAAGAUUCAUCUCUACGAGCUCACCAGAAGACACCAAUCAUUCUGAAAUGCAACCUCCUCCUCUCUUUGACGAAAAGGUUUUUUUUUUAAUAAAUAAAAUUAAUUUUAGUCACAAUACUUAAUUUGUCUUUUCCUUGAGUCUUCAAAUUUAGUUAAUAUCCGCCUCUAAUUUAGUUAUCAAUUGAUUAUGCCAUUAAUUGAUUAAUUAGUUAUUUAAUCUUUAACUUCCAGGUACGACUUCCUAGGUUGGAGGUAUUAGAUAUUAGCUGGAUGAAUAAUUUGAGAAAAAUAUGGCACCACCAGCUUCCUUCGGAGUCUUUCAGCAAAUUGAAGAAUUUGGAGAUAUAUAAGUGUCAUAACCUAAUGAAUAUUUUUCCUCCAUUGGUAAGGUCGUUGUAUUCAUUUCGAAUCUUUUUUUUUUUAAAUUACAUCCAACAAUAUUUUAACCAUUUUUGGGUUUACAAAUGAUAUUCAGCCACUGAUUAUUUAUUUCAAGUAUUGUAUUUCGAACCACCACUCUCAAAUCUACAUUUUAAGUCCAUUUUUUAGGUUCGCCAGCAUUAGAAUCAACAAUAUAAUUUUUUUAAUCACGAUUCAACAUCAUAAUAUAAUUCAAUUUAAUUGUUUCUGCUCAUAUCUUAAUAAGUACAAUUUUCAAAAAUUAAAGGAUAGUCACUCAUCUUAUAGGUUCACAAAUUCAUCUAUAUAUUUCUCUUUUCCUUAAUUCUUCACAUUUCGAUUGGAAAAAGAAAAAAAGAAAAGAAAAGUCUUCAAAUUUAAUUAAUAUCUCUUGUUUAGUUACGAACUGAUUAUGCCAUUAAUUAACCACAAAUUCACGAUUAUUUACAACUGAUCCUUGAUUGUAAAGAAAUUUCCUCGAGUCUGGAAGUACUUAAUAAAGAUCCACUUUAAUUUUGUUUCCAAAAUUAAAUAUACAUAAAAAAAAGGGACCAAGGGAAAAGGGAAAAAGCGGCAUUUUGGUUGAUUUUUUUUUCCCAAAAGGAAUAGUUGAAAUUUGCAAAUUUUGUUUAAAAACUGGCAUCAAGAUGCAAAAUAAGUCUAAAAUAUUUAGAAAUUGCCUUAAAUUCUUCGUACGUUCCUAAUACUAAAUAGUGUAAAUGCAUUUAAUAUCUUUGUUUAUCUGGCUUUUAUUUAUUUAUUUAUCUUGUUGCUUUUUUUGUUUAACAAAAAAUUAUCUUGUAGACAUUUCAUGGUUUGUUAUCUUUAUAAAACGUAUAAUUGUAUGAUUAAACAUACUUUGAACCUAGUUGAAUGAUAUUCUUACAUUUUUACUUUUUUAAUAUACACACACUUUUGCUUAUUUUCAGGUUGGAAUUCCUAGUAGUUUGGUGAAUCUUAAAGUAUCGAAGUGCCAAAAAAUAGAAGAAAUCGUAGGACAUGUUGGAGAAGAAGUGAAGGAGAAUCGUAUUGCUUUCAGCGAAUUAAAAGUUUUGAUACUUAAUUAUUUAUCAAGGCUUACCAGCUUUUGUUUGGAGAAUUACACUCUUGAAUUCCCAUCACUGGAACGAGUUUCUAUGAUACGUUGUCCAAAUAUGAAGACUUUUUCUCAGGGAAUCUUAUCCAUUCCAAAGCCAUGCAAAGUGCAAGUGACUGAAAAGGAAGAGGGUGAACUGCACCAUUGGGAAGGCAAUAACCUUAAUUCCAUUAUGCAAAAGUAUUACAAAGAAAUGGUAUGUGUUAAUCGAUUCACCCAAAUUGUUUAUGCAUCUCCCCUGCAAUUGCACAUUUAAGCAUAUACCCCGGUCUUGUAUAUAUAUUUUUAGAAGUUAAAACACAAAACAUGUAAGUUUAAUGUGUAUAUAUAUAAUGCCUUUCAAAAAAAAAAUUGUAUAUAUCCGGUGCAAUUGUUUUGGUUUGUGCAGAUUGGAUUCCGUGACAUAUGGUAUUUGCAACUCUCACAUUUUCCACGUUUGAAAGAAAUAUGGCAUGGCCAAGCACUGCCUGUCAGCUUCUUCAACAAUUUAGCACGGCUGGUGGUGGAUGACUGCACGAAUAUGUCGAGUGCUAUUCCUGCCAAUCUGCUACGAUGCUUGAACAAUUUGCGACGGCUGGAAGUGAGGAAUUGUGAUUCACUAGAAGAGGUGCUUCGUUUGGAAGAGCUAAAUGCUGACAAAGAACAUAUAGGCCCCAUGUUUCCUAAGCUUUCCAAUCUAAGGCUCAUUGAUCUUCCAAAACUCAAAAGAUUCUGCAACUUCACUGGGAAUAUAAUUGAACUGCCUGAGUUGAGAUAUCUAACUAUUGAGAAUUGCCCUGACAUGGAAACAUUCAUAUCCAAUUCUACAUCUGUAUUGCACAUGACAGCAGAUAAUAAGGAAGCUCAAAAAUUAAAAUCAGAAGAGAACCUCUUGGUAGCUAAUCAAAUACAACAUCUCUUCGAUAAAAAGGUAAUCAUUAUUAUUAUUUUUCCCUUCACUUUCAUUCGCAUAGAUGUAAUUUCAUUAGAAUCAAAUCAAAUUUAAUGACUUAUCUUUUUGCACGUCGUCUUAAUUUAUAUCUGAUUUAACAAUAUAAUUGUAGUUAUUAACUAACUUUAUAGUAUGAAUUAAAAAAAUGUCUCAAAUUAAUUAGAUGCCUAGUGACAGGAGGUGAUGAACUAUAUCGCAUAAAUUAUGCGUGUUAGAUCUUUGUUUUCCUAGCUAAUUCAUAUUGGAUUUAUGAUCAGAUUUCAUUUAUGUGUUUCAAAGGGUAAUCGAUUUGAUACUUAUAUUUGGGAUCCUACUGCAAAGCAUACUAAUUUGGAAAUAAAAUAUAAAAUGCCGUGAUUAAUCUUGUCCAUAAAAUAUGUAGGGGAAGACUGUAGAGAUUGGAUACAUAUUUUCAUUUACAACUUAAUUUUGUUGAUUUUCAGGUUGCAUUCCCUCAAUUGAUGAAGUUAAAGCUAUCUGGAUUACACAAAGUGCAGCAUCUCUGGAAGGAAAAUGCCGAAUCCAACAAAGUGUUUGCAAACUUGAAAAGUCUAGAAAUAUUUGAAUGUAGUAAGUUGCAGAAAUUAGUACCAGCUUUGUGGCAUUUGGAAAAUCUUGCGACUCUGGAAGUAUCGAAGUGUCAUGGGUUGAUAAAUUUAUUGACACUCUCAACAUCUGAAAGUCUAGUGAAUCUUGAAAGAAUGAAGAUAACUGAUUGCAAAAUGAUGGAAGAAAUUAUACAGUCGCAGGUUGGAGAAGAAGCGGAAGAUUGCAUUGUUUUCAGGAAAUUGGAGUACUUGGGAAUUGAUUGUUUGCCAAGCCUAACAAGCUUUAGUUUGGGUAAUUACGCUCUUGAGUUCCCGUCCUUGGCACACGUAGUUGUGAGACAAUGCCCAACGAUGAAGAUUUUCUCUCCAGGAGUCGUAGACGCACCAAAGCUAAACAAAGUGAAACCCACCGAAGAUGAAGAUGGUGAUGAUGAAGGAUGUUGGGAAGGCAACCUCAAUGACACUAUAAAAAAAUUGUUCAAUGAAAUGGUGAGUAUCAAUGAAGUGUUGGCACUAUCUAGUAAAUUAUUUCUAUUUAAUGUGGCAUAAUAUGAUUGCUUGACUGAAAAUAUAAAAUAAUAAUAAAUAAAUUAUGAGGGUCAUGUUAUGUUUUUGUUUAAUCAAUCAUAUUAUGUCAUAUUAGUUUGUACAAUAUUAUUUGUGCACAAGAGGCUGUGGUCGUAUCAUUACUCUUGCCUUAUUAUUAUUAUGGUUGUAAUGUAUGCUUGCUUACACGAGUAAUUACAAAAUGUGCAGAAUUCUAAAGAAAAGAUUGAGCCAACCCUUCAGGUACUGUGAAGAAGCUAUCUCGAACCAGGCCAACCUCUUGUACAUGAUUCAACUUGCUUGUUCUCCUGUACUUGAAUAAUCUAAACGCAUUUACAAUUAUUUACAGACAUGCAAGACACUUUGGAUUUGUUUGAUGCAUUCUCUGUUUAAGGAAGGACUUGAAUUGAUGUUUCAUGCUUCAUGCAAUUUUCAAUUAGAUACUGUUUAAACUUCUGCAUUAUUCAUUCAAUUGGUGUUUUAAGCAUUUGAUUUCUAACUAGUCCUAAUAGAAGAUUAUUGGCUGAAGAAAACAUCAUAACAUUUGUGGCAUUAUCAGAAUAAUAAUAGUUUUACGAGUAUAGUAAAAUUAACUCGACCAUUAUUAAAAGGAAUUAAUCCGUCAAAUUAACUUUCUCAGACCAGAACCCUUUAAGUUAAAAGAAUUUCGUGAAGUCAAGACCAUGUUAUAGAUCUUGUGGAAAUAAGUGAACCCAUAAAUGUUUUCACAGCAUCAUAAGAAAAUCAUUUUUUUAGUUGUUGAGUUUUAAAAGUAGUAGGCUAUUAAACAAUGACAAUUAGUGCGGUCGCAGUUGGGGAUCGAGUAGUUCACUUGAUUGCGAGUAGAAACCAACUUCAAUACUAUUACACUCAUUCCAAAAAUAGUAACUAAAGAAUUAUUAAGUUUCCUAUUAAGUAUUCUUUAUUUUUUAAUGCAAAAUUCCUAUUCGAAAACACCAGUGACUUUCUUUCAAAGUAAAUGAGAAAUUACAAUGAAAACGGGAUCAAAAUACAUGUAUGCAUACCUAAAACAAAUGAUUUUUUUUUUCAAUUAAAAAAAAAACAGUUGAGGUGAAAUGAAACCAGAGUCAUGAUGUCUCUGGUUCCAACUUUGGGACAAUAGCAGACUUGAGUUCUAUAUAAGAAACACGUACAGCUCCAAUCAGCCGCUCCGGUAAUUCAUCUGUAGUAUUUGCCUGCAUACACGAAGCAUUAUACCAUUCUGAAAAUGAUUCUUGAGUUACUAUUCAAGUAUGCAAAUAUGCAAAUUGCAGUACAAUAUCUCAAAAUCAUGUCUCUUCCCUCGUGUCAUUUAGAAGUGGGGGAAAAAAACAAUCAUACAUACCUGCACAAGGAAAGCCAUGUCAACCACCAAUGCCGUAAUUACACCAAUUACAAGGCCCAAAACUCCAUUAGCAACUCUAGAAGAACACGUCAACAUCAAUCUACAGAAAGAUGAACAAUGUUAAACCAUGUUAAUGGUAUUGAACAAGCUAUUUGAAAGGGAACACAUCCCAUGUACUAUAGGAAUUCGAAGAGCAUUUAUUUCUAACUACUUAGGACCGCGGAUAUAGUUACAAUCAACUGCUUUUCCUAAUAAACAAGGGGUGCUUCCAUCACUCUGGUGCAUGAUCCAUGACUAAGCCCUAUAUUUAAGUCAUAUUGAGGAAACAUAAGAAAAAAAUUCCAGAAAAAGUAUCAGCUAAGAAUUAAAAUUAAAUUCAUCAAAAUGAUCUCAAUCACUAGAUUUUUUACUGUCACAGUAUGUUUAAAAACUUGCAGAAGGCCCAAAGAGAACUUAGGACUGAACCGAGGGAAAAACAAGACGGUGUAUUUAUUUUAUUUCUGAAUGCCAACAAUUACAUUGGGAUACAGAAAUUUUAGGUAAUUUCCUCACAUAUUACAUCAGAAGAGAGGAAAGGGGAAAGAAGAACAAUAAAUGUUCUAUUCUGACCAAAGCAUAAAUGAGAUGAUUGAAUCAAGAGACUAUUACAUUGGAAGCCAGUCCAGCUGAAGCCUAUGAUAGAGAAUAGCCGUAUGACCAUCUACCUCUUCAACUAAGCUGCGAUACAGAAGACUACAAUCCCACCUGCACAAAACAUGAAAAACGGUGUACGUGCGGCAAGAACUUUGAGAAAGGUACAUAAAAAAGAUCUGAUGGCCAAGAAAUACAACAAUUGUACAACCAAAAGAGGUAGAAAUCCAUGUCUAGUACACUGCCCUCUUCAAGACCUCUAAAUACUGAGUCAAAUUGAUAGGAAUUUCAUGGAAAUAACUAUUCGACAAAUGAUCAGCCUUGCUGGCCUUUAUAAGCCAACGCACAGAGAUUAUGGAACAAUGCAAUGGUGCAAACCAAGAAUUAUUAGGGUACAGACAGUAAAAUUAAAUAGAAUAAUUUGAACACAUUACUAGCAAACCUUGCCAAGAGACUUGUUAAAAUCUAAUUCGCAAACCAGCUAGAUUUGCUAGGAAACAGGUAAUUUCAGGCAGCACGCCUUCUCCUGUUUUAGAACACUCUUUUAUGUAAUAGUGACUUCAAAAGUGUAACAUGUUUCGAAAAAAAAAAAAAAAGAGGAAAGAACGUAUUUGACACUUCAUGAAAUGGCUAAGAUACAAGCUUUAAUCUAGUACAACAAAUUAAUAUAACUAACUUCAACCAUCAAUUGAUCUAUAGUUCAGCAACAAAAAAUAUAGAUAGCUACAUCUAUUUUGUCUUCAUCAAAUACCAUUAGCUAAGUGGAGAAAAGUUAUAAAAAUGAGUCCUAGUCUUUCUUUAUUAAUGAAGCAAUCCAUCAAACUUCAAAAGCUAUUUUCAUUUCCACAUUCUUCAUAUACUUAAGCAACAAAAGUUUGUAAUAAUCUUUAGAAAGCACCAUGCAGAUUAAUUAAAUAUAUUCAAAAAGGCACAUACAGAAUCGGGACUGGAGACAAUGUGAAUUUCACAGCAUACAAGAGGAAAUAUAAUACUCAGCUUACACAGACAGCCAAUAUAGUCUUGAUUAUGUUAAAGUAACUAAAAAUAAAAAAUAGAAAAGAAGCAUACUCGUAUCGUGUCCCAUCCAUGCUCAUUACAAGUUCAAAUAUUUCUUCACAGCUGGCCUUCAUAACACCAACAGCCUUCAUUGCUCUACUACAGCUUCUCGGCAGCAUUAAGUAAACUUUAGAUGAUGGUUCUGACCUAAACAAAAUCACAUCCUGAGCAUAGAGUAAAGAAAGUGGCAUACAUGGUAAUCAACUUCAAGAAGCUCUUCAGAAAUACAUAAUUCUGUUGGGGAGAAAAGAAAAAAGAAAGAAUACAAAUAAAAAGAAGUCACAAACAAUUCAUUUCCUGCACUACACAUCAGCAGCAGUUUUUCGGGAACACAAAAAUGUUAUAAUAACUUUUCUUGAUUGCCACCCACAUGCUAAACUGAUCAAAUACAAAACAGGAUACAGAAAAUCUCUAACCUUUUUGGCACUGAAGAAGACGCCAGUGCUUUCAAAAGAAAAUGCUUGAUUGUUGGCAUUCUGGUUUGAAAAAUAUGAGUCCAAUUCCUGUGUCCAGUCAUGUACCAAAUCAGGACGACCUGCCAGUCAUACAAAGAUGACAAAAAUACACUAUAAAUUGCGUCAAACCAAUUCAAGUCAAUUGGAGAAGUAAAUCAAGGACCAUUUGCAAUAGUUGUUCUCCACAUCAAAUUUGGGUGUCCAUCGUCUUCAUCCUCUUGUGCACUGAACCUGAGAGUCCACGAGAAAUACAUAUAAAAAUUAGCCAUGAUUGAAAUUGAUAGUAGUACAAAAUGGAUAUAAACAUCACGAUGAACAAAUUAAAUUGUUCCAUGUCAGACAAAUCCAGCCUGCAAGCUUAAGCUCUUAAGCUAGACCAAAUCACACUGCAAAUAACAAUACAUAAGGCCAAAAAAAGAUAAUAUGUAUCAUUCAUAUGCUUCGCCCUAUAGAAAUGAUUUGAGUCUACAUAAGAAAAUUUUUUGAGCUUCCCGAUCCACGAAUAAUAAUAAAUCUCCUUAAAAUAAUCUUUUGUAAAUAAUUUUAUUUUUCUUGACACAUGACAAGCACCUUCAUAUAGAGAAGAAAGGAGAAUCUCAAAUUCCACCCGCUCUCAGAACACCACAUCAAAGCUUCGUAUCAGUGAACAUGGAAGAAGAAUAAAAGAAGUAGCUCAAAUCCUGUAAAAAAGAACCUUGGACUUCGACUCUUGUCAAACAGUUGACUCCGACUGAAUAUAGGAAGAGUAAUUGAGCAAGCAUAGAUCGGCCAAGCUUAAGCAAGCGCAUAGAUCGGCCAAAUUUGAGCAAAGCCGAGAGAGAGAGAUGAUUGUGGUCAAUUUACAGCCGCAGUUGAUCGUUGCCGACUCGUGCCGCCGUUGAUGGCCGUGGAACAAGAAGAGAGGUGAGGUGAGGCGAGGGAGUGGUAAGGCGCGUGACGCGAGGGCGUGGGAGUGGGAGUGGGAGUGGGAGUGGGAGUGGUGGUUUUUGUGCAUGUAUCAGAUGCACGCAUGUAUUAUAGCAGAGUUGAGUUCAAUACGAAAAACACGUACAGCACCAAUCAGCCACUUCGAUAAUUCAUCUGUAGUUGUGAGAUGAUGAAUCAAGUUUGGUUCCCAGAAACGGCUGCGUUUUGAAGCCGUAAAAGCUUCAUUAGCUCACGUGCUGUUCAGCUGAUUCUUAACAAAAAAACGAUUUAGUGGAAACGACAUGGAUGGAGCACGUUUUACAUAUCAAUUUAAGUAACCACGUGAGGAAGCAUGUGAUGAAGGUUGUUCCGAGUUCGUUGAAGGUUGUUAAGCACGUGUCAAAACAAAGUGUUCAUGCUGGAAAGAAACAAAAUAUUAAUAAAUAAACCCUUAAAAAGAUUCUCUGAAAAUUAUGUUUAACUAGAACAAUUAUCUAGCAGUUUGAUAUAUUAAAUGAGCCUGUUAAUUAUUUCACUUACUAUCUUAUAAAUCCUCUCAAAAUUACACCGCUGCUCUGACCCCAAGUUCCAUUAUCAAUUAUAUCAUUCCCUAUCUUAUAGUAAAGGUAAAAGAAAAGAAAAGGUAUAUUGCAUUAGAGUUCGUGUACUUCUACCUUUUAGUUUAUUCUUCAUUUUAUUAAAAUGACAGAUUCCUCAUUAAAAAAGGUCACUCUACAUAGUAUGUGGGUGUAUGUUCUUUUAAAAAGGACUGAGAGAAAAUACAGUAGCACGUAAAAAUGUGCACCCAGCAGCAGAACCAUAUUAAUCCACAACAGCGCAAAAUAAAUGUGAAAAACAAGUAACAUCUGAAGAAGACAGUGAUGCCGAAACAUUGACGACCAAUAUAGUGUCUUGAUUUGGUUAAUUAAAUAUAUUUUUGUUAUCAUCCACCUGUUUGCUUUAAAUAAUUUUCAAUAUUUUUUCGUAUGCCUGAAAUUCCAAGGAAAAAUAUUUGUAUAAGGACAAGAGUUAAGGGGGACAAAAAUGGAAAAAAUAGGGCUCCUUUGUUUUCAUUCCCCUGUUUCUCCGUUUGGUAAUUGCAAAAAUUUAAAUCUAAACUUAUGAUGCAGGCUACAAGGUAGCUGGUGGACGAUUAAUAGGGUCUAUCUUUUGUUGUUAAUUAGGAAUUUAAUUUGGAAUUUGUAGUGUGCGCCUUAUCUAAGCAGACUUCCUAACAGUAAUUAAAUAAUCUAAAUUUAUGAUGCAUUAGGAUAUGAUUGUGAUAAAUUAGCUUUUUUCUCUGUAUUCUAUGAGGCUGAUUAUUAUUUUAAUUUAAGCCACACCUUUAAAUUCAGUUUUCGCAAAACUGACAGGUAGCUUGGGUGUAAAUGAAUAUACAUUAAUGAAGAACGGACAUGUGGAGUACCGAUAUACUAGCAUAAGUAAUGUUUAAUUUUAAUGUAUAAAACAAUGGUGCAUUUAGAAGGUACUACUGUAGAAAUAAAAUUUGUGCUUGCAACUCAUUUUUUAAUUCCCCUUUUUAAUAAUAAUCAAAAGAAAGCAGAGGAGAAACAGGGGAUUUUCCAGUUUUUUAUUCGGUGAUUUUUAACUUUAUCAUGGAAUUGUCAAUUUUUAGUUGAAACUUAUCUAAAUCGUCCUCUCUAUAUAAGCGAAUACAAUAAUUUUGUGAAAGAUAUAUGCAAAAACAAUACUAAUAAGUAUAUUUAUUUAUCUAAGACGUAGAGCUCUAAUGCUCAGAUAUGGAUAGUCCCAUUUUUUGUUAGAGGCAUCUCUUUCCAUGCAUUGAAUUAUUGCAAGCAAAUCGCUUCUCGCAAUUACAAACCUACCCUCAUCAUUGUCUCUCACGUAUCCAGCACCACAGUUACCCAUUCCUCUCCUCACCAAGGCACACAGAUUACAGGACAAUGCAGCGAUGCCAACCAAGAAUGCUUAGGGUAAAGACGGAAACAUAAAACAGAAUAAUAAAAAAAAAUCUAUUCCGUAAACAUAAUAAUUAAACAGAAAGUGGUACGUUCAGACAAAACACCUGCUCCUGUUUUAGAAAAGAGCUCCUCCGUUUUUAUUUCUCUGUUUUACUGUUUGGUGAUUGCAAAAAUUUUUGUCUAAAUAAUGCAUAGUAGAGUCAAGAAUAAAUUUAUGUUAAAACAAAGAAACAUCAAAGAUCCCCUGAUAUUAUUAUCCAGAACAAUAUGUUUAUUGGGCCGAAAUGGGCUAACAUACAUGGGUUCAAGCUUGCAAAAUCCACAUUUAUGUAUAAUUAUAUAGUAAUUAAAUACUGAACUUGAACUCAUACAACUCUUCAAUCAUUUGGAUUUCGAAUCUGUGUUAAUUGAACUAAAUACUGUCAGGCAUUCGAGUAAACACAUAAAGAAUUCAUGAUUUAAUGUCGUUCUGAAUUUUGACUUCAUAAUAUUCCAGCUACCGUUGCAGUUUCUAUUAUUGUGUGAUAAAUAUGAAUGAUGUCUUAGUAUAAAGACAUGUCUCAUUAAUUAUACCUUAUAGAAGAGAUAUCUUUUUAUACUAAAACUAUAUAGUGAAAAGGGGUCCGCCUAAGUUACGUUAAACGUAACUUACGGCCUGGCUGUAAAACUUCAUCCAGCCCCCUAUAUUCGAUAUUAUUUAUAUUAUAUUUGUGAAUAUUAUAAAAAUUUUUGAUUUGAAAAAUUUCGUUUAACCCCUUACACUCAAUUUUAUUUUAUUAAAAUCCUAGAGUACGAAUUUGCCUCCUAUAAUUUUAAAUUCUCAAAAUAACCUCAUUUAAUUAAAAAAUAUAAUUAUUAUUAAUUGAAUUAUAAUUAUAACUAUUAUUUUAUUAUAAUUAUAAAUAUAUUUAUAUUUUUUAAAUAGAUUAUUGUUAUUAUUAAUAACAAGAAUAAAAAGUAUUACAAUUAAUUAAUCUAUUAACAAUAAUUAAUAAUUUUUUAUUAAAUUGUUAAUAAUAAUUAAUGAUAAUUAUUAUUAAUAAUUAAGUUUUGAAUAAUAAUAAUAAUUAACAAUUAUCAUUAAUAGAUUGUGACUGACUCUGAACAAGUUGUCCGAUAUUUUAUAUCAUAUUGUAUGCAUUCACUUCUGGCUACAAAAAAAAUUAAAGAAAUAGCUUUCUCUUUAACCAAACAAGAGAUUUAACAAAAUCAUAAACACACGUUUCUCAAAACUAACAAGGACUUGGACAAUUAUGGCACUAAGUAGUACUGCAAUUAAUAUCAGUGAUGAGAGUAUGUUGCUACUUUGCUAGCUAAGCCUAGGUGGGCAUUGGCAUUCCUAGGACUCUGAACAAUUAUCGUUAAUUUUUAAAAAUCAAUUAUUAAUAAUAAUUAUCGUUAAUUACUACUAUUAUUAAUUUAAUAAAAACUAUUAUUAAUUAUUGUUAAUAGAUUAAUUAAUUGUAAUACUUUUUAUUCUUGUUAUUAAUAAUAAUAAUCUAUUUAAAAAAUAUAAAUAUAUUUAUUAUUAUAAUAAAAUAAUAAUUAUAAUUAUAAUUCAAUUAAUAAUAAUUAAAAUUUUAAUUAAAUGAGAUUAUUUUGAGAAUUUAAAAUUAUAGGGGGCGAAUUCGUACUCUAGGGUUUUAAUAAAAUAAAACUAAGUGUAAGGGGUUAAAUGAAAUUUUCUAAAUAAAAAAGUUUUAUAAUAUUCAUGAAUAUAAUAUAAAUAACAUUGAAUAUAGGGGGCUGGAUGAAAUUUUAAAGCCAGGCCGUAAGUUACGUUUAACGUAACUUAGGCGGACCCAGUGAAAAGAUAUCUCUUCUAUCAGGUACAAUUAAGUAUGGUUGCUUGCAAAGAAAUGUAAAUAUAAGUCAUAAAACAAAGUCUCUAUUAUUUGAAGUACAAUUUCAUUCACAUGUUGCACAUGAGACUUGAGCAACCACGAUGUGCAGAAGACACUUUACAAUGAUUUUGCUUGUUUUUUUCCUAAUCAUUUCUGUAAUUGAUUUUGUUAGAAAAUGUUAGUAAUGAUUAAAUUACUUUAAAAAACACACUCACACAUCUUAACUGUAAAGGUUCAGAAAAUAUAUCGAUAAAGGUCAGAAGUAUCUAAUAAAAGUUGGCCAUAAACUUCAAUAUCCAAAAUUGCUUUAAUAAAGUAGCUGCAGUAAACAAAAGUCAGUAACCAUAGGCGACAAUAAAUCACAAUCAGCAACUAGGUCUCCAAAUCAAAAUAUAAUGGAUUUGGUUAAGUCUUCUUUCGAAAAGCUCUCUCUCCUUUAGAGAGGCUUGAAUGGAAGUAUUGAGGGGUCGUAAGGACUCAUGUGUUCACUCCCUGUGAGUGGAAGGUAAUCCAAAAAAAGUCAGCUUUUGGGGUUGGUGAGCUGGUUGAGAAAGCUUCGAAAGCAAAGUUCGUGUAGAGCGUUGGGGCACGAUUUAAAGCUAGUGAGCCUAAAUAACUUACUACCUAUCCAAGCAUUAACUACCAUGGAUACUGAAGAGCUAAUUCGUAAGUGUCAAGCAAUAACUAUCACAGAGGAAGACAAAGCCAAAAUAACGCUGGAGGUGAAUUUGGAAAAAAAGAAAGAACAAAUGAUGGCAGGAUGCUUAGUGGGCAAAGUACUUCUCACAAAGGGAGUAAAAAAAGAUGGACUUAAGGUUGCGUUACAGCAGGUGUGGAGGACUUUCAAAGAAGUCAAGAUCGAAAGCGUGGGAAACAACAUCUUCAUGUUCAAAUUUGCUGAAGAAGCAGACAAAAAACGAGUUCUCAAAGGGGGACUAUGGCACUUCGACAGGGCCUUGAUUGUUCUCGCUGAGCCAAGGGGGAUUGGGGAAGUCGCAAAACAAUCUUUUAUUCACACAUCCUUUUGGGUGCAUAUUCGUAAUAUCCCACUGGCGUGUAUGGAUAAAGAUUUUCUCCGAGACUUGGGCGGGAAGAUUGGAUCAGUAUAGGAGGUUCAAACGGAUGAUAAUGGAGACUGUAUUGGGGAAUUUUCCAGAAUAAGAGUCUCAAUUAACAUAACACAGCUGCUAGAGAAGAUUUUAUUUCUAAAGCAAGAAGGUGAAACUGAUAUCCCAAUGCCGGUGGUAUAUGAACGCUUGCCAGAUUUCUUUUAUUGCUGCGGAAUUAUUAGACAUCAAUACAAAGAGUGUGGCAAGUACCAAGACCAACCAAGAGAAGAUCUACCAUUUAGGAGUUGGAUGAAAGUGAUUACGGUAGGGGGUUUUACAAAGAGGAAUUGGAACAAGGAAAGGUGGAACUAUGGGGCUGGUAAAUCGGAUGAAAAAUCAACAAGCUCAGGAACUCACAACUUCCCGCAACAGCAAGGGCAAAACCAAGAAAACUCGAUAGGGGCAAACGGGUCAGUACCCAUUGAGAAAGAAAUGGGGCAAACCAUGAAGCAUGCCAAGAAGGAUGUUAUAGGAGGAGUAGCUGAGCAACAAUUAAUGCGAAGAGUGAUACAAUCAGCGGAAAAAAAGUAAAAUGAUGGCAACAAGCAAGCUGGGGAAACUGGCAAUGCAACAACCCCAAGGAAAAUGGGCACACAAGCGGGAAAUGGCAUUCCAAAAGAGAGGGAAAAAAUGCAGAUAAGUCAUGAAGAGGAAGCUGAAAUAAACAAUGGGCCGGAAGUAUCUCAACUACAGCCCAAUAAAAGGAAAUUGAAGUAAUUAACUAGAGAUCUAAGCGAGGGGGGGGGGGGAAAUUAAGUUACGAGUUCAAAAAAGGCCUAGGGGGAAAAAAUUUGGGCAAAGCCCAAGGAAAAAAACAAAGCUCUCUAGCCCCAAUAAGCUUGAGACUAAAAACCUGGAGCAUGUCUCUCCAACAGCAACGCUUCAGCUGGGUUAGGAACUGUUGGUACUGGAAGAAGUGGUAGUCAUGGAAGCAAACAAUAUGGAGAUAUCGGCGGAGGCUGGUGGUCAGCCCCCCCGGAAGCUAUGAAUAUUCUCAGUUGGAAUGUUCGGGGUCUGGGGAAUCCCCGAGCAUUUCAAGCCUUAAGAAAAAUCCUCCAAUUGCAUGGUGCUCAGCUAGUGUUUUUGUGUGAAACAAAGGUAUCAACCAUGCAAAUGAAUGUGAUUGCAAAUAAGCUGAGUUUUGAGAAUUGCCUCGCGGUGAACUGUAAAGGAAGAUGAGGCGGAAUAGCAAUGCUCUGGAAGUCAGAUAUUGGUGCAAAUCAAUUCAUACAGUCAGCACCACAUUGAUGCCGAAACUCAAAUGCCAAAUGGAAAUCGAAUGCGAGUUACAGGAGUGUACGGACAUCCGGAAACAAGACAGAAAAAACACACUUGGAUGCUCCUCAGGCGGCUGGCAGUUUUAUCUUCUAGCCCUUGGUUGUGUUGUAGAGACUUUAAUGAAAUUUUACAUCCAGAUGAGAAGAGUGGCGGCAAUGACAGGAAUGUGAAUUUAAUUAAUGAUUUCAGAGAAGUUUUGAGAGAUUGUGGCUUAAAGGAUGUUGGGUAUCGGGGGUACGCUUUUACUUGGAAUAAUGGAAGAUAUGGGUAGGGAUUCGUGGAAGAAAGGUUGGAUAGAUUUGUUUGCAAUAAAGCUUGGAGUGAUAGAUUUGUGGAUUAUGCAGCAAGCAACCUUGACACAUGGACUUCGGAUCAUUGUCCCAUGCUGAUGGCUGUUUAGGAGAGAAGUGGGGGCAUGAACCAAAGGGGUAGACAUUCCUCACGAAUCCAUUAUGAGGAUAUGUGGAGCUCGUAUGACUUGUACAAAGAGAUAAUCAAGGAGGAAUAUAAUUUGUAUAGAAAUUAGAAUAGUGAAAAUCCAGCCCAAUCCUUUCGAAAAGCAACAAAAGAUUCGAUGGGUAGGCUGUUGGGGAGGAGCAAGUUGGUGAGGAAAUUCGGAAGGUGGAGAAGCAAAUCCAAAAUAUCCUCAUGGAUGAAGAAAUCUACUGGAAGCAGCGCUCAAGAGCAGAUUGGCUCAAGGAGGGGGACAAAAACACAAAAUUCUUUCACGGCAAGGCAUCGACUAGAAGGAAAAAAAAAAACAAAAUUUUGGGGAUUGAAGAUAAUUUCGGGAGAUGGAUUGAAAAGCCAAAAGAAGUGGAGCAUGAGUUUUGCAAUUAUUUCACCAACCUUUUUACAUCAACCCAGCCGAGACAGGAUCAAAUUGCAGCAGCCUUGAAAGGAAUAACUCCGAGAGUUUCAGCCAGCAUGAAUGAGAGUUUGGAGGAACCGUUUACAGCCGAGGAAGUCUUGGAAGCUUUGAGUCAAAUAAAGGCUUCGGGGCCGGAUGGUUUUCCAGCAGUGUUUUACCAAAAGCAUUGGCAUACGGUUAAGGAGGGAGUGCUCACCACUUGUCUGCAUAUCGUCAAUUCACAAGGUACCAUAGGCCCUCUAAAUCACACUUACAUUGCUUUGAUACCAAAAAUCGGGAAGCCUAGGAAAGUGACAAACUUUAGGCCUAUUAGUUUGUGCAAUGUUAUCUAUAGAAUUGUAGGUAAGUCAGUUGCUAAUAUAUUUAAGCAAAUUCUGCACAAAAUCAUCUCUCUAUCGCAAAGUGCCUUCAUCCCCAAUAGGUUGAUCACUGACAACAUCAUAGUUGGCUACGAAUGUUUGCACAAGAUAAGGCAUUGUAAAGGAAAGCGAAAUGGAUUAAUUGCAUUAAAGCUUUAUAUUAGUAAAGCUUAUGAUAGAUUGUAAUGGAACUUCCUAGAGCAAACUUUAAAACAACUAGGCUUCUCGCAUCAAUGGAUUAGCUUGAUCAUGGGGUGCAUUAGUUCAGUUUCCUUCUAUGUGUUAAUAAAUGGCUCAGUGAAAGGCUUAAUUAAACACCAAAGGGGCAUAAGACAAGGUUGCCCCCUCUCUUCGUAUUUGUUUAUUACAUGUGCAGAGGCUUUUUCUUCCUUGCUGUAGCAGGCUGAGCAACAACGGCUUAUUCAUAGGCUAUCAUUUGGAAACGAUUUGAAGAUUUCGCACCUUCUAUUUGCUGAUGACAGCCUUAUCUUCAGCAGAGCUUCCAUGGCUGACUGUCGAAAUCUGAAGAUGAUCCUUGAGUGCUACUCCACAACUUUCGGUCAAAUAUUUAAUUUCGAGAAAUCUUCUCUUUUUCUUAGUGGCAAUGUACAACAAGAUCAAGCUGAGGCAAUUGGGAAUCUCUUUUAGCUCAAUAUUGUGUAAAGACAUAAAAAAUAUUUAGGCUUGCCGUCUAUGAUCGGGAGAAAGAGAAGCAGCUUCUUCAAUGACAUCAAGCUGAAGGUUUUCAACAAGAUCUCAAGCUGGCAGCAUAAAUUUUUUUCUUGUGGAGGGAAAGAAGUCUUAAUCAAAGCUGUUGUGCAAGUCAUCUCAGCCUACGCAAUGAGCGUUUUUAAAAUUCCGAUGGGAGUUUGUGAUGAUAUUUAAAAAAUGGUGGCAAAGUUCUAGUGGGGCUCCAAGAGGGAAGGGAGGAAUAUUCAUUGGGCGAAGUGUGAAAAGAUGAGUCAAGCUAAGUGUAAUGGAGGGAUGGGAUUUCGUGAUUUUUCAAGCUUCAACAGAUCCCUUCUAGCAAAGCAAGGCUGGAGGAUUCAGCAAUGUCCAAACUCGUUGGUGGCUAGGGUCUUGAAAGCCAAGUAUUUCUAGUCAAAAAAUUUCUUGGAUGCAAAGCUCAACUCAAACCCUUCAUAUAUUUGGAGAAGCAUUCUUUGGCGAAGGAAAAUUAUUUGCUCGGGCUCUAGGUGGAGAGUUGGCAAUGGUCAGAAAAUUCAUAUUCAUAAGGCUAACUAGAUUCCACAACCUUCAACAUUCCAGCCAAUGGUUAAGCCAACUUUUCCUUCGAAUGCUAUGGUCUCUGAAUUAAUCAAUGAGGCAAACUACUGGGAUGAGAAGAGGAUUUAUGAGCACUUCGAAAAAAUGGAUGCUGAUUUAAUUACUAAGAUUCCUCUGCCUAGAAGACCAAGGAAGGAUGAGCUAAUUUGGCAUUAUGGAAAAAAUGGCCAGUUCUAGGUUAAAAGUGGGUACCAGACAACUCUCCAAAUAAAGUUUCUAGCCAUGCCUUCAAGCUCAGUGGCUUCAAAAAAUGAAUGGAAUAUUAUUUAGUCUCUUGCUUUGCCUCAAAAGAUCAGAAUUUUUGCAUGGAGGGCAGCCAAAAACCUACUCCCCUCAGCUGAGAAUUUGUGGAAGAAAAAGAUAAUCCAGGAACCUACUUGCCAAGUGUGUAAAAUGGGAAUGGAAAAUGUAUUUCAUGCUCUAGUGGCCUGCAAAUCGGCUAAGAAAGUAUGGAGGCUAAUCUAUUUUGAAGAUGAUAUUAAUGCUGCUCACAGUCAAGAUAUCUUCAGUUUGCCGCAUGCUAUGAAAAGAAUGAGAAGCAAAGUUGACCUGGAGCUGUUGGUAACGAUUUUUUGGGUUAAAUGGAAUGCUCGGAAUCAGUUGCUAUUCAAAGGAAAAAUGGAGACCCCCCAUGUAACACCCUAGGCGAAUCCCAUAUCGGCAAAGCACAGGAGAGAUGCUGGGUUUAUAAGAAGUGAUCCACACCUUAAUUGGCAAGACGCGUUUUGGGGUCUAUGGGCGCCCCAAGAACAAAUCCGUGCAGGCCUUGUUAAGGCCCAAAGCGGACAAUAUCUUGCCAGGUCAUGACCCAACCCAGACCUGGCAAGAUAUUGUCCGCUUUGGGCCUUAACAAGGCCCGCACGGAUUUGUUCUUGGCGUGCCCAUACACCCCAAAACGCGUCUCAUGCUCCUUCUUACUCUUAGAGUAAAUUAAUAUGUCAUCAAUAAAGACAAUGACAAACUGGUCAAGAUAAGGUUGGAAGAUCCUAUUCAUCAAAUCCAUGAACGCUGCAGGAGCAUUAGUUAAUCCAAAAGGCAUAACUAAGAACUCAUAGUGUCCAUAACGAGUUCAAAAAGCUGUCUUCGAUACAUCCUCACUUCUUAUUUUCAAUUGAUGGUAGCCAGAUCGUAAAUCAAUUUUAGAGAAUACCGCUGCACCUCGUAAUUGGUCAAAGAGGUCAUCAAUUCGAGGAAGAGGGUAUUUAUUCUUGACAGUAACCAUAUUCAACUGCCGGUAGUCAAUACACAACCUCAUUGAACCAUCUUUCUUCUUUACGAACAAAACGGGAGCACCCCAAGGCGACACACUAGGACGGAUGAAACCCUUAUCUAGUAACUCUUGUAGCUGGACCUUUAGUUCUUUUAAUUCAAUGGGUGCCAUCCGAUAUGGCGCCUUGGAUGUAAGUGUAGUACUAGGAACUAACUCUAUAGUAAACUCAACCUCUCUAUCUGGGGGUAGACCAGGAAGAUCCUCAGGAAAUACAUCAAUAAACUCCCUUACAAUAGGUAUGUCUUCAAGGCACGCCCCAUCAGGAUGGUCAGCAAUUAUAUACGCUAAAAAUCCUUCACACCCCUUCUUUAGCAUUUUCACUGCCGUCACCAUAGAAAUCAAAGCUUUAUAACUCUUAUGAUUCCCUUGAAAAUGAAAUUCUUCCUCGCCAGGUAGGCGAAAAAUAAUUUCCUUAGCAAAACAAUCUAUUGAAACAUGGUAAGGUCCUAACCAAUCCAUCCUCAAAAUCAAAUCAAAAUCAUGCAUCUCUAAUGGUAGGAGAUCCACAAGGAAUUCUCUAUCACACAAUCUGAUCACACAUGACUUAUAGACAUGAUCUAUUAACUGGCAAUCCCCCAUAGGGGUACUAAUUGUCACGUGAACACCGAGUGGCGUGAUAGGCACAUCAGCAUAACGGGCAAACACACAAGAUACAAAUGAAUGUGUAGCACCAGGAUAAAAAGGAACUUUGGCUUCUCUAGAGAAUAAGGACAAUGUACCUGAUACUACAUCAUUGGACACCUCAGCAUCUUUCUCCGUUAGCGCAAAAACACGCCCUUGCACCUUCGGUUUCUUCCUCUGCCCUUCGUUAGUCGGAGUAUUUGUAGUCUCGCCACGUCUCUUUGGGCAAUCCAUAAUCCUAUGCCCAGAUUCUCCACAAGCAAAACAAGCUCCAGUUUUCCAAUGGCAUUCACCAGGGUGCCUCCUUUCACAAUGUCGACAAAUGGGGUAAUUUCUCCGAGCAGUGUCACUAGUAACACCCUUGUUAUCCCAUUUGUUACCUCCACCAUUAUACUUCUGGGAGUGAGUGCCUUGCCUAUAGGAACUUCCAUUUCGCGGUCCACCUUGUUGAUUCUUCUUAUUUCUCUGAUACCAUAAUGUCAUGACCCAACCCAGACCUGGCAAGAUAUUGUCCGCUUUGGGCCUUAACAAGGCCCGCACGGAUUUGUUCUUGGGGUGCCCAUACACCCCAAAACGCGUCUUGCCAAUUAAGGUGUGGAUCACUUCUUAUAAACCCAGCAUCUCUCCCGUGCUUUGCCGAUGUGGGAUUCGCCCAAGAACAAAUUCGUGCGGGCCUUGUUAAGGCCCAAAGCGAACAAUAUCUUGCCAGGUCUGGGUUGGGUCAUGACAUUAUGGUAUCAGAGCGGCUCCGCGUGUCCUCUUGAGCGAUGGUGGGGCAAACCUCAGCGAGGACGCUGAGUCCCCAAGGGGGGGUGUAUGUAACACCCUAGGCGAAUCCCACAUCGGCAAAGCACGAGAGAGAUGCUGGGUUUAUAAGAAGUGAUCCACACCUUAAUUGGCAAGACGCAUUUUGGGGUGUAUGGGCACCCCAAGAACAAAUCCGUGCGGGCCUUGUUAAGGCCCAAAGCGGACAAUAUCUUGCCAGGUCUGGGUUGGGUCAUGACACCCCAUAUUAUGGUAGCUAAAGUUGAAGCUAUGAUUGCAGCUUAUAAGAGGGUGCAUUCUUCAGUUGAGGCUUCCAGUGAAACAGAGCAGAGGGUACCUCUUCAGACAUGGAAUCCCCCUCAAGAUGGUUUUGUAAAAGUCAACAUUGAUGCAGCUAUCAACUUCAAAAAGAACCUUGUAGGGCUGGGGGCAGUGAUUAGAGAUGAUUCGGGGCAUGUUACAGCAGCUGCAAUCAAGAUUUCCAAGUUUCAUGGAGAUGUUUCUUAUGCUGAGGCAGCAGCUAUGGAAUGGGGUAUGUUGGUGGAGAGAGAAGCUAAAGUGAAAGUUGUAAUCGUGGAAUCAGAUUCUCAAGGUGUGGUCAGUUUAGUUAACAACAAGCAGGGCUGCAGAUCUGAGAUCUAUUGGGUUGUUUCGGAAAUUCAGAAGUUAGCGGAAAACUUCGAGUGUGUUAGUAUUAAGUAUACAGCCUAGAUCUUGUAAUGUUAUUGCCCAGUCUUUAGCUAAGUUAGCUCUAGAAAAACGCGAGACUGUUGUGUGGAGGGUUCAUACCCUUCACAAGUGAUGUAUUUCCUUUCAUCGUUGUUUUAAUUGAAAUCUAUUUUCAAAAAAAAAAAAUCACAAUCAGCAACUACAAUGAUCCAAAACCAACAUAGAAAGACCUAGAAAUAGUAAAAAAUAUUGCAAUAUAUUAAAGAAGAUUAAUUCAUCAGAGUGCCCACAACAUAUAAAUGGAUCUAAAGAAUAGAUUAUAUAAUAGCUUGUUUCUUAUGAAUGAUACAUGGGAUUCCACAGAUAAAAAGAAAAUAAGAAUCAAGUACGUGAAUUAAAAAAAUACCUAACCAAUAGGGGUUAGUGAGAUAUUUUAGCUAAAUAUCAGUUGACAGAAUCUGACCCACAAUAAAAAUUGCUAUCUUAUCACAAUGGGAAUCUGAAUUAUAAAAUUACUGAACAAAACUUUUAACACCUACAAGUCCAAAUAAUAUCAAAUAAAAUGCCUAACCAGCUAUUAAAUAUAAAAUGUCCUUGUAGGACUAAAACCUUGUGGCCAAUCCUUCAAAGUUCCAAGCAACAAUAUGAUAAAAACAUAAUGCAUAAUAUAUAAGGAGCUUAUCUGUAAAACUUCCAUACAGUACUUAUCAUAUUAAACAAUGUACCUAAUGAAAUAUUGGCUUAUUUCUACAGAAUAUUACAAUAUAAGUACACCAAUUUCUCAAGCAAUGCCAUAUAGAAAGAUACCGAAGAAAAAAGGAAAAUAAAAAAUCGAAGCAUGUUAGUUAUGAUUUCAACUUUUGAACUCAAAGUCUGUGACAAAUUUUGCUUCGGGAAAUACUAACAAACACUUGAGAAAAACUAAAGUGUAUCACACUUGAACCGUAUAUAAAGCACAAGAAUAAAAACAACAAUGGGCAAAAAGAGGCUAGAUGUAUCAUCUUCAUUAGUUAAACAACAUAAAUAGAAUCAAAAUAUUAAUGCAUACACCAAAACCUUCAAAAUUCUCUAAACAUUCAAUUUUUUUCAGAUUAAGAAAAUAAAUUUAUAAGAAAAUCGAGAACGCGUAUUUGUUGCGGUAUUUUAUCAAGCAAUUGGCAUGCAGCAAUGUAAAUGACAAUUAAAACAUGUAAAUCUCUGUACAUUGAAAGCUCACCUUCGUUAUUCAUCCAAAGAGAGAUAUAUAGGGCAUGUAAGCUCCUUCUUUGAUAUUUAUAUAUUUUGUCAUAAAAGAUUAUAUAUUGUCCGAAAAGAGCUAACUUUGGACAGGCUUUUUAUGCCAAAAAAAAAAAAAAAAUUCUUUUGUGACUAUUAUAAAGUUCGUCAAAAAGAAAUUGAAACAGGGACCAAGUAAUGUCUCAAAAAGAAAAAAAAAUGGUUAUCAAAUAUAAAAUUAUUCAAGACAAAACAUUCAAUGACUAUUGUUUAAUUUUGUCACUGUAGGUAAUUAUAUAUGAUAAAAAAAAAUGGUCUUAAAAUUAGCCAAAAGAACAAUAAUUUUGGCUACUAAUAUUUUGUGUCAUAGAUUGUGUAGUCAAUUUUACACCCCUCUUUUAGUUACCAAAUAAUUUGGUCGCCUAUAAUUAUAUUUCGUGACUAUUUAUUUUGUCAUAAAUAGUGAAAUAUUGUCUCAAAAUAAUCACUUUUGGAGGGAAGAUUUUGCGCCAAAAAAAUAUCUUUUGGUGACUAAAAUAAUUUUUGUCAUAAAAAAAAUUAAUUAAUGACCAAUGAACAAGUCUCAAAAUAAAAAUAAUUGGUUACAAAAAACAAUAUAAGUUAGGACAAGACUAUUAGCUACGAUUUUAAAAAUUUGUCACAAUAAAUACCAUUUUGUGACCAAAUUUAAAGUUGUAAAAAAUAUCAUCUUAAAAAAUCAAAUUUCUUAUAGUGGCCGAGGCCUAUGAUAGAGCAUAGCUCUAUGCCCAUUUACCUCUUCAACUGCCAUAGAGAACUAGAAUCCCACUUGCACCCAAAACAUAAAAACAAUGUACACUUGGCAUGAACUCUGAGAAAGCUACGUAAAAAUGAUUUGAUGGCCAAGGAUUACAACAAUUGUACAACCAAAAGAGGUAGAAAUCCAUGUCUAGUAUAGUGCCCUCGUUAACACCUCUAAAUACUGAGUCAAAUCAAUAGGAAUUUCAUUGUGGGAAAAAAAAAACUAUGCUACGAAUGGUCAGCCUUGCUAGCCUUUAUAAGCAACGCACACAGAUUAUAGAACGAUGCAGUGAUGCAAACCAAGAACUAUUAGGGUAUAGACAGUAAGAUUAAAUAGAAUAAUUUGAUUCCAUUUCUAGCAAACUUUGCCUAGAGACUUGUUAAAAUCUAAUCAGUAAACCUGCUAGAUUUGACAGGAAACAGGUAAUGUCAGGCAAAUCGCCUUCUCCUAUUUUAGGGCACUCAUGUAUAAUAGUGACUUUAAAAGUGUAAACAUAUUUUGAACAAUUUUAAGGAAAUUAAAACUAUAUUUGACACAUCACGAAAUGGCUAAGAUACAAGCUUCAAUUCCAGUACAACAAAUAUAACUUCAACUGUCAAUUGAAGGAGCGAGAUAAAGAGGAGAGACACGAAGCAAUAUACCAUUAUGAGAACAUUGCAGCAUACAAAAGUGUAAACGGCAGAGCAAUAUCUCAAAAUCAUGUCGUUUCCGAUGUGUGCUCAUUUGAAAGUGCAGAAAAACCACUCAAACAUGCCUGUACAAGGAAAGCCAUGUCAGCCACCAAUGUCGUAAUUACACCAAUUACGAGGCCCAAAACUCCAUCAGCAACAGUAGAAGAACCGAUGUCAACAUCAAUCUACAGAAAGUUUCUAGCAGUCACGAGCAUUAUCACGAUCAUCGUGCCGCAGAUUGCCCUAAAAACAAGACAAAUCAAUUUGAUCAGCUUGUUCUUCCUCUAGAGCUGCGAAUAAUUGAAAAAAAAAAGAUUAAUUCCAUAGAAAUCCAUUAAUGAGGACAUUAAUCCAAUAUAUAAAAAUGAAUAUUUAAGUUUGAAGCUCCUAGCUUGAAGCUUUCCAAAUAUAAAGUUACAUAGUGAAGGACAACAUUUGUCCAUGAGGUUUCUAAAAUGGCAACUUUUGCACAGUAAAAUUAAAACGGACGGCGGAAGCUCUAGAAACCUCGGAUCGGCUUCAUUCAAAAACGAAAAUCACGAGGAAAGAUUUAAGUUUAAUUAAAUCACUUUUAGUUUCAAAAACGGCUUCGUGAAGUAGAAGAAAAAGACUGAAAACAGCACGCUACGAACACUGUCCAGAAAAUAGAGCUCUGCACGAACAGCUUCUGUUUUGCCACGAUUUGAGAUCCUUAAAGCACCCCAAUUGUGAUGCCUCUAAUUAUUCCACACUUAGAAAUGUUCUAGGAGUUCAUAGGAUUUGGAAUCUCGAAAUUUCGUUUAGAAAUGAAAGAGAUAAUGAAAAAACAUGAAUGCUAGUUCAUGAUGAUUCAUUCCAUCAAAUAAAGCUACCAUUAUCUCUAAUAAUGGCACCAAACAUUAUCAUGUGCUAGACCCACCCACUUAGUUAUUAUUUAUUGAAAGUGAUCUUAUCACUUAAAUAAAUUAUUUAAUCAAAUAAAUAAAUAGCUAAAUUAAUUAAUUUCGUAAUUAAUUAAUUAACCCCAUUUUGAUCAAAUCAAAUGGUUAAAUGUGGGCUCAUUUUGUGACAUGUUCUAAUGCUUUCUCUUAAUCCAUAUUAGAUCUAAUAAAAGCCCAAAAUUCUAAACCCAAAAUUGGUCUAGAAGUCCAUAAUCAUAUAUGAACCGGAACAUGUCCAAAAUGGUCAUUUUACGUGCUUGAUAUUGCAUAAUGUUUAAUGGGGAUUUAUGAAAUUUAUUUUGUUCCUUAAACUAUUUAUGGAACAUCUAAAUUUCUAUCUUAAAUCAUAUUUAAGAUAUAUUUAUAUAUAUAUUCAUUCUUAAUGAAUUAUAAUAUAAAUAUUGAUUUUCCUAAAAUUAGGAAAUUUAACUUCUCAUUUUCUAGUAACUCCUUUUUCAUUUCUAUUUAGUGUGUGACCUUUCAGGUUCUUAGUUAUAAGGUAGUAGAACUAUUUUAAUGAUAACUCUUUAUUCAUUAAAUGAUGCUAAACUCUUUAGUAAUCAAUUAGAACUUUUCUAAUGACCUUAAGAUGCAUAGCUAAUAGGCUUUACCAAUAUUGAUCUUAAGGUUUCUAUAAGUCAUGAGUGACACCUAGCAGUAUAUCACAACUAUCCAAAUAACAAGAAUUGUUGGAUCUAUAAAACCUAUUUUAUUGUAUCUCUAUGUCUUGGUCUCUUCAUCAUCCAUGUCUAGAGAAAAGCACGGCUUAUGGUUUAUUAUGUUAAGCAGUUAUGAUUUAUCUCAAAAUAAAUCUAAAUGAACUUAACAUGAAAAUAUAAUUUGAACUCCUUCAAAUAUAUUUCACCUUGGCCAAGGAUUUCUCAUGCCAAUUCAUAUUAUCUCAUAGGGACAUCCUUUUUGUAUAUUACAAAGUGAUUAAUUCCAUAUUAGCCAUACACUUGUCUUCAUACAUAACCAACCAUGACAGCUAUUGCUAGAUCUCUUCCGUGAUUAGGAAUCCAUGAUUAUGCUUUCACAUAUCAGAGAUGUCUAUGUAUAAGACAUCUGUUAUGCCUCAAGUCUAAAGACCAUUAUUAAACAUAGUGUCUAUUACAAUGUAUAAUAAGCCAUUAACACUCAAAACCAUAUGACUUACUAUAUUUGGUCAUGUUCAGUAAACUCGUUCUCUCAACAAGUACCUAUGUGUUUGACUUGACAUGUCAUGUCAAUGAUAUGAAACUCACCAUCCAUUUUAGUAUCACAUACCAUAAGGAGUCAUAACACAUACUAGUGUUUAUAGGAAUUUAUAAUGUCCAAUCAUAAAUCCACCACUAGGAACUAUUUUAGAAGUAUAGUACAAAGGAUGCACGUUUCAUACUCUCGACAAACUCGAGAAUGUGUUCCUUAACUAUUUUACUUCUUGGACUAUAUUCAUUAAAUUAAUUUAUGAAUGUUGAUAACUUUGCCAUUUUAUAAAUAUCAAAAUGCUAUUCAAAUACAAUAAUUCCCUAAACAAACAAACACCAUUUGAUUGGCCUUUAGGGCAUAUUACUAACACAUAGCCCUUAGAAGGCCGAUUGCAAACAUCACCUUUCCCGGGGAUGGAGAGGAGGACGUCCUCAAGGAUAUUAUAAAGGGUUCUUAGUUUGAGUAGGUCAGUAUGGGUAGUGGCACACUUGAGGUAGUCAAUGGGAUAAGAAUCGGCCUCCAUCCUAUAGCCGAGGUUUCUUUUCUUAGAGGGUCGGCUCGGCUCAGAACUAUUCUCCUUGUUAUCACUUUCUUUUUCAGGGAUCCCAGCCCCCUCAGAACUGUGAUUCUCACCAGAAGCCGAUGCUUGUCCACCGCGAUUUCCCAUAGGUUCACAAUCAGAAGGAGGCAAAAUGGCCUUUGGACGGGGGUACUCAAGGGUAUCUCUAUUAUAAGAGGGACCUAUGUUACUGGAAGGAUUUUGGGGAUCAGUGGGUCUUAAUAAAUUGGGGUAUGAAUCUAUCUCUUCAUCACUCUCAUUUACAAUUAUUUUUCCCCUUCGUCUUGACAUAGUGAAGUCUUAAGAGAAAAAUAUAACAAAUUUAAGUAUAUGGGUACAAAAGUGUUGAGUGCGGAAUGCAGAAUCAAGCACACCAAAUAAUUAUAGAAAAAUAAUUGACACAAAAUUUAUGUGGUUCAGUAAUUAAACCUACAUCCACCGGAGCAAGAGAAAAAUAAUUGUAUUAUUAACAAUUAUUUGAGUACAAAUUUGAGUAAAGAAAUCUUACUUUCCCAUAACCCAAAUACACCCAGUACUCUCACACACACACUCUCCAAUUGCUCACACUUUCAGAACUCUCAAAAGCUUAAAAACUAAUAAGCUUAACAAAUUUUUUGGGAUACUUUAGAAUGAAGAAAUGACUUUAAUUUAUAGGCUUCAAGCUUGCACUAUUCCACUUAAUCCCUCUGCAAUUUGUCAAUCUUCAUCUCCAUCAAUUUGACAAAUUUUGCUAAAUUUUCCAUUUUUCUUCAUUUAGUGCAGGAUUGUCAAAUGCCAAAUAUUUUACAGCUUGCAGUUUUGGUGCCGACUUUGAAAAAACAAAAGCAAUGCAUGUGGCUCACUUUUCUUUUUCAACCAAUUUGAAAACACUCAUUGACUUUUCAACAAUUUUCCACCUCGGCGAAGAUUUGUUCAAAUAUGAGCCGACUCCCAACCAAUCAUCAUCCCCAAAGUGGCUGCAUCUCUGUGACUGCUACGUACACAAAAUUUGGGAUCAAGCCAACCGUAGUUCAAAAUUCCUGAAGGACAUAACUUAACAUAAUCGAAGGAUUUGAAUUAGUCUCAAGCAUUGUUGAAACUUAACUCCAGAAAUCACCUUUGUCAACAUAUCUGCUGGGUUAUCCUUGGUAUUGAUCUUUUUCAACAACACAUCACCACCCUCGAUAAUCUCUCUCACAUAAUGAUAUUUCACAUCUAUGUGCUUCGACCGAGCGUGAUAUGUUUGAUUUUUCGCGAGGAAUAUCGCACUUUGGUUAUCACAAAAGACCGCAAUGUUCUCUUGGAUUACUCCCAAAUCACAAAAUAAGCCUUUCAACCAGAUAGCUUCCUUUACAGCUUCAGUUACUACCAUAUACUCUGCUUCCAUAGUGGAUAGAGCAAUUGUCGAUUGUAGAAUCGACCUCCAGCUAACUGAUCCUCUACCCAAUGUGAAUACGUAGCCAGUUGUUGAUCUUUGCUUUUUAAGGUCUCCGGCGAAAUCAGAAUCACAAUACCCAACACAUUGUUGACCACAAUCCUUUUUUAACAAUAACCCAACAUCAACUGUCCCAUAUAGAUAUCGGAGAAUCCACUUUACCGCAAGCCAUUAAUUUUUACUCGGAUUGUGCAUGUACCUACUAACCAUUCUCACUGCUUGAGAUAUAUUGGGCCUUGUGCAUACCAUAACAUACAUAAGACUACCCACAACACUAGCAUAUGGAACACGAGCCAUGUAAUCGCGCUCCUCUUGAGAUUUAGGACAUGAAGAAGAGCUUAAUUUGAAAUGAGGAGUUAGAAGUGUACAUACCAGUUUAGUUUUGUCAUCCAUACCGAAUCUUUUUAGCACUUUCUUCAAAUAAGACUUUUGAGUCAACCAUAUGCUCCCAUUCUUCUUGUCUCUAUGAAUUUCCAUCUCAAGUAUUAUAUGUGCAUCACCCAAGUCUUUCAUCUCGAACUCAGAAGCCAGCUGCUUCUUUAAUCUUUCGAUCUCAUCUCUAUUCUUCAAAACUAUAAGCAUAUCGUUGACAUAGAGUAACAAAUAGAUGAAAGCUCCAUCUAUUAGUCUUCUAAAGUAAACACAAUGAUCGUGUUCACUUUUGGUGAAUUUCUGCCCUUGUAUAAAUUAAUCAAAUCUUUUAUACUACUGCCUUGGCGAUUGCUUCAGUCCGUAUAAAGAUUUAAUCAACCUACACACAUGAUUCUCCUUUCCAGUAACUUUGAAACCACAAGGCUGAAUCAUAUAGAUUUCCUCCUUCAAAUCUUCAUGUAAGAACGCCGUCUUAACAUCCAACUGAGCCAACUCUAACUCAUAUUCUGCAACUAAGGCAAGUAGGAUACGAAUGGAAGUAUGUUUUACAACUGGAGAGAAAACUUCAUUAUAGUCAAUACUUUCCUUUUGAGCAAAACCUUUUGCCACGAGUCUUGCCUUGUAUCGAGGAGUUGAUUGAUUUGGAGAUCCUUGCUUUUUGGUGUAGACUCAUUUAUUGCCAAUAGUCCUUUUCCCUUUUGGUAACUUUACAAGUUCCCAAGUCUGGUUUUGAUGGAGAGAUUUCAUCUCUUCCUCCAUGACUAACUUCCACUGAUCACUUUCACUGCUGCGUAAUGCUUCACCGAAAGUGUUGGGGAUGUCAUCAUCAAUAACUGAAAGUGCAUAGACUACCACCAUAUCUUUAGUAAGCCAUCCGGGUUUCUUUAUCUCUCUUCUUGGUCUCCUUGUUACUAUAAAAUCAUCAUUAUCUACAGCAUCAAUUGUUUCUUCAUUUUGUGGGACAUCAGAAGAAAUAACAUAUUCUUCAACUCUAGGUAUCACCUCCAUAGUUGAACCCUUAUUUGAUGUAGAACUAACUGGUACAUAUGGAGUUGUAUCAAACUUCACCAGCUGCAAUACCUCUUUGGUUUUGUUUUCCAUUUGCUGAGAACUUGAAGUUUUCAUCAUUGAAACUUCAUCAAAUGUGACAUCUCUGCUACACACAAACUUUUUGUCUUUGAGAUCCCAAAACUUAAAGCCAUUUACUCUACCUUUGUAUCCCACAAAAAUAGCUUUUCUAGCACGAGGAUCCAGUUUACCAUCUUUGACAUAAUAAUAAGCUAGACACCCGAAUAUACGAAGGGAAUUAUAGUCUUGUGCAUGCUUUCCAGACCACAUUUCUAUAGGAGUUUUACCUCCAAUUAUAGCAUAAGGCAACUAGUUUACCAAGUGACUUACGUAGUUCACAGUUUCAGCCCAAAACUUUUUAUCUAAACCAGUAUUAGAUAACAUACACCGUACUUUCUCCAGUAAAGUACGAUUCAUACGCUCAGCUACACCGUUCUAUUGCGGAGUAUGUCUCACUGUGAAAUGUCUUUUAAUACCGUCGUUCUGGCAUACUUACAAGAAUGGAUCAGAAGUAUAUUCACCCCCAUUAUCAGGUCGUAAUACUUUGAUUUUUCUGUCAGUUUAAGUCUCCACCAAUUUCUUCCAUUUCACGAAAAUCUCUAGAACCUCAACCUUUGCUCGCAUGGUGUACACCCACACACGUCUAGAGAAAUCAUCAACAAAUGUAACAAAAUAAUGGCUUCCACCAAUUGAUGUAGUCUUGGUUGGUCCCCAUACAUCACUAUGAACAUAUUCAAGGAUUUCACGAGUAUCGUGAUUAGCUGUACCAAACUUGACCCUUGUUUUCUUGCCUACUACACAAUGCUCACAGAAAUUUAAUUUAUAGGUUUUGGUACCUUUUAAGAGUUCGUGCCUCAUCAGAGUUUGCAAAGACUUUUUGCUAGCAUGUCCUAGUCGUACAUGCCAUAGCUUGGUGGUGUCACUAUGCGCCUCAAUAAUAUUUGCUUCAUCAGUUGUACCUCCCUUCAAAUAGUACAGAUUGUGACGCCGAACCCCUUGUAGAAUCACCAUAGCCCCAUGUGUAAACUUCAUUAUACUAUUUUCAAUGGUAGCCUUGUAGCCUUUAGCUUCUAGAGCACCCACAGAAAUUAGAUUUUUCUUUAAAACUAGAACAAAUCUAACCUCUUUGAGUUCUCUGACCAUUCCAUUAAACAUUUUGAGCCGAAUUGUUCUUAUCCCCAUUGUGCGACAAUGUUGAUCAUUCCCUAUCACAACUGCACCGGAUUUUAGAUUACGAGUAUUCGUAAACUAUUCCUUAAUAGGACACAAAUGAUAGGUUGCUCCAGUAUCAAGUAUCCACUUACUCGAACUAGCCACGUAUGCUGCAAGAGUAAUACUUAGUGAAUAAUCAGAAUCUUCAUCUUUCGUGCCAUGUUUGCUGCUGUUGGUUUUUUCCCAUCUCUGUUUUGAGCUUUUAGACAAUCUUUCCUCCUAUGAACCUUUUCAUGACAAAAGGCACACUCGUCUCGAGCUAUAUCUCUGCUUCUCGAUUUGGAUCGAGAAUUCUUUCCACCACCCUUUUUCUUUUUCUCCAUCGCCCAAUCUUUACUCACCAAAACUUCAGACGAUACUCGUUCAGAAUUUUUAUUAUUAUUCUGAAUCUCCAAGUUAGUCAAUGCUGUGCAAACAUCUUUGAAGAUGAUCACGCUUUUCCCAUAUAUCAAGGUAGUCACAAAAUGGCUAUCUUCCUCUGGUAGUGAGUGUAACAGAAUCAUAGCCUUGACUUCAUCCUUAAUAUCUUCAUCAAGAUUCUUCAAAUCAGCAAGUAACUUUUCAAAUCUCGAGACAUGAUCGUGCAUUGAUACCCCAGGCUUCAUUCGAAAGCCAUAUACUUGGCUCAUUGCAUGAAGACGAUUUUCAGGACUUUUCAGCCUAUACUUCUUCUCUAAUGUAUGCCACAAAGUCACCGCACACUCCUCAACUUUCACCAAGUAUUUUACCUCCUUGGUCAAAUAAGAUCUGACCUGACCACAAACUUUCUCGUUCAUACGAUCUCAAAUUUCUUCAUCAUACAAGUGUAUUUUAUUUUUCAAAACAAUAUCGAGAUCGAUUUGAAUAAGGGCAUCCAUAACUUCGCGCAUCCACAUGCCGAAAUUGAUUUUCCCAUCAAACUUUUCAACAUCGAUCUUCUGGCCUCCUAUAACAGGUGCUGAAUAGCGAUUUUACAAGUCUCGUCUCCCACUUGAAGUGUCUUCUAAAAUAGUCUCGAUAGAUCUCUCCUUAAUUCUGGAAGUUUCACCUUAUACCAUUUUCUCAACGAACUAUUUCCACUUGAAAAACAGCCUCUAUGAUGUUAAUUUCGCGUGAAUAAAUGUCCCAGGAAAGUUCCCUAAAGACUAGACGGGAACUCGGUCCUAAUUAAAAAUCGGAAUCCUUAGACUCUUAUCGCCUUUGUUGACAGAACUUUCAUAGACAUGUAAAAAUACACACUACUUACAAUAGACUGUCUCCCAAGUACAAAUGGCCGCCUCCACCGUAUUCGUGAAUAGUACUGUAUAUGUGAACAAUACAGUAUACUGGAAUAGUACUGUAUAUGUGAAUAGUACUGUAUCCCCCCAAGUACGAACCGUCGGCUCUGAUACCAGUUGUUGAGUGCGGAAUGCGGAAUCAAGCGCACCAAAUAAUUAUAGAAAAAUAAUGGGCACAAAAUUUACAUGGUUCGGUAAUUAAACCUAUAUUCACCGGAGCAAGAGAAAAAUAAUUGUAUUAUUAAUAAUUAUUUGAGUACCAAUUUGAGUAAAAAAAUCUUAUUUUUCCAGAACCCAAAUACACCAAGUACUCUCACACACACUCUUGGUAGUGUGUCUUUUAUGGGCACGAUCUGACUAGAAAAGAUACCGACCAGAAGUUCAUACUGACCAGGUACUUGUCACUCAAAGAGAGGACGUGAUCUCACAAACACGCGACAAUUUCACCACGCCCCAAACCGCUGGGAAAACACGACGCCCCACGAUUACCCACGUUCGGUUGUUGAAGACCCAUUAAGGCCCUUAACCACCCAAAUAUGACGAGCAUGGAAAAUACCCUGAAAAAGUGGGAUGAUUGCCUAUAAAAAGCGGAGAAAUCAAUGAAGAGGGGGAGAGACAAAAAGAGAGAGAGGGGAAACUCUGUCAAAUUGACUCCAGGCAUUGUUACAUAGCCACCUUAAAUACAUUUUAUCUUAAGAACAUCGCAAUGAAUGUGUGUGAGCAUAAAUCAUAUAGUUUUCCCGUAAAUUCCAUUUCCUGACUUAAGUAUCGGAGGGUUUAUGCCGGAAAAACCAUCAGCGUCUCUGAUUUGUUUUUGUGAAUGCAGGUUUAGAAAGAAAAGGGAGAGUGAUUCGGUUCCCAGGAGCUCGGGCAAUUACUAUAGCUGGUGGAGCGCAACCUCUUCUUCAUUGUCAACACACUUGUUGAUGAUCCCAUCUGGUCGGGCAAAAGGCGACUAGAUUUCAGCAUCAACAGUACGUUCAGACAAAACACCUACUCCUGUUUUAGAAACGGCCUCCUCUAUUUUACUGUUUGGUGAUUGCAAAAAUUUGUCUAAAUAAUGCAUAGUUGUAGAGUUAAGAAAAAAAGUUAUGUUAAAAUAAAGAAGCAUCAGAGAUCCCCCGAUAUUAUUAUCAUCCAGAACAAUAUGUUUAUUGGGCCAAAGUGGGCUAACAUACAUGGGUUCAAGCUUGCAAAAUCCACAUUUAUGUAUAAUUAUAUAGUAAUUAAAUACUGAAUUUGAACUCAUACAACUAUUCAAUCAUUUGGAUUUCAAAUCUGUGUUCAUUGAACUAAAUACUGUCAUGUAUUCGAGUGAACAGAUAAAGAAUUCACAAUCUGUUCUCAAUUUUGACUUCAUAAUAUUCCAGCUAUGGUCGCAUUUCUAUUACUGUAUGGUAAAUAUGACUUUUAAAUAAUUUUUUUGACAAAAUUAGUCAAGGUGCCAUAUGUGUAUCAAAUAAUAGUUGAUAAAAUCAUCUUAUAUUUUGAACUACAGAAGUAAGUAUUCAUCAAACACUUUAUAAUUGUCAGUCAAUGUUUAUGUGAACGUGACCGAAAAUGGUUACUAAGUGCAUGUUUGGGAGUUAGGAUUAAGUAUGGGAUUAGAAUAACUUUGGUAUUAAAUAUUUUAUCCCAUGUUUGGCUACUUUGCUUGGAUUGGAUUAAGGAGGACUAAAUUUAAAUUUAGGGCUUAAAUCAUGGGAUUAACAAUCGCAAUUUAUAAGUGGAUUUAGAUGGGAUUAGAAUAAGAGAAAAAAAUUUUGUUCAUGUUUCUUUCAUAAAUAACACUAUUUUUUAUUUGAAACCUAAAAUUUAAUUACUUAAUUUAUUAUUUUAUUCAUGAUUUACAUGAAUUUAUUUUUUAUUUUAUUUUUAUAGUCUAAUUACAUUGGUACUUUACUCCAACAAAAUUAACUAUUUAAUAAUUUGUUACAAUAAUUGAUUGUAUUAAAUUCAAUAAUCAACUAUGUAAUAUUAAAAAUAAUCAUAGAAAUUAAUAAUACAAAUAAAUAAUUGAUUUUGUAUAUACAUUAUUUGCUAACUUUUUGAUAAAAUAAAAUAUAUCUAAAAUAUCCGAUAAAAAUUAAUUAAAUAAUUAAAUAGUUUUAUUAAUUUAUAUUUGUUUAUUAUGAAUAUGACUACCCAAUAACUAAUUUACUACAUAUUUAAUGCUAUUGUUAAUUAUCUUUAAAUUAAUUUUAAUUAUUACUUUUAAAUAUUCUUAACUUUUUUUUUGUAUUUAAAUAUGAUUUAACAUUGUCUAAUUCGAUAUUGUACCAAACAUAGUACAAUAUAUAAUAUAAUCUAGCUUAAUCUAAUCUAACUUAAUCCAGUCCAAUCUUAAAAAUUAGCCCAAUUCAAUUCUACGUGUCAAGCACAACCUAAGAGUUCCUAGUGUUAAAAAUUUAACAUACCCACGAUCCAUUAAUGGGAUAAUUUAUUUUAUAAUAAUCAAAUUGAAGAUCAAUUUGUACGAUGAUGAGCUUUCAUGUUUCUGUCAAACAUGAAAUAAUUUUGUAAACAAUGGCCACGUGGAACUUAUAACCAAUCAUCAUUUGUUGAUAGACAAGUGAAAUAACAAAAAAGCAGCGGGUUUGGGCUUUCUCCAGGAAUCGGCUUAACACAAACAAUGUGGGGUUUCUUGAUCUUCUUAAAGAUCAAGCAUAUACGUAUACAUGUUCUAUACCUAUCAAUCAUUCCCCUAUUCUUCGGUUUGGUGAUUGCAAAUAACAUUCUUUGCAUCUACUCUUUAUUUAUUUAUUUAUUUUUAACUCAUUAAUUCUUGUUCUUCUUAAAGCGUUUAGUAAAUAUAUCAUCACCGGGUCAAAUCCCUAACAUUAACGUACACAUAAUCUAUUAAUGAAAUUUAUUAUUUUAUCAUAAUCAAAUUGAAGAUUAGUUCAUGCAGUUUUCUAUGAUGAGGAGUAUUCACUUUUCUGUUAAAUACAAGAACGAUUCGUAAAUAAUGUCCAUUUGGAACUAGUAAUAACGAAGCAUCAUUUGUGGACCGAAUAAAUGAAAUAACAUUUUAGUUUCUCUCUAAAAUGUCAUUCUUCAUUCAAGCUUUUGCUGCAUCUUUUAUCAGGCAUCUUAUAAAGCUUUUCCCUACUAAUACUAAUAAACUUUGUAAAUCAAUAUUCUUUUCAAUUUCACAGGACACAAGUAAUGCAUAUUCAAGCACAACAGGUAUUUAUUCGUUAGAAACUCCAACUUAAUUAUUUCAUUGGAAAAUAUGAAACGCAGAGCCAUAAACUAGUGCUUUCUUCAAUUUAAUUGGGUUGAACAAACUUUUUAAUGUAUUUUCCCCAAUCCAUUUCUUUUAUCUCACUGCAUGCUUUAUUAAAGCUUUGUCUUUGUUCUUGAUUGAUGACCUUCAAAAUUAAAUCUUAAAAAUCGGGUAUAAAAGGGGUGCUUGAUUUAAGUCUUCUUCUUUUGCAAUUCAUUGUUAUUGCUCUUUUCAGCUUUUUACUCGCAAAACUUCUUACUCACAAAUUCCUCUGCAGUUAACCGUGAUCUUUUACUCAUUAAAAUUGUUCUUAUUAAUUCUUUUUUAUAGAGAGAGAGAGAGAGACUCAAAGAGAAUUAAAAAAAAAGUAAUUCUAAAUUUUUGCUUGUGCAUUGUGUGAUUUUUACCAUUUUUAAAGUUGGUGAUUUGUAUUGAAUAAAUAAAAUAAUAAAUAGAUUUAUGGACUACUCUUUUUUGUUAUAAUAAACAUCAGAGGUCCUUUCCUGAUGUUUCAUUCCAUAAGAAUAAAUUAUAAUUUUAUUGAUAUAGUAACGUCAAUAAUAGAAAUCCUAACAAACAUACAAACUUUAGAUUAUGGAUUAAAGCACUACAAGGUGAAUGGAUCACAACAAAUUAUUUAUACUACAAGGUGAAUGGAUCACAACAAAUUAUUCUGACGAAAGCAUAAACAAGAUGAUUGAAUCAAGAGACUAUUACAUGGGAAACCAAUCCAGAUGAAGCCUGUGAUAAAGAAUAGCCGUACGCCCAUUUACCUCUUUAGCUAAGCUGCCAUACUGAAGGAGGCAAUCCCACCCGCACAAAACAUGAAAAACGAUGUACACGUGGCAUGAACUUUGAGAAAGCUACAUAAAAAUGAUCUGAUGGCCAAGGGAUACAACAGUUGUACGACCAAAAAGGGUAGAAAUCCAUGUCUAGUACACUGCCCUCUUCAAUACCUCUAAAUACUGAGUCAAAUUGAUAUGAAUUUCAUGGAUGAAACUAUGCAACAAUCGAUAAACCUUGCUGGCCAUUAUAAGCCUAUGCACACAGAUUAUAGAACGAUGCAGCGAUGCAAACCAAGAAUUACUAGGGUAUAGACAGUAAGAUUAAAUAGAAUAAUUUGACUACAUUACAAGCAAACUGUCACGGACCGCAAUCGUGGCACCCAAGAUAUGCGCUUGUACGCUAGUGUCGAUGAUGGUUGUUGAUGCUGAAAUCUGCUCGCCUUUUGACCGACCAGAUUCUUUCACCAACGUUUGUGUUAUCUACUGUUGCUCGUUCACUGGGAUUGGAUUCGUCCUCCUUUCUCUCAAUAGACCUGCGCUCACUAAAAACGGAUCAGAGACGCCGGUGGUUUUGCCGGCGUAAACCCUCCGAUGUCUAAGUUAGCUCAAGGUGUUUACGGGAAAACAGUGCAAUUUAGAUCUCAAAACGGUUUCUAAAUUAUUCGGAGUUUAUAAGAAAAUGGCCUGAUUGUAAUUUGGCAGCGUUUUCCCUCUCUCAAUUUUUUCUAUCCCCAUCUUCAUCGAUUUCUUCCUCUUUUAUAGCCGUUGUCCCCACGUUCCCAUUUGCCUUUCACCCUACCUUUUUCGGGUAGUGGCAGCCUCUCAUGGAACUCUAACCGCUGCAUUACGGGCAAACGUGGGAUCUCGCAUCCUCCGCAACGGUUCUGGGAACAGCGCAACUACCGCGAUUCUGUGGGAUCUGUUCCCGCUUUUUGGGGGACGGGUACCGGCUCGGUAUAUACCUCUGGUCGGUAUAUUUCCCUGGUUGGUAAUCGCCUCUGGUCGGUUCAUGCUUGUCCCCGUGUUCUGCUCGCACCAUUUGGCUAAGAUGAUCCAUGCCGGGGUGGAGAUUAGUAGCAUGGCCGACCUGGUGCUUUUAUUUACUUAACAAUGGUUGUGCUGAUUGUUGGAGACGUGCUUCAGGGGCGUGCGUGUUGGGAAUACAAUGCCCUAGACUCUUUGGAGUUCAGGCAGGCCGACCCGGUUGAGUUUGGGGAGCUUGUCGCUAGUCAAGGACUUAACGCUGAAGAGGGGUCUAGGAAAAUCCUGACGCACACUGGUUGGGAAUUGAAGCCGUUCUCCUGAUGAGCCCAAGGCAGGGCGAAACCAGUUGACAUUGUGUCACUUCCUCUAGGCUUACUCUCGUAGUAUGGGAUGCGGGAGUGCCGCACGGGCUCGAAACCUCUCGUCCCGUGACAAAUGGUAUCAGAGCCGCGCUUGUCAUCUCUCGAAGCCCUCGUCGCGAGCUCGCCAAGCGCUCCAAUGCCGCACCACGCGGGUCCCCACCCUUUCAGAUACAAGAGUUGACAAGCGGGACGAACAGGCGGGUUCUCACACCCCCAAGCGUUCGCACCAAGUGGAUGGUGUCUCCAUGCGGGUCCUCUCCAUGGAUUGAGGACGUGCAUGUAGGCAGGGAGUUCAUGGGUUGAGUUUGGCAAGUCGAUCUUCACAUUUUUGCGUGGAAGUGCACACUUGCGAGGCGUACUCCUCAUGCACGAGGACGUGCAUGGUUAUGGCGGUGGGAGAAUGUCACGGACCGCAAUCGUGGCACCUAAGAUAUGCGCUUGUACGCUAGUGUCGAUGAUGGUUGUGCUGAUUGUUGGAGACGUGCUUCAGGGGCAUGCGUGUUGGGAAUACAAUGCCCUAAACUCUUUGGAGUUCAGGCAGGCCGACCCGAUUGAGUUUGGGGAGCUUGUCGCUAGUCAAGGACUUAACGCUGAAGAGGGGUCUAGGAAAAUCCUGACGCACACUGGUUGGGAACUGAAGCCGUUCUCCUGAUGAGCCCAAGGCAGAGCGAAACCAGUCGACAUUGUGCCACUUCCUCUAGGCUUACUCUCGUAGUAUGGGAUGCGGGAGUGCCGCACGGGCUCGAAACCUCUCGUCCCGUGACAAAACGCUGCCUACAGACUUGUUAUAAUCUAAUCAGUAAACCUAUUCGACUUGCUAGGAAAAAAAUAGGGCUUUUUUGUUUUCAUUCCCCUUUGGUGAUUGCAAAAAUUUAAAUCUAAAUUUAUGGUGCAGGCUACAUGGCACCUAGUGGAUGAUUGUUAGGGUUUGUCUUUUGCUCUUAGUUAGGAAUUUAAUUAAGAAUUUAUAGUGUGCGCCUUAUCGAAGUAGGUUUCCUAAUAGUAAUUAAAUAAUCCAAAUUUAUGAUGCAUUAGCAUAUGAUUGUGAUAAAUAAGCUUUUUAUGUAUCCUGUAAGGCUAAUUACUGUUUUAUUAGAUUCUCUUGUUAGUCUUGUGAAUCAACGAGAUUUAAUUAGUAGUAGAUAAUACUUUAGGCUUCACAGGCGCACUAUUUUAUCCGCUAAAUCAAUUUUUUUUUUAAAUUAAAAACAAUUCAUCAAACACUUUAUAGUUCUAACUUUUAAGCUGGUAAACACUUUAAGCCACAACUUUAAAUUCAGUUUACGAGAAUUCCUAAUAGUCACAGUGGCUUGGGUGGAAAUGAAUAUAAAUAAUGAAAUACUAUCUAAGCAACUCAAGGGCGGUGAAUUGAGUUUCUAAAAAUUUUGUAAAACUUAAUUCAAAUAUGAAACGAAUUAAAACAACAGUAAGUAAAUCAACCAAAAUAUAAAAAGAUAGGGGAAGAGAGAUUCAAACACAGAGAUUUUUAUGUGGUUCGGCCAACCUCGCCUACAUCCACGCCUCCAAGCACACCGAGCUUGAGGAUUCCACUAGUCAUGCCUUUAAGGCUUCAAGAACACCUACAAUUGACUUCAAAGAUGUCAAUCAACCUUUACACCAAGAAAUUAUCCUCAAUCUCUUAACCCAAGUGUAUCCUAACACUUACAAUUUCUCAAUUUGAUUUAAAAAUAAAUACAAAAUAAAUCUCUCUCACACAAUGUGUUUGAUUACAAAUGAAAUUCUAAAGUGUGAAUAAAUGAGAUGUAUACAAGAAUUUAAAACUCAAUGAAAGUUGUAUGCUCAAUAAUUUGCUCAAUGAUAAUGGUUGGAAUCGUUGUUAUUUGAAUUUGAUUGAACUUAUUUAUAGUUGGAGCUGAAAUAUAGUCGUUAUUGACUUUUUGCUCAAUGUUGGAUUGCCGUUUUGACUAUGAGCAAGUUACCGUCGGACAAAAUUUUAAAUUCUCGGACCGUCGAUUUCAAGAUGUCGAAUCGCCGUUAAUGUCCAGAGGCUGCUCUUCAAUUCUGUUCAAUGUCGGCUAGCCGUUAUCAAGAGAUCGGUUAGCCAUUUGCUACAAUGACUGCUACAGUGAACUAUUUCUAAAAUUAUAAUUUGGCCCCAAAACUUUAUAAAAUUUACUAUGACCGAUAACUUUAUAAAAUUUUGUCAAAUAAGUCCAUUUCCAAAAUUUUAAGCAAUAUUUGCUAAUUUCAAAGUUCUCAAAACUUUUUCAAUUUAAAUCAUUAACAUGAAAAUAACUAAUAUCAUAAAAUUACUUUUCAUUGAAUAUAAAGCCUUAAUAUGAAAAAAAAAUAAUUUGAGCUUUUAAAUCAAGCUUAACCAAGUUUGUUAUCAUCAAAAUCAAUAUUAAAGAAAUAUUUAUGUUGACAAAUAAUGUUUAAUUUUAAUGUACAAAGCACUGGUGCAUUUAGAAGGUACUACUGUGUAAACAAAAUUUGUGCUUGCAACUCAUCUUUUCAUUCAACUUUCUAAUAAUAAUAAAAUAAUACAGAGGAGAAAUAGGGGCUCUCUUUCCGUUUCCCAGUGUUUGUGUUUGGUGAUUUUAACUUUAUCAUGGAAUUGUCAAUUUUUAGUUGAAAGUUAUCUAAAUCUUCUUCUCUAUAUAAGCGUUUACAAUGAUUUUGUGAAACACAGCAAAAACAAUAAUAAUAAGUAUAUUUAUUCAUCUAAGAGGUCAAACUCUCAUGCUCAGAUAUGGAUAGUCCCAUUUUUUGAUCAGGGACAUCUCUUUACAAGCGUUGAAUUAUGCAAGCAAAUCGCUCCUCAAAAUUACCAAUCUACCCUCAUCGUUACCUCUCAAGUACCCAUAACUAUAGUUACCCAUUACUCUCUUCGCCAAGGCACACAGAUUAAAGAAUGCUUAGGGUGAAGGCAGUAACUGUCCUGAAAUAUGACUUUUAAAUUUUUAUUUUUUUUUUACGAAAUUAGUUAAAAUGCCAUAUGUGUGAUCAAAGUUGUUAAAUAUCUUAUCUUUCAAAUUAUAGGAGUAAAUAUUCACCAAACACUUUAUAAUUUUUAGUCAAUGUUUAUGAAAACACGGCCGCAAAAUGGUUACUAAUGCUAGGGAUCAAUAAUCAAACUGAAGUUUGUACGAUGAUGGGCUUUCGUGUUUCAGUCAAAGAUGAAAUAAUUUGUCAAUAGUGGCCAUGUGGAACUUAAAACCAAGCAUCAAUUGUUGACAUAACAAAUGAAAUAACAAAAUGGCAGCGGGGUUGGCGAUACAAAAUCAAAUCUUUUUUAUUCUUUUGAUUUUUGAUUUUUUCUAUUGCAUUCUGCUUUCUUAAAAGUUUGGUCCAAUUAAAGAGAAUACGGAGCAAUGACUUGUAUCAUCUGUGGAAUAAUCCAUAGAAAUAUAUAUGUGAAGCACGCCAAAGAAAAUGGCGCUGAUGACAUACUCCUAAGAAUUGUUCAUACUGAGUCAUCCAUCAAUCAACGGGUGGAUUAUUAUCUCACUGUAGAUGAAAUUCAACUGCAGAAGUAAUCGGAUGUGGGAUCCCAAUUUUGGCGUGACCAAUUAGAGGUUAUCAAUAUUAUAAUGCGAAAUUGAUGAUCAAUCAUCUUAAUGUGGGGUACAUGAUUUCUGAUGAUCCAUCAAAAAUACAAAGUUGAUUCAAAAGGAUGAUACGGUGAGUGGAACAGACAGGCUGAUGGGAAAUCAAGCUAUUAAAAAACGAGCUCACAUGCUUCAUAUUGCAUUUGAUCAUGGCUGUCCUAGAAGUUCAGUGGCUGCUUCGGAUGCUUUCAAAGUUCUUAUUAACCAGAAAGCAGUUUAACAAAAACAAGUAUUGUGCAUAUUAUUAACCAUAUGCUUUCAAAGAUCAUGUAUAAGCAUAUCAGAGAUCUUGUUGGCUUGAAGAUCUUCUUUGGAUGCUUUCAAUACCUACACUUAUACUACCAUAUGUAAAGCCUUUGUUACUGAUUGCAUUCAAUUAUUCAAUUAAAAGUCUUACAAAGCAUCUAAAAUGGAAGAUGGAACAUCCUCCAUCCAAAAAACAAAACGGAAGUCAAAACGUUGAUAUUGUUUUAUGUUUAAUAUCAUGAUACUAGAACUUUUUAGGCUAAAGCACCUACCUGCUGUGAGCUUUACUACAAAAAAAUGAGACUAUUUAGUUGUGAGACAAAUAGAGAGGGAAAGUUUUUACCAUUUAGCUAAAUUUCGAUCUUAUGCAAAAUAAUAUAAUUCAUUUGUUAUUAUGACCUAACCAACUCAAAACAAAAAGGAUUAUUAUGGCCUAACACAGUUCAAAAUGCAUGCAACAAUGGUGUAUUUAAAAUGGAACUAAUGUACAAAUAAAAUUUAUGCAUCUCUUGGAGGAAGGCCUUUAGGCCAACAAAUGAAAAUAGUGAGCUCGCAUUUUCUAUUAUCAUUUUCACCACUUGAAAAAGAGAGGGAAAAAAAUUGAGAGGAAAAACAGGGCUCCCCUGUUUUCAUUUCCCAUUUUUUCAGUUUGGUAAUUGUAAAUAACAUUCUUUACUUCCCUCUUUAUUUUAUUUUUUUUUUAUUUUUAACUCAUUAAUUCUUUUUCUUAUUCUUGCUAAAGCGUUUAGUAAAUCUUAUGAUCAUCUGAUCAAAUCCCUAACAUUAACAUACCCAUAAUCUAUUAAUGAAAUUUAUUUAUUUUAUAAUCAUCAAAUUGAAGAUUUGUUCAAUUUUGUAUGGCGACCAAUUUUCAUUUUUCUAUUAAACAUAAGAAGAAUUUGUACAUAAUGUUCAGGUCGAAACUCGUAAUAACGACGCAUCAUUUUUCGACAGAACAAAUGAAAUAACAAAAAAGUAUAAAUCAAGUCAUUAUUGAUCCUACUUUGAUGAUCGAACUUUGGUUUCUUUCUAAGAUGCCAUUCCUCAUUCAAGCUCUUGCUUUUCUCUUUUAUCCGACAUCUUACAAAGCCUUGUCCCUACUAAUAAGCUCUGCAUAUCAAUAUUCUUUUCAAUUUCGCAGGAUACAAGUAAUGUAUAUGCCAAAAUUAUUCAAGCACAACAGGUAUUUAUUCGUUGAAAACUUUUAACUUGAUUAUUUCGUUAGAACAUAUGAAACGUAGAGCUAUAACUUAGUGCUCUCUUCAAAUUAACUGGGUUGAACAAAAAAUUUUAAAGUAUUUUACCCGAUCCAUUUCUUGUAUCUCACUGCAUGCUUUGUUAAAAGCUUCGUCUUUUGGUCUUGAUUCUGAACUUCAAAAAUUAAAUCUUAAGACUCGGGUAUAAAAUGGGUGCAUGAUUAAGUCUUCUUCUUUUCCAAUUCAUUGCUAUAACUCACACCAACAUUUUACUCAGACAUUCCUCUGCAGUUAACAGUGGUCUUUUACUCAUUAAAAUUUUUCUUAAUAAUUUCUUUGGAUACCCGUUCUCACUUAAUAUUCAAGGCGAAUAGAGAAGCUCAUCAACUCUUUGAUCCCAGACAAUUAAAGAAGUACACAUGUUCUAAAUCAUCUAAUAAUUUCUUUUAAUAGCUGUUCUUAAUUUCCAUCUACUUUGCAAGAAAAAAUUUAUCUUGUUUGUUUUCAUCUUGUCAUCUAUUUUGCUUGAGUUUUAAGUUAUUGUUCAUUUGUAAUGUCUGUGUUCUUAUUAUUAGCUUUGGAUAAUUUGCAUCCAUGUCUUUUCUUUGUUUGUGGGCUUUUAUUCAGACCCCCUGAAACCUUUCUGUUAAUAUAAAAACUCUAAUCCUUGAGCAAAAGGUUAAAAAAAGAAAAAGAAAGAAUUCUCUGUUUAGAUAUCAGUUGGGUUAAGAACAAUGUUGUUUGUCUCCUGUCUUUUCUUUGUUUGUUUGUUUGUUUAUUUUGUCAUUUUAUUAGAUUUGCUUUGUAUCUAAUUUUACUUGAAGAUUAAAGCUGAGCGAGAAAUGCCUUUUUUUUUUUUCUGAAGCAACCUACAAAUUUUAGAAUAGGGCCAAGAGUAUUAAAGAUUCAAUUAACCGCAAAAAGUUAUUUACAUGCAUCGCUUGCAAACUUAAGCUUAUCAUCCCAAAUUGAGUUGCUUGCAUUAGAAAUUUUCAUGCAUUCACGAGCAUUAUCAUCAUAUCACAAGAUAGCCUGAAAAACAAGAUAAAUCAAUUUGAGCAACAAGUUUCCUCUGUUUUCGUUCCUCUGUUUUCAUUCCCUGUUUAUUGAUAUUUUUUUUUUUUUUUGGCCUGAAAUUAAGAAGAAAAAAGUGGUAAAACAAGUCACCACUGUUUUUAUUCCCCUGUUUUUCGUGGAAAGAAUAAAUGAAAUUGAAAAAAAAAAAAGCAGCGUUGGCAAUACAACAUGAAACUUUAAAUUUUUAUUUUAUUUUUAUUUUUGAUUUUGAAUGUGCAUAAGUCAAAUCAUAUAUUAUUGAUCUUACUUCGAUUAUUUGCUGUUUAGUUUCUCUCUUAAAUGCUUUUUGUUUGUUUCCGGUAUUUGCUUUUAUAAAAGUUUUAGUCCUCAAUCAUUCGUUCAAGGAUUUGCUUUCUCUUUUAUUAGGCAUUUACAUUGCUCUGUCGAUCAAUAUUCAUUUGAAUUUCACAGUACACAAGCAAUGUAUAUACCAAAACUUAAUUAUUUCUUUAGAAUAUAUGAAAACGUAAGAGUUGUGAACUACUGCUUUCUUCUUCAACAUGCGUCAACAGGGCAACAAUAACCAAAUACAUGAUAUACAAAAGCGGUGCAUGACUAAUUCUUUUUCUUUUGCAGGUCAUUGUUAUUGCUCUCGUCAACUUCUUUUCUCACACAUUUCCCAGCAGUUACCAGUGAUCUUUUUUCUCCUUCAACUUGUUCUUACAUAUUAAAGGCGAAAUAGAAAAGCUCACCAACUCUCUAAUCCCAGAUAAUUAAAGAGGUGCACGUUUUCUAAAUCCUUUAACUUUUUUUUUUUUUUUUUUUAUAGUAGAACCCCUGAUCCUUGAUCUUGACAUUUGUUCCUUCAUAAUUUCCAUCUACUUUCCAAGAAAAAUUUCUCUGGUUUGUUUUAAUAUUAUAACUUAUUUUGCAUGAGUUUUAAGUUACUAUUCAUUGUUAAAGCUUGUGCUCUUAUUAUUUCCUUUGGUUAACUUGCAUGCUUUUCCCCAAAAAAAAGAAAAAAGUUUAUAAAAAGAUUAUAGGUUUUUACUCAGACCCUUGAAACCUUUCUGAUAAUACCAAAAACACUAAUCCUUUAACAAAAGAAAGCAAGAAAAAAAAAGGUCCUAUAUUUUAAUAUCUGUUGGCUUUGUAUUGAUAUUGCUUGUUUGUUGUCUUUUAUUUCAUUGUUUGUAUCUAAGUUUACUUGAAGAUUAAAGAUCAGUAGGAAAAGCCCUUUUUAUAAAGCUAACAUACACAUUUUAGAAUAGGGCUCAACCGCAUGAAAAUAUUUACAUUGUAGUAUCUCAUAUUAAUAAUCUAAAAAAAACCAAUCCAACAAGUUCAAAUUCACUGAAAUCUAAAAAAGAUUGCUUUUAAGGAGUACAUGAUAGCUAUUGAAUUUUGGUUAAAGAUCUUUUAGGCAGAAUUGAAAUUCACUCAGUCAUAAAUCAACCAAUCCAACGAGUUCAAGUGCAGAGUCAAUUGAACAAAUUCAUCACUUGCAGAAUUAAGCUUAUCUUCCGCAAUUGAGUUGUUUCCAUUAGAAAUUUUCCCGCAGUCACGAGACUAUCAUCAGAACAUGAUUAUUUAUAUAAGAACAAGAGUUAAGAGGAGAAAAAUAAGGCAAAACAAGAUUCUUCUGUUUUCAUUCCCUUUUUUUUUUUUUUGUUUGGUGGUUGAAAAAUUUUAUCUCUAAAUUUUUAUAAUUUUUCGUUAAAGUUUAUAUUUAAAUAAAGGGUUAAAAAAAUCUAGUUCUAAAUUUAUGCAUUGAAUGAUUAUUAUUAUUGGUUACGAUAUCAAUUAAAUAACAAAUAGAGCUACUAAUCACUUUGUUAAAAAUGAACAUGCGUUCUGUUUAUAUGACAGAGCAAAACACGGGGUGCACGCUUAAGUCUUGUUCUUUUACAGUUCAAUUGUAUUACUUACUCUCAUAAACUCUUUACUCACAUUCCUCUGCAGUUAACCGUGAUCUUUUGCUCAUUAAAAUUUUUCUUAUAUAUUCAAUGCCAAUAGUGAAGCUCAUAAACUCUGUGAUCCUGAAUAAUAAAAGAGGUGAACUUGUUCUAAAUGAUAGCUAUUCAACUUGGUUAAAGAUCUUUUAGAAAGAGUUCAAAUUCAGUCAAUCAUAACUCAACCUAUCCAACAACUCCAAGUCUAGAGUCGAUUGAGCAAGAUUCAUCACAUGCAAAAUUAAGCUUAUCAUACCCAAAUUGAGUUGUUUCGGUUAGAAAUUUUCCAGCAGCCAUAAGCAUCAUCAUUGUGUUUCCGUUAGGAAAUUGAGUUGCUUAUCAUACCCAAAAUAUUUAUAUAAGGACAAGAGUUAAGGAAAAGAUCCCUCAAGGAAAAGGUCCCUCUGUUUUCAUUCCCCUGUUCUUUCGUUUAGUGAUUGAAAAAUUUUAUAUCUAAAUUUUAUUAUUUUCCAUUGAGGUUCAUUUAAAACAGAAAAGAAUUAAAAAUGUAAUUCUAAAUUUACCCUAAUUCACGGAGUGAUUAUUAUUAUGUUAUCUCAAAAUUGGCCAUACGAAUUAAAUGACUAAUAGAGUUAUUGACAAUUUUGUUAAAAAUGAACAACCGAUAAGUCAUUAUCUUUUGCACUUCAUUCUUAUUACUCUCAUAAACAUUUUAAUCACAUUUCUCUGUAGUUAACAAUGAUCUUUACCCAUUAAAAUUGUUCUUACAUAUUCAUGGCAAAUGAAGAAGCUCAUCAACUCUGUGAUCCCAGAUUAUUAAAGAGGUGCACAUGUUCUAAACCCUUUAAUAGUUUCUUUUGAUACCAUAAUCUAAUCCUUGAUCUUGAUAAUAGUGCUUUCGCAACAUCCAAGUAAAAAUUUCUCUUGUUUGUCUUAAUCUUGUCAUUUAGGUUUCUCGACUUUUAAUUUAUUAUUCAUUGUUGACUUCUGUGUUCUUAAUAUUAGCAUUCGUUAACUUACUUAAAUCCAUCCUUUUCAACAGCCAGAAAAAUAUAUAUUGUUAAGCAACAGGAGAUGGCAGAAGUAUGUCUUGCUAUUUUUUCCUGCGUAUCAGAAGGUACAAAGACAUUGUCUGAACCGAUUAUAGGGCAGAUGUCUUAUGUGCUCAAGUGCCAGAGCUACAUAGAUGGGCUAAAAGACCGAGUAGAGGAGCUGGGACAAAGAAGAAAAAGGGUGGAAAUACUGGUUGAUCAGGCUCCUGGACAAGGAUAUAAGAUUUUUGGGGAUGUCACAGAGUGGCUAGGGAAAGUUGAGCAAUUCACUCAAGGGUAUGCAAAACACAUCAUUAAUGAUGAAGAUGAAGUUAGGAAGCCCUGCUUUAAAGGAUUGUCCCCAAAUUUGAUGUCUCGUUAUAAACUCAGUAAACGAGCAGUGAAGGCUGCAAAAUAUGCUGAAACUCUCUUGGCAACAGGCAACUUAUGGAUCAUGAGUAAUGUUUCCCACCCUCCUUCCCCAAAGAUGAGAGAAUUUGGCAACAUGAAAGAUUACGAUAUCUUUAAUUCGAGAAAGAAAAUAUUUCAAGAUGUUAUAGAGGCGUUGAAAGAUGAUAAGCUCAACAUAAUUGGGGUCUGCGGAAUGGGCGGCGUGGGUAAAACCACGCUAGUCAAGCAAAUUGCAAAGCAAGUUAUGGAAGAUAACGUGUUCGAUAAGGUCGUUAUGGCUGAGAUAACAAAGAACCCAGAUGCUCAAAAAAUUCAAGGAGAACUCGCUUCCGAUCUAGGCAUGAACUUUGACUCGAAUGAUCACAUAUACCACAGAGCAAAACAACUAUGUCAAAGAUUGAAGAAAGAGAAGCGAGUCCUCAUUAUAUUAGAUAAUAUUUGGACAAAACUUGAGUUGGACAAAAUUGGAAUUCCUUAUGGGGAUGUUGAUGAGAAAGAUAAAAAUGAUGAUCCGAGAAGAUGACGAUAAUAUUGACGUCUAGAAGUCGAGAUUUAUUGUGCAUUGAUAUGAAUUCUCAGAAAAUGUUCUGGAUCGAUGCUUUAUCAAAAGAAGAAGCAUUGCAGUUAUUUGAGAAGAUAGUGGGUGAUUCCACAAAAGCAUCUGAUUUUCGACCUUUAGCAGAAGAGAUUGUUGGAAAAUGCGGAGGAUUGCCUGUUGCACUGAGUACAGUUGCAAAUGCUCUGAAAAAUAAGAGUCUUGCCAUUUGGAAGGAUGCGUUGAAUAAGCUGACAAGUUCCAAUCUAAGAGAAAUUCAUGGUAUGGAUGCAGAUGUGUAUUCUUCUAUAAAAUUGAGUUACGACUUCUUGGAUGAUGAAGCAAAAUCUUUGUUCCUUCUUUGUGGUCUGCACCGUGAAGGUCGUCCUAUACACGUACAUUACUUACUGAGAUAUGUUAUGGGAUUGAGAUACGAUAAGGGUUUGGGUCUAUUUAGAAAUGUUUACACAUUGGAAGCAGCAAGGAAUAGAGUGGAUGCAUUGAUCGACAAUCUAAAAGCUUCAUGCUUAUUGUUGGACGGUGAUGCUGAAGAUGAAGCUAAACUGCAUGACGUCAUUCAUGUUGUUGCUGCAUCAAUUGCAGAAGAAAAGCUUAUGUUUAAUAUUCCAAAUGUUGCUGACUUUGAGAGAGAGAUGGAAGAGACAAUACAGAAAGGUCCAAUUGCUAUUUCUUUACCUUAUAGAGAUAUUCAAGAGCUCCCUGAAAGGUUGGAAUGUCCCCAACUCAAGUUAUUUUUGUUGUUUGCAAAGUACGAUAGCACUUUGCAAAUUUCAGACCACUUUUUUGAAGGGACGGAAGAACUCAAAGUCUUAGAUUUUACUGGAAUUCGUUUCUCUCCAUUACCUUCAUCACUCGGUCGCCUCAUUAACCUUCAAACAUUGUGUUUAGAUGGUUGGCGACUAGAAGAUAUAGCAAUAGUUGGACAGCUAAAGAAAUUAGAGAUUCUCAGCCUUCGAGGUGCCGAAAUUAAGCAGUUGCCACUUCAGAUUGGACAAUUGACAAGGUUACAGUUGCUAGAUUUGAGCAAUUGUAGCAGCCUUGUGGUGAUAGCACCAAAUGUCAUAUCGAAAUUAUCUCGAUUGGAAGAACUAUAUAUGGGUGACAGCUUUUCACAGUGGGACAAGGUUGAAGGAGGAAGUAACGCCAGUCUUGCUGAAUUGAAGGGGCUGUCAAAGCUAACUACUUUGGAGAUAGAUGUUCGGGAUGCUGAAAUGCUGCCGCAGGAUUUGGUCCUUGGGGAAUCGCUAAGAUAUAGGAUAUGAAUAGGAGAAGUGUGGGGCCGCUGGUCUGUUAAAUCUGAAACAUCAAGAUUGAUGAAGCUUCAGGGGCUAGAAAAUAUUAGCAUUCUUUUGAGGAAUCAUGGAAUGAAAAUGUUGCUGAAGAAAACUGAAGAUCUCUAUCUACAGGAACUGAAGGGUGUAAAGAAUGUUGUUCCUGAAUUAGAUGAUGGGGAAGGUUUUCCACGAUUAAAGCAUCUUCAUGUAGGAAAUUUUGCGGAGCUUUUACAUAUUGUCGGUUCAAUUCAUUGCAAAGUCUUUCCCCAGCUAGAGUCAUUGUCUCUUUUUGGUUUGCUUAAUUUGGAGAAGAUAUGUUACAGCCAAAUCACAGAUCAAUCUUUUAUCAACUUAAGAAUCUUUAGCGUACGUAAUUGUAACAAAUUGAAGCAUCUCUUCUCAUUCUCUAUGGCCAAAAGCCUAUUGCGGCUUCAACAAAUAAAAGUGGGUCUUUGCAACAACCUGGAAAUGAUUAUUGGUAAGUGUUGGAAGUAUUUUGAGGAAUUAUAAAAAGCUACUAUUACUUAAUGACAGAAGUUAAUUAUUAAUUUUGUUUCUAGGACUCAACAAGGAGACAAGUAAUUUCGGUUUUAAAGAAAUCAUUGCAGAGGAUGAUCCUGUUCAGAAGGUGAUAAUUUAUGAUCCUGUUCAGAAGGUGAUAAUUUUCUCUUUAAUAAUUAAUUAAUAUAUUAUCAUGAUUUAUUUCAAUCAUCAAAAGAAUAUUAGAGAGAUAGGGAGGGGGAAAAAAAAAAAAGCUUACGGUUUUGCUUUGCAGGUCAUUCUUCCAGGCUUAGAGGAGUUGGAACUUGAUAGAUUAGCAACCAUUGAAAAAGUAUGGCCGGAUCAGUUUGAGGGAAUGUCUUGUUGUCAAAAUUUAACAAAAGUGACCGUGGAGAGGUGUCAUCGCCUGAAGUAUCUAAUAAAUUUGUUGACAUUCUCAAUGCCUGAAAGUUUUGUGAAUCUUGAAAUAAUGAAGAUAGUUGAUUGCAAAAUGAUAGAAGAAAUCAUAAAAUCACAGGUUGGAAUAGAAGCGAAACAUUGUAUUGUUUUUAGGAAAUUGAAGUACUUGAGGCUUGAUUGUUUGCCAAGCCUGACAAGCUUUUCUUCGAGUAAUUACACUCUUGAAUUCCCCUUCUUGAAACAAGUAGUUGUGAGACAGUGCCCAAAGAUGAAGAUUUUCUCUCAAGGAGGACUCUUACACACACCAAUGUUGAACAAAGUGCAACUCACUGAAGAAGACGAUGAUGAAGGGUACUGGGAAGGCGACCUCAAUAAUACCAUACAAAAGUUGUACUACAAAGAAGUGGUGAGUAUUAAUUAAGCAUUGGUGCUAGGCCACUAGCUUUAUUUUAUGAAUAACACAGGAGCCCUAACCACAUAAAAAUUAUCUUAUAUAAAGUGGUGAAAUAAUAUGGUAGGUUGACAUAUAUAUACAUGUAUGUAUGUAUGUAUGUAUCCACGUAUAUGGCCCAUGUUUUGUUUUACAUUUAACCAGUCAUAUUAUGUUACAUCAAUUUUUAUAACAUUAUUUAGAUAAUAGUGUCUGAAACUGUAUCAUUAUUCUUGAUUUAAUUUUGUUAUUAGUUUUUUUUUCUAUUAUUAGUAUUAUCAUUAAAAGGUAAACGUUUUCUUACCCACCUCAUAAAUUAGCAUGCUUUAUUUUGUCUUUAACUUAUUGAAAACAUUAACCCACGCCCAUUUAGCGUUAAAAGUACAAAAUGUUUGCCGAAGAAUAUCAUCAACACAGGCCCCUAUUCACGCUAUUCUUUUGGAUAGUAAAUGGGGGUGCGUUGAUGUUAUCAUUAAUUUGGUAGACAUCGGGAAACUGUAAUAAUAUAAAAAACAAUUGUGUGUGUCUAGUGAAUUUUUUUUUGGUUUGUGCAGGAUAGAGUUCGUGAAAUGACGAAGUUGGAACUCUCAAACUUUCCACGUUUCAGAGAAAUGUGGCAUGCCCAAGCACUGCCUGUUAGCUUCUUCAGCAAUUUAGUAAAGCUAGUGAUGGAUGACUUCAAGAAUAUGACUACUGCUAUUCCAGCCAAUCUUCUACGGUGCUUGAACAAAUUAAAAAUUCUGGAAGUGAGGAAUUGUGAUUCAUUAGAAGAGGUGCUCCAUUUAGAAGAGCUAAAUGUUGAUGAACAUUUUGGCCCUCUGUUUCCUGUUCUUGUCCAGCUAGAGCUCAUUAAUCUUCCAAAACUCAAAAGAUUCUGCAGCUUCAUUGGGAAUGUUAUUGAACUGCCUGAGUUGUUGAAUCUGAACAUUGAGAAUUGCCCUAAUAUGGAAAUAUUCACUUGCAAUUCUAUAUCUAUAUUGCACAGGACAACAAAUAAAGAACCUCUGGAAAUAACACCAAAGGAGAACUUCCCGCUAGCUGACAUACAGCCUCUCUUUGAUGAAAAGGUGAUUGUUAUUAAGUUUUUUUUUUUUUUUUCCUUCGCUUUCAUUCACAUAGAUGUAAUUCUCAUUAGAAUUAAAAUUAAUUUUAUUUAAUGAUCUUUCUGUUGUCUUUACUCUUUAUAUCUAAUCUAACGGUUCUAAUGCAGUUAUUAACUAAAAUUUCAGUAUACACUCAUAAAAAUGUCAUCAAAUUAGUUAAAUGAUUGGUAACAAGGGGUGAACUCUAUCCAUAUUAUCUCUAUUCAGAUUUGAUUUAUGUGCUUCAAGGGUAACUAUUUGAAUUUUAUUUUUUGGUUCCUCCGCAACUAAAUACAAUUUGGAUAUAAAAUGCUGUCGUCAAUCUUUUCCAUGAAACUGCUUACGAAGACUGCCGACGUUAGAUAUAUGUUCUCAUUUACAACUUUUUUUUUUCCAGGUUGCAUUCCCCAAGUUACAUAUGUUGAACCUGUCUAGAAUACCCAAGGUGUCGCAUCUAUGGAAGAAAAUUUCCGAAUCCAACGAAGUUUCCAAGUUUUUGAAUACUCUAGUAAUAUCAGAAUGUAGUAAGUUACGAAAAUUAGUACCAUCUUUGUUGCAUUUGGAAUAUCUGGCGACUCUAGAAGUGUCGAAGUGUCACGGGUUGACAAAUUUGUUGACGAUCUCAACAACUAAAAGUUUAGAACAUCUUUUAGUAAAUCUUGAAAUAAUGAAGAUAGCUGAUUGCAAAAUGAUAGAAGAAAUCCUACAAUCACAGGUUGAAAAAGAAGAAGAAAUCCUACAAUCACAGGUUAAAAAAGAGGAAGAUUGCAUUGUUUUUGGGAAAUUGAGGUACUUAGGACUUGAUUGUUUGCCAAGCCUAACAAGCUUUUAUUCGGGUAAUUACACUCUUGCAUUCCCAUCCUUAGAAGAAGUAGUUGUGAGACAGUGCCACAAGAUGAAGAUUUUCUCUCAAAAAGGGCGCUUACACACACCAAUGUUGAACAAAGUGCAAUUCACUGAAGAAGAUGAGGAUGAAGGAUGCUGGGAAGCCAACCUCAAUGAUACUAUAAAAAAAUGGUACUACAAAGAAGUGGUCAGUAUUAAUUAAGCAUUGGUGCUAGCUUUAUUUUAUCAAUAAUACUAGAGUCUCAACCUCUUAAAAAUUAUUUUAUACAAAAUGAUGUGAUAUAAUAUGGUAGGUUGUGUGUGUGUAGCCCGCGUUUUGUUUUUUGUUUAACCAAUCAUAUUAUUUUAUAUCAGCUUUAUAACAUUAUUUAGACAAUAGUGUUUGUAACUAUAUCUUUACUCAUUAUUUAAUUUUGUUAUUAGUUUUGUUACUGUUAUUAGUAUUAUUAGUAGUAUUAUUAUUAAAUGGUAAAUGUUUUUACCCAGUACCCACCUCAUAAAUUAACAUUCCUUAUUUUUGUCUUUAACUUAUUGAAAACAUUAACCCAUGCACAUUUAGCUUUAAAAGUACAAAAUGUUUGAUUAAGAAUAUCAUCAACACAGGCUCCUAUUCACUAUAUUCUUUGAAUAGUAAACGGGGUGCGUUGAUGUUAUCAUAAAUUUGAUGGACAUCUGGAAACUGUAGUAAUCUAGAAAACAAUUGUGUCCAUAUAUAUAUCCACUACAGUUUUCCUCUUUUUUUGUGGCUUUUGCAGGAUAGAGUUCGUGAAAUGAUGAAGUUGGAACUCUCAAGCUUUCCACGUUUGAGAGAAAUGUGGCAUGCCCAAGCACUGCCUGUUCGCUUCUUCAACAAUUUAGUAAAGCUAGUGAUGGAUGACUUCACGAAUAUGACUACUGCUAUUCCAGCCAAUCUUCUACGGUGCUUGAACAAAUUAAAAAUUCUGGAAGUGAGGAAUUGUGCUUCAUUAGAAGAGGUGCUCCAUUUAGAAGAGCUAAAUGUUGAUGAACAUUUUGGCCCUCUGUUUCCUGUUCUUGACCAGCUAGAGCUCAUUAAACUUCCAAAACUCAAAAGAUUCUGCAGCUUCAUUGGGAACGUUAUUGAGCUGCCUGAGUUGUUGAAUCUGAACAUUGAGGAUUGCCCUAAUAUGGAAAUAUUCACUUGCAAUUCUAUAUCUAUGUUGCACAGGACAACAAAUAAAGAACCUCUGGAAAUAACACCAAAGGAGAACUUCCCGCUAGCUGACAUACAGCCUCUCUUUGAUGAAAAGGUGAUUGUUAUUAAGUUUUUUUUUUUUCCCUUUGCUUUCAUUCACGUAGAUGUAAUUCUCAUUAGAAUCAAAAUCAAUUUUGUUUAAUCAUCUUUCUGUUGUCUUUACUCUUUAUAUCUAAUUUAACGGUUCUAAUGCUCUUAUUAACUAAAUUUUCACUAUACACUUAUGAAAAUGUCAUCAAAUUAGUUAGAUGAUUGGUAACAAGGGGGAGAACUCCAUCCAUAUUGUCUCUAUUUAGAUCGGAUUUAUGUGUUUCGAGGGUAACUAUUUGAUUUUUAUUUUUUGCUUCCUCUGCAAAUAAAUAGAAUUUGGAUAUAAAAAGUUGUGAUCAAUCUUUUCCAUGAAACAUGCUUGUGAAGACUGCCGAUGUUAGAUAUAUAUUCUUAUCUACAACUUUUUUUUUUAUUUAAUUUUCAGGUUGCAUUCCCCAAGUUAUAUAAGUUAAAACUGACUAGAAUACCCAAGGUGUCGCAUCUAUGGAAGGAAAUUUCCGAAUCCAACAAAGUUUCCAUGGUUUUGAAUACUCUAGUAAUAUCAGAAUGUAGUGAGUUACGAAAAUUAGUACCAUCUUUGUUGCAUUUGGAAUAUCUGAUGACUCUAGAAGUGUCGAAGUGUCACCGGUUGACAAAUUUGUUGACGACCUCAACAACUAAAAGUUUGGUGAAUCUUGAAAUAAUGAAGAUAGCUGAUUGCAAAAUGAUAGAAGAAAUCCUACAAUCACAUGUUCAAGAAGAAGGGAAAGAUUGCAUUGUUUUUCGGAAAUUGAGGUACGUGGGACUUGAUUGUUUGCCAAGCCUAACAAAAGCUCAUGCCUUGUUGAUGGAUGCUGUAGAAGAAGGACUAUAUUGUUGUAGCAACAAGCCUGCAGAAAAUCACAGAAUACUUAUCUGUAUAUGAACAAAAACAAGUCUGAACCAGAGAGAAUGUUGUAGUAACUAUUGCAAAAAUCUAGAUCAAAUACAAACAAAACUGUCUAGAUUGUUCAUGUGCUAACUAAUAAAGUCUACUGCAGUCGAUACUGAACUACCACUAUCAUGUGCAGACAACAGAGUGGCAGGCAGCACAAAAGGGAAUGUGCUCCUAGGAUGCCAAAAAACACAAGUGUCCUAAUGCUUUUUAGUUGCCCAAAUCCCAAGAUAUAAAAGACCAUAUUUUAAGGAAAUACAUCAUCCACGACCGACACAUGCAAAGAGAACAGAAAGAGAGAUUUCAGAGUUGCAAUAGAGGCAUUUUUCGUGUUGAAAAAUGAGAGAUAAUAGAAGAUCAAAGCAUGACGUUUUGGGUCUUUUGUAUCUCAACGUUUUUUCUUGUAUUUGUUUAUUUUGUUCUCUCUCUGAUAAUGUAUUUAAUGGCAGACACUUGUGUUGUUACUGUUUCAAAGCUCAUCAUGAGCUAAACCUUAAUUUAGUUGGGUUUUGAAUAUGCUUAAUGGUUAUUUAAUUUACAUGUGUAUGUUGCUCAGAACCUGUUAUAGCAUUUUGUUUUAACUUUACUUAUUGUAAUUGCCUACCUCGGUUGACUACCUAUUUAGUGGAUAUUAGAUAAGAAGGAGCCUAAAAGGUUUGACUUAGUGGAAUAAAUUAAGAAAUACAUGGUUCUAGAUUAGGAUUCCCAAGUUGAGUUAAUCUCGAUUUGAAUAGGGCCAUGCUUAAUCUAAGAUUAGUGAAGAACUAGAUUUAGGGAUUCACCUUGUAGGGCAAAUAGAGUCUAAAACAUAAAAUGCUAUGUCUAAUGUUAGUUUAAUAACUAAUCACUAUUAGAUUACAUAUAGAUAUAAGAUAUCCAAAAAACGACAGUUGAAGACGCUAUAACAACUGUGUCUCAAUUGAAAGAUAUUCAAUAACCAAUAAGUGAGUUUAGAACCCGACUACCCUUUUGCCAUUUAGUAUAUUUUUUUGUUUGACUUUAGAUUCUCUUUAUUGCAUUCUAUUUGUUGCAUUGUUAAUUUCAUUAGAUCAUUAAUAUCAUCAUUUAUUUUCUUUUAUUUAGUUUAUUAAAAUUGCACUGUUAAGAUUGCUAUAGUAAGUCCUAUAACAUCAAUCCAUGUGGAGACGGUUUUGAUACUCAUCAUUAUAUUAUUUCUUGUGUACACUUGUAUAUUGACACUUUACCAAGUUUUUGGCGCCGUUGCUGGGGAUUGAGUGUAACACCCCAGUCUGAAAUCCAAGGGCAAAUAUGUCCAUAACUCACAUAUGAAUUUAAAUAACCCUUUACAAUCGAAAAAAAUUCAAACCUCCAAUAUAAUAGGCAGCGGAAUAAUUUGAAAAUUUUGUCAAACCAUCUAUCAUCCUCAAUUCAAGUCUACCUUCUCACUCAUUACGAAUCAUUCCUGACUUUUGGAAACUGAAUCACAAUAAACUAUAAUGAGUACAAAACUCAGUAAGCAAAUUAGUUUUCUUAUACUAAAAUACAUCCAUACUUAUACAUAAUGCAAAUGGAUGAUAUGUCAUGAUCUUUUGGAAAUACUAUAAAACAAAUUCAUAAAAGUCUCUUUCUGUCGCUUUCAAACUUUCUCAUUUUCUUUCAAUAAAAUACGUAUCCUACAAUGUGGCACUUUGUGCUGUGCGUGGCACUUUGCACCAUGCGUGGUACUUUGCGGCGCUCUGGCCCUCAAGAGGUGGCCCCCGCAUAGUCUCAAGAGGUGGCCCCCAAUGUAAAAUCUCAUAAAACAAAAAUUCUGUUUGCUAAAAUUCACUUGUUCAUUCAUAGAAAACUCAAUGCAUUUUCGUGCUCAUGCUAAUGAACCAUCACACAUACAUAUGCCCAUGUACAUAAUCAUGCCCAUUACAUAACAACACAUCACAUAAACACAUGAGCAGAGACAUAUAAAUCCAUAUUCGUACAUAUCAAAAUAGGUUUUUCAUACAAGUCAAACAUAUAUAUUAUUUAUUGUGAUUCGUUUUAAAGUCUAGUUUACUUACCUCUUGGUAUCCUCAUGCAACAAAUGCAUAUUGAUAUCAUCAACCUUAAAUCAUCAAUAAAUUUCUCAUAAGAUAUAAUCAAGUCUCAAUCAUAAACUCUAAUGUCCUGAAGUAUCUCAAUUUAAAUGUCCUCAAUAAUCGGCCCUCAAAACAUAACAGUCCAUAUUUCUCCGAUUUUUAAUAAACUAUUCUCUUAUUGGAAGAAUCUAAAAUUUUACCGACCAUAUGCUGACACAUUGAAAGUUCAUUGAUAAAUAUUUCGUAACAUAAUUCCUUCAAAAACUAUUGAAAAUAACUGACGUUUCAGACAUCAUCAAUACUGUCAAACAGUUUUCUAUUUUGAACACACUUGCUUUAAAAAUACAAAACAAUUUAUUGCUUUAUCAUAAAAUCAUGAACAUUUUUAGAAUCAUACUAUACAUAUAUAUAAAUCAUUGGUCCAAAUUUCGUAAUUGUUGAAGAAGUCUAGCUAUGGUAAAAAUAAUUUCGUAAUUUACGUUAUUCACUGAAAUCAUAAAUUUCCAGGUUUUCAGGCUUGAAUUUGAAAAAUCGUAAUUAAUUGAAAUCUUAUCUGAUUAACUUGAAACAAGUUUCAAAACAUUCUAAACGAUAUCUAGUUUAACAUACCCAAAAAUCAGAAUCAAAAUCAACUUGUACAAAUUACUAUGAUUUCCGUAAUAAUUCACUGUCAGCAUAUUUCUGCAAAAUCUUAGAUUUCUACUUCUAUUGCAAUAAUGCUUCUCCACAACAAUUUAAUAGAGACCAAUAAUUAAAACUUACCUCCAAAACUUCUCCCAACAAUAAAAACUUAAUUCCAUGUGUUGCCUAUGGCAGAACUAAGAAGAAGAAGAAGACUUCUUCUUUUUUUCUUUUCUUGAUUUUCUCUCUUGUCUCUCCAUCUCUCUCUCUCUCUCUCUCUCUCUCUUUUCUGUCGUUUUUUUUUUGCAACCGAUCCCUCUUUUCCUCUCUCUCUUAUAAUAAAAAAGACAUCUUGUUCUAUUUAUACUAGGGCAAAAAAGGAUCACUAAAAAUUAAAAAGAGUUAAAUACCCUUAGGAGAUUUGGAAUAUUACAUUGAGUGCAUAUUGUGAGUUUUUAAGUUAAUUUUUUUUCUUUUAAUUUGUUUGUUGUGUUAACAUAAUGCUUUAGCAACCCUUGCAUGCUCAAGUAUAAACCUGUUGAAUUUUAGUUUGAUCCAAAAAUUGAAAGAACUGCAAGGAGGCUAAGAAAAGAGCAUAGAGGUUUAGGAUCUGUUGCAGACAUGGAUGGUUUGUAAAAUGUGGGAGAUUUGAAUCCCCAAGGAGGAAUGAAUCCAAUUAAUGUUCAAAGAGAUAAUCCUCUUCCCAUUUUAGAUCUAGUUAAUGCACAAAGAGUUCAAGAAUGUCAGUACGGGUAGAUUGGUCAAGGGCAACUAGAGAAUAACAACAUUUUCUGCAUGACAGUUGAUAAAGAAAAUGUUGUUAGGGACUAUAUAGUGUUAACCCCUCAAACUAUAAAUCCUGGAAUAGUCAAACCCAAAGUUCAGGCUGCUCAUUUUGAGCUCAAACCAGUAAUGUUUCAGAUGUUACAGAAAGUAGGAUAGUUCAAUAGACUACCAUCAGAAGAUCUUCAUCUUCACCUUAAACUAUUUUUGAGGUGAGUGAUGCUUUCAAGAUUGCUGGAGCAUCACAUGAGGCAUUGAGGCUAAUACUCUUAAUUUUCUUUGAAGGAUCGAGUAAGAGAAUAGUUGAACUCUUUACUACAUGAUUCAAUCUCUACAUGGAAUACCUUAGCUGACAAAUUUUUGAUAAAGUAACCUACCAAGAAUGCAAAGUUGAGGAUGAGAUCACAUUUUUCCAUUAACUUAACGAUGAAAGCUUCUAUGAUGCUUGAGAAAGAUUCAAGGAGUUGUUUAGGAAAUAUUCUCAUGAUGGUAUCCCUUGUUGUAUACAGUUGAAAACUUUCUAUAAUUGUCUAAAUUCAAGCACUAGAUUGAUGGUAAACACUUCAGGAAGUGGGGCCUUGUUAUCUAAGUCUUACAAUGAGGCUUAUGAUAUUUUGAAAAGGAUAGCCAAUAACAACUAUUAGUGGCCAUCUACCAAACAAACUACAAUAAGAAGAAUAAUAGGAGUUUACAGUGCAGAUGCCUUGAUAGCAUUAUCAGCCUAAGUAACCUUAUUGAUAAAUAUGGUAAAGGAUAUAUCCACUGUUCCAGCAACUAUCAACAAAGUUGUUAAGGCAUCAUGUAUUUAUUGUGGAGAAGGAAAUUUAUUUGAUAGUUUUCUUAGAAAUCAUGCCUCAGUCAACUAUAUGGGCAAUUAUAACAGACAGAACCACAUCAACCCUUAUUCAAACACUUACAACCCUGGAUGGAGGCAGCACCCAAACUUUUCAUGGAGCAAUCAGAAUCAGAAUCAAUAUGUUGUAGAAUCUAGUGGACAAAAUAGACUUGCUCAACCAUUUAGAUUUCAUCAGCAAAAUCAAGGGCGAAGAGACACCAACAAUGAUCAACCCAACUCCCUUGAAGCCUUAAUUAAGGAGUACAUUGUGAAGAAUGAAACAUUUAUCUAAAGUCAAGCUAUUUCCUUAAGAGACCUAGAAAAUCAGAUGGGACAAGUUACUAUAGUAUUAGGUAACAGACCUCAAGAUAAUUUACCAGGCAAUACAGAGGACCCAAGAAGAGAAUGGAAAGAGCAUUGCAAAGUAAUUAACUUAAGAUCUAGAAAGGAUGUUCACAUUCUAGUUGGUGUACUAAAAAAAAGAGUUGAGCCCACUUCAAUCUAAGAAAAAACUCAAGUUGAAGAAGAUCCAUAACCCUCUACUUCACAGUACACAGGUGAAAACAGCAAAGCACACCAAUCCAAUACUUUACAAAAAAUGAUUAUCGAAUACCUAUUGAUGAAGAUCUUGCACACUAACCACACCAAUCCAGAACAUGGCAAAAGUGAAGCAGUUUGCACAACCUUCUACAACUCAGCCGUUUAGGCACCCACCACCCUUUUCUUAAAGGUUCAAGUGACAGAAACAUGACAAGCAGUUCAGUAAAUUCUUUGAAGUGUUGAAGCAAUUGUAUAUCAACAUCCUUUUUAUGGAAGGUCUAGAGCAAAUGCCAAAUUAUGUGAAGUUCUUGAAGGAUAUUUUGACAAAGAAAAAAAGGCUAGAAGAACUUGAAAUAGUUUCUCUAACACAAAAGUACAACCACAUGCAUCAGAAUAAGAUACCUCAGAAAUUGAAGGAUUCAGAAAGCUUCACAAUUUCAUGCUCUAUAGGCAAUAAAUACAGUGACAAGACACUUUGUGAUUUAGGAGCCAGCAUUAAUCUCGUGUCCUUAUCUAUAUUUAAGCAAUUGGGUGUUGGAAAGGUCAGACCAAUAAUAGUUACCUUACUACUUGCUGAUAGAUCUCAUGCCUAUCUAGAUUGAAGAUGUACUGGUGAAAGUAGAUGAGUUUAUUUUUGCAGUUGACUUCAUAGUAUUGGAUUUUGAAGCAGAUAAAGAAGUGUUUAUCAUUUUAGGUAGACCUUUCUUGUCUGCUGGUAAGACUCUAAUUAAUGUGUAAAAAGGAGAACCAACCGUGAGGGUUAAUGAUCAGUAAGUUACAUUCAAUGUGCUAAAUGCCAUGAAGAGUCCUGAUGAUGUUGAAGAUUGUAAUUUUGUUAAUGUUGUGGAUUUUACUAUAGUAGAAAGAUUAAACAGUUGCUGCAGCAGAAAGAUUAAACAGUUGCUGCAGCAAAGAAGAAAUCAAGGUUGCAAGAUUUAAAGAACUUGAUGAUAAACCUCAAGGCCUUGAAACAACUGACAUAACAUGGCUAGAAGAAAAACAACCCUUCAAAACUGAGAAGCAAAUUAAAUAUCUUGACCUUCAAAUAGGGAUAUAAAAUAUUCUAUUUCUUUUAUUAAGUCCUCAUAUUUUAGAAUUAAAACUUUUACCUUUACACUUGAAAUAUGCUUAUCUUAGUGACCGUGAUCAACGUCAUGUAAUCAUUUCAUCAUCUUUGAAUGCAGAACAAGAAAAUAGCUUAGUUUUUGUAUUAGGGAAACAGAAGAAGGCCAUUUGAUGGACCAUGACAGAUAUCAAAGGAAUCAGCCUCUCAAUAUGCAUGCACAAGAUUCUACUGGAGGAUAGUUAUGGCAAUUCUCUAAGCAAUUGAAAAGAUUAAAUCCUAUCAUGAAGGAAGUUGUAAAGAAAGAGAUCAUCAAAUGGCUUGAUGUUGGAAUCAUCCACCUAAUAUCAAACACCUCAUGAGUGAGCCCAAUACAAUAUGUUCCAAAGAAAAUUGGAGUGACAGUUGCAGAAAAUAAAAAGAACGAGUUUAUUCUUAUAAGAACUGUAAAUGGAUGAAGAGUCUGUAUAGACUACAUAAAGCUAAAUAAGACCACAAGGAAGGAUCGCUUUCCACUGCCUUUCAUAGAUCAGAUACUGGAUAGACUCGCUAGAAAGGAGUAUUAUUAUUUCUUAGAUGGAUACUCAGGAUACAACCAUAUUGACGUAGCACUAGAAGACCAGGAGAAGACAAAAUUCAUUUUUCCUUAUGGAACCUUUGCCUUUAGAAAGAUGCCAUUUGGCAUGUGCAAUGCUUCACCAACUUUCCAAAUGUGUAUAAUGUCCAUCGUUUCAGAUAUGAUUGAGCAAAUACUUGAGGUAUUUAUGAAUGAUUUGUUUCAGUUUUUGGGGAAUCAUAUGAUGACUAUUUGUAUAAUUUAAAAAAUAGACUUAGAAGAUGUAAAGAGACAAACUUAGUAUUGAAUUCGGAAAAAUGUCAUUUCAUUGUACAAGACGAGGAUAGUCCUAGGCUAUAAACUCUCUAAAAAAAUGAUAGAAGUGGAUAAGGUAAAAAUAGAGGUGAUUAAUAAACGUCUAUUAUCCACUUCAGUUAAAGGCAUAAGGAGUUUCUUGAGGCAUGCUGGAUUUUAUAGAAGGUUUAUUAAGGAUUUCUCCAAAAUAUCAAAACCUUUAUACAUGUUGUUGGAGUGUAACAAACCUUUUAAUUUUGAUGAUGAUUGCUUGAAGGCCUUCGUUGAGUUAAAGAGAGCUUUUGUUACAACACAAGUUGUUGUAACACCUAAUUAGAGUAUGCCUUUUGAGUUGAUGUGUGAUGCUAAUGAUCAUUCGGUUGGAGCAGUGUUAGGGCAAAGAAAAGGCAAGACUUUCCAUUCCAUUUAUUAUGCCAGUAUGACUCUAGCUAAUGCAAAUUCAACUAUACCACAACUGAAAAUGAGAUGCUGACAAUUGUAUUUGUAUUUGAUAAAUUUAGAGCCUAUUUGGUUGGCAGCAAAGUGACUGUUUACAUAGAUCACUCAGCCAUAAAAUAUUUGACUCCAAAGAAAGAUGUCAAACUAAGGCUAAUCAAGUGGAUUCUCUUCCUACAAGAGUUUGACUUAUAGAUCAAGGAUAGAAAAUGAACGGAGAAUUAAGUAGCAAAAUAUCUUUCAAGGCUUGAAGUAGAUGCAAGCACUUUGACCAAGCAGGAUAUCAUAGAAAUAUUUCCUUAUGAGCAAUUGUUCAUAUUGCAGCAUGCACAGAUGCUGCAGUAAUCUGAAUUUCCAUGGUUCACGGAUUUUGUUAAUUUUCUAGAAAGUGGAUUGCCACCACCUAACUUGAGCUACCAGCAAAAGAAGAUAUUAAUUUAUCCAUGAUGUCAGAAGCUAUUAGUGGGAUGAGCCCUACUUGUACAAGAUGUGUUUGUUAACAUAUAUGUUUCCAUAAUAUUGAUUUUGAUGAUAACAAACAAGAUUAAGAAUGAUUAAUCUUUUAAGCUCAAAUUAUUUUUAUACUUUUUAAAUAAAUCAUUAUUUUUACAUUAUAAAAGUUUUAUAUUUAAUGGAAAAAUGAUUUUAUGAAAUUGAUUGUUUUUAUUCUUUUUAAAUAAAUCAUUAUUUUCACAUUAUAAAUGUUUCAUAUUUAAUGGAAAAAAGAUUUUAUGAAAUUGGUUGUUUUUCAAAGUUUAUGGUUUAAUUGAAAGAAUUUUGAAAACUUUGAAAUAAACAAGUAUUGCUUGAAAUUUUGGAGAAGGACUUAUUUGAAAAGUGUCAUAGCUUUUUGGGCUAUAUCAUAAUUUCAAAAAGUUUUGGGAUUAACAAAGCAUUACUUAGAAAUUCUGAAAUUGGACCUAUUUGCAAAGUUUCAUGACGUUUUGGGCCAUAGUAUAGUUUUAUAAAGUUUUGGGGUCAAACCAUAAUUUCAGAAAAUAGUGCACUGUGAAGGUUACUGUAGCAUCCGGCUUAUCGGAUAUAAAAACCAAAAAACUGGAUACGGGGCAGAAUGUAUCCAGAACGUAAACGGCUUACCGGAUUUCGUAACCGGCAAGCCGGAUAGGCAAAAUUCAAAUUUUUGCCUUAAUGGUAACAUAAAUCCGGCUUACCGGAUUCCAAAAACGGCAAACCCGAUACGUCCAGAAUGUGCAUAACGGCUAGUUUUUGAGUUCAAACUAUAUAAACUCAAAACCAAUUCAUUUUUCGUAAUCCAAGCAAGCAAGAACAAGUGCACACAACAUAUAUUAAGCUUCAAUUUCGUAACUCAUCAUUUAUUAAAUCAUCUUUGUUCUUCAAUUUGUAUAUCCACUCUUAAAGAGAGAUUCAUUGUUGUAUUUUUCAUUUCUCAUUAAAUUGUGAGUGUACAAGUGUGAGAAACACUUGGAGUGAAGAGAUUGGAGAGAUAAUCUCUUGUUGUAAAGGUUCAUUGACACCUUAAAGUCAAUUGUAAACGUUUGAAGCCUUGGAAAGGCUUGGAUAGUGAAAUCCUCAAGCCCGGUGUGCUUGGAGGCGUGGACGUAGGCGGGGAUUGCCGAACUACGUAAAAAUCCUUGAGUUUGCUUUCUCUUCCCUUGCUCAUUUAUUAUUGUGCUUUCAUUGAAUUUAUUGUUUUCGAAUUUAUUAAGGAAUUAGAUUGGAUUUGUGUGUGGUUUGCUUAGCUUAAUUUUUAAAAAUCCAAUUCACCCCCCCUCUUGGAUUGCCUAGUUAGUAUUUCAUUUGGUAUUAGAGCGAGGUGCUCUUGUGUAAACUUAACCGUCUAGAGUUAAAGAUCCAUGGAAACCCAUAAUGACUCAAUCUUUAGGGAAGGACAAUCCACAAUUAGACCACCGUUCUUUGACGGUAAUGACUACCCAUAUUGGAAAACUAGGAUGAGAAUUUAUUUACAAGCUUUAGAUUAUGAAAUUUGGGAAAUUGUUUGUGAUGGUCCAUUUAUGCCUUUGACUAAAAAUGAAGUCGGGGACGAUAUUCCAAAACCUUCACAGGAAUGGAAUGAAUUGGAAAAGAAAAAAUCUACUCUAAAUUCCAAAGGUAUGAAUGCCUUGUUUUGUGCACUAGAUAAGAAAGAAUUUCAUAGAGUUUCUAGUUGUGAGAGUGCUAAUGAAAUUUGGCACAAACUUGAAGUUGUUUAUAAAGGCACAAAUCAAGUGAAAAGAGUCUAAAAUUAGUAGGUACACUCGGCAAUAUGAAUUAUUCCAAAUGGAACAAAAUGAGAGUGUGUAUUCUAUGUAUACUAGAUUUACGGACAUAGUGAACACUCUAGGAGCCCUAGGAAAGACUUUUUCAAAUAGCGAUAAGGUUACGAAAACUAUUAGGUCGCUACCUAAGGAAUGGAGACCAAAAAGGACUGCUAUUGAGGAAGCUAAGGAUUUAAAUAUCUUACCUAUUGAUGAUUUAAUUAGUUCUCUUAUUUCUUAUGAGGAAGACUUGGCAGCCGAAAGAGGCAAUAAGGAGAAGAAGAAAAACAUUGCUCUCAAAGCCUCGAAACAAGAGAGUGAUGAGGAAAGCGAGCUGGAUGAGGAGGAGAUGAAUAUGUUGGCUAGGAGGUUCAGAAAACUCUUUAAGAAAUCCGGUGAGCGAAGAAAAUUUAAAGACCUCAAGAACUGAAAGGAGAAGAAGGAAUUAAUCAAAUGUUAUGAGUGCAAGAAGCUUGGCCAUAUAAGAACGGAAUGUCCUCUUCUCAACAAGCUCAAGAAGAAAGCAAUGGUUGCCACAUGGGAUGAUAGCGAUGAGGAAACAAGUGAUGAUGAAGAGAAUCAAGAAAUGACAAAUCUAGCUCUCAUGGCAAUUGGAGAUGAAUCGGAUGAUGAACUUGAUGAGGUAAAUGAUCUUUUUACUUAUGAUGAAUUAUAUGAUGCUUUUAAAGAAUUGCAUGAUAAUUGGAUAAAAAUUGGUAAAAAGAAUGCAUGUCUUAAAAAGAAAAUGGUAGAGCUCAAAAAUGAAAAUGAAUCUCUAUGUGCAAAGAUUACAUGCCUAGAAUUAGAGAAUAAAACAUUGCAUGAUAGAGUUGCAUUAUUUGAGAAUUCUAGCACUUUACAUGAGCACUUAGAGUCACACAUGAAUGACUUGAAAAAUGAGAAUGAAAUGCUUAGAAAGAAGAGCAAUGAGUUAAAUGAGAUUGUUUUAAAAUUUACAGAUGGACAAAAGAUGUUGGAUAACUUGAUUAAUUCUCAAAAAUGUGUGUUUGAUAAAGGAGGUAUUGGUUAUAAGCCAAAUUUGAAACAAAAAUAUUAUAAAAGUUAUUUUGUUAAAACUACCUCCAUUAAUAAUCAAAUUGUAUGUCAUUAUUGCAAUCAAAAUGGUCAUAUGAAGAAUAGAUGUCCAAUUAAAAGAAAUGUGUAUUAUGGAGUAAAAUGUGUUUGGGUUCCAAAAGGAACCAUUGCUAACACUCAAGGACCCAAGAGCAUUUGGGUACCAAAGGGCACAACUUGAAUAUUCUUUUGUAUGUACCACAAACAAGGAAUGGUGGAGAGUUCCUUGAUGAAGCUUGUGAGGAUAAUCAUUUGAGCAUGAUCUAGGAGAAAAAGAUGAGGCAAGAUGAUUUAAUUGUUUUGGUAAUAAUUCUUGCCAUAUUAAUUUUGUUGAAUGGAUCAUGAUAAAUGGAUAAUAGCUUGAAUUUGUGAAAGUAUACUUGUAUGUUUACAUGAUAGAAUUAUCAUUGUGUUUAACAUUGAGUGCUUUAUCAUAAUGCAUGGUUAUAUAUAUAAGAUGAUAGCUUGUCAACUCAUCAUGAUAGCUUUGUUUGAUUUUGAUGAUUAUGUAAUGCCUAAGCUUGAUAAAUGAAUGAUAUGCUUGAAUUAUUAAUCUUUGAAUGCUUAUAUGUUUCAUGAUUGUGUAAAAUAUAUACAUGAUGAAUGAAUUAUAUGUGUAAAUUCUUGUGUCGUUAAUUGUGUUAUAUCAUCAUUCACUUAUAAAAUUGACAUCAUUGGUUGAUAUGAUUUCAUAUGUUUGGUCUUGUAUGCAUUUAUGUCUCAUGUAUUAAAUGACUUAUUGAAAAGUUUUAAAUCUCGAAAUGAUUUAAAAUUAAUCAAUUUUUAAAGCCAAAAAUAAAAUGGUGAGUGUAAUACAAGUAUAAGAGCUAGCCAAUAUUCAAUUAGAGCCAAAUAGAUUUCCAAGUCCAAACCGGUAAGCCAAAUCAUCUUUUGUUGCUCUCGGGUUAUCAUUCGGAUAACCGGAUUUUCAAUCCGGAAAACCGGAUUUGCUAAGCCUUCUCUCUGCCUCAAAACCGGAUAACCGGUUCUUAAAAUCCGGAAAACCGAAUUCAAGAGGAAACUUUUUGCCUCAAACCGGACUACCGGUUAGCAAAACCGGAAAGCCGGAUUCGCUUGAAAAGCUUACUGGAACAAAACCGGAUUUCCGGUUAUGCAUAUCCGGCACGUCGGUUUCGGGUUUCAUCUUUCUGCUCACAACCGGCUAGCCGGUUAGUGAAAUCCGGCAAGCCGGAUUCGUGAGCUUUUAGCUUUGUUCUUCCUCUUCCUCUCAUUCGGCUUUCCGUUUCUCUCUCUCUCACUAAAAGCUGAUUACUCCUCACUUGAUUUCAUUCCAAAAUCCAUCAAUCUCAUCCUUUUUCACUUCAAAUCCUUUAUGCUUGUAUUUGAACACACCAACAUUUACUAUUUUUUUUGGAUUAUAUGGAUGUUUGCUAUGAUUUUGGAUUAUAUGUCUAUUUUGAAUUAUAUGGAUUUGAUAUAGUUAUAUGUUAUGUUCUUUACUUAUGUUUUGGAUAAUAUGCAUUUUGAAUUUUUUUGUUGUCCAAAGGGGGAGACAAAAUAGUAUAUCAUUUCGAUGUUAUCAAAAGGAGGAGAAUAAUAUGCUUUUUGAGUAAUUGUUUUGAUAAUUGGUAUUUGAUUAUGAUGAUGAUUUUGAUGAAUUUGAGAUAAUGAUGAUUUGAUUACAUGGGUGUUUUAUAUGAUAAUUUCAUGUUAUGAGUUGUUGAUUUGGUAAUUAAUGGAAUAAUGGUUCAUGAUAUUUUAGUGUGAUUAUUUGUGUAUGGAGUUGGCUUUUAUCAUGAUUUAUAAUAAUUUGGAUGUGAUAUUACUAAUCUUGUAUUUGAGGUGAUGCUUGUUGUUAGGGAGAGAUUUUGUUGAAAUUUCUAUUCGGACAACAUUGGUAACAAAUUUGCUACUCUUAUUCUUUUCCUUUAAGUUUUAUUUUUGAUGAUGAAGGGGGAGAAGAAUACAUGUUUUUAAAUUUAUAAAAAUUUACUACUCUUUUUUCUUUGCCAAUUAAGUUUUCUUUUUGAUGAUGAAGGGGGAGAAAAAUCCAUGUAUUUAAAUCGUUAAUUUAGCUAAUUGGCAAAUUGUAAAAGAGGAUUAUAUUUAGGGGGAGCAAUUGUGGAAUCAUUCUUUAAAUACAUGAAAUGUUUGUCAUCAUCAAAAAGGGGGAGAUUGUUAACAUAUAUGUUAACAUAAUAUUGAUUUUGAUGAUAACAAACAAGAUUAAGAAUGAUUAAUCUUUUAAACUCAAAUUAUUUUUUAUACAUUUUAAAUAAAUCAUUAUUUUUACAUUAUAAAUGUUUUAUAUUUAAUGAAAAAAUGAUUUUGUAAAAAAUGAUUGUUUAAAUACAUGAAAUGUUUGUCAUCAUCAAAAAGGGGGAGAUUGUUAACAUAUAUGUUUCCAUAAUAUUGAUUUUGAUGAUAACAAACAAGAUUAAUAAUGAUUAAUCUUUUAAGCUCAAAUUAUUUUUAUACUUUUUAAAUAAAUCAUUAUUUUUACAUUAUAAAGGUUUUAUAUUUAAUGGAAAAAUGAUUUUAUGAAAUUGAUUGUUUUUAUUCUUUUUAAAUAAAUCAUUAUUUUCACAUUAUAAAUGUUUCAUAUUUAAUGGAAAAAUGAUUUUAUGAAAUUCGUUGUUUUUCAAAGUUUAUGGUUUAAUUGAAAGAAUUUUGAAAACUUUGAAAUAAACAAGUAUUGCUUGAAAUUUUAGAGGACUUAUUUGAAAAGUGUCAUAGCUAUUUGGGCUAUAUCAUAAUUUCAGAAAGUUUUGGGAUUAACAAAGCAUUACUUAGAAAUUCUAAAAUUGGACCUAUUUGUAAAGUUUCAUGACGUUUUGGGCCAUAGUAUAGUUUUAUAAAGUUUUAGGGUCAAACUAUAAUUUCAGAAAAUAGUGCACUGUGCAGGUGACUGUAGCAUCCGGCUUACCGGAUAUAAAAACCAGAAAACUGAAUAUGGGGCAGAAUGUAUCUAGAACGUAAACGGCUUACCAGAUUUCGUAACCGGCAAGCCGGAUAGGCAAAAUUCAAAUUUUUUCCUAACGGUAACAUAAAUCCGGCUUACCGGAUUCCAAAAACGGCAAACCCGAUACGCCCAGAAUGUGCAUAACGGCUAGUUUUUGAGUUGCAUAACGGCUAAUUUUUGAGUUCAAACUAUAUAAACUCAAAACCAAAUCAUUUUUAGUAAUCAAAGCAAGCAAGAACAAGUGCACACAACAUAUAUUGAGCUUCAAUUUCGUAACUCAUCAUUUAUUAAAUCAUCUUUGUUCUUCAAUUUGUAUAUCCACUCUUAAAGAGAGAUUCAUUGUUGUAUUUUUCAUUUCUCAUCAAAUUGUGAGUGUACAAGUGUGAGAAACACUUGGAGUGAAGAGAUUGGAGAGAUAAUCUCUUGUUGUAAAGGUUCAUUGACACCUUGAAGUCAAUUGUAAACGUUUGAAGCCUUGGAAAGGCUUGGAUAGUGAAAUCCUCAAGCCUGGUGUGCUUGGAGGCGUGGAUGUAGGCGGGGAUUGCCGAACCACGUAAAAAUCCUUGAGUUUGCUUUCUCUUCCCUUGCUAAUUUAUUAUUGUGCUUUCAUUGAAUUUAUUGUUUUCGAAUUUAUUAAGGAAUUAGAUUGGAUUUGUGUAUGGUUUGCUUAGCUUAAUUUUUAAAAAUCCAAUUCACCCCCCCCCCUCUUGGAUUGCCUAGUUAGUAUUUCAGUGUUCAGACUAGAUAAUUAGAAGAUAUGUCCCUGACGAAGAGAUUUCAAGCAUUUUAUAGUCUUAUCUUGCUGCAGUAUAUGGUAGACACUUUGGAGGACACUAAAUAGCAGUAAAAGUUUUUCAAUCAGGUUAUUACUAGCCCUCCAGCUUUAGAGAUGCUUACAAGUUUGUUAGUGCUGUGAUAGUUGUCAAAGAGCAUGAACCAUUUCUAAAAAACAUGAAAUGCCACUGACCAAUAUUUUAAAAGUUGAGCUUUUUGAUAUAUAAGGGAUAGACUUUAUGAAGUCGUUCUCACAAUCUUUUAGAAACUUAUAUAUCUUAGUUGUUGUGGACUAUAUGUUGAAAUGGGUAGAAGCUACAGCAUUGCCAACAAAUGAUGCCAAGGCAAUGGCAAAUCCUUUAUAGGAAUAUUUUCACAAGAUUUGACACCCCAGAGUUGUCAUCAGUGAUGAAAGAAGCCAUUUUUGCAACAGGAUAUUUGCUGUAGCAUUGGCUAAGUAUAAGAUCAAGCUUAAAGUUGCUACAUCAUAUCAUCCACAAACGAGUAGUCAGGUAACAUUGUCCAAUAGGGAGAUCAAAAAGAUUUUAGAAAAAGAAGCGAAUCUUAGUAGAAGGGAUUGGUUUACUAGACUAAAUGAUUCUCUAUGGGGUUACAGAACUACUUACAAGACAUCACUUGGCAUGUCUCCAUACAAACUUGUUUAUGGCAAAGCUUGCUAUUUGUUGUUAGAACUGGAGCAUAAAGUAUAUUAGGCAGUUAAACAACUGAACAUGGGUAUGCAUGCUGUAACAGAGCAAAGGAGGCUACAACUUUUUGAGCUAGAUGAGUUGAGGUUAUUCUUCUAUGAAAAGGCAAGAAUCUAUAAGGAGAGAACCAAGCAAUGGUAUGACAAGAAAAUCCAGUAAAGAGAACUCAUUACAGGCCAACAAUUAUUGCUUUACAACUCUAGACUGAAGCUUUUCCAUGAAAAUUUAAAGUCUAGAUGGUUAGGAUGCUUCAAACUCGUCAAGGUUUAUCUUUAUGGAGUUGUUAAUCUUAAAGAUGAAAGAACUGGUUAAGAAUUCAAGGUUAAUGGGCAUAGAGUGAAGCAUUAUAUGGGAGCUAAGGUGAACAACCUAAACGAGGAUCCGGUUUGAGUAAACAAGGAAGGUGAGAAUGAAGAACCUAAAACCAAGUGCUAAUUAGAAGGGAACUAAAUGAGGGGAAGUUUAUUUUGAAUUUUUAAUCACUUUAAUUUCACUUUUGUUGUUAUUAAGUUUAUUUCUCUAUUUUGUUUUAAUUUAUGCGACUAAUUUCUAUGUUUUUUUUGUCCUUCUCCCUCUCUUUUUGAAUGUUUAAAAUUUUUAAAAUCUUUAAAUUAAUUUUAUCUCUUUCUCUCUCUAUUAUCUUUCUUUAUAAAUUUAAGCUUUUCACUGUUUCACUUUUCACUACCAAUCUCUCUUCCUCUACUGUAAUUUUUAAAAUUAUGCUCUCUAUUUCUCUCUCUCUCUCUCUCUCUCUCUCUCUCUCUCUCUCUCUCUCUCUCUUACACACACUCAAAGUCCCAAUCUCUCAUUCUAACGAAACUCCUUUAAGUGUUGCAGCAAUACUGAGAGUCAAGGCACCUACUAAAAGGUUGAAGGACUAAAAAAGAUUCCAAAAUCACAAAGUUGAAGAGAAGUAUAAUAAGUCCAUAAGAUCUCGUAUAAUUUUAGAAGAGAAUGGUUUUGAAAUUUGUUGAACAACCCACUGGCCUUAUCAGCAUCAUUCUCAUAACUGCUAUAAAAAGGGGGUGGAUCAAAUGAUCCAAGUUGUAAAGGAAUUUUAUUCUAACUUGCUGGAGCAAAUCCAAAUUCCUUAAGACUCUAGGGUGAUAAAUGUCUUUUAUGGUUUGCCCCUACUAUUAAUUGUGAAUACGCUGAAUUUAUUAAGAGCAUAACUAUUAAGAAAUAGAGGGAGAUGUUUAAAGCAUUAAUUGUGGAAGGAAGUGAGUAGGUUAAUGAAGAAGCUGGGAUUGUUAAUAGGAUUGGCCUUAAAUUGAUUAUAAAGGUUUGGGUGAACUUUAUAAAGUCUAGGCUUAUGCCCACCACGGCACACCACAACAAUGUCAAUGCUAGAGUGAAAGGAUGGACAAUUGAUGUUGGGAAAGUGAUUGAGCAAGAAAUUAGAGACUGUGCUACAAAAAAAAAAAAAAAAUCAGCUGUCUUUUUAUUCCCCUCACUCAUCAUUGGGAUUUAUGAGGCCUUUGGUGUCAAAAUUUGUUGACAAUGAUGAGAGGGUUAAAAAUGAAAUGGCCCUCACAGUAAGAAGAAUAGAGAAGAUUGUAGGAGAAUCAACUGGUACAACAACCCAAAGCAUCCAGUUGUAAGAAAAUUAAUAAAAGCCACUACAUUUGGGAAGAUUCUGAAAGAUUUGAGUGACAACUUAAAUGCAUGGAGAGAAGAUCCAAAAGAGUUAAAUCAGAGGCUUUAGGCUUACUUGCUGCAUCAAGAAGCUCAAAAACACCAGUUUGUAGUUUAUAUACAGAGCAAGAAUGUAAACUUCCCAGAGUCUCUAUUGUAGCAGUACAAUUUCCACAAAGCAACAGAGACUGUUCCAGCAAAUGAUGAAAAGGAUGAAAGUGAAAAAGAGGAAAAAGAUGAAAAAGGAGAAAAAAGUGAAAAAGAUGAAGAUGAAGAAGAGACUGAUGAGAAGUAGGAAGAGGAGCUACCAGCAAUAACUCCUAAAAGCUAUGGCAAACAGAAGAUCUUGCUUGAUGAAAAUCAAAAUGAUAAUGAUGCGGCCAUUUAAGAGACCAUUAACAAGUCUGCAAUGACAGAAGGAGAAAAGAAAAGGUUAAAGGAGCUCAAUGUCUACAUAACUGCUAAGGAACUUGCAACAACACCUCGUUCAGCAUUAGCAACAAAGAAGUCUCCCAAGAAAUCUCUAGUCAAAAUUCCCACAAUCUCCAAUAAAAGAAAAAGAGCACAAAUCACUAAAGUAGAGAUAGUUUAUGGAUAAGGGUUGAAAUUCUAUCAUAACACUUAGAUUUGGAUUAAGUUUAAUGAAUAUGUUGUAGCAAACCAAGCUGGGUAGUUUAGAAAAAUUUUCAAGAAUCUAAGGAUAAAAAUAGCUCUAGUUUGGGGGAAAUUAGGAAAAUUUUCAAAGUUAUUGCAAAUUGUACUGGAAGUAGAAUAAUUUUUUCUUCAAUGACUUAGUUGCUGAGUAACCAGGGCUGUGUUUGUAACCCAUAUCCAAACUUGAGUAAAAAGACAGUAAGAGUUAUGAGCAUUGCUGUAGCAACCCAAAAAGAAGAAAAAUCCUCUAUUUAGGAAUCUGAAUAGCUAGGUCUGUUCAUGAACCUCAUAUUCAGCCUUGAGUUAAAGAUAUAUAAAGAUAAGACCAUGGUUGUAGCAUCUUAGAUGCUUUUGUUGUAGCAGCUCUGAUUUGUGUAUUGAUUAAGUAAUUGGGUUCCAUCAUUACAAGUGAUAGGCAUUCGCAUAAAAAGAUUGAUUUUACUCUGAUGGGCCUCAUAAUAAAAAAAAAUUGAUGAAUGUUGUAGCACAAUUUGUAGUUCUUUAUGACCCUUGUCCCUUAUAAAUAAAAAUGUUUUUAUUGUUGUUAUGUUUGAGAUGCAUUUGAUGCUUGAGUGAUUCUGAAGCAACUCUGAAACUUGAUCAAAGUGACACAGACACACACACUGGAUAGAAUGAAGCCUAAGUCUAGAACUAGAACUGUUGAUGGUAAUGUUUAAGAAUGAAGUCUGAGGGUUAAUGAAUUAGAGUAAUCUAAAUAGCAGAGCUAAGUAUCCUCAUGCUUUUUGGUCCUUAAUCCCAAGAUAUAAAAGAGCACAUUUUAAAUAAAUGCAUCAUCCAUGACCGUCACAUGCAAAGAGAAUAAAAAGAGAGAUUUCGGAGUUGUAAUAGAGGUAUUUUUCGUGUAGAAGAAAAAGAGAUGACUAAAGAUUAAAGCGUGACAUUUUCAGUCCUUAGUAUUUUAACUUUUCUUUUAUUUGCUUGCUUUGUUCUUUCUUUGAUAAUUUAUUUAAUGGUAAACACUUGUGUUGUUACUAUUUCAAAGCUCAUCAUGAGCUAAACCUUAAUUUAGUAGUUAUUUAAUUUACAUGUUUAUGUUGCUUAGAAUCUGCUGUAGUAAUUUGUUUUAACUUUACUUAUUGUAAUUCCAUAUUUCACGUUGACUAUGCAUUUAUUAGAUACUAGCUAAGAAGGAGCCCCAAAAUAACUUGACUUAGUGGAACAAAUUACGACAAUACAUGGUUUUCGAUUGAGUUUUCCAAGUUGAGUUAAUCUCGAUUUGAAUAGAGUCAUGCUUGAUUUAAAAUUAUGAAGAACUAGAUAUAAGGAUUCAUCGUAUACAACAAUAGAGUCUAAAAUGUAUAAUGCAAUGUCUAAUGUUAAUUUACCAAAUAGUCACUGUUAGAUUGCAUAUAGAUAUAAGAUAUCCAAAAUGCGACCGCUGAGGAUACAUUAUAGAUUCUGUCCAAUUGUGUAGUAGAUGUUGUAGCAACUGUGCCUCAAUUAAAAGAUAAUCAAUAACCAAUAAGUGAGUUUAGAUCCCAACUACCCCUUUGCCAUUGAGUAUAUCUUUGUGUUUGACUUUAGAUUCUCUUUAUUGCAUUUUGUUUAUUGCUUUAUUAGUUUCGUUAGAUCAUUAAUUUCAUCAUUAAUUUUUUUAUUUAAUGUAGUAAAAUUACACUGUUAAAUUUACUAUAGCAAGUAAUAUAACAUUAAUCUCUAUGGAGACGAUCUUGAUACUCAUUAAUGUGCUCCAAAGUUUUAUUUGUGCGUUUGAAAUGCAAGAAACCAAAGUCUCAACAGUUUAAGCCUGCCAACUUUUGAAAUAUGCAUUUUUAUCAAUAGUACGUCAAGAAACUAAAGCAUGCCAACAUUUGAAAGAUGCAUUUCCACAGUUAAGGUUGCCAGUAGUUCGACAAAUUGUCCGCUGGGCAAAUUAUUAACCAUUGUGUUAACUCCACAAAAUUCUUGUUGGACUAGAUAUGACGCCAGUCCUUUUGUUGACUCUUUCAAUGCAAUGUUGGGUCCUUUAGAAAAAAGCUAUUUCUACUUGUUAACGCAACUGUAGAAAGAAGUUUUUUGUUCCUGGUCUUGAGGUCCCAACAGCAGACAUUAAAUUAUUGCCUUUUCAAUUCUGAGUUGUCUUCAAUUAGAUGCAUUAUGCUAGACUAGUAAUUGUUUUAAAAAAGAAAGCUUCAUAGUGAGAAGCUGAUUUUUUAAGGAAGGAUAAGUUUAUUCUUACCUGAAAGUGAAUGUUCCACUGAAGAAAACACGGCUGGUGCCUGGAAGGAGAGCUAGUUCAGGAUGAAAGACAGGCAAUGAUUAUAUAUUUGAAAAGAGAGAUGAUAAAAUCAAGUUUGCAUGGGGCAGGUAAAGCAUGGCAUUAAUCAGGCUCUCUGCACUUUAGGAGUGUAGAUAAUCAAUCAAAGGCCAUCAAUCAACUCUAUUUUGUUUUUUUUAAUAUUAUAAUCAAACAAAUGUUAGCCUUUAAUUGGCAUCCAAUUGUUCAUUGUCUUAUAUUAGGAUAUAAGCUAAAUUCAUAAGAGGAUCCCUCUACAUAUAUAUUUCAUGUGCAUAAGGUGUAUGAAUAAUGUUUUCUGUAUGCUUUUGCUACUCUGUUAGUAGUCUGUUUAAGGCCCAUUUCUGAUUAUCUAAUAUCUAUGUUCAUGAUUUGUUUCGUGAUGUUGGUCUGUCAUUUGGUUUUUAGUUUUUCCCAGAGGCAAAUGAAGUCAAAUUUGCAAGAACAUCGGUCUUUGAAGGAGCAUCAUUUAAGUUGGACUCUCUAACAAAACCUUCAUUCUUUGAGAAUUUUGGAUUCACUGAGAAGGUCAAAAUGGCAGGCCGUGUGAAGCCGGAAGAUGAAUUGUUUCUAGUGGCCUAUCCAUAUUUUAAUGUCAAUGGUAGUCUUACACCUUGUCUUCUCAUUGAUAUUCAUUCCUUAAGGUCAUUAAUUUUGCUUUUCUUUUGUCUUGUAGAAAUGCUUGUGGUUGAAGAGCUUUACAAAGAAGCUAUAUUCAAUACUGCCCGGAAACUGAUUAUAUUCAAUGGAGAACUUGACCAGAUAAUGUCUGGGUGUAUUAUUCACCAUUCUUUCAUUCUUAUUGUACUUUCUGUAAAUUUAGUAUGAUUUUGAUGCUAUAUAAUAGUUUCUAGAUGCCCGCCCAUUGAAUUGCUUAUUUACAACUUUUUGGUAUAUUAUAGCAGAUUUGUUUUAUAGCUUAUAGCAGAUUUUUUUUAUAGCUUAUAAAAGAUCAACUUAUGUGCUGAGUUCAAUCAUUAUUCCAUAAACUUUUUCUGUACCUAUUUUCACAUGGUAUCAAAGCUAGACUCCCUUUCUUUUUGAUCUCUUUCCCACCAUGUCUGACUAAUCUUCUAAAACCACAGUCACCUAAAAAAGACUAGAACAAAAAAUUUUUGAUUCUGAAUCUCAUUCUGUCCAUAUUACAACUAUCCGGCUGAAUGAAGGAAAUUUUCAAAGAUGGUCUCAGUCAGUUAGAAUGCAUAUUAGGGGAAGAAGGAAGAUUGGUUAUCUUACUAGAGAUGUUAAGGCUCCUGAAAUAUCUGAUCCCUCUUAUGGUGUAUGGGAUGACGAAAAAUCCAUGAUUAUGGCAUGGUUAGUCAACUCCAUGGAUGAAGACAUUUGUGCAAAUUAUAUGUGCUACUCUACUGCAAAGAACUCUGGGAUAAUGUGAGUCAGAUGUACUCUGACAAUGGAAAUUAGUCUUAAAUCUAUUAGUUGCAGCUUGCUCUUGGAGAUAACCAUCAAAGAGAUUAUAGGAUAACAAAAUACUUCAAUACUCUAAAGAGAUUGUGGCAAGAUCUGGACUUAUUCAACAACUACGAGUGGAAGAGCACGGAAGAUUUUAAACACCAAAAACAAACUAUCAAUAAUGAGCGAAUCUUGAAGUUCCUAGCUAGGCUCAAUGUUGAAUUGGUAAGAGGAAGAAUUAUUGGGAGAAAGCCACUUCCUACUCUUGAGGAUGUUUUCUCUGAAGUAAGGAGAAAAAAAAUUCGUCGAGGUGUUAUAUUGGGAAAAAGGAACUCCAUUGUCUUUGUGGAAAAAUCUGCCCUUGUUACAGCAGAUGCUAAUGCUACCUGCUCCUUCACUCAACAGCAACAAAAACCUCGAGUAUGGUGUGAUUACUGUAAUAAACCAUGUCAUACUCGGGAGGCUUGCUGGAAACUCCACGGAAAGCCUACAUAAUGGAAAAACAGCAAGCAUAGCCGUGCGUCUACCAAUAAAGUGGAGGAUAUAGAAAAAAAUCUUAACGAGGAGCAAAUUGAUCAUCUCAUAAAGCUGCUGACUUCUAAUCCUCCACCUGGUACUCCUAGUGGUUCACUAGCCUAAACAUGUAGUAUUAUUAAUGCUCUAUUUAGCCACUCAUCUACUGCACCAUGGAUUAUUGAUUCGGGUGCUUCUGAUCAUAUGACCAUCAUUUCUAGUUUAUUUGAUUCCUAUUAUCCUUGUCCUAGUAACAAAAAGGUAAGAGUUGCUUAUGGAAACUUAUCUUCCAUAACUGGAAAAGGAUCAAUAAAAAUCUUUGAAACCAUUGAGCUUAAUAAAUGUGCUACAUGUCCCUAAACUUUCUUGCAAUCUGUUACUUGUCAAUCAAUUAGCCAAAGAUUCUAAUUGUUGUGCUGUCGUUUUUUACUCCCAUUGUGAAUUUCAAGACAGGGAUUUGGGGACGAUGAUUGGCAGUGCUAGUUUGCGAGAAGUUCUUUACUAUUUUGAUGACUACUUAUCAAGGAAUAAACAAGCUCAAGGUUUGAGCAAUAGGAUUAGUUCAAACUCUGCUAGGGAUCAAAUAAUGCUUUGGCACCUUAGACUAGGACACCCUACCUUUCCUUAUUUGAAAUAUUUGUCUCCAGAUUUAUUUAAAAAUGUUGAUUGUACUACUUUUCAGUGUGAAAGUUGUUUUUAAUCUAAAAGUCAUCGAGUUUCAUAUAAAGCACUUACUUAUUGUGCCUCAAAACCAUUUUAUUUAAUUCAUAGUGAUGUUUGGGGACCCUAAAAAAUCAUUACUUUAACUGGCAAAAAAUGGUUUGUAACAUUCAUAGAUGAUCAUACGCGGCUUCAUUGGGUUUAUUUAAUGAGAGAAAAAUCUGAAGUUGAGGGUUAUUCAAAGAUUUUUAUAACAUGGUUGAAAAUUAAUUUCAAACAAAAAUAAGCCUACUCGAUACAGAUAAUGGUCUGAAUAUUUUAAUAAUUAUCUAGAGGUGUUUUGUAAGGAAAAGGGUAUAAUUCACACAUCCACUAGUCGUGAUACUCCACAACAAAAUGGAAUUGCGGAAUGAAAAAACCGCCAUUUACUUGAAGUUAGUCUGGCUAUCAUACUCUCUAUGCAUGUUCCUAAAUAUUUGUGGGGUGAUGUUGUUUUAACAGCAUGUUAUUUGAUUAAUAGGAUGCCUACCCGUGUUUUAAAGUAUCAAUCACCUUUAGAAUACUUUACACUUAUAUAUCCUUCUAGUAGGAUUACCUCGAAUAUUCAGUUAAGAGUCUUUGGGUGCACUGUAUUUGUUCACCUUCCUAACCAUCUUAGAUCUAAAUUGGAUCCUAGAUUUGAAAAUUGUGUUUUCUUGGGCUAUGCUCCUAAUAAAGAGGCUACAAAUAUUUCAAUCCUCAAACAAAGAAAUUCCAUGUCAGUAUGGAUGUUAUAUUUCUCGAAAAUCAACCUUUUUUUGGCCAAAAUUCUCUUCAGGGGGAGAAAGAAAAUAGUGAAGAUCAUUUUUGGCAUACUUAUACACCUAUGCCUAAUUUGUUUUUACCUGAUCUGAGCACUUCAAUUCAAACUCAAAAAACUAAUAUUUCUAAUAAUGAAAACUUAGGAAACUUUGAACUACAAGAACCAAGUGUUAAUGUACCAGAGACAGGGGGAGAAAUAUUACAAGAUAAAAUUCCACCACCAAAGCUUCGUGUUUAUACUCGACUAAGGUAUCAUCACAGCAAUAAAGACCCUCCCAUAAACUUGGUACAACCUCAAUUGUCGCCUCCAAGCACUGAUUCCUCAUAAAAUUUAGGUAACAUUUCUUCUCCUAAAAAUUCCAGCACUUUUUUUUUCCUGAUCUUGACUUACCCAUAGCACAUAGGAACGAAACCCGAACCUGUACUAAGCACCCCAUUGCUGGAUAUGUUUCCUAUGAAAAGUUUUCCAAUAAACGAAGAGCCUUUACCACAAAAAUCUCUCAGAUACCAAUUCCUAAAGCCAUAAAAGAAAAAUUGGACAAUGGUUUGGUCUGCAUGCUGAACAUUCCUACAGAUGAGCAAAUUGCUAAUAUACUCACCAAGGGACUACCUAAGAAACAUUUCGAGAAAUUGGUUUGCAAGCUAGCCUUGAAAGACAUUUUUAUACCAGCUUGAGGGGGAGUGUUGAAAGGUUGACCAAAUCAAAUUGAUUUGGUUUCCUUAUAUAUUUAGGUGUAUAUUAGGCGUAAAUAUAGAGUUAUUGCUUCCUAGAAAUCAGUGUGUAAUAUUCUGCUUUAAUUUUUUCUUUCCUUUCUUAGUCUCUUGUAUCCCUAUAUUAAGACUGUAUACAGUCUCAUGAAGAUAUGAAAAAGAGAAUUAUUCCAUAAACUUUUUCUCUACCUAUUUUCACACUUCCACAUCAUACGGUGAUUAAUAUGUCAUCUCUACUCAAUUUAUUUAGCAUCAAAUUAUCAGAAGAUUUUGUUACUUAAAUAGAUGGUUUUCAUUUCAACUUCAAUGUUUUUUCAGGCCUAAAGCUUCAUAGUGCUUGUUUAUAUUGUUAAUCAAUAUAUAUAAGUUUACUUGCAGGCAAUAUCAGGCAUUUUCGAAAUAUGCGUAAGUAUGACAAGGAAAUCUCAAAAAGAAACAAAAACUUAUUGCUUGGAAAAAUUUAUUUAUUUGGGGGAAGCCAUUAUGAGUUUUGGGCUCCUUAAUAGCUUUAGUAAAUUUUGGACCAUUAUUUUGAACUAUGACCCAGUUUCCCUUGUUUACACCACAGAAAAUUAGCAACACUCUCUUAUGUCUCAACUCUCUCUGUCUCAACCAACAAAAUCAACUCUGUUAGUAGUCUGUUUAAAGCCCAUUUCUGAUUAUCUGAUAUCUGUGUUCAUGAUAUGUUUCGUGAUCUUGGACUGUAAUUUGGUUUUUAGUUUUUCCAGAGGCAAAUGAAGUCAAAUUUGCAAGAACAUCGGUCUUUGAAGGAGCAUCAUUUAAGUUGGACUAUCUAACAAAACCUUCAUUCUUUGAGAAUUUUGGAUUCACUGAGAAGGUCAAAAUGGCAGACCGUGUGAAGCCGGAAGAUGAAUUGUUUCUAGUGGCCUAUCCAUAUUUUAAUGUCAAUGGUAGUCUUACACCUUGUCUUCUCAUUGAUAUUCAUUCCUUAAGGUCAUUAAUUUUGCUUUUCUUUUGUCUUGUAGAAAUGCUUGUGGUUGAAGAGCUUUACAAAGAAGCUGUCUUCAAUACUGCCCGGAAACUGAUUAUAUUCAAUGGAGAACUUGACCGGAUAAGGUCUGGGUGUAUCCUUCACCAUUCUUUCAUUAUUAUUGUACUUUCUGUAAAUUUAGUGUGAUUUUGAUGCUAUAUAACAGUUUCUAGAUGCCCACCCAUUGAAUUGCUUGUUUACAACUUUUUGGUCCUUCAAUUGGUAUCAUUUUGCAAAAAUUGAAAGUAAAGUGGGUUUUUUGCUUUUAUUUUUUAAUACAAUAAUUUGAAAUUCACUCCCAGAAAUCUAAAGGGGAAUUAAUAAGGAUGAUCGUGUUAUAUCUUUCACUAAAAUGUCGCAAGGAAGACUUUUUUUAAAAAAAUAAAUAACAAUGACUUAACCAAACUAAUUAGUGACUUGGUUGUAGUAUAGUUGUUUUGGAAUGUGCAAUAAAAGGAUCAGAGAGGAUUUCCUUAAAUGAGCAGAAGAUUAUCCAUCGUUCUUCUACCCUAAGCUGGCUGCACUAUCCAGAACACUUUUUCCUGUGAUGGAGACCAUAUAUUACAUUCACAACUUUAAGGGUGGCAAUGGAGGAACCCUUUUCAGGUUUGCCAGCUAGUUACCGACGCGUUUCCUGUGGCAACAUAUUAAUGCUUGCCUAGUAUCACUCACUGUUUUCCUGCUGUUUAACUUAUAUUUUACAUGUUUUUCUUUUCCACUUCCUGUUAGGUGCUACCCAGGUUCCUGGAAGGUCCUGAAGAAAGUGAGUAAUAAAUAUAUAUGUUUGCAUCAGCAGGAAGUGAUGCCUUCCCUUAAGGAGGUUGCUUUGGAUAUCCUUCCCUCAGCUUGAGUUUCACCAAAAUAUUUGUCUGGUGAUAAAUCCCACUUUCUUAUGUUAUAGCAGAUUUGUUUUAUAGCUUAUAAAAGAUCAACUUAUGUGCUGAGUUCAAUAAUUGGUUCAUGAUUUCUAGUUUGUAGGUCUUAUGCUGAGUAUUUUGAUACUAAUCUGCCAGUGUUUGAAAGAUCUUAUUCUUAAGAUGAAUAUAAUCAUAACUUCCACAUCAUAGCGUGAUUAAUAUGUCAUCUCUGCUCUAUUUAUUAAGCAUCAAAUUAUCAGAAGAUUUUGUUACUUAAAUAGAUGGUUUUCAUUUCAACCUCAAUGUUUUUUCAGGCCUAAAGCUUCAUAGUGCUUGUUUAUAUUGUUAAUCAAUAUAUAUAAGUUUACUUGCAGGCAAUAUCAGGCAUUUUCGAAAUAUGCGUAAGUAUGACAAGGAAAUCUCAAAAAGAAACAAAAACUUAUUGCUUGGAAAAAUUUAUUUAUUUGGGGGAAGCCAUUAUGAGUUUUGGGCUCCUUAAUAGCUUUAGUAAAUUUUGGACCAUUAUUUUGAACUAUGACCCAGUUUCCCUUGUUUACACCACAGAAAAUUAGCAACACUCUCUUAAGUCUCAACUCUCUCUCUCUCAACCAACAAAAAUCAACUCCCUUUCCAAUCUAUAUCACAAUGCACGCUAUUUCAUCAAACCCAAGACUUACUUCAACUUAGAUUCAUAUAUGUUAUUUGAUUCAUGAUUAAGAAACUGUGUUUUUUUUCUUUUUUCAAAGUACGCUUGGAGAAUAAUAAAUAAAUUUACCAACCAACACAAAAAAAGUUUAUGUGAGGCUUGGUUGACAAUUUUAUUGUGGUAAUAUGUCGUUUAAAGAUAAAUGUUGUUGAUUUAUUGAUUCUUGUGUUGACUUGGAUGGAAGAUAUGUUGAAGAAAAAGAAACCCAAAAAUUACAUAUGCAGUUUUUUUCGUCAUUUCUGACUUUCAUGAUUUUGUACAAGAUAUAAGUUUUGUUUUCUAGACUUUGUUCUAAGUAGUAUUGGAAAACUUUGCAUUGCACAUUGUAGGUGUCCUCAAAUCUAUUAAAUUGGAUUAGGCAGUCUGAACACAUUAUUAGGGUUGUAAAGGGUCCAUGCAGUAUAAUUUUCUCUUGAUGCUUUCAUAUUUUUUGGCUGUACAGAUUUGAUGCAUCAUUGAUUCUUUGAUUCUGAUGUCUAAUGAAAAUGUAUGUUUAUAUUGCAUCGAUGAAUUUUUUAAUCCGGGAAUUGUAGUAAUUGUCUGUUGUAUUUCCAUGCAGUUGAAACCUUCUUGAUUUUUUGAAAAAGGAAAAUUACUUAAUUUGAUAAAGAAGAAUAUAUGAAUUUCUGAACAAUAAAAACUGUAGGAAGCAAAAAGAUAUCCUUGUGGCAUUAAUGAGUUGCUGGAAACAAGGUUUAAGAAUUUUGUAUGCUUUUGUUAAAGCUAUAAAAUGCUAUUUAUUAUCUGUGUUGUUACAAACUAAAGUACUUUUGUGCUUUAUGCAAAUUUAAAAAUGCUAUGCUAUGCGUUAGAGCAAUAAAGUUGUUAAGAAACAGUGAAGGCUUUUGUUGCUUUACUUAAGAUGAGGUUCAAGAAUAUUAUAUAACUUUAGUGAAUGUUUGCAUGGUGGCUUUGAUCUUGUUGCUGCCCCAAACUGACUGAUUGAAGGAGAGAAUUUUACAGCUAGAUCAAGCUUCUUUCCCCAGAUUAACUUCUGACAUGGACCAAUCAAAUGGCUGUCGCAUUCUUAAAAAAAUGGUUCAAGUUUUCCAUAGUUAUGGUCCACUUAUACAGAAUCUGGAGAAAUGAAUAUAUGAAUUGUGACUUAUAUCAUCUGUGAAGGCAAGGAAUAAUCCAUGGAAUUAUAUAAGAAGCAUUGAAACUGCUUUGUUGAUGGCCUGAGGCCAGAGAAAAUGCCGAAAACAUAUUCCUAAGAAAGUUGUUCCUUCUAGUUCAGUCCGGUCCAUUAAUUAAUCCUGGCUACAGCCCUCCAAGUAGUCGGGAUUGAGGGGCUUCUGUACGUGUAAGAAUGCUCUUGUAUUUUUUUUUAAUUCUUUUUAAAUUACUAAUUGUUGAAUUGAUCAAAUUUCGCGCCAUGUUUUCAGUUUAUAACAUGGAAGAGUGCUUGCAAGUUAAGUUGGAAAAAUUAUCACCAUUGCCCUCAAACUGCUGCAUCUACAGAGUUCCGGAGCGAUUACGUCAGAUAAAUGAAAAGGCAUAUACACCUCAGGUAGUCUCAAUUGGCCCUCUUCACCAUGGCAAAGCAAACUUACAGUUCAUGGAAGCUCAUAAACAGCGGUACCUGCGUUACUUACUUCAACGGACCAUAAUAAGCUUUGACGAGUUUGUUCAAUUUAUAAAGCUCAGAGAAGCAGAAUUAAGAGGUUCUUAUGCAGAAAAAGUCGAACUAAGUAGUGAUAAAUUUGUUGAAAUGAUUCUGCUGGAUGCUGCCUUCAUCAUUGAACUCUUAUUGAGGUAUCAUUUUCGUCAACUUCAAAAAAAAGAUGAUCAUAUAUUUCAUAAACCAUAUUUAAUAGAGGAUAUAUGGUAUGAUAUGUAGUUGCUUGAGAAUCAGCUUCCUUUCUUCAUUCUUGAGGAUCUUUUUGCUCUAGCUGCAAUUGAAAUCCCUGAACAACAUGAAAAUCCAACCAUCAUCACAGUCACAUAUGAGUAUUUCAAGGGUUUAGAGGCAGUACAAGGUAAUCGGCAAAAAUUCCCUCCUUACACUGAGGUUAGGGUACAGCAUUUCCUUGAUUUUCUAAGGAUUUGUCAUCUACCAUCAUCGAGGAAUCAGGAAAAACAAGAAGGUCAGCAAUACCACAAAGGUAAAACCGCACCAAGUGUGACUGAGCUCCACCAAGCUGGAGUCCACUUCAGUUUGAGCAAGAGCAAUGAUUUGUUCGCCAUAGAAUUCAAAAACAGGACAUUGCAUAUUCCGAAACUGAAGCUACAGCUGGAAACAGAAUCCUUAUUUCGUAAUCUCAUUGCCUUUGAACAACGGCAUUACUCAGAGAAUUACAUAAAUGAUUAUGUGUUCCUUAUUCAUCAUCUCGUGAACACAGCGAAGGACGUCGAGUUGCUUGUUCAGAACGGAAUCAUUGAGAACUGGUUGCGGGAUAAAGAGACUGCGUCAAUGCUUAUAAAUAACCUUUCUAGAGGUACUACUCUGCUGUCUGAUAGCUUCUAUUUUUCUGGGCUAUGCAAAGGAUUGAAUGAUCACUGCAAAAGAACGUGCUACAAAUGGAGGGCAAACUUGAAACAAAAUUACUUCAAUACUCCAUGGGCUGGCAUUUCGGUGUGUGGCGCCGUUUUCCUUCUUAUUCUCACCGUCAUUCAGUCUGUAUGCUCUGUUAUACAAGUGUUGUCUCAACCCAAAAAUAUCUCGUGACGAAAAACCUCUGUGCGGUAUUUGUAUGUCGUUUUUGAGUUGCUGUUUUCUUUUUUUUAUUUUAAUUCUUAUUCUCAACCAAUUUUAUCAUGGAAUUGUUAAUUUUACUUGAAUGUUGAACCAAGCCUUUAUUUUUUAAUAAUGAAAUGAAAUAAAAGGUGGGGGUAUACCCUUCACAAUACCCUCUUCACUCCUUAUUUAGUGUUGCAUUUACCGCAAUAAAAAAUAAUUUUUAAACGAUAAACAUAUUUACUUGAAAACAAAAAUUAGUUUAUGCUAUUUAUUUAUCUUAUAAUGUUGGAACUUGAAAGUUAAUUUAAAUUAAUGUAAUCCUACCAACUUGAUUUGGUUUUCAUAUUGGUUGGUUUCAUGUAUCAUGCGAAUUGUUAGGCACCGACUAACUCAAGCGUAUGUUACUCAAACAUCACGCUUGAAUAAUAGUUUAAGGAAUGUUGAUUUGGAUGGUAGAUAUUUAAUCAACUAAAACUAACGUUCUCAACUCAAAGCUCAUCUACUAGUAAAAGUAAAACCCUUCUCCGUCAACUUAUCUUCUUCAUUAUAUAACAAAAGAUGUUCAAUGAAAGAAUGAAAUAUAUAUAUAUAUAUAUAUAUAUAUAUAUAUAUAUAUAAUUAAGUCAAAGUAGUCAAGAUCCAGCCACUCGGCUUGAGGGCUUGAGUUCGAACCCACAAGAACUUAUUUCAAUCCUUAUUUUAUAAAUAUGAGAUUAGGGAUAGAUUUAUCUCUAAUUAUUUAUUUAUCGAGUAAUUAAUUUUAACAAUAUUAUUAAUUGUAGUUGAAACUGGAAUGAAUUUUCUGAAAGAUGCUCUCUCAUAACUAACCAACUAAAACUAACAAUCAAAUUAUCAAACUCAGAGCUCACCUACUAGUAAAACUGUAAAACUAAAACACUUGCUUCUCCAUUAAGUCAUCUCUUUAUAUAUAAAAAAGAGUGUUUUUAUGAAAUAAUCAGUAACAAUUAGGUAUCAAAUAAUUCAUAAAAGAUGUCAAGCUCCGUUGCUACUGCUGCUGAGGCCGAGAUUUGGAUUGUCCCAUUCUUCGGUCAGGGACAUCUAUUUCCAUGCAUUGAAUUAUGCAACCAAAUCGCUUCCCGUAAUUACAAAUCUACCCUCAUCAUUCCCUCUCACAUUUCCGCCACCAGCAUUAUCCCAUCCUCGUUUCACCAAUAUCCUCUCUUUGAAGUUACUGAAAUACCCUCCUUCGCCUCCUCACCCCCAUGUUGUCGUGCACAGCCAAAUGCUUCAAGGCCUUCGAAACCUCCUUUCAACCCGGGAACCCAAAAGCCGACCCGUUUGUGCAGUCAUCGACGUUAUGAUGGGCUGGACGGCUGAUGUUUUCAAGAUUUUUGAAGUUCCCAUUGUUGGGUUCUUCACUUCUGGUGCUUGCUCAGCGGCUGUGGAGUGUGCCAUGUGGCAGGCUCACAUCCAAGAUGUCAAACCAGGAGAGGCCCGUUUACUUCCUGGGUUACCCGAGGAUAUGGCUUUAUUUGAAUCGAAUCUUAAACACAGGCCUCAUGAGCCCCCUCCUGGUGGUCCACCACCUCUGAGAGGUGCACCCGGUUCCGAGAAAAUAGGUCCACCAGAAGCCGGUGAUCAACCACACUGGAUGAAGGAAGUGGAGGGAUCAAUGGCGUUGAUGUUCAACACGUGUGAUGGUCUUGAGGGACCAUUUAUUAAUUAUUUAGCCAAUGAAUUGGGAAAGCCGAUGUGGGGAGUGGGCCCACUGUUACCUGAACAAUUUUACAAAUCGGCCGGUUCAGUGCUUCAUGAUCAUGAGAUGAGAAUCAACCGGUGGAGUUCUAACAUGACGGAAGAUGAGAUCAUUCAAUGGUUGAAUUUGAAAUCAUGCGGAUCUGUGUUAUAUGUGUCAUUUGGUACUGAAGUGGAUCCGACCUUAGAUGAGUAUUUAGUACUAGCCAAUGCUUUAGAAGCAUCAAAUCGACCGUUUAUUUGGGUAAUUUAAGGUGAUGCAAGUAGAUUGGAUCCUCUAUGUCAUUUGGACAAAACAGUAGAAGGCAGUUAUUUUCGUUAGAUGAGUUUAGUGUUGUUGACGAGGCACCAUAUGCACAACAUAGUGAUAUUGUUUAGUGUUUAAUAUUAGAGUAAUGAUAUAGCCACAAACUCUUGUACAAAUUUAUUUUGUACAAACUUAUGUGGCAUGAUAAGAUUGGUUGAAUUAAAUAUCACUUGGCCCACAUGAUUUGUUUUCAUUAUUUUAUAUUUUCAUUCAACCAAUGAAUUAGUGCCACGUCAGUUUGUAUAAAAUAAGUUUGUACAAUAGUUUGUGGCUGUAUCAUUACUCUUAAUAUUAUAGGGAAGUUUUUAAUAGAUCUUCAUUUCCGUGCAUAUUGUGAGCUUAUUGCCAAAAAUGAGACUAUAUAGUUGUGGGACAAACAAAAAGGGAAAUUCUUUACCAUUCGGCUAAAUUUUGAUGUCAUGCAAAAUAAUAUAGGAUCUUGAAUUCACUUUAAUUGGAUGUCAGCCGGGUUACCAUUCAGAGAAACGGGUCUGAAUCCGACCCGUUUCAACUCCUCCCCCCAUCUCUCCACUUUCACCUCACCCGUCCUCUUGGGUCCACCAACCGCCACUAUGUUCCUAAUUUCACACCCAAACAACUGCUGCUCCACCGUAUGCCUCUCUAUACUGUCAGCACCCAGUCCGUCCCCCAGCACAGUGACGGAAAAAAAAAAAAAAGAACACUCAGAAUAAUAACAAUAUAUAAAACAAAAAAAUACAUAAAAAUAUUAAGAAAUGGAAAAAGAAGCCAACUUCUCUUGUUCGACGAGAUGGACCCUUUCGAUCAAUAAAUUGCAGUAGCCUUCCAUCAUACCAAAAGCAUCCAACAUAUUUUGCUCCUUCAUCACAUGCUCAACCUGCAAAAACCAAACCAGGUCAUUAGACAAAUGCAAUUGAACUAGUCAAUAAUUAUAACGAAUCAAACAGAAAAAGAGACCAUGCAUGAGCGACUUUGAUUCUUCAUGCAUGUGCAUAUGUCUUACGCGAGGAGAGCACGCUCUUGAAAGCCUUGUUGGAGGAACUGAACGACGUCGGAGCGUGCUUGGGAGCACUUGACUUGGCGUUGGUUUUUGAGAACGGCCAGGCGAGAGAUUGCAAGGUUGACCUGCGGCUUGAAUUUGUAGGUCUUGAAGUUGUUUUCUCUAAGAAGAAAAUCGAGUUUCUUUCCCAUGCCGCCGCCUGCUCUUCUGAUGAGUAACUGAGCUGAUCACGCUUCCAACUCAAUCACCCAACGCACAGUGACGGAGAGAAGGAGAAGAAACAAGCAAACGAAGGCUUGUUUACUCCUUUUAGAGAUGACGAGUGAUUGCGUUGUUAUUUUAUAGUUUCAUUAGCCUGAAACUUGGACUGAAGUUGUUAUUGCUGGACAAAAGGAAAAAGAGUUCAAUCACUUCAGUACCGUUAUUAUUGCUGGAUUCAUCUCCUCUCUCGGCAGCAAAAAUCACUUCCAUAUUUUGGCAACUACUCACUUCAAUGGACUGAAGUUGUUGAAGGCCUCCGCCAAUGACCAAUGGAAAUACAUUUUUCAAUUUAUCACACCCUUCCACCCUUAUGGUCUUUAGUUUGCAAAAAGACUCUGCUGUGAGUGGACCACGACAUAUUUCCUGUAGAUUCCUUAAAUCUCUCAGAAAUAAUGACUCCAAAAGGGGGAAUGCAGGCGUCGGAGCUGGCGUACAAUCCAUUGUGUCAACAACACAAGAAAGGUUGCCAUUAUGUUUGAUUUUGUUAAGGAAGUUAAGGAAGCUCAUAUUUGUAGUCAAGCAGAGGAUCACAGCAGCUUCUAUAAUCAGUUGCAAGUUGAUGACAUGUACUGCCAGCUGGCACCAGGUGGUUAUGUAGCUGCUUGUACUCAUACAUGUGAUAAGUUUGUUAAUCAUUUUUUAAUUAGUUAGUUAGUAUUGUAACCUUCAGCUGAGAAGCAACACUUGUAUAUAUAUGCUUGUAAUCAUUCAGUAGCAUUUUAAGCUUGAGAAAAUAAAAGAAGAAAGUUUUCUAGAUCUCAGUUUAUUUUCUUAUUAGCCAAACACUCAUUUUCUGUUUUCUAACUUGGUAUCAGAGCUAGUCAUGGCGUCUCUGAAUAUUGCCUCAUCAAAUCACACUUCGAAUAUUCAUACAAACUCAACAAACUUCUCAUUCACAUUCAAUACCCCUGUGAAACUGGAUCAGGCAAACUAUCUGAUCUGGAGGUCCCAAGUUCUAGCUUCCAUACACGGCAAUAGGCUAGAAAAGUUCAUUGAUGAAAAUGUCACUCCUCCUCCAUCUCAUAUUGCUCAAAGGAUUGACGAUGAACUUAGAUCUGUUGAGAAUCCAGAUUCAUCAAGCUGGAAAGCACAAGAUCAAGUACUUCUUGGCUGGUUGCUGUCAUCGAUGAGUGAAGGUAUUAUAAGCCUGGUGUUUAAUCUGGAAACUUCUCUUGAGGUAUGGAAAGCUAUUGAAACUCAAUUUGGAUCACAGUCAAAAUCCAGACUCUUACAUUUGAGAUAUUUGAUGAAUUCAACUAGGAAAGAUGAUCUGAAAAUCAAUGAGUAUUUCAUUAAAAUGAAGAAUAUUGCUGAUAACAUGGCUGCGGCAGGAAGUGCCUUAAGCAGUGAUGAUUUAAUUUUGCAUGUACUGUCAGGACUAGGACCAGAUUAUAAUGUUGUUGCUACUUAUAUUACUGGUCAAAUAAGUGGUGAUAAAAUGAAUUUGAAUGAGGCUUAUGCUAUGUUGUUGACUCAAGAAGCUAGAAUUGAGCAACAAGCACAUAUGCUUUCUGGAAUGGAUGUUAAGCAUAAUUUUGAAGCUAAUUUUGCUCAGAACAGAGGUUUCAAGAAAGGAAAUUUCUCAGGUGGUAGAGGAUCUGGUAAUCAUAACUAUUUUACUGGAUUAGAUAAUGCUGGAAAUUUUGGAAAUAAUUACAGAAGUGGCUAUAGAAGAUCUGGUUUCUUUGGCAAUGGUUUUGGAAAUAAUCAUAGUAACCAGUUCAGAGGAUUUCAAAGUGAUAAUCAAAGGGGAUCAGGCUCAGGAAAUUGGAACAAUGAUGGGGGUGGUAACAAUAAUUCUAUCAGGCCUCAAAUGAAUCCAAAACCUCAGUGGAAUGCUUCUAAACCUACUUGUCAAAUCUGCUUCAAAACUGGUCAUACUGCAAAUGUGUGCUGGAAGCUUGAAGAAUUCUUUACCUCUGGUGCUUACAAACCUCCUCCAAACAAAAAUCCCAAAGCUACAUAUCUAGCUGAUAUGGAUGGUGCAGCUGAUCCCAACUGGUAUCUGGAUAGUGGAGCUACACACCAUCUUACCAAUGACAUGAGGAAUAUGACUAUGGCAGAAUCCUUUGCAGGUAACUCUAAACUCAUCAUUGGAAAUGGUACUGGUUUACACAUAACACAUGUUGGAAAUGCUGUGUUAAGAAUGCAUAACUCUUCUGCUCAUCAUACACUCAAAUUAAACAACAUGCUUCUUGUUCCACAAAUAUCCAAGAAUCUUAUUAGCAUAUCUCAGCUUACCAAAGAUAACAACAUUGUUAUUGAAUUUACUGAUAAAUCCUGUUUUGUGAAGGACAAGGUGAGGAAUUUGAUCAUACUGUAGGGCAAAGCUGAAAAAGGUUUAUACAGAUUGCUAUUGUUUCCCUCUAAUAAAGUCUCUUCUCAAUCAUGUCAAAGGUCUCUUGAAGCCACUCAAUCCAAAAUUUCAGAUGUUCCUCUGUUUAUGUUUUCAGUUGUUCAGUCAGUUGUCAAUAAUCAAACAAGUCCCUGCUUGCAUACUGCAGCAGAAUCUUGUAUCGGUCUAAAUUGUAUGCUGAGUGUUUCUGUUUUGCAUCAGAAACUUGGUCAUCCUAAUUCCAAAGUUUUAAGUCAUGUAAUAAACUCUUGUUCAGCUUUCAAGAAUUUAAAUGGAAGUAACUUUCUUGAUUCAUGUGAUGCAUGUAAAAUGGGAAAAAUGCAUAGAUUACACUUUCCAGUUUCUACUACCAAAACAAAGCAUGUAUUAGAAGUUUUGCACACUGAUUUAUGGGGACCUGCCCCUGUGCUUUCAGUUCAAGGUUAUAGAUAUUAUGAGUUUUGUGGAUGAUUUUUCGAGGUUCACAUGGAUAUUCCCAUUAAAAACCAAGGAUGAAACACUAGUUGUGUUUAAAAUCUUUAAGAAACAAAUUGAGAAAUAGCUAGAUAGAUCCAUUAAGUGCAUUCAAUCAGAUUGGGGUGGAGAGUAUAGAUCAUUUGUUAAUUUUCUUCAUGAGGAAGAUAUUCAAUUCAGGCACUCAUGUCCCUAUACUCACAAUCAGAAUGGCUUAGUUGAGAGAAAACAUAGACACAUAACCGACCUAGGUCUCACCUUACUUGCUCAAGCUACUUUGCCUCUCAAAUUUUGGUGGGAUUCCUUCCAUACAGCCACCUAUAUUAUCAAUAGACUUCCCACACCCAUACUAUCUAUGCAGUCACCUUAUGAAUGUGUCUUCAAAACCAAACCUGAUUACAAAUUUCUCAAGGUCUUUGGUUGUUCAUGCUUCCCUUUCUUAAGGGAUUAUAAUACUCACAAAUUUCAUUUUCAUACCUCAAAAUGUGUAUUUCUUGGUUACAGCCCUUUACAUAAGGGUUACAAGUGUAUGCAUUCUUCUGGAAAGAUUUUUAUAGCCAGUCAUGUGUUAUUUGAUGAAACUUCUUUUCCUUACACAUCAAAUUCACAAUUUUUAACUUCAUCAUCCAAACCCUCUGAUUUCCAUUACAGUCUUAUUCAAUCUUAUACUGUUUCACUUCCCAAUAGCAAUCAAGAAACCUGUGAAGCUAGCUCUGCAGAAGAUGAAGCUCCAUAUCAUCAUUUCAGUGAUCAUUCCUCACCUGACAGUCAUAAUACAACCUUUGAUGUUUCACCUUCUCAAAUACAUCUUCAACCCUCUACCAUAGCUACUUCACAAACACAACAGCCAUCAUCAUCUACUAUUCAAUCCACACAACCAUCCCAACAUUCUCUGCCAAAUCAUCCCAUGAUUACUAGAGCAAAAGCUGGUAUAUUCAAGCCUAAAGCAUUCUUAACAUCACAUAACAGCCUGGAACCAUCCACUGUUGAUGAAGCUUUGUCUGAUUCUAAGUGGAAAGCUGCAAUGCAAUUAGAGUUUGAUGCUUUAACCAGAAAUAAUACCUGGACUCUAGUACCUAUGACAUCUCAGCACAAGUUGGUUGGUUGUAAAUGGGUCUUUAGAACCAAGUACAAUACAGAUGGUACAGUUUCUAAACACAAAGCAAGAUUGGUGGCCAAGGGCUUUCACCAGACAGCAGGAGUGGAUUAUAAGGAAACUUUUAGUCCUGUGGUAAAGUCUUCUACAGUCAAAACUAUACUAAGUUUGGCAGUGAUGAAAUGUUGGAAAGUCAGGCAAAUCGAUAUAAAUAAUACUUUUCUUAAUGGAGAUAUUUCAGAGGAUAUAUACAUGACACAACCAGAGGGCUUCAUCACCAAAGAGGGCUAUGUCUGCAAACUUAGCAAGGCUCUUUAUGGCUUGAAGCAAGCUCCUAGAGCUUGGUAUGACAAACUCAAAUGGUGUCUUACAAGCUGGAAUUUCUUCAACUCCAAGGCUGAUACAUCCCUGUUCAUCAGACAUGACACAAGAGGUAUCAUUCUUGUUCUUAUCUAUGUGGAUGAUAUUCUCAUUACAGGACCAAUUCUUCCAUGUUGGAAACAUUCAUCACUAAAUUCAGUAAGGCUUUUGCCUUAAAAGAUUUGGGAUUGGUAUCCUAUUUUCUGGGUGUUGAGGUGUGUUAUACUGAUAGUGGGAUGCAUUUAUCACAAACAAAAUAUAUUAAAGAGCUCUUAAGUAGAGCUUCAAUGCAGAACUGUAAAGGUUUUGAUACACCUCUCAGCACAGGUCAAAAGUUAGAAAAGGUAGCAAAGGGCUGUUUGGGGAAAGAAUUUGAAGAUCCAACUCUCUAUAGAAGUAUUGUUGGAGGGCUCCAAUACUUGAUACUCACCAGACCUGAUAUUGCAUACUCAGUUCAUAAGCUCAUUCAAUAUCAGAGUGCUCCUACACUUCAGCAUUGGCUUGCUUGUAAGAAGGUACUUAGAUAUCUUCAAGCAACUGUCACUCAUGGAAUAUAUAUUCAAAAGGAAGGAGAGCUUGAAGUUACAGGUUUGAAUGGAUACUCAGAUGCAGAUUGGGUUUGUGAUACAGAUGAUAGAAAGCCCAUUGGAGCAUAUUGCAUCUAUCUUGGCAACAAUUUAAUUUCAUGGUCCUCUAAGAAACAAGCUAUAGUGGCCAAAUCCAGCACUGAAAGUGAGUAUAGAGCACUAUCAUCAGCAAGUUCAGAAAUCUCUUGGCUUGAAUCUCUAUUUUCUGAGCUCAACAUUGUAAAGCUGCCAACACCAGUGCUUUGGUGUGAUAAUCAGAGUGCUGGGGAAUUAGCCAAAAAUCCUGUGUUUCACUCCAGGUCUAAGCAUAUCGAGUUGGACAUUCAUUACAUUCGAGAUAAGGUACUUCAAAACCAAUUAGAAGUGAGAUACAUUCCUACAGAUGAACAAGUUGCUGAUGUCCUCACCAAAGCUUUAUCACUUCCAAAAUUCAGCUACUUCAGGUCCAAGCUCAAUGUCAUUAGCAGACCCUUGAGCUUGAGGGGGGAUGUUAAGGAAGUUAAGGAAGCUCAUAUUUGUAGUCAAGCAGAGGAUCACAGCAGCUUCUAUAAUCAGUUGCAAGUUGAUGACAUGUACUGCCAGCUGGCACCAGGUGGUUAUGUAGCUGCUUGUACUCAUACACGUGAUAAGUUUGUUAAUCAUUUUGUAAUUAGUUAGUUAGUUUUGUAACCUUCAGUUGAGAAGAAACACUUGUAUAUAUAUGCUUGUAAUCGUUCAGUAGCAUUUUAAGCUUGAGAAAAUAAAAGAAGAAAGUUUUCUAGAUCUCAGUUUAUUUUCUUAUUAGCCAAACACUCAUUUUCUGUUUUCUAACUGAUUUGGAGACGCUUCAGUUUUGGAAAGCCUUCUCUGUCUGAUCCAAAAAGAACAUUCUUCAUGUCCGGCAAUCCAUCUAAAGUUAGGUCUUCAAUACCCUUCAAUUUCAUGAUAUGCGCCCCGUUCAAGCAAAUGUUGGCACCACUGGCGAGCUUCAGUGUGAACGUUCUAGAAAUCCCAUCCGAUGGGCCAUACCGCCGCCGCCGAUCUCCUAUCAAUAUUCUGUACCUUUGCAGCAUUUUGAAGAACGACAAGUCACUUGGUAGAUUCAUUGCAUCCGGGAUGAGUAUUUCUAAAGAAGUCAAUUUAGAUAAAUGAUUCAACUCAUGAAGGCUGGCAUUUCUUCUUCUACUGUUGUUAGGUCCCAGUCAGAGACAGCCAAUGAUCACGCAUAACACAAGUGAUAUUUUUCUGCUUAUGGCGAGAAAGGACUAAAUAAUUGUUGUUUAGAAUUCUCAAUACUUUUAUUCAUAUUCUGGAGCUUAUUUAUAAUAACAAGACUUUGGUUUCCAUCCUACAAUUACGGCUAAAUAAACGAGUAUAACAACUUAGCUAAAAAUUCGAAACCGAAAGAUAAUCGAAAACAACUUCCGUGUCUUAGCUUCCCUCCUUACUCGCUGCACAAUUGUUGACAAGCGUAUUCCUAGAUCACGGCUCCAGCUCCAGCACGUAUCUUCACGAUCUCAGCACAUGCAUGUUUCAUGCAUGGCUUGCAUGGGACUCAUGCCCUUACGUAGCAAACUUAGGAUUUGGCUUUGGCAUUUCCAGAUCUUCGUGGCUCAUGCAUUUGCUGUCUAUCAUUACCCCAUCCUCGAAGAAUACCCUUGUCCUCAAGGGUCAGAUUGGGAAACUGUUGGUGCAGCAUUAUGGUGUCCUCCCAUGUUGCUUCUUCAGCCAACAUUUUUUUUCCAACGGACUAGAUUCUGCUCGAUCACUUUACCUCCUCUCUUCACCCAACGUGUGUCAAGGAUAGCUUCAGGGUCCAUGAUCACCAAGCCUUCAUCAUCCACAGGUGGUAAAUCGACGCCGUUGCUAAGGAAAUCACCCACAGCUUUCUUAAGCAAAGAGACGUGAAACACUGGGUGAAUUCGAGCAUUCUCUGGUAAUUGUAGUUCGUAGGCAACGGCUCCAACUUUGCGAAGAACUAAAUACGGCCCAAAGUACCUGCAAGUUAAUUUCUGAUGUGCCCUUCUGAACACUGAAGUCUGCCGAUAGGACUGCAACUUUAAUAACACCAUAUCUCCCUGUUUGAACUCAACGUCGCGGCGACCCUUGUCAGCUGUUUGCUUCAUCCUGUUAGCUGUUGUGGCUAAGUUUUUCUUUAAUUGUAAGAGCAGUUCAUCACGCGAAUGUAAGGCUUGAUCAACCUCAUGCACCGGCGAGGAACCAAGUUGAUACAUGGGCAUGGCUGGAGGUGGUCUUCCAUACAAAGCUUGGAAUGCAGUCAUUCCGGUGGAGACGUGGAAUGUGGUGUUGUACCAAAAUUCUGCCCACGGCAAAAAAGAAUGUCACUUUCGCAGCCACUGGUGAACAAAACAUCUCAAGUAUUGUUCCAAGCAUCGAUUAAUUACCUCCGUUUGGCCGUUGGUUUGCGGGUGGUAUGUGUUGAGUGUUAGAAAAUGCAUAUUUAUAAAGGAGAAAACCGUCAUUUUACAUUUCAAGUCUUACUAACAACCCUUACUUUUAUGUAUUUAACCUUCUUGUGAUUUAAUUACAUGUGUUUUAUUUUAAUUAAGUAUUUUAUGUAUUUUAGGGGCAUUAUAGUCAUUUCACAAUAAAGGAGAGAUUAGACGGCAAAACGGACAUCACUUUUGAACUCAGGACGGUCGAAAACCUUAGGAGGAGCAUAAAAGGAAAAAUGGAACUAUUCACAUGUACGGUACUAUUCACGUGUACGGGACUGUCUAUGUUACUGUUCACGACACUGUUCACAUAGACGGAUCGAUGACGUGGCAUUGACCGAUGAUGUGGCAUUGACUGAUGAGGUGUCACGAUCCUGUUGGGCUAAAAUUCUUAUGUACUGUUGAUGCUGACGUGGCAGCAUAUCAGUGGACGAAAAAUCUCGCGUACGGUACAUGCAUCACACAGGAUUAUUUUCAACCAAACUGCGUUACUGUUCAUCCGGGUCAAACCGUAUUACUGUUCAUCCACGUUGUCAAACCGCGUACUGUUGACUGAUGACGUGGUGCAAUCCUGAGCGUCCAAACUGUUUUUAAUCUGAUGGCCAUGAUUUACUCCAUGUAUCUAUAAAAAGGGGGCCUCUCCCCCUUAAUUUGAUAGCUCUGAAUCCAUUUUUGGGAUCCAUUUUCUAUAAUUCCCUCUCCAUCUUGUAUUUUCUACGUAUUUUAAUAAAUUCCCAUUUUGCCCCUAGUUCAAUUAUGAAUAGCUAAUUUUCUUUCAAGCUUGGGUUGAAGGUGAAGUCUCAACAUGUGUCAUGGGCUUAAUUUGGUAAAUUUAUUUUCUCUUCCCCUUUAGUUUUUGUGGAUGUUUUGACUUCUCGUCGACAAAUAAUAAUAAUCUUGUCUAGAUAUCGUCUUGGUUACACCGGCUCUCUAGUAUAAGGUUAUUAUUAUUUGGCACGAUAAGCCCUUAGCACCAUAUUGAUUAGAGUGUGGUUCAUAAGGUGUGGAUUCCCCCCUCAUGAUUUAAUUGGUAUUAAUAAGGAAUAUUUAGCCCAUGGUGCAUGUUGAUACGGAUCCAAAUACCCAAGUACGUCAUUUCAAUAGAUUUCUCUUCAAUUUAUUCUCGCCAUUUAAAUUCCAAUUUUAGAAUUUAUUCUCGCCAUUUUAAUUUAAGUUUUAGCAUAUUCCAAAUCAUUUCCAUCACAAAUCCAAUCACCCAUUUACAAAAUUAAUUCUACACACAAUUAAAAUCCACCUCCUCGUGGGAUCGACACUCGUCACCAUUGAUCUAUACUACAAUAGAUUCGUGCGCUUGCGAGUACAUUAAAAUUUGCACAACAGUAUGGUGAGCUCAUUUUGAGUUUGGUGCCUGAUAAAUUAAAGAACUCUUGCCAAAAUUUGCUGAUGAAUAUGGGGUCACGAUCGCUGAUGAUUGACUUGGGCAUACCGUGCAGCCUCACUACUCCUUCACUUUCUUCUCGAACUGGCCGCGGUGAACCAAUGGUUUCGUUGGUGCCGUGGCUAGUGGUGUCUUUGGAUGCAUUGAAAGUUUCUGCUAAUUUGCUAAUGGUGUCUUCUAAUCGCUGAAGCUUGUCAUUGAUCCCAAUCUCCAUGCGUUCCAUUCGGCUCUCCAUGCUUUUCAGAUCAGCUUCAAUUCGCUCAAUACGUUCUUUGUUGGUCAUCAUUGUUAACCCGCUCUGAUACCAAUGUUAGGUCCCAGUCAGAGACAGCCAAUGAUCAUGCGUAACACAAGUGAUAUUUUUCUGCUUAUGACGAAAAAGGACCAAAUAAUUGUUGUUUAGAAUUCUCAAUACUUUUAUUCAUAUUCUGGAGCUUAUUUAUAAUAACAAGACUUUGGUUUCCAUCCUACAAUUACGGCUAAAUAAACGAGUAUAACAACUUAGCUAAAAAUUCGAAACCGAAAGAUAAUCGAAAACAACUUCCGUGUCUUAGCUUCCCUCCUUACUCGCUGCACAAUUGUUGAUAAGCGUAUUCCUAGAUCACGGCUCCAGCUCCAGCACGUAUCUUCACGAUCUCAGCACAUGCAUGUUUCAUGCAUGGCUUGCAUGGGACUCAUGCCCUCACGUAGCAAACUUAGGAUUUGGCUUUGGCAUUUCCAGAUCUCCGUGGCUCAUGCAUUUGCUGUCUAUCAGUUGGUCCUUUCACGCUUCCCCCACUCAAUGGGACUCUCACCAAUGUACAAUUCUUCUAAUCGUGAUAAGCUUGAUAUGACAUUUGGUGGAAUAACUUUUAGAUUGAAACAGUUGCUCAGAUCCAACAACCUCAACUGAGUCAGCCGGCCUAUUUCUUCAACCAGUUUCUGCAUAUUAGAACCUCGAAGUGUAAGGAUUUCUAAUUUCUUUAGAUCUCUAAUAAUAGCGAUGUCUCCGAGUUGGCAAUCAUCGAGAGACAAUGUUUGAAGGUUUUGUAAGAGACCAAGCGAUGGAGGCAAAGGCAACAAAUGCAUCGUAGUGAAAUCUAAAACUCUAAGCCCUGUCAUCCCAGUAAAAAGGUUAUCUGGGAUUCUCAAAGAUGGAACAUUAUCAAUGGUGAGGUAUUUAAGUUGCGGACAUUCAAAAUCUUGAGGAAACUCACUAAUAUUACACCUACAUAAGGAAAUAACUUUGCAAACCUUCAGUCUCUCCUUAUCUGGCCAGCUGGUCAGCGGAAUAACCUCGUUUUCCACCGCAAACACAUGUUGGUCUCUAGAUGCAAUUGAUAUGGCUACAUCACGAACAACAUCAUGCAUAGAAAACCAUUCACUUGUAUUGCCAUCAAGCAACAAACAAGAUUUUUUGAGUUUUUCAACCAAUUCAUGUGCUCUAUCCCGCGCCUCUUCCAACGUGUUGAUGUUUUGAAACAGACCCAAACCCAUUCCAUAAAAGAGCACGUCUUCAACGCAAGAGAUGAAGGCGUACCUUAUUAGCAAAAAUGUACUCUUGAGCUCCUCCCCGUUUAAAUGACUGUAACUUAGCUCUAUACUUUUAUAUGCCACCUCCAGUGUUCCACUGAAGUUCCUCAAGGAAGGCCUUCUUAAUUCUAGCAAAGCAUCAUUCCAUUCACACAAUCUCUUAUUUCUCAAUGCCCUUGCUACGGGUACAAUGGCAAUGGGCAAACCAGCACAUUCCUUGACUAUAUCUUUUGCUACCGAUCUCAAUUCAUCAUUUUCUAUGCAAUCACCUGUCGUCUUCGUAAAAAGACUACAAGCUUCUCCUCCAUUCAAAACAUCAACACGAAAAUUCUGUUGACAAUCAAUCUUACAGGACAACACAUCUACACUUCUUGAUGUCAGCAGAACUUUACGUCCGCUGUUAUCAUCUGCCAAUGGAAUUCCAAUCGCCUCCAAAUCAAGACUCCCCCAAAUAUCAUCCAAGAUUAUAAGGAUCUUCUUCUCUACUUUCAAUCGUUCAUAUAGCCUCCCUGCUCUUACAGUUUCAGUCUCUUUAACUAAUCGCAAGCCCAUCUUCUCUGCAAUUUCUUCACCAGCGUCGUCUUUCCAACCCCACCCAUCCCGUAGACCCCAAUCAUGUUGAAUUUACGGUUGCUGAGUGCGUCUAGUAUCUCCUUCAAAGUGCACUUCCUCGAUUGAAAGUGCACGAAACCCUGGGUAGACUUAAGCCAUGGCUCUUCUGGAAUGGUUCGAAAAGAAACACUGUCCAAUCUCCCUUUUUCAAGGAGUUCAACAAUAGCAUUCACCUCCCUCACUGCUUUCUUGCUAAGCUGGUACCGAGUCUUCAAAUCAGGGCAUAACCCCUUCAAACACCGGUUGUUUGAAUUCUCUUUGUAUCCAAUAAGUUCUCCGACUUCAUUGAUGAGCCUGUGCGCACUAAUCAGCCACUCCGCAACUUUCGGUAGAAUUCCAUCCCCAUUAUUUCUGGAAUCAUCAACUUUAUGCUGCACACUGUCUCUAGCAUUCUUUAGGUUACCAACUUCAUUCUUCAGCUUCUCGAAGUUGGUCUUGUAGCUGCGGCAGUAAGUAAAUGGGUGAAAAAUGGGACCAACCAAGUUCUUUGAAGCUUUUGUAACAAUGGAGAUAACAAUUUCCAUUAUCCUUUUUUUUCCCCCCGCUUUCAGAAAACAGGGAAAAGCAAAACUAAUCAAACUAAGCAGAGCUAAUCAAUCGGCUGGGAAUUUGGAUAAAUUGCUGAAAUAAGAAGUUGUCCGAAUGAAAUUGAUGAAACAAAUAUUUAAGGGAGAAGGAGGGGAAAGGAGUGAAAAAUCUAGAGAUGAAGCGAAGAGGAGACAAAUUAAAAAGUGAGUGCAAUGAAAGAUUUGCAAAGAAGGUAUGGGAGGACAAGGAUGAUUCAGACAAGGGAAACAGAAUAUGAAGAAAGGGAUUUCAGAGAACUCUAAAGAUUAGGGAAGAAUGAUGAUUAGGAAAAUGAAGAGGCAGACAGUUGUGAUCUCGAGACUCAAGGGGUAAACUGAAUCAUGCAAAAAUGCCAAACUAAAUUCAUACAAGGAGAAGACUCGUGCUUCCAAGUCAACUAGAUUCUCCAUAAGUAAAUAGCGUUAAAGUCGCAGGUUAAAUGCUAAAUGGCAUUUUGGCAUUUCGUUGAAUUUUCUUGUUACCAGUAAGUGCUGUGCUGCCGACAUUUUUCAACUUGUAAUUGUAAGACUUUCCAAGCAAUUUUUGUGGUAGUUUUAAUUAAUUUUAAUUGUAUAUCAAAUAUUUUAUUACUGUAAUUUAAAAAUCACAAUUGAUAAACAACAAUAGUAGAGAGAACGUUAAAUAGUUUGAGAAUGAUUUUUUAUUUAGGGCAUGUUUGUGAUUGCUUUACGAACAAUCAAAAUGCUAAUUCUAUUAGCCAAUAAACACAAGCGCUUUGUCAAGAACAUUACGCGAAGAACCCUUUAUAUAAAUAGCAAUCAUGUAAUUACGGAAGGCUUAUCCUAAUUACAUUUUAGUUACAUUCAAUAACAAAUUAACAACAAUAUUACUUAAAAAUUUUCGUUUGGCAAUGAGUAUAUUGGAGGUAGCAUAAAAAAAUCUGAAAACUUUGCAAACUUUUUAUGAAAAUGCAUUAGAGUUGUUAUGUUCUUUCACUGUUGAUAAUGGAAAUAUAAUGCAGGCCAAGAGACCCAAAGUGAAAGUGACCCAUGUGCUUUUCUAAUUACUCUGCUAUAAAGCCAAAGUUUGCGGACUUUAUGAUUUUUUUUUUCAGAAAUAGAUAUGCAAAUAAAUUGAAAAGAAAAAAAAAAACCCUGUUGCGUGGUCAUGUGGGUCCUCGAAAUCAUUUCGGCAUUUAAUCGAACAGUUGGAUGUACUCGGCAAGACGGCAACUAUACUUCCUCGAAGGUUCCUGGAUGUUGCAAGUGCUGCCGGCAUUUUCAAACUCGGAAGGUUUCAAUAAUUUUUUUUCUUUGAAAUAAAGGUUUCAAUAAUUAGCUUUGAUUAUUGUGUAAUAUACGAUAAUCUAGUGAUGAUGGUCACUUAUAUAUGUGAUUAAAAGCUAAGCUGGUUGAUUUGUAAGUAAGAACACACGGCAAAGUAUUUGAGCAAGCAUUUUUAUCUUCUUAUUACCACAUUCUUCUAACCAAUUUGCUUUCACCAACAAAAUAAUUAAUAAUUUGUAAAUAGUUGGAUCUUAAGCUCAGAUUUUGACAAUACAUGAAUGAUAAUAUAUACUUAUUUUCCAAGAGUAUACUCUAUUCAAGAGAGGAUCUCAAAUUUUUAUUAGAGAAGAUCAUAUUUAAAGCUCAAGUGCAAGAAUAAUAAUGGUUGCGUUGACUGGAGAACAUCAAAUACAAACAAAGACCAUGCUAAAGGAAAAGCAAAAGCUGGCGAGAUUGAUAAAGAAAGACUAAUAAAGCUUUCCUUUCAGCAUUAAUCAUGAUUAUUGGAUGAACUAGAGGUGAUCACUGUUUUAUAUUUUUAGUGCAAAAUAGAAUACACUGCAAGAGCUGAUGGCUUUCUUUGUUGUCCUCUUAUUGUCACGUAUUUUGUAGCUUUCUCAUUUUGAUUAGUUGUUCGCUCAAUAACCUAAAUGGGUCAGGGUUUUGAUGAAUUGAAAUUGACAUCAUUUCUGUUAAGAGUAGUUUGUUAUAGUUAGUUAUAGCUGCUGACUUAUGCUGACGUGUUAGAUGAGCUAAUAAUUGUUAGUUAUAUUGGUUGUAGUUUGUUAGUAAUCUUUUAGCACAUGUAUAAGCUAAGCUCAGCUCGCGUGAAUUGAUUCCAGAAUAUUCAAGAGCUUAGUAUAAAUACUCUUGUAACAAAUACAACAAUUAAUUCUAAGCUCUCCAUUCUUCUUUCAAACUUUCUUUCGUUUUCUCUGUUUUUCUCAGAUGCUAAACACUUUUCUUAUAUUUUAACUUGGUAUCAGAGCUUCAAUCUUCAAUUCUCAUGGCAUCAUCAAGCUCAAACUCAAACACAAACUCAAUUAUUUCAUCAUUUACUUUCAUCUCACCGAUCAAACUUGAUCGUUCAAAUUAAACAAUCUGGAAGUCUCAAAUUCUUUCAUUUGUUCAAGCCAAUGGUCUAGAAGAUUUGCUUGAUGGAUAAAAAACCUAUCCAGAUCAAUUUCUUCAAGGUGAAACUGAAAACGCCUCUGCUAAUACUCAGCUAAAUCCAGCAUAUACUACAUGAGAGGGAAAGGGUCAGUUGCUACUGAACUGGUUGAUGUCAUCUAUCAGUAUUGAGAUUCUGAGUCUUGUAGUAAACUCUGAAACUUCUCUAGAACUUUGGACUAGUUUGGAACAACAGUUUGGAUUUGAAACUUUUGCUAAGAAAAUUCAUCUAAAAAAUGAUGCUUAAUAACCUUAAAAAAAGUUCGAUGACAGUCACUGAAUUUUUUGGCAAGUUAAAAACAAUUACUGAUGAGUUAGUCAUUACUGGUAAUCCAAUAAGUUCUCUGGACUUUCUUACACACCUGAUUUCUGGAUUAGGUCAGCCUUAUUAUCCUGUUGUAGUUUAUCUUGAAGCAAAUCUUGUUAAGAUCUCUAUCAAUGAGGCAUAUUCUAUGUUAUUAACUCAUGAAGUUAGUCUAUAGGCAAAUCAGUUAAGUGCAAGCAAGGAAGUUAAGUUGAACUAUACUGCAAAUAUUGCUCAAACUGGAUCUAGAUCUAAUAAUAACAAGAAACAAGGUGGUCAAUUCAAUAACAAUUGGACUGGUGGUCAAUUUAACAAUAAUUGGAACAAGAAUGCUAGCUUUAGAGGUGGAUAUGCUGGAGGCAAAGGUGGUUAUGGUAGAAAUUUUUCACAAGGAUAACGAAGAGGAAACUGGAAUGGUGUGCCAUUUGGAAAUUUUUCACAAGGAGGCAAAGGAAGUAAUUACAAUGGCAAUCCUAGUCAAAAUGAGGGAUUUACUAGUGGAUUUACUAAUGGCACAGGUGUUAUGGAUCAGGCUACUGCCACUGUAAUUUGCCAGAUUUGCUUUAAACCUAAGCGCACUGCAGCUGAGUGCAGAAACUGAUUCAACAAGGAUUAUGUUCCUUUCAACAAUCCAUUUCAGAACUCAUCAAGAAUUGCCCAUCUUACAACUUCAGAAGGGGCAAUAGCUGAUCAAGGAUGGUAUAUCGAUAGUGGUGCCACAUAUCACAUCACUAACAACUUACAAAAUCUACAAAUUGGAAGUGAGUAUUCAGGUAAUCAGCUGCUCCUUGUAGGUAAUAGUCAGGGUUUACAUAUUUCACAUAUUGGCUAUGCAUAUCUUCAAACAUCAUGCAAUACAACUUUAUACUUAAGAGAUACUUUGUGUGCUCCUAAACUUACUAAAAAUCUCAUAAGUGUUUCGAAAUUGCUUGAAGAUAACAUUGAUGUAACCAUUGAGUUUGUUGCCAAUAUGUGUUUUAUAAAAGAUAAGAGGAAGGAACGACAUCUGGCUCAAGGGAUUGCUAGAGGAGGAUUGUAUCUGUUGUUGUCAAAGAAUGACUUUGUUUCGAAUUCUAGUUGUCUCACUUAUGCACCUAGCUCUAUGCUUUCUGUUUUGAAUAAUUCAGCUUGUAAAAUUUUUGAUACUGCUACAAAUAAAGUUUGUAAUCCACAAUGUCAAAUGAACACAACCAAGAUAACAAACUUGUUUCAUCAGAAAUUUGGUCAUCCUAAUAAACAUGUGUUGAAAUCCAUUUUAUCUUCUCUUUCUAUUGAGUACUCAUCUAUAUCAGCACCUGAUUUUUGUGAUGCCUGUCAAUAUGGUAAAGUCCCUCAAAUGCCCUUUUACACAACUAGAAUCAUAACUAAAGCUCCUUUAGAGCUUAUCCACACUAAUCUUUGGGGUCCAACACCCUUACCAUCUCUACAUGGCUAUAGUUAUUACAUUAGCUUUGUAGAUGACCAUAGUAGAUAUUGCUGGAUUUUUCCAUUGACCCUCAAAUUAGAAGCAUUAGGCACUUUCAAAUUCUUCAAAACCUUAGUCAAAAAAUAGUUUGGCUACACUCUAAAAUCACUGCAGUCUAAUUGAGGGGGUGAGUAUAGAAGCUCUCAAAGUUUCCUUGAAGAAGAAGGGAUAAGGUUUAGACAUAGUUGUCCUCACACACACCAUCAAAAUGGUGUGGUUGAAAGAAAACAUAGACACUUGGUUCAAACAGGACUUACCCUUCUGACACAAGCCAAAAUGCCUCUGUCUUUCUGGUGAGAAUCAUUCCAUACAGCUUCCUUGUUAACAUAUAUGUUUCCAUAAUGUUGAUUUUGAUGAUAACAAAUAAGAUUAAGAGUGAUAAAUCUUUUAAGCUCAAAUUAUUUUUUAUACAUUUUAAAUAAAUCAUUAUUUUUACAUUAUAAAGGUUUUAUAUUUAAUGGAAAAAUGAUUUUAUGAAAUUGAUUGUUUUUAUUCUUUUUAAAUAAAUCAUUAUUUUUGCAUUAUAAAUGUUUCAUAUUUAAUGGAAAAAUGAUUUUAUGAAAUUGGUUGUUUUUCAAAGUUUAUGGUUUAAUUGAAAGAAUUUUGAAAACUUUGAAAUAAACAAGUAUUGCUUGAAAUUUUAGAGAAGGACUUAUUUGAAAAGUAUCAUAGCAUUUUGGGCUAUACCAUAAUUUCAAAAAAUUUUGGGAUUAACAAAGCAUUAUUUAGAAAUUCUGGAAUCGGACCUAUUUACAAAGUUUUAUAAUAUUUUGGGUCGUAAUACAGUUUUAUAAAGUUUUGGGGUCAAACUAUAAAUUUGGGAAAUAUUUCACUGUAGCAGUUACUGUAGUAGCUACUGUAGAAAACGGCGAUCCGACAUCUUGAUAACGGCUCGCCGAUAUCUAACAGAGUUGAAGAUUAGCCUCUGGACCUAAACGGCGAUCCGACAAUUGUGAUAAACGGCUCGCCGAUAUUUAACAGAACUGAAGAUCAGCCUCUGGACCUAAACGGCGAUCCGACAUCUAGAAUAAACGGCGAUCCGACAAUUUGAAAAAUCAGCCCAACGGUCAUAUUGACCAGUCAAACGGCGAUCCGACAGUGUGCAGACAGUCUAUAACGGCUAGUUUUCAGCUGCAGCUAUAAAUAAGCUCAUUCAAAUUCAAACAAAGGUUAAUCACAACACGACUAUUGAGCUUAUAUCCGAGAAUACAAUCUUCAUAGAGCUUUAAACACAUUCUCUCUUCAUCUAUUCACAUAUUGGGCAUUGAUUUGUAAUCUUAAAUAUUGUGUGAGAGAAAAACAAUUUGUAAUCUUUUACUUUGAGUGAUUGUAAGUGUUGGGAUACACUUGGGUUAAGAGAUUGGGGAUAAUCUCUUGUUGUAAAGGUCCAUUGACACCUUGGAAGUCAAUUGUAAGCGUUUGAAGCCUUGGGAGGCUAGCUUAGUGAAAUCCUCAAGCCCGGUGAGCUUGGAGGCGUGGACGUAGGCGGGGAUUGCCGAACCACGUAAAAAUCCUUGAGUUUGCUUUCUCUUCCCUUGCUCAUUUAUUAUUGUGCUUUCAUUGAAUUUAUUGUUUUCAAAUUUAUUAAGGCAUUAGAUUGGAUUGUUGUGUGGUUUGCUUAGCUUAAUUUUUAAAUCCCAAUUCACCCUCCCUCUUGGGUUGCCUAGUUAGUAUUUCAUUUGGUAUCAGAGCGAGGUGCUCUUGUGUAGACUUAACGUCUAGAGUCAAAGAUCCAUAGCAACCCAAAUUAGCUCAACCAUCAUGGAAGGCCAAUCUAUCACUAGACCUCCAUUUUUCGACGGAAAUGAUUAUCCUUAUUGGAAAACUAGGAUGAGAAUUUAUUUACAAGCUUUAGAUUAUGAAAUUUGGGAAGUUGUUUGUGAUGAUUUACUCAUUCCUAGAAAGAAUGCUUUAAGUGAGUUGGAUAAGAAAAAGAUGUCUUUAAAUUCCAAGGCUAUGAAUGCUUUAUUUUGUGCCUUAGAUAAAAAGGAAUUUCAUAGAGUUUCAAAUUGUUCUAAUGCUUAUGAAAUUUGGAGAAAACUUGAAAUUGUGUAUGAGGAGACUACAAACGAGGAGAAUUUUCAUGAAGUGUCAAAUUUGGCACUUAUGGCAAUUGGAGAUGAAUCGGAUGAUGACCCAUGUGCUUUUCUAAUUACCCUGCUGAAAACUAUAAAGCCAAAGUUUGCAGAUUUUAUUAUCAAUUUUUUUUUUCAAAAUAGAUAUGCAAAUAAAAAGACAAAAGAUGAGACUUAUUAUAGUACCAGUGGCGGGCCCCCUGGGUCCUCAACUUCUUCAAAUGGGCAUUUUAAUAUAUUUACAUAUAAAUAAAUGAAUAUCUUAUGUAAUAUUCACUCCAUCAAGCAUGAAGUAUAUAAUUAAUUGAAUGUACAAGCAUCGGCAUUAGUUGACAGGAAAAGAGCUCGUUAAUAAAUUAUAUGAGUGAUAAUACUACUUGAAUCAAACUCACGUCCAAAGUUGGGACUCGCCUAUUGUGCAACAGUGGCACCAUGCCACCGUUUUUGUCUUUUUCUGUGUAAAAUUUCAUGAAGCCCUUUCACUUAUUCUUAUUUGAACUUUGCUUCACAAAUAUUAAGUUCAUUUCUCCCAAACUCGUGAAUCCUUCAACGGCCGAUCAACGGCAAAUCGGCUCCUCCAAUGGCUGUGGUUGGUCAGAAAAGACAAAGGGAACUGUGGAGAACAAAACCCAAGUGGUGGUGUCACCGGAAACCGGAGAAACCGCAGUGAAUUGAAGCGGGGAUUCUGUGACUUUUUGCGGCUUUGAUCAACAGCUUUCCGAAUGCUUUACGGCAACAAGGAUGGCAUGAAGAUGACCAGCGUCGCACGAGCUUCCGAUCGGUACCAACCUUGGCUGGUGGAGUAGGCAGAAACGUAAAAAAAAUUUGGGUCGGGUUCACGAGUCAGGUUGACUCAGUUAUUUUUGCGACAAGGAUGGUGUGGAGAUGACCGGCAUCGCAUGAUCUUCCGAUCGGUACCAACCUUGGCCGGUGGCAUGGACGAAAAUGGAAACGAAAUUCGGGUCGGGUUCGUGGGUAUUUGUGAUAAAGAGAGGGGUAUUGUGAUAAAAGGUGCAAUAUAGAAGGAAAAUGUAUAAAUAGGAAAUAGUAUAAGGUGCUAAUUAUAAUGUUUAUAUGGAUGCAAUAGAAAUUAAUUUAAUAUUUAUGAGGUAAAGUUUAAAUAAAAAUGAAUGAAAGUGGUUCAAUGAAAUUUUACAACAAUGCUGGCACAAAAGACAAAACCAGUGGUACGGUACCACGGUGGUACCGUAGCUGGAUCCCCAAAGUUGAUAAGAGUUAAAUUAAAUAAAGCUUUGAUGAUUUAAUGUGCAUAAAAUUAUAAAUUUAUAAUCAUCAAAUGGAUCCACCUAUGUCACAAUAGUUGCACCAUACCACACUUUUUGUCUCUAUUUCGCAGAGCCGUAAGAUGUUUUAUUGUUCAAUCUAACUAUUGAUGCCAAAAUCGGCUCGUCCUUGGACCGACCAGAUUCGUUCACCAACGUUUAAGUUAUCCACUGCUGCACGAACCGCUAAGGCUGGAAUUACCCUCCUUUCUCUCACUAGACCUGCGUUCACCAAAAACAGAUCAGAGACGCCGGUGGUUUUGCCGGCGUAAACCCUCCGAUGCCUAAGUUAGCACAAGGUGUUUACGGGAAAACAGUUAAAUUUUGAUUCAACAGUGGUUCUAAUUUGUUCGAAGUUUGUAAUAAAAUUGUCUGGUUUCAAUUUGGCAGCGUUUUCCCUCUCCCAGUUUUGUUAUCUCCAUCUUCAUCGAUUUCUUCUUCUUUUAUAGCUGCUGUUUGUCCCACGUCUUCCGCUUACCCUCUAUCCCCCCUUUUCUCGGGUUGUGGCAGCCCCUCAUGGGGCUCUGACUGUUGCAUUGUGGCAAACGUGGGAUCUUAUGUGUCCUUCAACGGUUCCGGGAAAGGCGCAGCAGCCGCGAUUCUGUGGGAUCGUGUUCCCGCUUUUCUGGGGAGUGUGUAUCGGUUCGGUAUUAACAUCUGGUCGGCAUACGCUCCCGUGCUCUGCUCGUACCCACGGCUGAGGUGAUCCAUGCCGGGGUGGAGGUAGUAGCAUGGUCGACCUGGUGCUUUUAUUAACUUAACACCAGUCCCCCAGUUUCUGGUCUUGCGAGUGAAAUGAGUUAGGAGUAGAAACUGAUAGUCAAAUCUUACCAACCUGGGGAGCGUCUCGCCUGGUCUUCCGCUUACCAGGACAGAUCUCAGGUACCAUUUUCCUUCUAGGGAGAUUCCGACCUGAGCAUGGGCCUAAAUGAGCCUGUCCGUUGCAUAUCUGGGCUUUCAUCUAACCCGGUCUCUUGUAACGGUUGGUGACGUGGUGCUUCCCGACUCUUCGUAUUUGAAAUUUGAAACGACGGGCUAUCCGUCCUCGAUAUAUGGGGGGGUGAGCUGGCAUAUCCCAUCACUUAAAUGCUUCCAUUUCCCCCUUUUCGUUUUAAAUCCCUAGACUGGAGUCUUCACCAUCUUGUUACUCGUUUCUCCGCCGUUAACCAAAUUUUCUCUGAACUUUGCUCACACUUCCAGCGUCCGGAGUAUCCAUUUGCUGGGUGUUUUCUCUGUUACGGCAGCGCUAUCAGUGUCAGUCUAUUCCAGGUAUAGCCUUUAACCUUUUCUUCGGCUGUUGUUGAUUGGGUUCUGUGUUGCCCCUUUGUGUCCAUAUACUCGAGUUUUCUCUGUUUUCUUUUGGGAUUCCGGUAUGUCAAAUCGGAAGAGGAAGUUAAUUGUUGAUGAGGGUGAUGACGAAUCAGGGGAUUCAGGCCUCAACGUGCCAAUACCCACCGAUUUUUUAGGUCCCUCCAGUAGUGUAGGUCCUCCCCAUGGUAGGGAUACCCUUGAUUACCUACGCCCCCUGGUUGUCUCUCCCUCUCCCGAAUUAGAGCUUGUAGGAAAUAGGGGUGGACCUGCGUCGGGCUCUGGUGAGAACCACAGCUUUGGUGGGGUUGGGAUCCCUGAAGGAGUUGGUGAUGGUGAGGGGGAGCAGUUCCGGACCGAGCAGACCUGCUCAGAAAAGGAACCUAGGCCAUAGGGUGGAGGUUGAUUCCUACCCUAUUGAUUUCAUGGCUUGUGCCACCACCCCCACCGAUCUAUUUAAACUUAGGAAUCUCUACAACAUCCCCAACGAGGUUCUUCUUGUAGUUCCUGGAAAAGGUGAUGUCCCUAGUCGGCCUCCGAAAGGGUAUGUGACGAUGCACUUGGAGAGUUUCAGACUAGGAGCUCGGCUGCCCCUUCAACCUUACUUUGCCAAGAUACUGGGCGGUAUGCACCUGGCCCCAGGUCAGCUACACCCAAAUGGGUGGAGGGUUCUCUCGGCAAUGUUUGUGUUGUGGGAGAGGUGCGGGUCGGAGGAGCCUUCUCUUGUUGAAGUGAAACAUCUGUACCAGUUGCGGAGUAGCCCGAAAGAGGCAGGCUGGUACUAUUUCAUGUCCAGUUCCGCAAAGAGGAAACCGAUCACUGGGUUUCCAUCUUCAUGUAAAAAUUGGAAGAAUAAAUUCUUCUUUGCUGGAGGGAACUGGUGUCCAGCGGUUCGGUCGCUUGGUGGGGAGAUUUAUCUUCCCACCCAUUUUGUCACCCCAGGUCGUUCAUUUUUUGCCUAUAUUCUUUCUCAAAUUGACACUCAUUGGGUUCUUUAACCUUGUUUGUUUUUUCAGAAUCGUGGGGUUUGGUGAAGGACCUUGAAGACCGACCUUUGCUUCAGGUGGAAACUGCUCUGUUGAACGCGUCUACUUGCCAAGACCUCCUGUCGCCAACAAACUUGGUCGGUUCCCGCUUAGUCGAUAUUGCCGCUGGAAUGGAUAACAAGAUCCUCAGCGCGUUGAGCAGAAAGCGUGGUCGGGCUCCGAGUAGCUCCAGCAACCCUCCUCCUCCUCCAAAGAAACCCAGCGUCGGUCCUUCCAAGGUGCCAGUUCCUGCUCUGCCCCCUCCUCCACCUCGUAAGAGUGGUGGGGAUAAAACCUCCGACAAGAGUCCUGAGGUCAGCUUGCAGUCUGGGGACCGCUCUUCUCCUCUUCCAUCUCGGGAUCAGGGUGACUACCUAAGCCCAUAUCAGAAGGAUUAUAGAAAAUCGGUUGGGCCCAAGAUGGUGAAGGACAUCGAGAGCAUGAGCCUCUCCGAGUUAACUGCUUCUGUUCAAAGAGUCUCCUUCAGGCUGGCCACAAUGGUCUCGUGCUACAAGACCGGGUCCGCGCGUCAUGAGAGGAAGCUUCAAGCUGAUAACCAGGAGUUGAAAAAGAAAGUUGAAUCUGCUGACCGCUCCAAGGAGAAACUGGCCGAGCUGAACAAGCAGCUUACGGAGCUUGAGGAGAAAGUUGCUGUUGCUGAGUCCACUUCCUCCAAGCUUGAGGGUGAGUUGGGUGAUCUGAAGUCCGAUCUUCAGGCUACCCAAAGUGAAAAGGAUACUCUGAGGAUCGCCCUUGAAGGAGAGAUCAACUUCCUGAAGGACAGCUGGCUGAGGAGAAAAGCAAAUCCGCUGACGUGGAUGAUCGGCUGGAUGCCGAGUAUGACUCCGGGGUUGCUUUCAGCUAUAAGUGCAUCAUGUCUGUGCUUAAGGAAGAAUACCACGAGCUCGACAUGAGCAAGCUGGAAUCUGGGGUGGAGAGGUAUAUGGCUGGGGCCGGCCAGGGAGAUAAGGAGCAGGUGGAGGUUCCUUUUGAUGAGGUGCGGGAGGGAGGAGCUGGUCAGUGUGUUUUUUAAGUGGGACAAGGGUCUGUGCCUCCUCCUCCCGUUAUUGCUGAUCUUCCACCUCCCGAGAUAGCCGACCCUUCUCCUACUGAGGCCGUUGACCUUCCUAAUCCUUAGGUCUAUUUUUGUAAAAACUCUAGAUUGUUAUUCGCUUUGUAAACAUUUGAACAUUUAUAAAUUUUUAAAUGCUCUCUAUUGGCUUUCUUGUCUGGUUUUGCUCACGGGUUGCUUCUGCAAAACAACUUGGCAAUUUAUCUGAUUUUGCCUGUUGGUUCUUUAGUGCAUUGAGCAGGAAUAGGCAUCCGUUUGCCUUAGCGAAAUUUUCGCAAAAUUGCCUGCUGGUCUUCGGUGACCGAGCAGGAUUGGACACUUAUUUGCCUUAGUAGAAUUGUCGUAAAUUUAACUGCUGCUUUUCGUUGACCGAGUAGAGGUAGGCACUUGCCUUAGUAGAGUUUUCGUAGCUUUAGCUGCUGAUCUUUUACUUCACCGAGCAGAAGUAGGCACCGAUUUGCCUUAGUAGAAUUUUCGUAGCUUUAGCUGCUGGUCUUACGUUGACCGAGCAGAAGUAGGCACUGAUUUGCCUUAGUAGAAUUUUCGUAGCUUUAGCUGCUGGUCUUACGUUGACCGAGCAGAAGUAGGCACUGAUUUGCCUUAAUAGAAUUUUCGUAGCUUUAGCUGCUGGUCUUACGUUGACCGAGCAGAAGUAGGCACUUAUUUGCCUUAGUAGAAUUUCCGUAGCUUAAGCUGCUGGUCUUUCGUUGACCGAGCAGAAGUAGGCACUGAUUUGCCUUAGUAGAAUUUCCGUAGCUUAAGCUGCUGGUCUUUCGUUGACCGAGCAGAAGUAGGCACUGAUUUGCCUUAGUAGAAUUUUCGUAGCUUUAGCUGCUGGUCUUUCGUUGACCGAGCAGAAGUAGGCACUGAUUUGCCUUAGUAGAAUUUUGGUAGCUUUAGCUGCUGGUCUUUCGUUGACCGAGCAGAAGUAGGCACUGAUUUGCCUUAGUGAACUUUCAAGAAUUUAGCUGCUGGUCUUUCGUUGACCGAGCAGAAGCAGGCACUGAUUUGCCUUAGUGAACUUUCAAGAAUUUAGCUGCUGGUCUUUCGUUGACCGAGCAGAAGCAGGCACUUGCCUUAGUGAAAUUUUUAUUGAUCUUGCUAGCAGGGGGAUUUCAUGUUGAAUUCAUCUUUAUUGAAAUUUGAAUGUAUUACAAAAAACAUAGAAUAUAUGCAUGUGCGACAGGCCAUCGGGCAUUGUAACAGAAAUAACUUGCCAGAGUGAGGAUUUAAUAGAGCAUUUUGCUUACUGGAAAUACUUCUUCAGGUGUUCGGCGUUCCAUGACCUCUUCACGUCUCGUCCGUCUUGGCACGCUAAUUUAUAUGCUCCUGGUCCAGUGGCUCGUAUCACUCGGUAUGGGCCUUCCCACUUUGGGCCAAGAGCGCCAUGGUUAGGAUUCCUGGUGUUCUGGUUCACCUUCCUAAGUACCCAAUCUCAUGCUCGGAACUGCCUCACGCGUAAAUUCUUGUUGUAAUAACGCAUGACCCUUUGCUGACAUUGGGCCACUUUCUGCGAGGCCUCUUCCCUUUUCUCCUCCAGCAGGUCUAGGCUUAAGCAGAUCUGCUCGUCAUUUUGCUCCUCAACGAAAUGUUCUGUUCGAUGUGUCCCCACUCCAAUUUCCGCUGGGGCUACCGCCUCAUGACCAAAAGCUAAAGCAAACAGGUUUCCCCUGUGGCGGUUUUGUGGGUUGUCCGAUAGGCCCAUAAUACCCCUGGUAGUUCGUCAACCCAAGCUCCCUUCUUCUCUCCCAAUCUAGUUUUCAAGAGCUUCUUUAUUACUUUGUUAGCUGCCUCCACUUGUCCGUUUGCCUGGGGGUGCGAGGGGGUGCAAAACUUCAGGUCCACCCCCAGAUUCCGACAAAAUUCUCUGAAGUUGUUGUUGUCAAAUUGCCUCCCAUUGUCGGUAAUAAUGGCAUAAGGGAUUCCGUAUCUGCAGAUGAUAUUCUUCCAAAUAAAAUCUGUUGUCUUUCUUUCCGUGAUUUGGCUGAGGGUCCCCACUUCUAUCCACUUGGUGAAGUAGUCUAUUGCUACAAUCGCAUGGGUUGCCGCUCAUCGGCCUUUCGGUAACGGACCAAUCAGUUCUAUUCCCCAUUGAGCAAAUGGCCAUGGGGAUGUCAUAGUAGUCAGCUUUUCUGGGGUUGUGUGGGAACCUCUGAAAAGCUUUGGCAGAUAUUGCACCUCUUUGUCAUCCAUUUUGCAUCCUGGUGCAUGGUCGGCCAGAAGUAUCCUUGCCGGAGUGCCUUGAAGGCUAAAGCUCUGGCUCCUGAAUGAUUUCCACAUAUCCCUUCAUGAAUCUCCCUUAGUACAUAGUUUACCUCCUCGUCAUCCAAACAUCUCAAAAGGGGUAAGGUGAACCCUCGGCGGUAUAACACUCCAUCUAGUAGCGUGUACCUCGCUGCUCGGCAUUUUAACUUUCUUGCUUGCCUUUUGUCUUUCGGUAAAACUCCGUCGCGGACAUACGCGCAAAUCGGGUCCAUCCAGGAUUCUCCAGCGCUUACUCUCAUCACCUCUACUUCCUCCCCUAUACUCGGCGAGGUCCUCACCUCUAGUGGAACCGACUUAGGUAAUUUUGGAUCUGCAAUUGCAGCCAUCCUAGCCAACAUAUCCGCUCGGUAAUUCUCAUUCCGAGAUAUCUGCUUUACUUCCACCUCUUGGAAAAGCCCGACCAUCUGCUUCGCUUUUUUUAAAUAAAGACCCAUCUUCUCUCCCCUUGCUUGGAACUGAUCAUUGAGCUGAUUACAUACCAAUUGGGAAUCUGCUCGGAUUUCUACCCUUUCUGCUCUCAAAGCGUGUGCAAGCCCGAGCCCGGUGAUAAAGGCUUCAUACUCAGCUUGGUUGUUUGUGAGCUGAAAUUCGAACUUCACCGCAUAUGUUAUCUCGGUUCCCUCUGGGCUUCGUAUUACAACUCCUGCUCCGGAUCCUUGCUCACUACAUGAUCCGUCAACCAUUACCAGCCAUAUCCCCUUUGAAUCAUGUUGCUCUGCCGGUUGUUCCUCUUGGACCUCUUCCCCCGGUUCAACACGGUCCACCAUAAAAUCUACCAGGGCUUGGGCCUUGAUUGCUCCUCGGGGCCUGUAGGACAGGUCAAAUUCGCUCAGCUCCAUGGACCAUUUUACUAACCGACCAGACACAUCUGGUUUUUGAAACACUUGCCGAAGUGGCUGGUCAGUCAUCACAACGAUCUGGUGGGCUUGGAAGUAUGGUCGGAGUUUGCGUGCUGCCGUUAUCAAAGCCAGCGCCCACUUCUCCAUUAGCGGAUAUCUGGUUUCUGCAUCCACCAGGGCCUUGCUUGUGUAGUAUACCGGGUGUUGCUUCCCUUCUUCUUCCCUGACUAAGACCGAGCUGGUAGCCUGCUUAGAGAUUGCCAAGUACAAGAGCAGCUGAUCACCCUCUCUCGAAGUUGAUAGUAACGGGGCGCGGGCUAGGUAUUCCUUCAGCUGUCCAAAUGCCCCCUCGCAUUCCGGUGUCCAUUCUAGCUUCUUCCCUUUCUUUAUGACUUGGAAGAAAGGGUGGCACUUAUCAGUGGCUCGCGAAAUGAAUCGGUUCAAUGCUGUCAAUUUCCCCGUAAGGCUCUGCACCUCCUUAACUGUUCGUGGGGACCUCAUUUCUAUUACCGCCCGUAUUUUUUCUGGGUUGGCUUCAAUACCCCGAUGGCUCACCAGGUAUCCCAAAAAUUUGCCCGAGCCGACCCCAAAUGCACAUUUCUCCGGGUUCAGCUUCAUUUCGUACCUCCUCAGCAAUUCGAAAGUCUCCUCCAAGUGCUUCACAUGAUCUCUCGGGUCUCUUGACUUGGUGAUCAUAUCGUCCACAUAUACUUCCAUAGUGUGACCGAUCAAUGGUUUGAAGACCUUGUUCACUAACCUUUGAUAGGUAGCUCCUGCAUUUUUCAGGCCAAAGGGCAUCACCCUGUAACAAAACAGACCCAUGUUAGUUAUAAAGGUGGUGCUUUCCUCAUCCUGCUCGUUCAUGGGUAUCUGGUUGUAUCCGGAGAAGGCAUCUAUGAAACUGAGCAGACUAUGACCCGCGGUUGAGUCCACCAACUGAUCUAUUUUUGGUAGGGGAAAUCUAUCCUUCGGGCAUGCCUUAUUAAGGUCCGUGAAGUCUACACACAUUCUCCACUUCCCAUUGGCCUUCUUUACCAGUACCACAUUGGAAAUCCACUCCGGGUACUUGGCUUCCCUUAUAAAUCCUGCUUUUAGCAGCUUUUCCACUUCGGCAUUUAUGGCCUCGUACCUUUCAUGAUUGAAGCACCUCCUUUUCUGCCUCACCGGCCUUGCCCCUCUCUUGACCGCCAGCUUGUGACAAGCUAUCCCGCGGUCAAUACCUGGCAUAUCCUCAUGAGACCAGGCAAAUAUGUCUGCAUGGGACUGUAGACACUUCACCAGCUCGGCCUUUAUUGCUUCGCCCAAUUCUGAUCCGAUCUUAACAACUCUGCUAGGGUCACUCCUGCUUACAACAACUUCCUCCAGCUUCUCAACAGGUUCCUGACGACCAUUUUUUGAAUCCCCUCGGUUAUCUAGAGAGGUAACCUGCAGCGUUUCCUUGGCCGCUGUAGCAUAGCAGCUCCUGGCCAUUCUCUGGUCGCCCUUUACCACACCCACAACUCCAUUUAUUCUGUACUUCAUCGCCAGAUAAUGCGUGGACAUUACACAUUGGCUUAUCCUCAUGAACGGUGUCCCCAAUAUCAUCUGGUAAGGACUUCUUUCCUCUACCACUACAAAGUCCAACAUCAUCGUUCUUUCAAAUGGCUUUGUCCCCACAGUAAUCGGGAGUUCAAUGACCCCCAUGGGAGUUAACCGUCCCCCUCCAAAUCCCUUCAAGGAUGUAUUCGUUCGCUCCAGCUUGAAGUCUAAAAUCCCCAUAUCAUCUAGGGCCGACUUAAACAGAAUGUCUACUGAGCUGCCCGUAUCUACCAGUAUUCGUCGCAAUUCUGUACUGGCCACCAAUGCUUUAAUCACCAGUGCAUCCUCGUGAGGGUACAAAAUGCCCUCUUCGUCGUCCUCUGUCCACAUAAUAGGAACUUGCCGCACUUUUGCCCUAUUGGCUACUGGCAAAUUGAGAAGCACUUCCUUGCCAGUCAUGGCAUAUCUCCUAUAGUUUUUUCGUGCUCUGUUUGAAUCCCCGGCCAAUGUUGGCCCUCCUGCUAUCACCUGGAUAGUCGGCUGUUCUCGUUCCAAACCCCUUUCAACUCCUUCAUCCUGUGCAUAUUGCGACUCACUGACGGGCGACACUCUAUCUACGUACUCACCCAAGUACUGGUUCCUCACCAAAUCCUCCACCUGAAUCCUUAGGUCACGGCAUUGGCUGAUGGUAUGACCGUGAGUAUUGUGAAAUUUGCAGAACCUGCUCUUAUCACGCCGGUGAGCGGGUUUCGUUAUAGGGGCCGGAGUAUACAGCAGUCCUCGUCCCUCGAUCCUUUCAUAUAGUUCCUCCAUGGAGAUUUUUAAUGGAGUAUAUUGUCUAUAUGCCGCGCUCUGGUCAACCAACUGAACUGCUCGGCUAUGAUGGAUGUCACCUCGGUCUGGUAUAGCCGGUAGCUGCUCUGGUCGGCCAGACCUGUAAUUAGUUGCAUUUACCGCUCUGGGGGUGCUGUGAUAAGGGUGAGCAGUCAUCUGCCUGAAUUCUCGCUGCCGCUCUGGGAUCGGGGGGCGCGGAGGUUGAGCCCGGCUGUGUUGGAACUGUUGUGCUCUCUGAGCUAUGGGGUAAGGGCGAGACCGAACUGAUAUUCCGCCCAUCCCUGAAGAUUCUCCAGUUCGCUUUCCCGACCCGCUCCCUUUCGGGGCUCUCCGUUCCCUUCGCCUCAGCUCUUCUAGCUGUUCACUUUUAAUUCUUGCUGAUUUCUCCUCUUCUAUUUCUAUAUCUCAUCUCGCCUGCUCAUACCCCGACGAGUAAUUCUGUACGAGGGGGCUUCUUAAGUUAUACCACAAUCGGCCGAUUCUUACACCUUCUUUUAAUCCCCUCAAUGCCUGCGGGUGAUUAAAAGCUCCCAAAUCCAGCACGGCUCGGUGAUAUCGUUUUACGAAAUCUCGAAGGGAUUCAUUCUCCUCCUGCUUCAUCCCCAUCAAUUCCAUCAUGUCAUCCUCUGGGGCCACUGCCCCUCGGAACUGCUCGGCCAACUCCUGGCACAUCUGCUCAUACCCCUUUAUUCCUCCUCGGGGCUGCUUGCGGUACCAUUCUCGGGCUCGUCCCUCUAGUGUCAACGGGAACACCCUGCACCUCUGAGCUGGUGUCAGCCCCUGCACACCCGUCAUGUCGUUGAAACGCUCAAUGUGCACCAACGGGUCACUUCGCCCGGAGUAUUUGAGGUCGGGGAAGCGGAAAUCUCUUGGGAUUAUGGUACUCAUGAUCUUAGUUGAUAACGGGGAUUCUUCAUCUAGCAUUAUCCUCCAGCUCGGGGGCUUUCUCUUGCCCUGCAUCUCCUCUAUCACCUGCGCCAAUCUGCGCACCUCCCCCUCCAAUUCUAUAGCACGAUCAGGAUCAUGUGCAGCUAUCUGGUCUCGCUCCUGCUCGACGUUCUGCAACCGCUGUCUGAGCUCUCCUUCAUCAACACUGGCCCCUCGGCCAUUUAUUUCCAGUACCCGUCUGGGGCGAGGUUGGUCUCUCCCUUCAUCCACGUGUUCCCCUGGGACCCGACCAGUACUUCGGUGAGGAUGCACUCCGUUAGGUUGGUCUGCGGGCGGGGGGAUUUCCCCGACCCUACGCCCCCGGAGGCUGGGUUCUGCUCCAACUCCAUCUCUUCCCACGGGGGUUUCACAAUCCCUUCUCUGCUCGUCCCUCAGCUCAAACAAUACAGCCGCGAGAGUCUCCAUUUGUUUCUCCAUCUGCUCCAGUCUAUCUUGCAUCAUCCUCUCUCGGGCUUCAUUUGCAAUCUCCCGGAGAGUGAUUGUCUCCACCGUUUCAUUGCCCUCCCUUAAAGUAUCCUUUCUUGACGCAUCCAUAUCCAAUCGUUCGCUGCUUCUCCGGUACUUACUAAUUUGGUGGUAGCUUUUUAUUCAGCUCCCCACAGACGGCGCCAAAAUGUUGAUGCCAAAAUCGGCUCGUCCUUGGACCGACCAGAUUCGUUCACCAACGUUUAAGUUAUCCACUGCUGCACGAACCGCUAAGGCUGGAAUUACCCUCCUUUCUCUCACUAGACCUGCGUUCACCAAAAACAGAUCAGAGAUGCCGGUGGUUUUGCCGGCGUAAACCCUCCGAUGCCUAAGUUAGCACAAGGUGUUUACGGGAAAACAGUUAAAUUUUGAUUCAAGAGUGGUUCUAAUUUGCUCGAAGUUUGUAAUAAAAUUGCCUGGUUUCAAUUUGGCAGCGUUUUCCCUCUCCCAGUUUUGUUAUCUCCGUCUUCAUCGAUUUCUUCUUCUUUUAUAGCUGCUGUUUGUCCCACGUCUUCCGCUUACCCUCUAUCCCCCCUUUUCUCGGGUUGUGGCAGCCCCUCAUGGGGCUCUGACUGUUGCAUUGUGGCAAACGUGGGAUCUUAUGUGUCCUUCAACGGUUCCGGGAAAGGCGCAGCAGCCGCGAUUCUGUGGGAUCGUGUUCCCGCUUUUCUGGGGAGUGUGUAUCGGUUCGGUAUUAACAUCUGGUCGGCAUACGCUCCCGUGCUCUGCUCGUACCCACGGCUGAGGUGAUCCAUGCCGGGGUGGAGGUAGUAGCAUGGUCGACCUGGUGCUUUUAUUAACUUAACACUAACGACUACAAAUUUUUUUUAAAAAUCAAAUAGCUACUGAUCAACUGUGCAAUUGCUUUAUACAAUUAGGGUUCUUGCCUUAAUGAUGUCAUGGAGAUGGGUGAAUCAAUGGCCACCAGGCACCAAAUUCAUGACCAAUCAAUGACCAACAAGCACCAAAGUAAUGCCAAGCACACCAACAACCACCGAUUAAUGGCAAGCUUAGUGUUUAGAAUUUGGAGAAGCACUUGGUACUGUAUCGAGGUAUUAAAUCAUCAAAAACCAAUUUGGUUUGGACUCUUCAAUUUCAACUUGACUCCUACACCAAAGCCGCCCAACAACAACUCAACAACCGAAUCACUCGUCCUAAUAGCAUAACAAUCCAGUCGUCAGUUGCCUGCACAUGAGAGACCAUUUUCUAAUUUAUGAUCGAAAUUGUUGAAUUAAUUUUACAAUUCUCUUGUACCAAUUUUCAUCAUAUAUGUUGCCUCAAGAAGUGAAGAUUGAUGUCGGAAUCACUUUCAGUUUCAAUUACAUGAUGUUUGCGAUCUUCUUAUACCAAUUCGGUUUACAGUUGCCUUAAGUAUCCAUGUCCGUCAAAUCUUAUCUAUAUUAAAGUAACCGCCUAAACUGUUAACCAGUGGCUGUUUGAUUUUAAAAAAAUAUUUGCAGCCGUUAGAUUGAACAAUAAAGCAUCCGACGGCUCUGCCAAAUAGAGACAAAAAGUGUGGUAUAGUGCAACUGUUGUAACAUAGGUGGAUCCUCAUCAAUAUAUCUCGAGACUUUGUAAAGUUACUAUGAAAAUCCAUCACAGCUGUAGUUAUUAUGAUUUAUUUGGUCCAAAUAGUCUAAUGCCAGUGGCGUGACCUCGUGGGUCCUCAAAUUAUUCAAAUGGGCAUUUCAUCGAAUAGUUGAUAUACUCGGCAUCUGCAAUUGGAAGACACGUUCAAAAACUCUAAAUCAUGUUAAAGUCAACCAGAAAGACGAAACAUAGAAAGCAACAAUCCAACAACUUGUUUAAAAUAUUCGCUUCAACAAAUGGUUGCGUUGACGUGUAUUUUGGGGGAUCAUCAAAUAUAAACAAAGACCAUGUUAAAGACAAGCAAAAGCUGGCGAGAUUGGUACUGAUAUACUAAAAGAAAGACUAAUAAAGCUUUCCUAGCGGCAUCACUCGUGAUUAUUUGAUAAACUAGCGGUAAUAAAUGAUUAUAUUUUUAGUGGAUAACAGAGUACGUUACAAGAGCUGAUAACUGAUCGCUUUCUUUAUUUUUUGUCAAUAUUCAAGCAAAAAUACAAGUCAAUCAAAAUAACGUACCAUAUUAACAUUAAAUAAACAGAGAGGGAUAAGCUGGGCCAAGUCUUUAAAUCAGCUACGUCAUGGAAGAUUAAAAAAAUAGAUCAACUAGAAUAUAAUAUAAUGCUCUCACAUUUAAUUAAUUAGGAGGCUAAUGCACUAUAACUCAGCAUUAAUCAAAAUUAUUUCAUAAACUAGUAUAUACUGGAUAUCUCGAUCGGUGCAAAACCGAGUACUGAGAGAUAAAAAUUAACCUGGUGUCUUUGGCAGGUCUUUAAUAUAAUUGCUAAGCUUGCCCCAUGCCAUUGCCAACUUUGGCCAUCGGCUAGCUGCUACUUAUGAAGCAACUCAAGGAAACAUAAAGCAGCCGUCGUAAGAUCAAGCACAACAAGUGUGAUCACUGAUCAUGCAUCCAGGACAAUUUUAUAUUUAUUCAAUUUCAAUAAUCAUAAUAUACUAUUGAAUUAUAGACCAGGAUUUCUAUUUUUAAGAAUAUAAGACACAAGCACGAGCAUAUUCGCGCAUCUUUAAUAAAUUUAUUGGGACACACUAUUUCUGCUUAUUGAAGAAAAUCAAGAAAUGCUGAUUCCACCGUGCAUGGUUUAAUGUUAAUUAAAGUUUAAAGGGAUCAGAUUCAUAUUCAUUAAUAUGCUUUUAUACGAAUCGUUCUGUUUGAAUAUAAUAAUGGUUUCAGAAAUGCAUACCUGUUAAUUCUCCAUUUCUUGUCUCCGAGGAAAGUUUGACUUCAAGCAAUGUUAUAAGAGGUUUAAUUGUGGGUCAAUUUCUUGCGAGCAUUUCAACAAACAGGUGAUAUGCAUGCACAUCUCCUACGCUAUCACUGCCAUACUUGCCCUGUAGUUGCUUCCAGUUGUAACAGGAUGCUGACAUGUCAUCAUACUUGGACAGAUCUUUAGAGGCCAUUCUUCGAAGCGCUUGAUGAUGCAAACACGUGAGGACAAAUCAUGCACGUAUGAUAUGUGUUUAUUAAUUAAAUAUAACUAUUAAUUACAAGAUUAUUUUUUUAAAUAAAUACAUACAUGUCAUGUAUCUAUUAAUUAUAUAGAAAUAGAAUACAACAAAAUAUUUUUAGAAUCUGUGGGUGAACACAAUGUAAUUAUUAUAAUAAAAGAAAAACUUUAGAGCCUUUGGUGUACUCAUUAGUGAAAUUUGAGCAAAAGAAAAAUUCAUGUUUGUAAACCUCGAAACCACAAUAACCUUAAAUUUGAGAUCAUUAAUCAUUGAAUGUUUUGUUUGUAAUAUCAGUGGCAACACGUUUAAUGAUUUGAUUAAAUUUGUGUUUUGUUCUAUGAAUGAUUUCAUUCAUUUUUAUGAUUUUUUUGGGUUGACUCAACGGAACAACUAAUAAUUACCCAGUUCCAUAACCGUAAUUAUAACAGCGGCAAUUAGAUUUUUUUAUUGUUAUUAUUUUAAUGUGUAUUUUAUAGAAUAUAGAUAUUUUAGGCUAAUGAUAUUUAAGGGUGUUUUAAUUUAUUUUUUUUUUUAAGUUUCAAAUCACUUAACUUUUUUACCAAUCUAUUAAGGGUCCGCCUAAGUUACGUUUAAUGUAACUUACGGCUUGGCCCUAAAAUUUUGGCAACUACUCACUUCAAUGGACUGAAGUUGUUAUUGCUGGACAAAAGGAAAAAGAGCGGGUUCAAUAGAUGAGUUGUUCCCAUUGAAGCUAUCAAAGAAAGAAAAGGAAAAAGAGCGGCUGCAAAAGGGAGGAAAGUGGGAGGAGUUGAAAGGCUGUCACAGUAAAUUGAUCGCCUUGUUGAUACUGUGGAAAUGGAGGUCGAAUUCAAGAAGAAGAUCAUGGUAUUAAUGUUCCUAAAGGUAAAGGUCGAGAGAUGGGGAGAUUGAGAAAUAAUAGUGCUGCAAGUUUAAUGAGUGGACAAUAUUGUAGUUAUAUAUAUAUAUUUUUUUACACACAUGUAUAAAAUAUUUUAUUUUUAUGAGCUACUUCGAUUGCAAUAGUUUUAUGUACAUAAAAGUUUACAUAAAGAUUAAAUUUUUGCAUUUUCUUUUUGCACUUAUUUAUCAAUCAAUUUAAUAAUAUGUUAGCAUUUGUGCACAUUACAAACUGCAUAACAAUUUUUUUAGUUAAAAAAAAAUUAAAGUUAGUUUUAUUGCAAAUUAAAAUAGUUAAUAAAAAUUAUAUAAGUAUGUAAUAAAGAAAAUAGAAUAUACUCUUUAAAAAUCCAGUAAAUAAAAAAAUGAUGUUAAUAAUAAUAUUCUAAAUAAACUACAAAUAAACAAACAAGUACAUUUUUAUUAUUGCACAUGAAUAUUACACUUUGAAUUUUCACUUAUCAAAUUUGUAUAGUAGAUUAUUUGAAAAAUGAUUGUCAAAUAAUCAUCAUUUACCAAACACCCUACUAAAUUAUUCGUGAAAUUAAUUAUUGGGAAGUAAAAGAAAUCCCCAAUGUACCCUCAAUCAAUCACAAGAAGUUAUUUAAGUUAUGAUAUCUAAUGAAUUCUAUUAAUAGUGAGCGUGUUUAUCAAAAAUAUAAAAAUAAAUAUUUUAGUUAUUAUCCACCUGUUUUCCUGAAAUCAUUCCCAAUUUUUUUUCGUUUGCCGAAAAUUCCAAGGAAAAUAUAAAAAGAAGAAGAGUUGGGGGAAAAAAGAAAAGGAAGGAAAAACAGGUUCCUCUGUUUUCAUUCCCCUGUUUUGAAAUUAUCUAUCAUCGAUAUAAUUUAAUCCCCCUGUUACUAAAGGAGAAUGGUUCAGAUUAGUUGCCUGGACUCGCUUAUCUUGAUCUGGGUGGUCAAACCCGCCCAUCAGGAGGAUUCAGAUUUUGAAUUACCUGUCAUAAUUUGUUUUCCCACCUAAGCAUCUUGAGCAUGCUUAUUAAAAGAAUUGUUGUUCCACUCGUAUAGUCAAUGGAUUCCCACCUACGCGUUUGCUUAUUAAAAGAAUUAAUCUUGCUUUUCUAGGAAAAUAAUGCAAUACGCAUGACGGUACGUGUCCAUGUGAGAAAGUUGAUGAAAUCUUCACUUUCAGUGUUGGAACUCCACAAUCGAAACAAUCAAUACGACAAUUUUUCUCCAUCGUUUCAAUCUUAAUUAAAUAGAAAACAAGUACGGUCAAAUAAAUUCUGGUCUACCAAUUUAAUUAGUAUAAACAUAUGGAUCCCAUCAUUAAUAUUAUAAAUAUGUGGGUAUUUUUAAUUAUUACAUUAUAUGACUAUUUACAGAUUGCUUUCAUUAUGUCAUAUUAGGUAAGGAGAUUCCCCUUAAAAAAACAAAAAGAGGGAGAGAUUCCCUCUUCGGCGAAUGAAAAUAAAAGAAAUUAAAAAUAAAAUAAGACUUGGUAAAUUUCGCUCUUUUUUUCUCUUUUUGCUGUUGGCAUUUUAUUCAUAAAAGAAAUGAUCACAAGUCAUUCAAUAAAUAUUAAGGGCUGCAUGAUUAAGUCUUCUUCUUUUCCAAAUCAUUGUCAUUACUCUCAUAAGCUCUCUAUAAUCACAUUCCUCUGCAGGUAACAGAAAUUUUUUGUUCAUUGAAAUUGCUCUUAAAUGUUCAAGGCGAUCACAGAGGCUCAUCAACUUUCUGACCCCACAUAAUUAAACAGGUGCACUUGUUCUAAAACCUUCAAUUAAUUUCUUUUAAUAGCAUAAUCUCUAAUGCUUGAUCUUUAUAGCAUUUCUUUCUUAAUUUCCAUCCACUUUCCAAGAUAAAAAUUAUGUGGCUUGUUUUGCUUGAGUUUUGUAGUUAUUGUUCAUUUAUGGUAAAUUUAUGGUUGUUUUUUUUUUAAGACGCUUGAAGUAGGUUUUGUUAAUAGCAAAAACUCUGAUCCUUAACAAAGAAGAAAAAAUGUUGCGAUACUGUUUACUGUCUUUUCCUUUUUUGUCUUUCCCUCUAGUUCAUUUUAAUUUAUUUGAAUUCCUUUCUUUGACAUUUUAUUAGAUUUGUUAAGCAGCAGGCAAUGGCAGAGGUGGGUCUUGCAGCUCUCUCCAGCAUCGUAUCAGAAGGUGCAAAUUCACUGUUCAAAGCGAUUAUACGGCAGAUAUCUUAUGUGUUCAGGUACCAGAGCUACAUAGAUGGGCUAAAAGAUCAAGUGAAGCAGCUGGGAUAUAAAAGAGAAAUGGUGCAGCAACCAGUUAAUCAUGCUAGGCUACAAGGGGAUGAGCUUUAUGAGGGUGUCACAGACUGGCUACAUAACGUUGAUGAAUUCAUCAGUGAAGGGGUUGCAAAAUCCAUCAUUGAUGAUGAAGAUAGAGCUAAGAAGUCCUGCUUCAAAGGGUUAUGCCCAAACUUGAUUUCUCGUUACAAGCUUAGUAAACAAGCAGCAAAGGCGGCAGAAGCUGCCGCUAGUCUCGUGGGAAAAGGCAACUUCUCCAAUGUUUCCUACCGUCCUGCUCCAAAGCUGGCAGAACAUAUGCAAGUGAAAGAUUUUGAGGCGUUUGAUUCAAGAAUGAAAGUAUUUCAAGAUGUUGUGGAGGCAGUGAAGGAUGACAAGGUCAACAUAAUUGGGGUCUAUGGGAUGGGCGGCGUGGGCAAAACCACGCUGGUCAAACAAGUUGCAAACCAAGUGAUGGAAGAUAAGUUGUUCGAUAAGUUCGUUAUGGCUGAGAUAACACAGACCCCAGAUUAUCAUAAAAUUCAAGACAAACUUGCUUUUGAUUUAGGCAUGGAAUUUGACUUGAAUGAGAAUGAAUUUCAAAGAGCUUCUCGACUGUGUCAAAGGUUGAAGCAAGAGAAGCGGCUCCUCAUUAUACUGGAUAAUAUUUGGACAAAACUUGAGUUCGAUACAGUUGGAAUUCCUUAUGGGGAUGUUGAUGAGAAAGAUAGAGAGGACGAUCGGAGAAGUCGCACAAUAAUAUUGACGUCUAGAAGUCGAGAUUUAUUGCGCAAUGAUAUGAAAUCUCAAAAGGAUUUCUCAAUUGAAGUUUUAUCCAAGGAAGAAGCAUUGCAAUUGUUUGGAAAGAUAGUGUGUAAUUCUGCAAAAGCAUCUGCUUUUCAACCUUUAGCAGAUGCGAUCGUUGAAAAAUGCGGAGGAUUGCCUGUUGCACUGAUUACACUUGCAAAAGCUUUGAAAAAUGAGAGCUUUGACACUUGGAAGGAUGUGCUGCGUCAGCUAAGAAGUUCCUGUGCAAAAGAAAUUGAUGGAAUGGAAAGAAAUGUGUACACCUCCAUAAAAUUGAGUUACGACUUGUUGGGAAAUAAGGAAGCAAAAUCUCUGUUCCUUCUUUGUGGUCUAUAUACUGAAGGUGAUGUCAUACACGUUUCUGACUUAUUGAGAUAUGGUAUGGGUAUGGGCUAUUUUAAAAACGUUUACACGCUGGAAGAAGCAAGGAGUAGAGUGCAUACGUUGAUCGGCAAACUCAAAUCUUCAUGCUUAUUGUUGGACGGUGAUGCUGAAGAUGAAGUUAAAAUGCAUGACAUCAUUCAUGCUGUUGCUAUAUCAAUUGCAGAAGAGGAGCUCAUGUUUAAUAUUCCAAAUGUUGCCUACGUGGAGAAAAAGAUGGAAGAGACAAUACGGGAUGGUCCAAUAGCUAUUUCUUUACCUUAUAGAGAUAUUCAAGAGCUUCCCAAAAGGUUGGAAUGCCCCCGUCUCGAGUUACUUUUGUUGUUUUCAAAGCGUUAUAGCUCUUUGCAAAUUUCAGACCUCUUUUUUCAAGGGACAGAAGAACUCAAAGUUUUAGAUUUUACUGGAAUAUUUUUCUCUUCAUUACCUUCAUCACUUGGUUGCCUCAUUAACGUUCAAACAUUAUGUUUAGAUGGUUGCCGACUGAACGAUAUAACUGUAAUUGGACAGCUAAGGAAAUUAGAGAUUCUCAGCUUCCGAGAUUCUGAUGUCAAGGAGUUGCCACUUGUAAUUGGACAAUUGACGAGAUUACAGUUGCUAGAUUUGAGCAAUUGUAGCAGCCUUGUGGUGAUAGCUCCAAAUGUCAUAUCAAAAUUAUCUCGAUUAGAAGAACUAUAUAUUGGUAACAGCUUUUCACAGUGGGAGAAGGUUGAAGUAGGAAGUAACGCCAGUCUUGCUGAAUUGAAUGGGCUGUCAAAGCUAACUACUUUGGAGAUACACGUUCGGCAUGCCGAAAUUCUACCGCGGGAUUUGGUCUCUGUGGAAUUGCAAAGCUAUAGGAUAUGUAUAGGAAAUGAGUGGUGGAGCAGCUGGUCCGUUAAAUCUGGAUUAUCAAGAUUGAUGAAGCUCCAGGGGCUAGUAAAGUUUGGCAUUCUUUUGCAGAAUUAUAGGAUGAAACUGUUGUUGAAGAGAACUGAAUAUCUCUAUCUAGAAGAACUGAAGGGUGUUCAGAAUGUUGUUCAUGAAUUAGAUGAUGGGGAAGGUUAUCCACGAUUGAAGCAUCUUUCUGUAGAAAGAUGUUAUGAGAUUUUGCAUAUUGUCGGUUCAGUUGGACGGGUUCGUCGUAAAGUCUUCCCCUUGCUGGAGUCAUUGUCUCUUAUUGAUUUGAACAAUUUGGAGACAAUAUGUGACAGCCAACUCACAGAAGAUCAAUCUUUCAGCAACUUAAGGAUUAUAGAAGUAAAAUCCUGUCACAAAUUGAAGCAUCUUUUCUCAUUCUCCAUAGCCAAAAACCUAUUGCGGCUUCAAAAUGUAGAAGUGGAUGAUUGCGAUGAUCUGGAAAUGAUUUUUGGUAAGUGUUGAAAUUAAGAAUUGGUGGGAUAAUGGACUUCGCCUCAAUUAUUUUGAAAAAAAAAAACAACAAAGAUUAAUUAUGUAUAUAUUGUUUUUGUUUGUUUAUAGGACCCGACAGGGAGAAACCAACAACUUCUUUGGGAUUCAACGAAAUCAUUGCUGAUGAUGAUACUGCUCCAAAGGUGAUAAUUUUCUGUUCAAUAAUUAAUUGAUUAAUUUAUUAUCACCAUUAAUCUUCGAUCAUCAAAAGAAUAUUAUACUGGACGGUUGUACUUGAAGGAACAAAAAUGUACGGGUUUUCUUUGCAGGUUAUUCUUCCGAGGUUAGAGGAAUUGAAUCUCGCGCAUUUAAGAAACAUCAAAAAAUUAUGGGCCGAUCAUAAUCAAGGAAUGUACUGUUGUCAAAAUUUAACAAAAGUGACUGUGAGAUGGUAUUAUCGUCUGAAGUAUCUGUUUUCGUAUUCUAUGGUUAAUAGUCUUUUGCAACUCCAACAUCUUGAGAUAAGUUAUUGUUCGUCAAUGGAAGGGGUAGUCGACACCACGGGAUGGUUAGGAAGGGAUGAAGGAAAGUUGAUUGAAUUGAAGGUUUUUCCUAAACUACACUCCCUCAAGCUCUCUCAUCUUCCAGAACUAACAAGCUUUGCCAAUACGGGACAUAUUCAUUCAGAUUUAGUUGUUGAAUUCCCUUCAUUGCUAAACCUGAAGAUCCAUUGUUGCACUAAUAUGUUAAGAUUUAUCUCUACAAGCUCACCAGAAGACACCAUUCAUUCUGAAAUGCAACCUCCUCCUCUCUUUGACGAAAAGGUUUUUUUUUUUAUAAAAAAAAUAAUUUUAGUCACAAUACUUAAUUUGUCUUUUCCUUGAGUCUUCGAAUUUAGUUAAUACCUGCCUCUAAUUUAGUUAUCAAUUGAUUAUGCCAUUAAUUGAUUAAUUAGUUAUUUAAUCUUUAACUGCCAGGUACGACUUCCUAGGUUGGAGGUAUUAGAUAUUAAGUGGACGGAUAAUUUGAGAAGAAUAUGGCACCACCAGCUUGCUUCGGAGUCUUUCAGCAAAUUGAAGAAUUUAGAGAUAUUUGAGUGUAAUAACCUAAAGAAUAUUUUUCCUCCAUUGGUAAGGUUGCUGUAUUCAUUUCGAAUCUUUUUUUUUUUCAAAUUACAUCCAACAAUAUUUUAACCAUUUUUGGGUUUACAAAUGAUAUUCAGCCACUAAUUCUUUAUUUCAAGUAUUGUACUUCGAACCACCACUCUCAAAUCUACAUUUUAAGUCCAGUUUUUAGGUUCGCCAGCAUUACAAUCAACAAUAUAAUUUUUUUAAUCACGAUUCAACAGCAUAAUAUAAUUCAAUUUAAUUGUUUCUGCUCAUAUCUUAAUAAGUACAAUUUUCAACAAUUAAAGGAUAGUCACUCAUCUUAUAGGUUCACAAAUUCAUCUAUAUAUUUCUCUUUUCCUUAAUUCAUCUAUAACAGUCCCAUGUUGAUGGCGUUGGGAAGUGUUUUCCAGAAAUGUUUUCCAUUUUUAAAAGCAUGAAUAUCGGGAAAAAAUGUGAAAUACAGCGUUUUAGUUUAGUUAUUUUAAAAAUAGGCAUGUUUGAAAAUUAAAUUUUUUUAAAAAACUAGAAUCAAGAUGAAAAAUGAAUUUAGAAUAUUUAAAAAUUACCUGAAAUUCUUUCUCCGUUCCUAAUACUAAAUAGUGUAAAUACAUUUUCAUUAUCUUUGUUUUUCUGGACUUCUAUUUAUUUGUUUUUGUUUUAAUUUUUUCCUUUUUUCUUUAACAAAAAAUAUCUAGUAGACAUUCAUGGUUUGUUAUUUUUCAUAAAACAAUUGUAUGAUUUUGACAUACUUUGAAUCUAGUUGAAUGCUACUCUUUAUUUUCAGGUUGGAAUUCCCAAUAGUCUGGUGAAUCUUAAUGUAUCGGACUGCAAAAAAUUAGAAGAAAUCGUAGGACAUGUUGGAGAAGAAGCGAAGGAGAAUCGUAUUGCUUUCAACGAAUUAAAACUUUUGGAACUUGAUGAUUUACCAAGGCUUACCAGCUUUUGUUUGGAGAAUUACACUCUUGAAUUCCCAUCAUUGGAGCGAAUUUCUAUGACAGGUUGCCUGAACAUGAAGACUUUUUCUCAGGGAAUCGUAUCCACACCAAAGCUGCACGAAGUGCAGGUGAGUAAAAAGGAAGUAUUAAGUUUUAUAUGAAACUGUGAUGUUGUUUGGUUACUAAGAAAAUAGGAAGAAAGAAAACUUCUGUAAGCUGAGAAUUCUGUUAUUAUUGAUCUAAUGAAUCUGGAAAUUACAAGCCUUUUUAUAUGUGCAUAGAAGAUUCUACACACAUUGCACACACGCACAGUUUACUACUAACAACCUUUAGCUGACUCAGCUGCCAUGUCAGCAUACUCAUUAACUAACUAAUUCUAUUCUUAACAGGAAGAGGGUGAAUUGCGCCGUUGGGAAGGCAACCUUAAUUCCACUAUACAAAAGUGUUACAAAGAAAUGGUAUGUGUUAAAUCGAUUCGUCGAAAUUACUUAUGCAUCUCCCUUGCACUUGCACAUUUGAACAUAUACACCUGCCUUGUAUAUAUAGUUUUAGAAGUUAAAACACAAAACAUGUAAGUUUAAUGUAUAUAUAUAUCUAAUGCCUUUCAAAAAAAAAAUUUAUAUAUAUCCAGUGCAAUUGUUUUGGUUUGUGCAGAUUGGAUUCCAUGACAUACAGUAUUUGCAACUCUCACAUUUUCCACGUUUGAAAGAAAUAUGGCAUGGCCAAGCACUGCCUGUCAGCUUCUUCAACAAUUUAUUUAAGCUGGUGGUGGAUGACUGCACGAAUAUGUCGAGUGCUAUUCCUGCCAAUCUGCUACGUUGCUUGAACAAUUUGGAAUGGCUGGAAGUGAGGAAUUGUGAUUCACUAGAAGAGGUGCUUCAUUUGGAAGAGCUAAGUGCUGACAAAGAACAUAUAGGACCCCUGUUUCCUAAGCUUUCCGACCUAAGGCUCAUUGAUCUUCCAAAACUCAAAAGAUUCUGCAACUUCACUGGGAAUAUAAUUGAAAUGCCUGAGUUGGGAUAUCUAACUAUUGAGAAUUGCCGAGAUAUGGAAACAUUCAUAUCCAACUCUGUAGUGCACAUGACAACAGAUAACAAGGAACCUCAAAAAUUAACAUCAGAAGAGAACUUCUUGCUGGCUCAUCAAGUACAACCUCUCUUCGAUGAAAAGGUGAUUAUUGUUAUUAUUAUUAUUAUUUUUCCCUUCACUUUCGUUCGCAUAGAUGUAAUUUCAUUAGAAUCAAAUCAAAUUUAAUGACUCAUCUUUUUGCACGUCGUCUUAAUUUAUAUCUGAUUUAACAAUAUAACCUCCGUUAUUAACUAACUUUAUAGUAUGAAUUAUAAAAAUGUCUUAAAUUAAUUGGAUGCCUGAUAACACGAGGUGAUGAACUAUAUUAAUUAUGUGUAUUGCAUCUCUGUUUUCCUAGCUAAUUCAUAUUGGAUUUAGCAUCAGAUUUCAUUUAUGUGUUUCAAAGGGUAAUCGAUUUGAUACUUAUAUUUGGGAUCCUACUGCAAAGCAUACUAAUUUGGAAAUAAAAUAUAAAAUGCCGUGAUUAAUCUUGUCCAUAAAAUAUGCAGGGGAAGACUGCAGAGAUUGGAUACAUAUUUUCAUUUACAACUUAAUUUUGUUGAUUUUCAGGUUGCUUUCCCUCAAUUGGGGAAUUUAAGACUGUCUGGAUUACACAAAGUGCAGCAUCUCUGGAAGGAAAAUGACGAAUCCAACAAAGCGUUUGCAAACUUGGAAAGGCUAGAAAUAUCGGAAUGUAGUAAGUUGCAAAAAUUAGUACCACCUUCGUGGCAUUUGGAAAAUCUUGAGGCUUUGAAAGUAUCGAAGUGUCACGGGUUGAUAAAUAUGUGGACGCUCUCAGCAUCUAAAAAUCUAGUGAAUCUCGGAAGAAUGAUGAUAGCUGAUUGCAAAAUGAUAGAAGAAAUCAUACAAUUGCAGGUUGGAGAAGAAGUGAAAGGCUGCAUUGUCUUCGAGAAAAUGAACUACUUGACACUUGAUUGUUUGCCAAGCCUAACAAGCUUUUGUUCGAGUAAUUACACUCUUCAAUUCCCAUUCUUGCAAAAAGUUGUUGUGAGACAGUGCCCAAAGAUGAAGAUUUUCUCUCAAGGAGUCAUAGACACACCAAAUCUAAACAAAGUGAAACUCACCGAAGAAAAAGAUGAUGAUGAUGAAGGAUGUUGGGAAGGCAACCUCAAUGCACCAUAAAAAAAUUGUUCAAUGAAAUGGUGAGUAUCAAUUAAGUUUUGGUGCUAUUUAGCAAAUUAUUUUAUAGAAACUAAUGUGAUAUAAUAUGAUUGGUUGACUGAAAAUAUAUAAUAAUAAUAAUAAAUAAAUAAAUAAAUUAUGAGGGCCAUGUAAUGUUUUUGUUUAACCAAUCAUAUUAUGUCGCAUUAGUUUAUAUAAUAUUGUUUGUGCACAAGAGGUGGUGGUCAUAUCAUUACUCUAGCUUUAUUAUUCUUAUGGUGGCAAUGUAUGCUUGCUUACACGAGUAAUUUACAAAAUCUGCAGAAUUCUAAAGAAGAGAUUGAGCCAGCCCUUGAGGUACAGUGAAGAAGCUAUCUCGAACCAGGCCAAUCUCUUAUACAUGAUUCAGCUUGCUCGUUCUUCUGUACUUGAAUAAUCUGGUUCUAAACGUAUUUACAAUUUUUUGGUCAUGCUACAGACUUGCAAGACACUUUGGAUUUUGUUUGAUGCAUUCUCCGUUUAAGGAAGCACUUGAAUUGAUGUUUCAUGUUUCAUGCAAUAUCCAAUUAGAUUCUGACUAAAUUUCUGUGUUAUUUAUUCAAUUGGUCUUUUAAGCAUUUGAUUUCUAACCUGUCCUAAUAGAAGAUCAUUAUCUGAAGAAAACAGCAUAACAUUUGUGGCAUUAUGAGAAUAAGAAUUUUUUUGAGUAUAGUAAAAUUAUCUCGACCAUUGUUAAAAAGAAUUAAUCCGUCAAACUGACCUUCUCAGACCAGCACGCUUUAAAUUAAAAGAAUUUUGUGAAAGUCUAGACCAUGUUAUAGAUCUCGUGGAAAUAAGAAAACCCGUAAUUUUUUUCACAGCAUCAUAAGAAAAAAUCAUUUUUUUUUUAGUAUUUUUGUUAGCUGUUGAGUUUUAAUAGUAGUAGCUAUUAAACAAGAACAAUAUGUGUAUAUUAAAAAGUUGGAAACUGGUUGAUAGCACUUGGGAGUCGAGCAGUUCACUUGUUUGCGAGUAGAAACCAACUUUACUACUAAUUACACUCAUACAAAAAAUAGUAACUAAAGAAUCAGGAAAUUUCCUAUUCACUAUUCUUCAUUUUUUAAUGCAAAAUUCCCAUUCGAAAACACCAAUGACUUUCAUUCAAAGUAAAUGAGAAAUUACAAUGAAAAUAGAAUCAAAAUACAUGUAUGUAUACCUAAAACAAAUGAUUUUUUAAUUUAAAAAAAAAAAAACCCGGUUGAGGUGAAAUGAAACCAGAGUCAUGAUAUCUCUGGUUCCAACUUUGGGACAACAGCAGACUUGAGUUCUAUAUGAGAAACACGUACAGCACCAAUCAGCCGCUCCAGUAAUUCAUCUGUAGUAUUUGCCUGCAUACAAAAGAGCAAGAUAAAGAAGACACACACGAAGCAUUAUACCAUUCUGAGAACAUUCAAGUAUGCAAAAAUGCAAUUUAAAAUGCAAAUUGCAGUGCAAUAUCUCAAAAUCAUGUCUUUUCCCUUGUGUCCAUUUAGAAGUGGGGGAAAAAAACAAUCAUACAUACCUGUACAAGGAAAGCCAUGUCAACCACCAAUGUCGUAAUUACACCAAUUACAAGGCCCAAAACUCCAUUAGCAACAGUAGAAGAACCGAUGUCAACAUUAAUCUACAGAAAGAUGAACAAUGUUAAACCAUGUUAAUGGUAUCGGACGCUAUUUGAAAGGGGAACAAUUCAUCUGUAGUUACAAUCAACCGCUUUCACUAAUGAACAAGGGGUGCUUCCAACACUCUUGGCGCACGAUCCAUGACCCCUGCAUGAUUCAGUGCUUAAAAUCAAGAACAAGUGCAAAACAAAUUCAAGAGGGUAAAAUGGACAUGAAGUUUGAAGGUACAACCCAUCAAUACAUUUACACCUAAAUGCAUGCCUUCUUUGGACAAAUUGAAGUGUACCAUGCAGUAAAGGGUUAGUAUACGUUAAUAUAGUCCUAAUACAUGAAGGCCAAGAUGGAUACCUUAGGAACAGAUGGAAUCAGUUUCAACCUACUAUUGCGAAACUCAUCAUCGCCAUCAACAAACCGUUGCAAAAGUGAUCCCAUAACCAAUUGCCUUGCGACUAAAUAAAAUACCAUACUAUAAUGUGUUGAUCCAGGAACCUGCAGAUGCUUAGGUUACAACUAUACAACCUCCCAAUACAAUAAGUUUGAAACUUAAUACCUUCUGAAAUGAAACAAACUUACUUGAAGAUUAAAGAUCAGCGAGAAAAGCCCUUUUUCAGAAGCAACCUACAUUUUUUAGAAGAGGGUCAGUGUGUUAUAGAUUCAAUGAACCAUGAGAAGUUAUUUACAUUGUAGUAUCUCACAGGCAGUAUUUUCUCCUAAUGCAUCAAUGGAAAAGGAAAAAUAAAAAGAAAAGAAUAGUUACUUGUGCAGCACAGCCUUGACGCCUAGCUACAUGGUCCAUUCUCUUUGUGUCUUUGAACCAAUCAACAGCAACAAGAUCCAUUAAAUGUUUUCCCGCAGGUAUCUGCAGUUACAAAUUGCACAAAGCACAAGAAGAGCCAACCAAACUACAUCAUAACCUGUCUACCUAGCCUAUGCAGGAUAUAUAAAUACCAUAACAAACAAACAAAAUAUGGGGGAACCUUUGUUUUGUCAUAACAAAAAUGCUUGCUACGAACUCUAAAGUUAUUUCCAUCAGAAAGUUUCCAGCAGUCACGAGCAUUAUCACAGUCAUCGUGUCGUAGAUUGCCCGAAAAACAAGACAAAUCAAUUUGAUCAGCCUGCUCUUCCUCUAGGGCUGCAACUAAUUGAAAUUUUUUUUUAAAAAAAAAAGAUCAAUACCAUAAAAAUCCACUAGCCAAAUAUACAAAAAUGAAUACUUAUCAUCCACCUGUCCUCUUGAAAUCAUUCUCAAUCUUUUUUUCAUUUGCCUGAAAUCCCAAGGAAAAAUAUGUAACUAAUACUUCCCAUUCAUGAAUAUUGUCUAUCGUAUAAACAUGACAUUUUUAAUUGGAAUAAUAAAAUUAUUUAAUUAUUUUAAUUAAAUGUUAAUCCUACAAAUUAUUUUUGUUAAAUCUAGCAAGAAUAACUAAAAUUUCUUUAAGAUAUAUUUUGGUGGUAAAUUAAAAAAAAAUUAAUUAUUUGGCGGGAAUUAUUGAAAUUGGAGCCAUUUUUUUUGUGGGAAUUGAAAUAUAUUCUUUAAAUUAUUACAUAAAUAGCAAAAUGUACAUACACACACAUACAUAUAAUUCAUAUAUAAAAAUUCUCUAAUUUGUUCACAAGUACCAUAGAUUAUAAUUCAGUUAUGAAAUAAAAUAACUACAAUAAUUAUAGUUAAAUGAAUACUUCAUUAAUUCUUAAUUUGCUUCCUAACAUUAAAUGAACAACUUGAGUCAGCCACCUGAAUUAACCAGUAACAAUGCCUGAGUCAACUAUCUGAAUAAACCAGCAACCCUAGCUGAUUCCAGCACCUGCAAUUAACAUCAGCACAACAGGAACAAUCUUAAAUCAACACCAAGAACAGACCAAACUGCCAUCAAAUGUCACAAAACCAAACAGUCUGCUACUGCCAUCAAAUGCAAGCAAACAUAUGCAACAAAACCAGAUGCAAGUGAAAUUCUGGAGAAUAUCGGAUAAACCAAACCAAAUAACACACUUCUAGUAAUUAGACUAGAUGCAGUGUUCAAUUAAACUAAAUGUAGUCUCAUAUUACAUUCAAAAUUUCUAAAAGAAGCAGUGUUCCAUCAGAGAAGCACCAAAACCAAACCAAUCUAAUCCAGCAUAAUUACCAGCUCAACCCAAAACAAUUACACAUUAUAUUGACAUAUCAAAAUUCGCUAUCAAAACAUAGCCAAAUAAAUGAAAAUAAACUCAAAACAGACCCAAACCAACUGAUGUUGCGGCCCUAGUAGUCGUUGUCCGUUCCACUGCCAUGGGAGCGAGGGUAGGCUCCGUUGUCGAUGAGUGAGUAAGAUAAGGCUCCAAAUCAAUAGUUCCACCUCCUUUCUGCAAUUCAAAAAACAGAAAUUCAUAUAUGUAAAACUAUUAAAAAGUGUGAAACAACCUGUAAGUAUUCAACUUCUGUCAACUCAAUAGCACUUACUAAAGUUUUUAUACAGAAGAAAAAGGCAUUUUAAGUCCAAAAAAUUAGAAUUAUUGGUUGAACUCCAACUCCAUCAAUCCAUGCAACCAUCCAAUCUUUAACGAAAAAUGAAGCAUAAUUAACCAGACAUCUGAAUCAGAAAGAUUGUGCUUUCAUUUGGCACGAGGUGUUGGAAACAACUUAACAAAUCUAGACACAAUCUAUAACCAUCAUGUCCAAACAAAAGUCAGGAUCUAAAAUACUUUGAAAAAUCAGAAAAACAGUUUCAAUUUCUUUUUCAUCCAUUGUAAGCUCAAACUAAAGGUAGCCACGAUACCUUUAAACAUCAUUUGGGCUUAUACAUGCGACAUUUGCUCAUGAACAACUAAAGUUGAAUAAGAUUUUUAUAUGAAACAGAAUACAAAAGUCAAAGUAGAAUAUGACAGGAGCUACAAUAUAUUAUUCAGCAUCAGCAUUAUGUAUAAAAUAAAUUUAGAGGCAUUAUAUUCAUUCACAAUCUUGCAGAGGUAACACCAGAUUAUGGCACGCAUCUCUUGAAUAGCAGAUAAAGGAGGAGAUGCAGUGGGAAGGUAGUAACUUGCUUGCAUGAGAACUAGAAAGUAAUAUCCCAAGAUCAAUUAUAGAUCUCAUAAAACAAAAACAGUGAGGCAAACACAAUUAUACAAUCCAUCUGUCAAAAGGCUAAGCAAAUGAAUAUACAAUCAACACCAUUCUUCCAAACGAAUAUACAGUCAACACCAUUCUUCUAAACACAAACAAAGUUUGAACGUAUGACAGAUUUUUAGCCCUUUAAUAUUCCAUCAAAGAUAAUUAGAUAACACCUACCAAGGAUUUUUGAAAAGAAUGCAUUCUCAUCUUAAGCAGCAACCUCACCAGUAACACAUUUUCAUACCCUGUUUCCACCUCUGGUCGCACCACCAAAAAAAUUCAGUACUAAUUAGCUUCAACAGAAUCUAUUUUUUAAUUUCCUUUUUUUUUUUUCAAAAUAAACCUCCAUUCUUAUACAUAAAAUUAAAAUAUCAAUUAAAUAAACAAAGUCUAUGCUUACUAGUAAAACACGUCCAUUUUUAGGUAGAGGCAGAUAAUAAAAGAAAAUUGAAACUGAGAUAAAAUAAGAAGAGCUUACUAGGUGCAUUUGAUCAACAAUCCAAUCCUCAACGAUGGAAUCGAUGCCAUCAAAUAAACAUGACUUAAUCUUGAAACCACAAACUGCACUAAGCAUAGCACCAAAGCCAGAGCGUGACUAUAAAGAAGAAGAAAAAAGAAGGCAAAGAAGAAUUAAAUUAACAUGAAAUUCAACUGGAACAAUACAAAAUAUGAAAUUUUUAGCAAAUCUUACUAGCGUUAGGGUUAAGGCUUACCAUAGGGAACUGGAUGGCGCUAACUAAAUGACAAGUUGAAACGGCAUCUGCAAUCGUAUUGAAUGACAUUGAACCGCGAGGUAGGGUUUAAAUGAAUACCGAGCAGAGAUAAAUUGGUGUGGUGAAUUAGGGUUUUGUGGCUACGUUUUAUUUCGAUUGAAAAAAGGAAUUUGAGCUUUUGCUUUAAUACAACGGUGUCGUUAAUUUAAACAUUCAUUUUAGGUUGCAGUGGCCAGUGGAGAGAGGGGGAUUCAUUCAACGCUUAGCCAAAAUUUGGCUGUAAGUGUUGAUGUGUUUUAAGUUAUACAGAACGGUGUCGUUAAUUUAAACAAUACUGUUUUACAAUCUUAUAAGAUCACAAAACCUAAGCAUGACUUAUAUGUAUCAUUUAUUUAGGACGGUUAAGUUAUAAGUCAUGAAUAUGUCAUAUAUUCUGGACAUAUGAAUAUAUAUUAUGAAUCUAUUAUAUUUUUAUGACACAUUCGUGACACAAUGAUAUAUGUCAUCAAAUUUAUGUCAUUAUUUAAUAUUUUUCUAGUGGUGUCAGAUUUUUGAAACAUUUUUGUUAAUAGCAAAAACUCUAAUCCUUUAGCAAAAGACUAAAAAUUAAAAAAAAAAUCUGUUUAAAUAUCAGUUGGCUCAUGAUCAACACUUCAAUACUGUUUGUUGUAUUUUCUUUCUUUCUUUCUUUGUCAUUUUAUUAGAUUUUUUUUGUAUCAUAGUUUGUUUUGCUUAAGUAAUUGUUCAUUGUUUAUGUCUGUGUUCUUACUAACAGAGUAAAAGAUUUUGAGAGAAUGAAUUGCACCCUUUUCCAUUGAUUGUAAGACUUUUAUAUGCAGCAAUAUAUAUAACAACUGUGCCUAUUUUAAAGAGAUAAGAUAACAGAAAGAUAUACUUUACAUUUGAAUUAGUUUGAAUGAGUAAACUAGAUAGGUCCCAUAUUCUAAGAGGAGAAUCUGCUGACACUUACUGGCUUUUGAUAAUUUAUGGUUGGUUUUUUAUUCAGACCCUCGAAGUACCUUUUUGUUAAUAUUAAAACCUCUGAUCCUUAAGAAAGAAAAAGAAAUUCUCUAUUUAGUUAUUAGUUAGUUCAAGAUCAAUAUAGCGAUAUUGUUUGUGGUCUUUUCAUUCUCUAUCUUUCCCUCUAGUUCAUUUUAAUUUAUUUGUAUUCCUUUCUUUGACACUUGUAUUUAUAUAUAUAUAUUGUUAAGCAACAGGCAAUGGCUGUUGAAGGGUGUCUCCCUGCUUUUUCCAGCAUUGUAUCACAAGGUUCAAAAGCAUUAUUCGAACCGAUUAUGCGGCACAUAUCUUAUGUGUUCGAUUACCAAAGCUACAUAGAUGGGCUAAAAGAUUGAGUGAAGGAGCUGGAAUAUAUAAGAGAAAGGGUGCAAACGCUGGUUAGAGAGGCUACUCUACAAGGAGAUGAGAUUUAUAAGGGUGUCUGAGACUGGCUAAAUAGAGUUGCUGAAUUCAGUGAAGGGGUUGCAAAAUCCAUCAUUGAUGAUAAAGAUAGAGCUAAGAUAGAGCUAAGACUGAGCAUGAUUGCAAAUGCACGAUUGCAAAUGCAUUGGAUCAAUUAAGAAGUUCCAAUCUAGGAGAAAUUCAAGGAAUGCGUGCAGAUGUAUAAACCUCCAUAAAAUUGUUACGACUUGAAGGAUUGUAUAUAAGCAUUAAAUUGAUCUAAUUUAAUUUGUAUGUAAACAUUAAAUUGUAUAUAAAUACACAGAACAGAACCAUAUCAGUGUUGGAAAAAAAAAAAAAGAAUCCAGAGUUAUAUAAAUUCAAUUAAAAAUUACUGAAUUUUUUAUUACUAACUUUGAACACUCUAAUUUCAAUAAAAAAAUUAUAUUACUAAAAUAGUCUUAAUUGAAUUUACUAUUAAAGACAUUAGAAUAACUCAACACUAAUAUUCUAAAAUAUAUUUCUCUCCAUAGUCUAAUCUAAUCCAUUCUAAGAAUCCUAUAGAAAAUAUAUUAUUUACUUUUUCCUUAUUAAACACAAAAACAUGUCAUUUUGUUGCUAACUAAAAUUUUGGAACUAACAACAUCAGAUUAACAAAAUUAUCAGAAAAAGAAAUCAAACAAGAUUUUAAUUGUCGUCAUCUUCACUCUUGUCUUUUUCUUUUUCUUCACACAUGUGGCUUGCACACGCAUUCCCCUCUCUCAUCCUUAGGGCCGCCCUUCAACAAUAUCCAAUCAUCGAUUAUAAUUAUUUAGAUUGACCAAAUCAAGCAUUGAUCAUAUAUUGGUUGAGGUUAGAAAUAGGCAGGCAGCAGCAAUAAUACUACUAAUUAAUAUCUCAUGAGAAUUUUAAAGAAAAAUCUAACGUUGUCAAAUUCGUUUGAUUUCAAUGAAGUCUUUCUCCUACUUAUACUUUCACAUAUUCUCUUUUAUUUCCAAAGUUAAGGUUAUGGAUGUUGUAGAGUAAAAAGAUGAACAUUGCUAGGAAAGCAAUAAAAGGAAAUAAAUAAAAAUUAAAAAUAUAAAAAGAGUUAAGUCAUUUUUUUUUCUAUUAGUGUUUUUGUAUUUAAUAACGAAAGAUAAAAAUAAAGUAGAUAUUAUCUAUUGGAUUAUUAAAAUAACACAGGUAUAACACAUGUCAAAAUCUCGUUAUUAUAAUAUUAGAAAAGAUUAAAUUAGGAGAAUAUUCAAAUCGGCGAAAUAAUUAAUAAAUCGUAUUUAUUAAUCAUCCACCCAAUUCAUGCAUACCCAAAUGGCCGUCAACGAGCUAACCAAAUCCCAGCUUGUUGUAAUCUGGGUUGGGCUUUUUGGGCGAUAAUUAACUGCCCGAGCUGCUCAUCUACCCCAAUAGAGCCUAACAAAAAUUUUCGCCUAAGCUUCACAAAAAUGUUCAUAAAUCUUUUUUUUUUUGGUAUCAUAAAAACAUAAAUUUAUUUCAAACACUUUUGGAGCUUAAUAAAAAUUUCCCAACAUUUCAUCUGACAAAGGUAGUUUAAAAGUGUAUUCGUUAAAUUCUAAAAUACAUACUUAAAAUCUUUUAGUGACAAUCUAAUUAUAAAUUAAGGAUCUAUUUGGGAUUGAGAUUGAACAGUUAAAAUGUUAUAGUUGUUGUAGUUUAGAAGUUAAGAUGAUUUGAUUUUACACUUAUAUGAUAAAAAAUUUAUUAUAUCUUUUCUAAUUUUAUCAAAAUUAUUAUUAAAAAAUUAUAUUUAUUAUAUACUAUUAACUUUUAUUUUAUACUUAAAACUUUUUUUUCUUACGGCAAAAGUUUUAGCACCUCAAUACCCAACCAAGUCUAAAACUGCACAAUAAUAAUUAUGAGUGCGAAUGUUAAAAUCUACACACAUUCGUACUUGAUAAUUUCAAUCAACAGUGUUACAAACUUAAUUAAAAUAUUAUAUCUGAAAUUAUUGAGGGGAAAAAAAAGAAAAAGAAUGUUGUUUUCAUGAUAGUGACAUGUGUCGUGCACAUUUUGCUGUUGGCUCUUUGGUCUCUAACCUAGCGAAUAGGUUGUUGUGUCCUCGUUGUUAGAUGCCCGAACAGCAGCGCAAGAACUUUGUACUAUACCAUAUAUUUUAUGAAGGUGGUGAUGUUACAAAUAAAGACGAGUAAUAAACCAAACGGCGUCGCUUUGCUAGCCUGUUAGAACUAUCAACGCGCUCUGCCGCCCUCUCGUUCCAUUUAUUCAUUUAACCCGGUCAGGGGAUUGGCGAAUUAAAUAAACAACAACAGUCGUCCGAUCCACACAGAUCGCCACUCAUAUUUAAUCCAACGGCUGGGAUAUGAACCCCUCUAUAACUUUUAUUUGUCGAAUCAGCCGCUCUCUCUAUUUAAAUUAAUUUUUUUUUCAACAGCCGACGAGUGCUGACGUAUCAGAGACGCCCCAUCAAUCAAUAAAAAAAUCAAUUGAAAAGGACGGUAUAGUGAGUGGAAGAGAAAUGCCAAUGGCAGAUCAAGGGAUGAAGAUACGAGCUCACUUGCAACGAGGUAUAGUUCAUCAUGGCUUUCCUAUAAGUUCAGGUCCUUAUGAAUACUUUCAAUGAUCUUAUUAGUCAGAAAUUCAACAAUAAUUUUUACUUUUUACAUCCAGGAACAGUUUUAAGCACAAGCAACUCAGGUGGUCAAUAGGCCUCAUAUGUUAGCAAGGUCUCCGUUUUGGUCACUUAAGUCCCAUAUGUUAGGAAGACUCCCUUUUUAUUUUUGGUAUUACUUAUAAUAGCAAAUCCUCUUUUUUAGGCCUCUUUUUAUUUAGUAAUUAUCUUAUAAUGAAGAAUUUUGUUACACAUUUUAUAUUUGAUAACCUUAAUAUUAAAGAUCUCUAAUUGAUAGUAUUAUCUAAUUGUUAAUUUAUUAUUAGUUUUUCCAAAAAAAAUAAAUUCUUUAUCUAUUUAAAAAGGUUAAUUAAUUAACAUUAUAAAAAAUUUUGUGAUAUUCUCUACACAGAAAAUUAUUACAUUUAUUACUUCACUUCUGAAUUAAAAAAAAAAGAUUUAUUGAAAUAAUAGUUCUAGAGGAGGUAAAAAAGAUAUCUUCUUGAUUAUUUUUCUUUUUUGAACAUUUUAACUAUCUUGUUGAUUGUUAAUAUUCACGAUAUAGUUAAAAAUUGAUUGAAUUCUAAGCUCUUUUAUGUUUCUUUAGGUGUUGAAGCUGCUGAAUGUAGGGAGCCCUCGUAAAACAAUUCCCAUAAUGCCCCUAAUACUCUAAGGUCGACCCUGUGUAUAUCAUAUUAUUGAAAAAAAAUUGCUUCAAUACAGUAUGUGGUAAGGUUUAAUUUUAUAUGAAUUUAAGCUGAAGUUGGUACCUUUUAUUGUUUAAUACCGUGACAUCAGGGAAAUUUUUAAUAGGUCUUCAUUUUAGGCUAAAGUACCCGAACAAUACUUCCCAUGCACUUUGUGAUCUUAUUACAAAAUCUUAAACUAAAUAGCUGUGGAAGUAACAAAGAGGGCAACUUUUUACUAUAAUGUGAUGAAAAUAAUUCAUUUGUCAUCACGAACUAACCAAAUCAAAACAAAAAACUAAUGAUCAUAUGGUUCAAAUCUGUGCAACAAUGGUGCAUUUAAAAGGAAAUAAUGUACAGAUAAAAUUUGUGCUUGUAACAAGAACUCUUCUCUUCAAGCCAACAAUUCCACCUAGCAGAGAGAAGUGUUUUAGGCGACACUUUCCAACUAAUGAAAGCAGUGAGCUCUCAAACUCUGUUAUCAUUUUCUACUACUUGAAAAAGAGAGAAAGAGAAACGAGAGGAAAAACAUGGCUCCUCUGUUUUCAUUUUGGUGAUUGCAAAUAACAUUUUUUUUUUACUUUUACUCUUUAUUUAUUUAAUUUUAAAAAAAAAACUUUUAGCUCAUUAGAUCUUGUUCUUGUUAAUGCUUCUAGUAACUUAUAUGAUGAUCUGAUCAUAUCCGUAAAAUUAACAUACCCAUAAUCCAUUAUUUUAUAAUUAUAAAACUUGAAAAUUCGGUCAUGCAAUUUUGUAUGAUGAACAGUGUGUUCAUUUUUUCUGUGAAACAUAAGAACAAUUUGUAAAUAAUGUCCAUGCGGACCUUGUAAUAGCGAAGCAUCAUUAUUGAUCUUACUUUGAUGAUCGCACUUUAGUUUCUUUUUAAAGUGCCUUUUGUUUAUUUUAUCGGCAUCCGCUUUUACAAAAGUUUUGGUCCUCGUUCAUUCAUCAAAGCUUCUACUUUUAUCUUUUAUUAGGCAUCUUAUAAAAAGCUUAAUUUAAUUGGAAUCAUGUUCGGUAUGAAGAUUGUUUUACUUACUUCAGCAAUCUUUCAAUCAACCGAAUUUAUUCUUUUCUGAUCUGGAAAUUAUUCAUGAAAAAAUAGGCGCGUCAGUAGGACAACAGGGACCAAGUACAUAAUAUGAAAAUUCAUUUGUAUUGCUUACUCUAAUAAGCUCUUAACUCACACAUUCCUCUGCAGUUACCAGUGAUCUUUUGCUCACUAAAAUUGUUAUUAUAUAUUCAAGGUGAAUAAAGAAACUCAUCAUCCCAGAUAAUUAAAGAGGUGAACUUGUUCUAAAUCCUUUAAUAAUUUCUAUUAAUAAUAGCAUAUAUAAUCUCUAAUCCUUGAUCUUGGUAGUAGUUCUUUCUUAAUGUCCAAGAAAAAUAUCUCUCAUUUGUCUUAAUCUUGUCAGUUAAUUUUCUUGAAUUCUGAGUUAGUGUUUAUUGUUAAAUUCGGUUUUCGGUUAGUAGCCAUUGGUUAAUAGCUUCGGUUAAUCCUUGAAUUAAACAUAUUAAAAUCUAAUCAUAAACCCGCCUUUCCCUAUUUUACAACACCCUUUAUGUAAUAGUGACUUCAAAAGUGUAACAUAUUUUGAACAAUUGCAAGGAAAGAACAUAUUUGACACUUCACGAAACGGCUAAGAUAUAAGCUUCAAUUCUUGUACAACAAAUUAAUAUAACCAACUUCAACCGUCAAUUGAUCAAUAAUUCAGUAACAAAAAGGGACAGAUAUCCUAGUCUUUCUUUACUAAUGAAGCAAGCCAUUAAACUUCGAAAGCUAUUUCUAUUUCCACAUUCUUCAUGUACCAAAGCAGGAAAAAUAAAAAAAAAAAGCAACAAAAAUUUGGAAGUAAUCGUCUUUAUUCAGCAGCAUGCAUAUUAAUUAAACAUAUUAAAAAAGAGAUAUACAAUAUCAGGUCUGGAGACGAAAUGAGCCCACAGAGACUACCAAUAAUGUAACGGCUUGAUUAAAAAUAUUAAUCAAGCCACUACAUUAGAAGAACAAGAGUUAAUCAUGCAUAGUAAUUAAAAAUAUUUUUGCUAUCAUCCACCUGUUCUCUCUAAAUAGUUGUCCCUUUUUUUUUUCUUUUGCCUGAAAUUCCAAGCAAAAAUAUAAUUAGAAGAUCAAGAGUUAAGGGUUAAAAAAAUGGAAAAAGAGGGCUCCUCUGUUUUCAUUCCCCUGUUUUUCUGUUCGGUGAUUACAAAGAUUUAAAUCAAAAUUUAUGAUGCAGGCUACACGGCACCUGGUGGAAGACUGCUAGGGUUUACCUUUUAUUCUUAGUUAGAAAUUUAAUUUAGAAUUUGUAGUGUGCGCCUUAUAUAAGUAGGUUUCCUAAUAGUAAAAUUAAAUAAUCAACUUUAUGAUGCACUAGGAUAUGGUUGUGAUAAAUGAGCUUUUUAUGUAUCCUGUGAGGCUGAUUAUUAUUUUAUUACAUUGAAGAUUCAGUUAUCUCUUGGUAGUCUUGUGACUCAAGCGGAUUUAGUUAGUAGUAGGUAAUACUCUGGACUUCACAUACUAAACGGAAUGGAGCAUUAUUUUAUCCCGCUAAAUCAGUUUUUUUUUUUUUUAAUUAAAAAAUAAUUCAUCAAACACUUUAUAGCUCUGGUUUUAACUUGGUAAACACUUUAAGCCGCAACUUUAAAUUCAGUUUACGAGAACUCCUAACAGUCACUGUGGCUUGGGUAGAAAUGAAUAUACUAGCAUAAGUAAUGCUACCCAGGAAAUGUAGUUGAACCUAACCAAACUAAAACCAGAUGAUGAAAGCUUAUAUACACCAAGAGAUUUAUUCGUUUCUGAGUUUGUUUCCAGAAACCCGGAACCUCCCCUGUUUCUACAAACACGGCACCUUUGUUUUCAUUCCCCUGUUUUUCCAUUUGGUGAUUGUAAAAAUCUAAAUCUAAAUCUAAAUUUUUGAUGCAGUCUACACGGCACCUGCUAGAUGAUUGUUUGGGUUUAUCUUUUAUUCUUAAUUAUGAAUUUAAUUUAGAUUCGUAGUGUGCGCCUUAUGAAAGAUUAAAUAGAAUAAUGUGAAAAAAGAAAGAAUGCCUUUCUUAAUUUUGACUUCAUAAUGUUGCAGUAACCGUCCUCUCUUAUCAUUCCCCUGUUCUUUGGUUUGGUGAUUGCAAAUAACAUUCUUUGCAUCUACUCUUUAUUUAUUUAUUUUUUUAAUUUUUAGCUCAUUAAUUCUUGUUCUUCUUAAAGUGUUUAGUAAAUUAUAUGAUCACCUGAUCAAAUCCCUCACAUUAACUCUAAUCCUUUUAGAAAAGACUAAAAAUUAAAAAAAAUAUGUUUAAAUAUCAGUUGGCUCAUGAUCAACACUUCAAUACUGUUUGUUGUAUUUUCUUUCUUUCUUUGUUUGUCAUUUUAUUAGAUUUGUUUUGUAUCAUGGUCUGUUUUGCUUAAGUAAUUGUUCAUUGUUUACGUCUGUGUUCUUACUAGCUUUUGAUAAUUUAUAGUUGGUUUUUUAUUCAGACCUCGAAGUACCUUUCUGUUAAUAGCAAAACCUCUGAUCCUUAAGAAAGAAAAAGAAAUUCUCUAUUUAGUUAUUAGUUGGUUCAAGAUCAAUAUAGCGAUAUUGUUUGCGGUCUUUUCAUUCUCUAUCUUUCCCUCUAGUUCAUUUUAAUUUAUUUGUAUUCCUUUCUUUGACACUUGUAUUUAUAUAUAUAUAUUGUUAAGCAAUAGGCAAUGGCUGCAGAAGGGUGUCUCCCUGCUUUUUCCAGCAUUGUAUCACAAGGUUCAAAAGCAUUAUUCGAACAGAUUAUGCGGCACAUAAAUUAUGUGUUCGAGUACCAGAGCUACAUAGAUGGGCUAAAAGAUCGAGUGAAGGGGCUGGAAUAUAUAAGAGAAAGGGUGCAAAUGCUGGUUAGAGAGGCUACUCUACAAGGAGAUGAGAUUUAUAAGGGUGUCUGAGACUGGCUAAAUAGAGUUGCUGAAUUCAGUGAAGGGGUUGAAAAAUCCAUCAUUGAUGAUAAAGAUAGAGCUAAGAUGUUCUGCUUCAAAGGGUUGUGCCCAAAUUUGAUUUCUCGUUACAAGCUUGGUAAACAAGCAGCAGAGGCCGCAAACGAAGCUGAUAAACUUGUGAAAAAAGGCGAAUUUAACAUCUGUAAUCAUGUUUCCUACCGUCCUGCUCCAGAGAGUACAGAAUAUGUGCAAGUGAAAGAUUACGUAGCCUUUUAUUAUAAUAUCUUUUCACUCUAUUAACUUAAAAAAGAUUGACUUCAAUGUUAAAAAUGUAACAGUAUAUACAUUUUAUAAUAAUUUCAAUAUUUAAAAAAUAUUUGAAUACUUUACAAUCUUAUAUUAUAUUAAACUAAAUUUUAUAAUAAUUAGAAACAUAAUAUUAAAAUAAAUAUAUAAAAUUUUAAGUUAGGCUUAAUAUUAUUUAAAAUAAUUUAAAUAUCAUUAAUAGAUGAGAUAUAUUAUAUUAAUUAUAAAUUCUAUUUAAUCGAAAUAUAUAUUUAAAUUUUUUAUACUAAAAAUAGAUAUAUUAUUAAAAUAAAUAUAACAACUAACAUUUUAAAAAUUAACACUGAAAUUAAAAUUAUAAAUUAUAUUAAUCUACUAGAAAGAUUAAUCUAUUUGACACUAGCAGCGGACAAUGAGGUCACGGCAUAGGACAAGCAGUUAUCGUGACCCAUGGACUUUUCUACUUCUUUUGAAAAAAAAAUCAAAAUCAAAAUCAAAGUCAUUGAAGUGCGUUUGAUGAUUUGCUGUUUAGCUUCUCUCUCAAAUGCUUUUUGAGUGCCUCCGGCAUCUGCUUUUAUAUAAGCUUUUGUCUUUAAUCAUUUAUUCAAGCUUUCGCUAAGAGUGAUGCAGCACAGCACAUAAAUAUAGAAGCAUUGACAGCCGGUCAGGAGCUCUUCGGUAUUUGAAGCAAGAAUGAUUGUUUGGCUUUGUGCAUUGAAAGAGAAAAGAAAAUGAAAGACUUAUUUCAUUAAUACAAUUUAAUUAAUUAAUUUAAAAUAAUAAGCAUAUAAUAAUGAUGAAAUUAAUUAAUAAAAAGAAGAAAAUGAAAAUUGCACGUGCUAUUAGCAUAAACCAAUUGCCGGAAUGAGGUCACUUUGUAGACAAAUGAUUCUGGAAUCAGAACUUGGGCCAGCUUUGGGUUAUGGAUCCAAAAUAAAAAAAGGUGGGCCCCAUGGUCUCUUAUGAUCAAUAAAAAUCGAUUGAAAAGGAUGGUAUGGUGAGUGCAAGAGAAAUUUCGAUGGCAGAUCAAGGGAUGAAGAUACGAGCUCACUUGCAACGUGGUAUAGUUCAUCAUGGCUGGCUUUCCUAUAAGUUCAGGUCCUUUGAAUACUUUCAAUGACCUUAUUAGUCAGGAAUUUAACAAUAAUUUUUAUUUUUUACAUCCAGGAACGGUUUUAAGCAUAGGCAAAUUAGGCCUAUAAUUAAUAGCAAAUCCUCUUUUUUAACAAUUAAACAAUUAGGAAGUCUCCCUUUUUAUUUUUGGUAUUACUUAUAAUAGCAAAUCUUUUUUUUUUUUUUUUUUUGGUUGUAAACCAUCCGGUGUGCCACGACCGCAUUGGGCCUCGAUUAAUCCGGAUUCGGAGUGUAGUCACAGUUAAGGCUCUUUACCCCUCCCAAAUGGUGUGUUUAGUGGGGAUCGAACCCGAGAGCUCUUCCCACAAACUCAGCCUGCACUGCCAACUGAGCCACAACCAUUUGGUAGCAAAUCUUCUUUUUUAGGCCUCUUUUUAGUUAGUAAUUAUCUUAUAAUUAAGAAUUUUUAUACACAUUCUAUAUUUGUUAACCUUAAUAUUAAAGAUCUCCAAUUGUUAAUUUAUUAUUAGUUUUUCCAAAAAAAAAUUAAAUUCUUUAUCUAUUUAAAAAAUUUUAUUAUUUAACAUUAUAAAAUUUUUUGCUCCAUUCUCUAUAAAGAAAAUUAUUACAUUUAUUGGUUCACUUUUGAAUUAAAAAAAAAAGUUUAUUGAAAUAAUAGUUCUAGAGGAAGUAAAAAAUAUAUCUUCUUGGAAAUGUUUCAAACCCAUGAGCUUGGAUUUGUUUGAUAAUUUGUCGAAUUUGCCCACAUAUGAAAUUAGUAUGAUUUUACAGGUUAUAUUAUUUUAUUGGCUACUUCAUUAAAAAAAAAAAACACACACACACAGACACAAGGAUUUUUAUUUGAUGGUAGAAGUUAAGUUGUUUUUCAGUGAUAAAUAAUGUUGUUAACCAAAUUUAAUUGACAUUCUACGCGGCAGUAAUUCAAUUUUAUAGAAGCACGUGGAUUAAAGGACAAAAACACAUCAAGUAUUUAAUAUUGGAUAUGGAUAUGAAUUUUAUCCGUAUAGAUAUGGAGAUCCAUGGAUAUCCACGGAUAUUUUAUUUUUAUUAGGGAUAUUAUCAUUUUCCUACCAAAGAUAUUCUGACACAUCAUGUCAGUACCACGAUUUGGUAAAACCAUCAAUUUACCACUAAAUGUUUAAACUGUUAGCAUUUUCCCACCAUUCCGUUAAAACUCAGUUAAUAUGUAACAGAAAAUUCAUAAAAGGUCAAUUUUACCCCUGAAGCGUAAAAUGCCAUGUAAUUAACCUUUUAUAAAUUUUGUAAUUAAAUCAUCAUUUACUGUUCUUCUUUCUUAAUGGGCAAAAAUUACCCUUUAUGAAUUUUGUAAAAUUGACCGUGUGGUGCUAGGUACUUCAUAAAUUGAUUUAAUUUAUUUAAUUUUUAAAGGGCAAAUUUAUUUAUUUAAUUUUUUGUGUAAAAUUAUUAUCAUCAUAUCAAAGAUUAAAUUGCUUCUUUUGCACAUUCUUUUUUUUCCCUUUCAUAAAUUGAUUUUUAGUAGUAGAAUAAAUUGUCUUUAGCUCGUCAAUUUAAUAAAUAAAUUUAAUUAAAUGAGUGCGGAUUAGGUCAGUGGCAGAUAAAAGAGUCGGUUUUUCCAUUACUAAGCUUUUCAUGGAUGAAAAUUUUAUUUAUUUUUUUUGGUUUUAUAGGGUCUCUGUGAAUGCCAUUAGAAAUGAAAUUGACUAAUUCAAGCUUCCUUUUUCCCCUUAACUGACUGUGAGAGGCCAUCAAUCAGCUCUGUUUUGUAUUUUUGUACCUUUUUUUUUUUCGUAUAAUGAUCAAUCAAAUGUUAGCCCUUAGAUUGCAUCCAAUAUUUACUGAUUGUCUUAUAUUAGGAUAUAAACUAAAUUCAUAAGACAUUCCCUUAUUGAUAUUCAUUCCGACACGUCCUAGUCCUUUGCCUUGUAGAAAUGCUUGUGGUUGAAGAGCUUUACAGAGAAGCUGUCGUCAGUACUGCUGGGAAAUUUAUUAUAUUGAAUCAGAAAACUUGACCAGAUAAAGGCUGUGUGCAUGGGAAUACUUGAGGAAAUAUGAUUUACAUAUACCACUUAAUAUUUUACAAUCUCGUAUUCUAUUAAAUGUAAAUAUGAUUUACAUAUAAAAUAAUUUUCAAUAUCAUAUAAAAUAAUUUUAAUAUUAUUAAAACAUGAGAAAUAUUAUAUUAAUUAUAAAAACUAUUUAACCCAAGGAUUUGUUUAAAAUUUUUAUAAUAAAUAUAUUAAAUUACAUUUUAAAAAUUAAUUAUUUAAAUUAUACAUACUAGUCUACUAGAAAAUUUAAACUAUUUAAAUCAUAUUUACAUUUAGUAAAAAAAUUUGAAGUCAUUUUUUUUUGUGGCUACCAUAAGAGUACUAUAGUCAAAAAGGGUAUUGGUGUUCUUUAUUAAAAUUUUGGGGUCUGCAUGACUAUUUUCUAAAAUUUUAAGGGUGUCAUUUUAUUUUUGGAAAAAAAAUAAAUUUCAUUUAAAUAGCUAAAAUGGUAAAUAGUAGAAUGCUACAGUGGGCGUAAAUAGAAGGUAAAAAGCAAUCAGAUUUUGAUUAAACAUGCAAUGUAUGAAAUAUAUAUUAUGAUUAAACAGAUUUUGAUUAUUUAAUAUUAAAUUAUAUUCACAUUAAUAUCUUAAGGAUAGGUAAUACUCAAAUAAUUUUAAAAAAAAUCAAACCCAAAUUAUAUGCAUUGCUAAUGUGCGUUAUUGUCUAAUAUUUGGAUUUUGCUAAGUCACAACUACUGUAACUUACGGACUCUUCAAACAUAUGUGGAUCCCACCACAUGUUAAAUUUUUUACAUUAUUUUUUAAGGGACUGUAAGUUACAACAGCUUAACCUAACAACACCCUAAUAGUUCACUUUACUUUUAUAUCUUUACAAAACAAUGCCAACAAGACAACAAUGUAUGAAAUAAAUAAAAUAAAUAAACAAAGAACUGACAGCGAAAUUAGGGCUAUCAUUGGUUUCUCGUGGUGUGAACUCUUGACAAUCCUCCCCGAUCCCAUCCAAAACUCCCGCGUAGUGUGAACAUUUGACGAUUCUCCCAUAUCCCUCCAAAAAUUUGUCAUAUUACAAAAAGCAAUGUCAAUUGCAAUGUCGUUUCCAUUAGUCAUAGUGGCAGAUAGGACUAGAAUUUGUUGAAACCCCUGGACUUAUUUUUCCUUUUGAAAAUAAUUUUGUAGAACCUCAUAUCGGGAAUAACAGACAAUAAGACUCUUUUUUUAAUUAUAAUAUAUUUUUUUAAUUUAUUAACUAAAAAAAUUAAUUUUAAUAUUUUAUAAUAAAUAUAAGCAGGAUAUUAAAAUAAAUAUAAUCAUAUGUACAUAUUAAAAUAUUUUAAUACCUAAAUAUAUUUUAAUAUUUUACAAUCUCGUAUUCUAUUAAACCAAAUUUUAAUAAAUAGAGACAUAAUAUUCAAAUAAAUAUAUAAAAGUUUUACUUAUUUUCAAUAUCAUAUCAAAUAAUUUUAAUAUUAUUAAAACAUGAGAAAUAUUAUAUUAAUUAUAAAAUCUAUUUAACCCAAGGAUUUGUUUAAAAUUUUUAUAAUAAAUAUAUUAUUAAAAUAAAUAUAUUAAAUUACAUUUUAAAAAUUAAUUAUUUAAAUUAUACAUACUAGUCUACUAGAAAAUUUAAACUAUUUAAAUCAUAUUUACAUUUAGUAAAAACUUUUGCAGUCAUUUUUUUUUUUUUUGUUACCAUCUACUAAGAGUACUAUAGUCAAAAAGGAUAUUAGUGUUCUUUAUUAAAAUUUUGGGGUCUACAUGGCUAUUUUCUAAAAUUUUAAGGGUGUCAUUUUGUUUUUGGAAAAAAAAUAACAAUUUCAUUUAAACAACUAAAAUGGUGAAUACUACAAUGCUACAAUGGCGUAAAUGGAAGGUAAAAAGCAAUCAAAAUGACCAACAGUCUAACGCCUCAGCAAGGACAUAAGGUCAAAGUUUGUUACAUGUGGUCAGAGCCAUUUAGUCUGUGAGUGGGUCUUUCGUGUCAUUUUUGGUCAUUUCAUCUUCUUUGGCAUUGAAGAUUAAAUGUUGACGACAUUUUCAAAAUUUUGGAAGACCCAUCAUACUUUUGGAUGGUUGUCAUUAUUUGAUAUUAUCAUUAUAUGACGAAAUAAAAUUGGAUGUAACACUUGUUUCGCAUUGUGUGAACUUUUGACAAUUCCCUCAUAUCCCCCAAAAAUCUUUCGCCAUUUUGGGAAGAUGCCAUUUAUUUUCAUUUUCAUCAUUGAUAGUGGCAGAUAAUGGGUUCCGGGGACAGACCAUAAAUUAUUGUGACCCAUGGACUUUUCUAAUUUUUUUCCCUUCGGAUAGUUGUCGUUAUUUGAUAGAAGGAGAUAGAGAUAAAGUUUUUUAAUCAAAUGCCCAUUUUAUUUAACAUGGAAGAAGAUCUUUAAACUCUAAGCGAGACUAUCACUUCAACAUAUGCAGCCUUCAAGAAAGCGGUAACAAGUGAUGAGAUAGACUCAUUAUUGUCUAAUCAAACAAGGACAUCGGUAGAUGUAUCAGGAUCUUAAGUUAGAUUGGAAUUUGAUACAUUAUUGUUGGUAACGUUGGUUCAAACCUUCAAAGUGAGGUUGGAUGCAAAAUGGUUUACACCAAAGAAGUGAUUUAGGAAGUUAAUUAACGUUAUUUUAGAUAAUUUAUAAUUCUAGAAUAUUUAUUAUUUUAUGAUUUUCUAUUUUAGUUUGAGUUAAUUAUGGUAUGUAUCUUAAUCUUUUAUUUCCAUUAUAAUUAUGAUUUAAAUUUUCUUUUUAGGUUAACUUAGGAAAGCGGGUUUCUUCUAUUAUAAAUAAAGAUGUCUGUAAUAAAAAAAAUAAAGAUGUCUUGUCAUUGUUUUCAUAACUUCAAGUUCAAUUAUUAAAUAAAACCCCUCUUUUAUAAUUUCCUCUAGGAUUAUUUAUCAAAAUCUCUCUUGUAGAGUCGUUUGGAUUAGAGUGUCAUCUAAUCUCGUAUUACGCGUUAUUAAAAAUCUCAUUGAGUCAUUUGGAUUAUAACGAUAUCUAAUCACGCUUCGAUUAGAGCGUAAACUAAUCGCGUUGGCUUGGUCUGGUACUAGAACGAUAUCUAAUGUUUCUUACCCUAUCAAUUCUGCUUCCGCUACGCCUCACUCCAUCAAUUGGUAUCAAAAUGAUUAUGUGCGAAUUGCACAUCUUUCCUAGAUACACCAUACCUAUCCAAACCAAAUCCAUCAAAAAAAAAAAAUUUACAAAUUUGAAACCCCCUACCCGUCACAUCAACCUCCACCGUCGCCCACCACCGCCGAUCAGCCAGCCAACACCACCACAAACCUCACUAGCCACCGUUGACCAAGCCUUAGUCAUCGCUGCCUCAACCGUCGCUUGAACAGCCGCAAAUCACCAACCCAAACCCGCGGCUCCACCAAGCAGCCCACCACCAUUCAGCCACUUUCUCCACCAACCACCUCCACCAACAAACUCGCCGGCCUCCGUUGACCAAAAACCGACCAACUUCAGCCCUUGAUCGCCGCCCGUUGUCACCACACGAAACGACACGAGUGCUUCCUAGACGCGCCGCCACCAAAACACCUUCUUUUUCCGUCAAUUUACACCACCACCAUAAUCCUUAGCAUUCGGCAACCGUAAAUCCAGUCUUCCGCCACUGUAAAGCCGGCGUAAACCAAAAGCCACAUCACCAAAAUCAACCGCCAAUUCAAGUCGGAUUUCCCCCAAUUCAAGUUGCUGAAUAUAAAAAGGACUCAUGAAAAUUACCUAAAGUUUCAAAUAUUGUUAUUCAGCAACCACUUUUAGGUUACAUUAGUUUCAACCCAAAUUUUAUAUAAAUAAUUUAUAACUCCCAUUAUUAUCAUAAAAAAAAAAUUGUAGCAAUUGAGGUUAUAUCACAUGAAAAAAAAAAUCUAAUUAAAGAAAUUGACAUUAUAACUUAAGGGAUAGUUGCUCUUUUAAUCAUUAGAAUUUAUGUCAAUUAUCCAGCUUAUCCUUGCAUUCUUAAAAACUAUAUACAAUACCAUUAUCUCUGCUUUUGUAGCUAUUGACUUUGACUUUGACAACAUAAAUAUUUAUUAGCAACAACUUAAAAUUCAAACAAAUCUAAUAUGUAAUGUAUGAAAUACAAAUAAUAAUUAAACAAAUUUUGAUUAUUUAAUAUUAAGAUAUAAUCACAUUAAUAUCAUAAGGAUAGGUGGUACUCAAAUAAUCUUUUAAAAAUCAAACCCAAAUUAUAUGCAUUAUUGUCUAAUAUUUAGAUUUUGUUAAGUUACAACUGAUGUCACUUAAGUCUCUUAAAAAAUAUGUGGGUCCCACCACCUAUUAAAUUUUUUACAUUAUUUUUUAAAAAAUUGCAGUUACAUCAGUUGUAACUUAAUAGCACCCCUAGUAUUUUACUUUACUUUUAUACCUUUACAAAAACAAUAAUGUAUGAAAUAAAUAAAUAAAGAACUGACAACGAAAUUAGGCCUAUCAUUAGUUUCUCGUGGUGUGAACUCUUGACAAUCCUCCCCUAUCCCACCUAAAGCUCUUGCGUGUGUGAACGUUUGACAAUUCUCCCAUAUCCCUCCAAUAAUCUGUCAUAUUGCGGAAAGCAAUGUCAAUUGCAAUGUCGUUUCCCAUUAGUCAUAGUGGUAGAUAGGACCAGAAUUUUUUGAAACCCCUGAGACCCUGAACUUGUUUUUCCUUUUGAAAAUAAGAAAAGAACACCCGUCUGGAGAAAUAAUUUUGUAGAACCUCAUAUCGUGAAUAACAGACAACAAGACUUUUUUUUUAAAUUAUAAUAUUUUUUAAACUUAUAAACUAAAAAAAUUAACUCUAAUAAUUUAUGAUAAAUAUAAAUAGGAUAUUAAAAUAAAUAUAAUAAUAUAUACAUAUUAAAAUAAUUUCAAUAUCUAAAAAUUUUAAUAUUUUACAAUCUCGUAUUCUAUUAAACCAAAUUAUAAUAAAUAGAGCAUAAUAUUCAAAUAAAUAUAUAAAAAUUUAGGUUAUUUUCAAUAGCAUAUAAAAUAAUUUUAAUAUUAUUAAUACAUGAGAAAUAUUAUAUUAAUUGUAAAAUCUAUUUAACCUAAGGAUUUAGUUAAAUUUUAAAAUAAUUACAAAUAUUUUAUAAAUACAAAUAAAUUAAUUUACAUUUUAAAAAUUAAUAUUUAAAUUAAUUAUUUAAAUUAUAUAUAUUAGUCUACUGGAAAAUUUAAAUUAUUUAAAUCAUAUUUACAUUUCGUAAAACUUUUAAGCCAAUUUUUUUUUAUUACCACCUACUAAGGGUAUUGUAGUCAAGGGGAAUAUUGGUAUUCUUUAUUAAAAAUUUGGGAUUUACAUGAUUAUUUUUCUAAAUUUUAAUGGUGUCAUUUUAUUUUUGACAAAAAUAAAAUUUCAUUUAAACAGCUAAAAUGGUGAAUAAUACAGUGCUACAGUGGCGUAAGUGGAAGGUAGGAAACAAUCAAAAUGAACAGUCUAACAUCACAGCAGGCAUAUAAGGCCAAAGUUUGUUACAUCCCAAUACAACAAGUUUGAAACUUUGCACCUUCUGAAAUGAAACAAACUUACUUGGAUAUUGGCGAUCAGUGAGAAAAACCCUUUUUCCAAAGCAACCUUAGGGUACCGAGUGUUACAGAUUCAAUGAACCACAAGUACUUAUUUACAUUGUGGUAUCUCAAAGGCACCAAUUUCUUCUGAUCCGUUAAGGAAAACAAGAAAAAUAAAAAGAAAAGAAAAAGGUUACUUGUGCAACACAACCUUGACGCCUAGCUACAUGGUACAUUCUCUUUGUGUGUUUGAACUAGUUAACAAUAAUUGUGCCUUUACUUCUUGGAUUGGGGAAUCGGAAUCCGAAAUCAAAAUCAUUAAUGAUGGAGGCAGGGAUCCAAAUCAGAAUUAUGGGGCCACCCAAAUUUAGGAAUGAGGAAUGGAAGAUUGAUUCCCAAGGAAGGUGGUGGGAAUCAAUCACCCGUUCCCAAGAUUGACCAUUUUGCUCCCUCUCACAAACUAUAAAAUGUCUAUUUUGUCCUCAAUUAAAAAAUUAUUAUGAUUAAUUAAUAUAUGUUUAUAAUUUAUUAAUAUAACUAUUCUAAUCAAUUUAUACAUUUUACAUUUAUUACUAUUAUUAAAUAAUUAAUAUAUUAUUAUAAUUAAUUAAUAUAUUUUGAAUUUUUAUUAUUAUCAUCAUCAUCAUUAUUAUUAUUGUUAUGAAUGAUAAAAAAUUUUACAAUUAAUUAAUAUAUUAAUAUAUUAUUGACAAUAAUUAUUAAUAAUAAUAAUUUUUGAAUAAAUAAAAAUGUAUAAUUAAUUACUGAAUUUGAACAUUUUACAAUUAUUCUAUUAUUUGGACUUAUCGUACAUGCAGAGUAGCUAGUUUGCUAGCAUAUAUGUAAGGUUUAAUUUGAAUGCAUGCAGCAUUGAGAAGAGACAACGCAGAAACAAAAUUUCCGCUUGCGAUCUUUUCAUUUCCCUGUUUAAUAACAAACAAAACAGAGGAGAAACAGGGGCUCUCUUUUAAUUCCCCUGUUUUUCUGUUUGGUGAUUUUAAAAUGGGUCAUUCUAUAAUGCCGUAACUAAAUUUACGGCAUUGAUGCCGUAAUGGACGUGGACCGUUAGAUUUGAAUAAAAAAUCUCUACCAUUAAUUCUAAAUAAAUAAGUAAUAUGUUACCUAAAUAGCAGGUAAUUACUCUUUUUUGUUCAAGUUUCAGGUUACAUUUACUAAUUUUAUGUGUGAUUUACAAGUUUUAUGAAACUUUUACAAGUUAAUGCUGAUUUACAAGUUAUAUGUAACAUUUACAAGUUUUUGUUUUGUUUACAAGUUCUUCUUACAAUUUACAACUCUAACAUUAAUUUACUAGUUGUAUGUGUGGUUUACAAAUUUUUUGUUUUAUUUAACACUUAAUGUCAAUUUACAAGUUCUAUGUAAUUUUUCUAAAUUUUGGUUUUGUUUACAAGUUCUUCUUACAAUUUACAACUCCAACAUUAAUUUAUUCAUUUUUCCAUCAAUUUACUAGUUUUAUGUGUGAUUUACACAUUUUUUGUUUCAUUUCACAAUUAAUGUCAAUUUACUAGUUAUAUGUCAUUUUUAUAAGUUUUUGUUUUGUUUACAAGUUCUUCUUACAAUUUACAACUCUAACAUUAAUUUACCAAUUUUUCCAUUAAUUUACUAGUUUUAUGUGUGAUUUACACAUUUUUUGUUUCAUUUCACACUUAAUGUCAAUUUACUAGUUGUAUGUCAUUUUUCUAAGUUUUUGUUUUAUUUACAAGUUCUUCUUACAAUUUACAACUCCAACACUAAUUUACCAAUUUUUUUCAUUAAUUUACUAGUUUUAUGUGUGAUUUACACAUUUUUUGUUUCAUUUCACACUUAAUGUCAAUUUACUAGUUGUAUGUCAUUUUUCUAAGUUUUUGUUUUGUUUACAAGUUCUUCUUGUAAUUUACAACUCCAACAUUAAUUUACCAAUUUUUUCAUUAAUUUACUAGUUUUAUGUGUGAUUUACAUAUUUUUUGUUUCAUUUCACACUUAAUGUCAAUUUACAAGUUCUAUGUCAUUUUUCUAAGUUUUUGUUUUGUUUACAAGUUCUUCUUACAAUUUACAACUCCAACAUUAAUUUACCAAUUGUUCUAUCAAUUUACUAGUUUUAUGUGUGAUUUACAUAUUUUUUGUUUCAUUUCACAAUUAAUGUCAAUUUACUAGUUGUAUGUCAUUUUUCUAAGUUUUUGUUUUGUUUACAAGUUCUUCUUACAAUUUUCAACUCUAACAUUAAUUUACCAAAUUUUUCAUUAAUUUACUAGUUUUAUGUGUGAUUUACAUAUUUUUUGUUUCAUUUUACACUUAAUGUCAAUUUAAAAGUUCUAUGUCAUUUUUCUAAGUUUUUGUUUUGUUUACAAGUUCUUCUUGCAAUUUACAACUCCAACAUUAAUUUACUCAUUUUUCCAUUAAUUUACUAGUUUUAUGUGUGAUUUACAAAUUUAUUGUUUUAUUUCACACUUAAUGUCAAUUUACUAGUUGUAUGUCAUUAUUCUAAGUUUUUGUUUUGUUUACAAGUUCUUCUUACAAUUUACAACUCUAACAUUAAUUUACCAAUUUUUCCAUUAAUUUACUAGUUUUAUGUGUGAUUUACAUAUUUUUUGUUUCAUUUCAUACUUAAUGUCAAUUUGCAAGUUCUAUGUCAUUUUUCUAAGUUUUUGUUUUGUUUACAAGUUCUUCUUGCAAUUUACAACUCCAACAUUAAUUUACUCAUUUUUCCAUUAAUUUACUAGUUUUAUGUGUGAUUUACAAAUUUAUUGUUUUAUUUCACACUUAAUGUCAAUUUGCAAGUUCUAUGUCAUUUUUCUAAUUUUUUUUUUGUUUACAAGUUCUUCUUGCAAUUUACAACUCUAACAUUAAUUUACUCAUUUUUCCAUUAAUUUACUAGUUUUAUGUGUGAUUUACAAAUUUAUUGUUUUAUUUCACACUUAAUGUCAAUUUGCAAGUUCUAUGUCAUUUUUCUAAUUUUUUUUUUUUGUUUACAAGUUCUUCUUGCAAUUUACAACUCCAACAUUAAUUUACUCAUUUUUCCAUUAAUUUACUAGUUUUUUGUGUGAUUUACAAAUUUAUUAUUUUAUUUCACACUUAAUGUCAAUUUACAAGUUCUAUGUCAUUUUUCUAAGUUUUUAUUUUGUUUACAAGUUCUUCUUGCAAUUUACAACUCCAACAUUAAUUUACUCAUUUUUCCAUCAAUUUACUAGUUUUAUGUGUGAUUUACACAUUUUUUGUUUCAUUUCACACUUAAUGUCAAUUUACAAGUUCUAUGUCAUUUUUCUAAGUUUUUGUUUUGUUUACAAGUUCUUCUUACAAUUUACAACUCCAACAUUAAUUUACCAAUUUUUCCAUCAAUUUACUAGUUUUAUGUGUGAUUUACAUAUUUUUUGUUUCAUUUCACACUUAAUGUCAAUUUACAAGUUCUAUGUCAUUUUUCUAAGUUUUUGUUUUGUUUACAAGUUCUUCUUACAAUUUACAACUCUAACAUUAAUUUACCAAAUUUUUCAUUAAUUUACUAAUUUUAUGUUGAUUUACAUAUUUUUUGUUUCAUUUCACAAUUAAUGUCAAUUUACUAGUUGUAUGUCAUUUUUCUAAGUUUUUGUUUUGUUUACAAGUUCUUCUUACAAUUUUCAACUCUAAUAUUAAUUUACCAAAUUUUUCAUUAAUUUACUAGUUUUAUGUGUGAUUUACAUAUUUUUUGUUUCAUUUCACACUUAAUGUCAAUUUACAGGUUCUAUGUCAUUUUUCUAAGUUUUUGUUUUGUUUACAAUUUCUUCUUAUAAUUUACAACUCCAACAUUAAUUUACUAGUUUUUUUCUAUUUUUUAUUUUUUUAAAUUUUGUAGACCAAUUUACCACUCUAACGUUGAUUAUUGGCAUUUUAUGAUUUAGAUAGAAUGAUAUAAGGGUGGGCAUGAGUUGGGUUUGAUAGGGUUAGUGAAAUUCUAACCUGAUCUACUUUUUAAUGAGCUGACAUAAAAUCCAUCCAACUUAACUAAAUAAACUUGUUUAACCCAAUUCUACCCAAGCCUUAUAUCGUCUGGUUAAGUUGAUUAGGUUGAAGGUCAAAUCAAAAUUUUAAUUUGAACAAUGAAAAUGAUAUGAAACUUGAAAUGAAACUUAUUAAAAUCAAAUAUAAAUCUUUUAUAAAAUGAAAUUUUCAUUCACUAUCUAGUGUACGUAAAGAAAGUUAAUAAAUUAACUAUCUUUAAAUUAAGAAAAUUUCCACAAAAAGCAUAUAGACUUUAUUUCUCCUACAUCUCCUUUUCCAAUUCCAAAUUCAGACUUUUUAGAUAAUUAGCUAGCAUCAUAUACAAAAAUAAAAUGAAAGUGAUAUAUAAUUAUAUGCCGUUAAGUAUUCACUAAAAAAAUAAAAAGAAAUUAAAACCAACUUACUUUUAUAUUAAUCUUAUAAAAUAAUAAAUUUACUUAUAAGAGAGUGUGAUUUUGGUUUUGGAAUUGUAGUCUAGAGCAACAUGUAGGUCCCGAACCCUGAUUUCAAUUUAAUUGGGCUCUAAUAUUUAGGCCCGAGCCUAACCAUUAAAUUCGAGUCAAAGGAUAGAAAAUUCAGGUCAAGUCAAUUAGACUAAAAGUCGAUCCGAGUCUUCCUUGCAUGUAUAUAUGUUUGCAUCUUGAUUUUUUAUUUUUAUAUAUCAUAUAAACUCUUCUAUAAAUUUAUAGGUAUAUAUAGAAUGCUGCGUUUACUUGUCAUUAAUUGGAAUAGGUAAUGAGAAUCAGAAUAAGUUGUUUACUUGAUCUACAAGAAUCGAAAUCGGAAUGGACUGGAACCCCAUUAAUGUGUUUAUUUUAUCUUGGAAUUGGCUUCGGAAUGAGUUAAAUUGUAACAAAUUACUAAAAAGUACUUAAUGGAUUAUUAUCAUAAUUAUUAUUUUAUAUUUUAAUUAUAGUGAUUAUUUAUUCAAAAAUUAUUAUUAUUAUUAUUAAUUGUAAUAUAUAUUAAUAUAUUAAUAAAAUCAUAAAUCUAUCAUUUUUCUUUAAAUUAGUUUAUAAAAAUCGACAUUGUCCCUUUCCCGAAUGAGAAAUUGGGUAUAAAAUCAUAAAUUUAAAAUUUAACUAAAAAUCAUAAAUCUAAACCCCAAAAAAGUCAUAACAUAAGUGGUUCUAUAUAUAUUUUAGGUAUAUAUAUAAAUGUUUGUGUGUGUGUGUGUGUGUGUCUCUCUCUCUCUCUCUAUAUAUAUAUAUAUAUAUAUAUAUCUUAUUUUUAAUGAAUUGUCAUAUUACUGGAAUUACUUAGUAUGAUGUCAUAAUUAUAGAAUUAAGUCACUUUUAUGGCAUAAACAAUAUAAUUUUCUAAAAAAAAAUUAGGUUCAACUAAAGAUUGAUAUGUUACUAAUUUUUUUUUUUUUUGGAUGGACCUCUUUACUAGUUUAAAAUCGAAUCAUUGGCAUGUUUAAUUUAAACCUUAUGGUCCUUUUUAGUUACAAUUUUUUUUUUAAAUAUCAAGGUAUUUUUUAAUCUGCUAUCAAAUUUCACUUAACACUUUUACACUCUUUUUAUUUCAAUUUUUUUAAAAUAAAUAUUACAGUACUUUUUUCUUACAUUCACGACAAAUUAUGUAAUCUCAAUAGCUCCAACUAAAGAUUGUAAUCUCACGACAAAUUAUGUCAUAUUUAUAGAAUUAAGUCACUUUUUUCCUUGUUCCCGUAAUAUUUUUGCUUCUUGCUUGCUGCAGUCAAUUAAAUAUUUUGAAAAAAAAAUAUAAUCAGUGCACUGUCACAUUAUUAUGCUUGACUUUACUAAAUAUUCAUAAAUUUACCAACAAUCAAAUACGUAAUAUUUAAUGUAAUUAGACUUACAAAUACUUAACGAAAGACCGAUUAUUUCUUAAAAUUUCAAUUUCUUGGUUCACGUUAUCCUUGAAAUCAUUCUCGUUACCCUUAUCUACAUUUUCAGCCAUUUUCGAGUUUAUAACAAGAACCUGUACAUGAAGAUAUUAGGCACAAAAAGAAAUGUCAAAGAUCACAAGUUUUGGAUCCUGUAAAAAUAUUUUACAGAUAAACAUUUCAAUUCAAAAUUCAAUCGCCCGAGCAAUAAUUAGGAACACCUGGAAAGUUAAACUGGUAUUUGCUUCCAUAACAGUGACAAACAAUAACCAUUCACAACAUUAGUUAUAAUCCUUAAAAAGAAAUAACAAACUUCAAAAAAAAAUAUAUAGACGUUUUACAAUGACUGUUGGCUUGGCACAUCAAUCUAAAGCUCACAAGCAGUUUGCAUUUCUCAUCAUCUCUUUCUUCUUCCCUCUAUUAUCAAUGGAUUGUAGAAGCUCAAAUGAAGCAAGUAGCAGCAGGAACAACACAAGCAACUUUUACUAUCAAUCCCCAUCCUUCUCCAUUCAAAAUGCAUCAUGACCAUUUUCCGGCCAGCUCCAUACACAAAAACAACAGUAAAUAUAUCCGGAAACAACAAAAAAAUUAACCCAAAAGUAGUAGUAAAUUUAUACAAAAACAGAAAAAAAUUUAACUGAAAUACGGCAGCAAAUUAACCCAAAACCAGCAGAAUUUUAACACAGAAAUAGCAGCAACUGAAGCCCAAAACACCCGAAAAUUUUACCCAAAAACAGCAGUAAAUUUAUCCAGAAACAGCAGAAAAAUUAAUUGAAAAACAGCAGCAAAUUUACCCAGAAGCAGCAGAAAAUUUAACCCAAAAAUAGCAGUAAAUUUAUCUAGAAACAGCAGAAAAUUUAAUUGAAAAACAGCAGCAAAUUUACCCAGAAGUAGCAGAAAAUUUAACACAAAAACAGCAGCAAAUGAAGCCCAAAACAGCAGAAAAUUUAACCACAAAACAGCAGAAAAUUUAACCCAAAAACAGCAGUAAAUUUAUCCAGAAACAGCAAAAAAUUUAACUGAAAAACAGCAGCAAAUUUACCGAGAAACAACAGAAAAUUUAACACAAAAACAGUAGCAAAUGAAGCCCAAAACACCAGAAAAAUUUACCUCCAAACAGCAGAAAAUAUAACCCAAAAACAGCAGUAAAUUGAUCCAAAAACAGCAGAAAAUUAGACUAAAAACAGCAGCCAAUUUACCCAGAAACAGCAAAAAAUUUAACUCAAAAUCAGCAGCAAAUGAAGCCCAAAACACCAGAAAAAUUUAACCCAAGAACAACAGCAAAUCAUUCCAAAUACAGCAUAAAAUUUACCCAGAAAAAAAAAGCAUAUCAAAUCAUCCCAAAUACAGCAGCAAAUCAUCCCUACGUUUCAAACAUGCUUCUCUAGGCUAACUCUAGACUUAAUUUUCCCUUCAUUACCACAGUGGAACUCAUUCUAACUGGUAAAUUUAUUUGUAUAAACAAUAAUUCACUUUCUAUUGAACUAAGAGUUGAUGAAAUUCAUUGAUAUUGAAAUUAUUUGCAGUUGAUGAACCUCGUAUUCUAUUAAACUUCCAACCAAAAUCAAUGCACAUGAGAAUACAAAAUCAAGGGCACAACAAUUAACGAAAUUUACUUUUAAUUUCGUCCAAACCUAUACAUCGCACCAAAUUAAGGUUCAGUUUCUAUUUCUUCAUUAACCCAAGUGACACAAAACAAUUCUAUUAAAUUUUAUGUUGAAAUUAUUUGUAGCAAACAAACAAAUAUACCAAAAAUAGGCUUACUUGGUGGAAUUAACAACAAUGCAAACGCGGUGGAGGGGAAUCAGUGGCUGGAACUUGCCUUGCCUUCUCUUCCAAUCAAUAAGAUUGAGGGCAGCAGCAACAACUUAUGAUCAACACCUGGUACUCCGCUUCAGGCACUGUCAAAUCUCAUCAAAAUUUCUUUAUCCCUUAAUUCUCUUGGAAACCAAACAAAAUACCACAACCAAUCCAGAUGCACAGUAUCCAAAAAUUAUAAAAAAAUCCACUUAAAAAACUUAAAAAAGGGUUAAAAAAAGUCUUAAGAAGAGUUUACCUCCUGAAUCACUGAUGCCCAGCCGGUAUCGUUGUUCCAAAACCCCUUGACGAAUACGAACACAGCCUGGUUCUCCUCAACCAAGUUGUUGUAGAGCUUCUUCUUGUCCGAUUAAAUAAUCUAUUGGUAUUUAGUGAUGGAUUUAAAGAGGAACGCCUUGGCGAUGGGCAAAUUUCAAAUCCGCUUCUGUUUUGCUGCAAGCAGAUUUCAAAUCGGUGAUGGGCAGGAACACAAACUCAGCCCCUUCACCAACAUGAACCGUUGUAGAGCUUCUUAUUUCUCGCUUCUUUUUGGCUUCAGGCAGUUUUCAAAGCGAUGAUUGGCAGGAAAAGAGGAACGAUUGAGGAAAACAAAAUUUGGGUUAGCCAGCAAGCACAAUCGCUUCGAAAAUACAAGAUCCGGCGUGCUGCAAUUUCUUAGACUCGAUGUUGUGCCCUUCGAAUUAUGAGAUUCUAUUUGGAUUUUUGUAGAUUCGGUUUUAAAAAAAUAUAUAUAUAUAUAUAUAUGUAUGUAUAUAAUUUUGAAAAUUUUAACCAGUUAAUUUUUUUAAAUAAAUGUUUAGCCGGUUAACAACCGGUUAAUGAAAAAAAUUUACAAAUUUUUUUAUUAUGUUAUAGUUAUUGCAUGCUGUUGAUUUAAUCCAACGGUGUACAGUAAUUACGGCAUUAAUACCGUAAUUUUUAUUACGGUAUUAUAGAAUUUUCCUUUUAAAAUUUUAUGUCUAUAUUUAUCAAAAAAAGUUAUCCAGAAUUAUUAUCUAUUUUUGAUACACAUUGAUUUAUUAAAAAAACAAUUAAAAACUGCAAUUCUAAACUUAUCGUUGUGCACUGUGCUUUGACCUUGGGGUGGUUUUUUUCUGUUUUUUUACGUAGGCCAGAACCUUAAUGAAGAAAGUUUUCAUCGUUAAUUGCUUUUGACCUAGGAGAAUUUAUUACUUGGACAAAUUAACACCAUUGUCCUUUGAUGCGGCUCCUAGAUAUCUAUGCAAUUUGUGUCAUUUACUUUUGCUUUGUAUUCUUUUUUAAAUGAGUCCUGACUGGUUCAUUGGCAGAUAAAUGAGUCGGUUUUUCUGUUUUUAUUUUUUAUUUUUUAUUUUUUGAAAGACGGUUUUUCUGUUACGAAACUUUUCAUGGAUGAAUUUUUUUUUUAAUUUUAUAGAUUCUCUGCGAAGGCAGUUUAGAAGUACUAAGUUUUGUUAGGUAGAAGGGUAUUUAAGUAUUUUCAUUUCAUAUUUUGACAUUUCCUUGACCUUUGAAGUAUUGAAUCAUUGUGUUGGUAUUUAAGUAAAUCUGCCCACAAUGAGGAAUAUAUAGUUCAGAACAGUUGAGGAAGCAUGAGAAUACUUGAGGAAAACCUGAUCUGCACUCUUUCCUCUAUAUGUGUCUUCAAUAUAAAUGGCUCAAAUAUAUGCGUUAUGAUCUUUUAAUAUUUCGCCUCUGAUAUUGCCCACAUUGCUUACUGCAAUAGAUAAAGCACUUCGUUUACCCCAAAUCCUGAUAGGGAAGUAUAAAUAUAUGCUUCCGAAAUAGCGCAACUCUCCAUAAUUAUUUAAUAUGCCUCUCAAUGAAGCAAUCACUUCAUUUACAAUUCUUCGAUUAUUAAUCCUACAUACACGUGUUUCUUUUGUCUCUAAAAGUAUUCUCAAUUAAUUUACAUAAUUUAAUAUAAUAAGUACCUAAGACUAGACAAAUUACCAUUACAAUAAAAUGAAUAAAUUAUAAUAGUAUUGACACAAUAAUGUCAAUAAUAAAUGCCUUAACAAACCUAUAAAUUUUAGAAUAUGGCUCAGAGUGCUACAAUGAACCACAACAAGUUAUUAUAUUAUCUAUAAUCAAUAUUCCAAUGAUAAUAGAGCUUUUCUAUUUUCAAUCCGCUGCUUUUCUGUUUAGCGAUUGCCAAAUUUUAUAUCUAAAAUUCUUCUAAUUUUACACUAAGGUUUAUUUAAAAAAAAAAAAAAGGGGGUAGGAGAGAGAGACUCAGAGAGUAUUAAAAAAUGUAAUUCUAAAUUUUUACUUGAGCGUUGUGUGAUUUUUAUCAUUUUUUUUAAGUUGGCCAUUUAUAUUGAGUAAAUAAAAGAAUGAAUAGACGUUUGGACCACUUCUUUUCUGUUAUAAUAAAACAUGAGAUGUCUUUUCUUGAUGUUUUCGUCACAAAAGAAUAUGUUUAUGUCAUCAUAGGCUUAAAUGGGGUAAGUAAAUUAAGAUCGAGGAAAAGUUUGUUUAAGCACUAAAGUCGCUAAAUAAACGAAAGGCUCAUAUAAAAAUUACCUAAAGCACCAAAUAUUGUUAUUUAGCUACUUCUUUUAUGUUACAUUAGUUUCUACGCAAAUUUAUAUAAAUAAUUUAUAACUCCCAUCAUUAUUAAAAAAAAAAAAAAACUGUAGCAAUUGUGGUUAUAUCACGUGGUGUGAUCUUUUGACAAUUCUCCCACAUCCCACCAAAAACUCUUACGCGGCAUGAACUUUUGACAAUUCUCCCAUAUCCCACCAAAAAUUUGUCAUGUUGCGAAAGGCAAUGUCAAUUGCAAUGUCAUUUCCAUUAGUCAUAGUAGCAGACAAUGGAGGUCCCGGGAUAGGACUAGAAGUUUUUGAAAUCUUGGACUUAUUCUUACUUUAUUUUUUCUUUUGAAAAUGAGAAAAGGACACCCGUUUGAGGAAAUAAUUUUGUAGAACCUCAUAUCGUGAAUAGGGGAUAAUAAGACUUUUUUUUUUUUUUACUUCACUGCAAUAUUCUUUAAUUUUAUUAAUUUUAUAUUUUAUAAUAAAUAUAAAUGUGAUAUUAAAAUAAAUGUAAUAAUAUAUACAUAUUAAAAUAACUUGAUAUUGAAAAAUAUUUUAAUAUUUUACAAUCCCGUAUUACAUUAAACCAAACUAUAAUAAAUAGAUAUAAUAUUAAAAUAAAUAUAUAAAAGUUUAAAUUAUUUUGAAUAUCAUAUAAAAUAAUUUUAAUAUUAUUAAUAAAUCAGAAGUAUUACAUUAAUUGUAAAAUCUAUCUAAUCCAAGGAUUUAUUUAAAUUUUUUAUAAUAAAUUAAAAAUAUAUUAAUUAACAUUUUAAAAAUUAAUAAUGAAAUUAAUUAUAUAAGUUAUACAUAUUAGUCUACUAGAAAGAUUUAAACUAUUUCAAUCAGAUUUACAUUUAGUGAAAAUUUUUGAAGUUAAUGGUUUUGGUUAUCGUCUACUAAGAAUCUUGCAGUUAAAAGGGGUAUUGACAUUCUUUAUUAAAAAUUUGAGGUCUACAUAACUAUUUUUUAAAAAUUUAAGGGUGUCAUUUUUAUUUUUAACAAAAAUAAAAUUUCAUUUAAAUGGCUAAAAUGGUGAAUAAUACAAUGUUACAGCUGGCGUAACAUUGUAUUAUAUGUUAAAUUUUUUUAAAUAUUUGUAUAUAUUGUUAUAUGAUAUUAUAAUAUUAUAUUUAUAUUUAUUAAAAUAUAAGAGUUAAUAUUUUUAAAUUAAUAAAGACAAAAAGUAUUAUAAUAAAAAAGAAUUCUUUUAUUAAAAAUAUAAUCAUUCUCCCAAACUUAUCCUUGUCCCUUUUUGAAAGGAAAAAAUAAAUUAGAAAAGUCUUUGGUCAUGAUAACUUCUAGCCUUGUCCCAUGGGACAUGGCUACGGUGCAGAAGCUGAAAGUAACAGCUUCGAACUUUCCCAUUUCCAUCACCUUGCAUUGGGACCUCUUUCUCUCUCCUCUAGCACCAGUGGAAGUUCCCCAUUGGCCGCUGUUACUUACAGAAGCUGUAACAUAGACUUCUAGCCAUGUCCCGUGAUGUCCAUUGUCUGCCACUAUCAAUAAUGGCAAUGACAUUGCAAAUGAAACAUUGAAAAUGUAUUUUCACAAUAUGACAAAAUGGGAGGAUUGUCAAAAGUUCACUGAAACUAGAGUUAGAUCUAAUUUCAUUUAUUUCAUAAAUUAGAAAAGUCUAUGGUCGUGAUAACUUCUAGCCAUGUCCCGUGAUGUCCAUUGUCUGCCACUAUGAAUAAUGAAAAUGACAUUGCAAUUGAAACUUUGAAAGGUAUUUUCGCAAUAUGACAAAGCUUUUGUUGGGAUACGGGAGGAUUGUCAAAAAUUCACACCACGUGAAACUAGCGUUAGAUCUAAUUUUAUGUCGUCAGUUCCUUAUAUAUUUAUUUCAUUUAUUUUAUACAUAGCUGUUUUAGGGUGAUAUUGUUUUGUAAAGAUAUAAUAGUAUGGUACUAUAAAAAGAAAAGAGGUGUGUGUAUACUUCCCAGUGUAAUAAUUAUAUGUAGAAGAAAACUAACAAGAGGAAAAAUGACAAAGAGCAAGGCGCUGGUUGUGGGGAGAAGAGGAUAGAGAAGGCAAUCUUAGCUUGUUGAUUGAGGGCUCAUUUUCUGAUCAUCGUAGCCUUGUUGGAGCUGUCAAACAAGUCGAUGUUGUCAUUUGCACCAUGUCGGGGGCUCAUUUAAGGAGCCACAAACAUUUUGAUGUUGCUUAAACCUGUUGAGUCCAUCAAAUAAGCUGUAAAUAUUAAGGUACGUAAUCCUUAAUUUUUAUGUAAUUUUAAUUUCAGAUCCAAAAUUGCAUGCAAGUCAUUAAAUUUCUUUCCUUUUUUUAUUUUUUAUUUGAUGAGUUACUUGAUUUGGUCGGGUGCCUUUUUUUUUCCUUUGGUUUUUCUUUUUCCAAAACAUAAAUAGACCAAGCACAUCUCCAAAUCGGGUUGGAGCGGGGAUUCUAACUCUACGAUGGCCAUAUUAAAAUUUAAAAUUUUUUAAUUUAUUUUUUCUUUUAUAACUACAUCUCAAUAUUUGAAAAAAUGAUUAUAUAGAUCUAUAUAUUAUCGAACCCAAAAUUAUAAUAAUACAUGUAAUUAUUCUAUACAUGCGUCAACAAGGCAACAGUAACCAAAUACAUGAUAUGCGAAGGGGGUGCAUGAUUAAGUCCUUUUUUUAUUCAAUUCAUUGUUAUUAUUUUUCAGCAGUUACCAGUGAUCUUUUUGCUCAUUAAAAUUAUUCUUAAAUAUUCAACGCCCAGAAGAGAAGCUCAUCAACUAUCAGAUCCCGGAUAAUUAAAGAGGUGAACUUGUUCUAAAUCCUUUGAUAAUUUCUAUUAAUAGCAUAAUCUCCUUGAUCCAAGAAAAAAUAUCUCCUGUUUGUCUUAAUCUUGUCAUUUAAUUUUUUCAACAGCAAAUAUAUAUACACACGCACACACACAUAUUGUUAAAAAGUGCAGAAAAACCACUCAAAAACGUGGAGAAAAACCACUCAAAUUUAUACAUGCGUCAACAGGGAAACAGUAACCAAAUACGUGAUACAAAAAGGGGUGAAUGAUUCUGUCUUUGCCUUUUGCAAGUCGCUGUUAUUACUCUCAUCAACUCCUUUCUCGCACAUUUCUCAGCAGUUACCAGUAAUAUUUAAAAUCGCUGUGUAGAUAUGCAAAGUUCCGUAAGUGCAUUAAUAAUUAUUUGCCAGAAAAAAAUAGUUGCGUCAAUAUUAAAGGAAUUGACAUCCAGGGGACCCAAUUUAGUUGCUUAAUGAUUAUUUAAUUAAUUAAUUUAUAAUAUAUUAAUCUUUUAAGUUGAAUAUUUAAAAUCUUAGACCCGAAACAAUAAAUCAUCUGAGGCAAAUAAAAGAGAAAUUAUCAUCCUUUUUUCUUUUUUUAACUUCUUGUAGCUUAUAAAAGAGAAAUUAUCAGUCAUUUACUCAAAGUUUAUUCAAUUAUUAAAAUUAUUAUAAAAAUUUAAAUUUAUUUAAUUUUACAUCCAAUGUAUGCAAUUUGUAUGAAACAUCUGUUAAAAAUAUAAAGUUAUUCGUUCAAAGUGACAAAAUAGAAGCGAACACAAAAUUGUAGUGGUGAUUAUGUUUUAGGAGUAACUUUAUUUUUUUAGUAAACAGUUGAUACACAUUUUAUAACUUUUGGAUAAUAAAAUAAUUUUUAGGUGGAUGAUUGAAAAUUUUUCUUUUCAAAAUAUUUUGAAAACAAUACCAAAUGUACCAAAACAUUGUUUACUUUCACUCUCUCUCUCUCUCUCUCUAUCUAUCUAUCUAUAUAUAUAUAUAUAUAUAUAUUAUUUCUUAACUCAUUCUUAUCCUUAUUCUUUCUAACAUAUCCACAAUCUGUCAAUGAAAUUUACUUUUAUAAAUUUAAAGAUUUUUUCAUGCAAUUUUGUACGAUGAUGAGUUCUCAUAUUUAUGUUAAAAAAUAAUUCGUAAAUAAUACAAAUGAAAAAAACAAAAAGUAGCAGGGCUGGCAAUACAAAACCAUAACUUUUUUUCUUUGAAUUUUGCAUAAAUAAAGUCAAUAGUGAUUUGUCAGCGCGAUCUUGAGAGCACGGCUUGGAGUCUCAAUAAUUAUUGACACUCAUAUUUGAAAACUUUCGAAAAGAUAAAAUCCAAUAUGAAAGGUGAAACGUUAUAAUCAUAGUAACUAGAAAAUUGAUUGAUUUACAAAUAUCAAUUUAAACAAUUUUCAUGUUGAUCGACAAUUUAAGUAGAUUGACAAAGAUUGAAGUAAUUACUGUUGGUGAUGAUUGACUUUGUCCUUAUCCUUGCCUUCUUCUUAUCAAAAAUCCAGUGUCAAUUAAAUUGGGCCAGGGUUUCUGAUUGCAACUAAUGGACUUCAUAUACGCAUAAUGGUCCCUACGUAUAUGCGUACCAAUAUUUGAUUGAAAAAGGGGGUGCAUGCUUAAUGCUCAAGUCGUCUUCUUUUGGAAAUUCAUUGUUAUUACUCUCAUCAACUCGUUCCUCACAUUCCUCUUUAGUCAAAACCUGUAAUAUUUCUUCUAUAUUCAAGGUGAAUACAGCAGCUCAUCAACUCUUAUCCCAGACAGGUAAAGAGGUGCACUUGUUCUAAAACCUGUAAUAUUCUUUUAGUAGCAGAAUCUCUGAUACUUGAUCUUCAUAGCGGUUCUUUCUUAAUUUCCAUAAACUUUCCUAGGAAAAAAAUUCUCUGGUUUUUCUUAAUCAUAUCAUUUACUUUUCUUAAGUCAUAUCAUUUAUUUUUAGUAGCAGAAUACUUGAUCUUGAUAGCCAUUCUUUCUUAAUUUCCAUCAACUUUCCUUGAAGGAUACCUUUCUGUUAAUAGCGAAACCUCUGAUCCUUAAGAUAGAAAAAGAAAUUCUCUACUUAGGUAUCAGUUGGUUCAAAAUCAAUAUCGCGAUGUUGUUUGCGGUCUUUUCUUUCUCUGUCUUUCCCUCUAGUUCAUUUUAAUUUAUUUGUAUUCCUUUCUUUGACAUUUUUAUUCAUUUUAUAUAUAUAUAUAUAUUGUUAAGCAAUAGGCAAUGGCUGCAGAAGUGGGUCUGGCUGCUUUUUCCAGCAUCGUAUCAGAAGGUGCAAAGUCACUGUUCAAACCGAUUAUACGGCAGAUCUCUUAUGUGUUCAAGUACCAGAGCUACGUAGAUGAGCUAAAAGAUCAAGUGAAACAGCUGGGAUAUAAAAGAGAAAUGGUGCAGCAACCAGUUAAUCAUGCUAGGCUACAAGGUGAUGAGCUUUAUGAGGGUGUCACAGACUGGCUACAUAGCGUUGAUGAAUUCAUCAGUAAAGGGGUUGCAAAAUCCAUUAUUGAUGAUGAAGAUAGAGCUAAGAAGUCCUGCUUCAAAGGAUCGUGCCCAAAUUUGAUUUCCCGUUACAAGGUCAGUAAACAUGCAGCAAAGGCCGCAGAAGCUGCCGCUAGUCUCAUGGGAAAAGGCAACUUCUCUAAUGUUUCCUACCGUCCUGCUCCAAAGCGGGCAAAACAUAUGCAAGUGAAAGAUUUCGAGGCCUUUGAUUCAAGAAUGAAAGUAUUUCAAGAUGUUAUGGAGGCGUUGAGGGAUGAUAAGCUCAACAUAAUUGGGGUCUACGGGAUGGGCGGCGUGGGUAAAACCACGAUAGUCAAGCAAGUUGCAAAGCAAGUGAUGGAAGAAAACUUGUUCGAUAAGGUCGUUAUGGCUGAGGUAACACAGACCCCAGAUCAUCAUAAAAUUCAAAACAAACUUGCUUUUGAUUUGGGCAUGGAAUUUGGCUUGAAUGAGAAUGAAUUCCAAAGAGCUGAACGAUUACAUAAAAGAUUGAAGAAAGAGAAGCAGCUCCUCAUUAUAUUAGAUAAUAUUUGGACAAAACUUGAGUUGGAUAAAAUUGGAAUUCCAACCGGGGAUGUUGCUGAGAAAGAUAGAAAGGAUGAUCAGAGAAGAUGCACAAUAAUAUUGACGUCUAGAAAGCAAGAUUUAUUGCGCAUUGAUAUGAAUUCUCAGAAAAAUUUCCCGAUCGAUGCUUUGCCACGAAAAGAAGCAUUGCAGUUAUUUGAGAAGAUAGUGGGUGAUUCAACUAAAAUAUCUACUUUUCAAAGUAUAGCAAAUGAGAUCGUUGAAAGAUGCGGAGGUUUGCCUGUUGCACUGAGUACAGUUGCAAAUGCUCUGAAAACUAAGGAGCUUGACUUUUGGAAAGAUGCAUUGAAUCAGCUAAGAAGAUCGGAUGCAAGAGAAAUUCAUGGCAUGCAAGCAAAUGUUUACACCUCCAUAAAAUUGAGUUAUGACUUCUUGGAAAGUGAGGAGGCAAAAUCUUUGUUUCGUCUUUGUGGUCUAUACAGUGAAGGUAAUGUCAUACAAGUUUCUAACUUAUUGAGAUAUGGUGUGGGUUGGGGUUUGUUUGAAAAUGUUUACACAUUAGAAGAAGCAAGGAGUAGAGUGCAUCGGUUGAUCGACAACCUCAAAUCUUCAUGCUUAUUGUUGGGCGGUGAUGCUAAAGAUGAAGUUAAAAUACAUGACGUCAUUCAUGUUGUUGCCGUAUCAAUUGCCGCAGAGAAGCGCAUGUUUAAUAUUCCAAAUGUUGCCGACUUAGAGAAAAAGAUGGAAGAGACAAUACGGAAAGAUCCAAUUGCCAUUUCAUUACCCCAGAGAAAUAUUCAAGAGCUCCCUGAAAGGUUGCAAUGUCCCAAUCUCCAGUUAUUUUUGUUGUUUAGAAAGGGUAAUGGCCCUAUGCAAAUUUCAGACCUCUUUUUUGAAGGGACAGAAGAACUCAAAGUGUUAAGUCUUAUCAGAAUUCCUUUCUCUUCAUUACCUUCGUCACUUGGUCGCCUCAUUAACCUUCAAACAUUGUGUUUAGAUGGUUGCGGACUAAAAGAUAUAGCAAUAGUUGGACAGCUAAAGAAAUUAGAGAUUCUCAGCCUUCGAGAUUCUGAUGUUAAGGAGUUGCCACUUGUAAUUGGACAAUUGACGAGAUUACAGUUGCUAGAUUUGAGCAAUUGUAGCAGCCUUGUGGUGAUAGCUCCAAAUGUCAUAUCAAAAUUAUCUCGAUUAGAAGAACUAUAUAUGGGUAACAGCUUUUCACAUUGGGAGAAGGUUGAAGGAGGAAGUAACGCCAAUCUUGUUGAGUUGAAGGGGUUGUCAAAGCUAACUACUUUGGAGAUACACGUUCGGGAUGCCGAAAUUCUACCGCAGGAUUUGGUCUCUGUGGAAUUGCAAAGAUACAGGAUAUGUAUAGGAAAUAAGUGGUGGAGCAGCUGGUCCGUUAAAUCUGGAUUAUCAAGAUUGAUGAAGCUCCAGGGGCUGGAAAAGUUUGGCAUUCUUUUGCAAAAUUACAGAAUGAAAAUGUUGCUGCAGAGAACUGAAGAUCUCUAUCUAGAAGAACUGAAGGGUGUUCAGAAUGUUGUUCAUGAAUUAGACGAUGGGGAGGGUUAUCCACGAUUGAAGCGUCUUCGUGUAGAAAGUUGUUCUGAGAUUUUACAUAUUGUCGGUUCAGUUAGACGGGUUGGUUGCGAAGUCUUUCCCUUGCUGGAGUCAUUGUCUCUUAUGUUUUUAACUAAUUUGGAGACGAUAUGCUACAGCCAACUCAAUGAAGAUCAAUCUUUCAGCAACUUAAGGAUUAUAUACGUAUAUUGUUGUGACAAACUGAAGCAUCUCUUCUCAUUCUCUAUGGCCAAAAGACUAUUGCGGCUUCAAAAAGUAGAAGUGGAAAACUGCUAUGAUUUGAAAAUGAUUAUUGGUAAGUGUUGAAAUUAAUUAUUGGUAGGAUUAUUGACACUGACUAAUUCUUUUUUUCUUUUUUUUUUUGGUGAAAAAAACAACGGAUGUUUAUAAUAUAUUGUUUUUGUUCAUUUAUAGGGCCCGACAUGGAGAAACCAACAACUACUGAGGGAUUCACAGAAAUCAAUGCAGAGGAUGAUCAGGUGAUAAUUUUCUGUUUAAUAAUUAAUUAAAAAAUAUAUUAUCGCGAUUGAUCUUCAAUCAUCGAAAGAAUAUUAUAUUAGAAGUUGUAGUUGAAGGAACAAAAAUGUACGGUUUUGCUUUGCAGGUUAUUUUUCCACACUUGGAGGAACUGAAACUUGGCCGUUUAAGAAGCAUCAAAAAAUUAUGGCCCGAUCAAUUUCAGGGAAUGAAUUGUUGUCAAAAUUUAACAAAAGUGACCGUGUGGAGAUGUGAUGGUCUGAAGUAUCUGUUUUCAUAUUCUAUGGUUAAUAGUCUUGGGCAACUCCAACAUCUUAAAAUAAGUUUUUGUAAGUCAAUGGAAGGGGUAGUCAACAACACCACGGGGAGGUUAGGAGGAAGAGAUGAAUUUAAGGUUUUUCCUAAACUACACUCCCUGCAGCUCACUGGUCUUCCAAAACUAAGUAGCUUUGCCUCACCAGAAGACGUCAUUCACACUGAAAUGCAACCUCAAUCUUUCUUUGAUGAAAAGGUUUUUUUUUUUUUAAUUAAUUUUAUUCUCAAUAGUUAAUUUCUUCUUUCGUUGAGUCUUCAAAUCUAAUUGUAUUGAAUUUUUAACUUCAGGUACGACUCCCAAGUCUGGAGGUAUUACAUAUUGUUUGGAUGGAUAAGUUGAGAAAAAUAUGGCACCACCAGCUUGCUUCGAAGUCUUUUAGCAAAUUGAAAAAAUUGGAGAUAUCUGAGUGUGAUAAUCUACUGAAUAUUUUUCCUCCAUUGGUAAGAUUGCUCUAUUCAUUUUCAAUUUUUAUUUCAAAUAACAUUCAACAAUUAUUUUAAUCAUUUUUGUGUUUACAAAUAAUUUUCAUUCACAAAUUAUUUAUUGCAAGUAUUGUACUUCAAACUUCUGGAGGGAAAAAAAGUAUUGUACUUCAAAUCACCAUUCUGAACUCUGCAUUUUCAAUCUAAUUUAUAGGUUCACCUGCAUUAAAGUCAACAAUAUAAUUGUUUUAAACACGAUUUAACAGCAUAAUAUAAUUCAAUUUACUUGUUUUUUUUCUUAAAUCCUAAUAAAUAAGAUUUUCAGAAAUUAAAAGAUACUUAGUUACUCAGCUUUUAAGUUCACAAAUUCAUGAUGGUCAUUUUGAAUCGAUCGUCGAUUAAAAAGUUUCCUCAAAUAUUCACUCUAUAACAGUCCCAUGUUGAUGGCGUUAGGAAGUGUUUUCCAAAAAUGUUUUCCAUUUUUAAAAGCAUGAAUAUCGGGAAAAAAUGGGAAAUACAGCGUUUUAGUUUAGUUAUUUUAAAAAUAGGCAUGUUUGAAAAUUAAAAUUUUUUAAAAACUAGCAUCAAGAUGAAAAAUGAAUUUAGAAUAUUUAAAAAUUACCUGAAAUUCUUUCUCUAUUCCUAAUACUAAAUAGUGUAAAUACAUUUUCAUUAUCUUUAUUUUUCUGGACUUCUAUUUAUUUAUUUUUGUUUUAAUUUUUUCCUUUUUUCUUUAACAAAAAAUAUCUAGUAGACAUUCAUGGUUUGUUAUUUUUCAUAAAACAAUUGUAUGAUUUUGACAUACUUUGAAUCUAGUUGAAUGCUACUCUUUAUUUUCAGGUUGGAAUUCCCAAUAGUCUAGUGAAUCUUAAUGUAUCAUACUGCAAAAAAUUAGAAGAAAUCAUAGGACAUGUUGGAGAAGAAGCGAAGGAGAAUCGUAUUGCUUUAAGUGAAUUAAAACUUUUGGAACUUGAUCAUUUACCAAGGCUUGCCAGCUUUUGUUUGGAGAAUUACACUCUUGAAUUCCCAUCAUUGGAACGAAUUUCAACGACACAGUGUCCGAGCAUGAAGACUUUUUCUCAGGGAACCUUAUCCACACCAAAGCUGCACGAAGUGCAGGUGAGUAAAAAGGAAGUAUUAAUUUACCAAGCCUUUUUAUAUGUGCAUAGAAGAUUCUACACACAUUGCACACACGCACAGUUUACUACUAACAACCUCUAUAACAACCUUUAGCUGACUCAGCUGCCAUGUCAGCAUACUCAUUAACUAACUAAUUCUAUUCUUAACAGGAAGAGGGUGGAUUGCGCCGUUGGGAAGGCAACCUUAAUUCCACUAUACAAAAGUGUUACGAAGAAAUGGUAUGUGUUAAAUCGAUUCGUCGAAAUUACUUAUGCAUCUCCCUUGCACUUGCACAUUUAAGUAUAUACACCUGCCUUGUAUAUAUAGUUUUAGAAGUUAAAACACAAAACAUGUAAGUUUAAUGUACAUAUAUCUAAUGCCUUUCAAAAAGAAAAAAAUUUAUAUAUAUCCAGUGCAAUUGUUUUGGUUUGUGCAGAUUGGAUUCCAUGACAUACAGUAUUUGCAACUCUCACAUUUUCCACGUUUGAAAGAAAUAUGGCAUGGCCAAGCACUGCCUGUCAGCUUCUUCAACAAUUUAGUAGUGCUCACGGUGGAUGACUGCACGAAUAUGUCGAGUGCUAUUCCUGCCAAUCUGCUACGGUGCUUGAACAAUUUGGAAUGGCUGGAAGUGAGGAAUUGUGAUUCACUAGAAGAGGUGCUUCAUUUGGAAGAGCUAAAUGCUAAGGAAGAACAUAUAGGCCCCCGGUUUCCUAGGCUUAACAGACUAAGGCUCAUUGAUCUUCCAAAACUCAAAAGAUUCUGCAACUUCACUGGGAAUAUAAUUGAACUGCCUGAGUUGAGAUAUCUAACUAUUGAGAAUUGCCCUGAUAUGGAAACAUUCAUAUCCAACUCUUUAGUGCACGUGACAACAGAUAACAAGAAACCUCAAAAAUUAACAUCAGAAGAGAACUUUUUGCUGGCUCAUCAAGUACAACCUCUCUUCGAUGAAAAGGUGAUUAUUAUUAUUAUUAUUAUUAUUAUUAUUAUUAUUAUUAUUAUUAUUGUUAUUAUUAUUAUUAUUAUUAUUAUUUUUCCCUUCACUUUCGUUCGCAUAGAUGUAAUUUCAUUAGAAUCAAGCCAAAUUUAAUGACUCAUCUUUUUGCAUGUCAUCUUAAUUUAUAUCUGAUUUAACAAUAUAACCGCAGUUAUUAACUAUCUUUAUAGUAUGAAUUAUAAAAAUGUCUGAAAUUAAUUGGAUGCCUGAUAACACGAGGUGAUGAACUAUAUUAAUUAUGUGUGUUACAUCUCUGUUUUCCUAGCUAAUUCAUAUUGGAUUUAGCCUCAGAUUUCAUUUAUGUGUUUCAAAGAGUAAGCGAUUUGAUACUUUUAUUUGGGAUCCUACUGCAAAGCAUACUAAUUUGGAAAUAAAAUAUAAAAUGCCGUGAUCAACCUUGUCCAUAAAAUAUGCAGGGGAAGACGGCAGAGAUUGGAUACAUAUUUUCAUUUACAACUUAAUUUUGUUGAUUUUCAGGUUGCAUUCCCUAAAUUGUGGGGGUUAAAGCUGUCUAGAUUACCCAAUGUGUUGCAUUUCUGGAAGGAAAAUGCCGAAUCCAACAAAGUGUUUGCAAACUUGGAAACUCUAGAAAUAUCGGAAUGCAGUAAGUUGCAAAAAUUAGUACCACCUUCAUGGCAUUUGGAAAAUCUUGCGACUCUGGAAGUAUCGAAAUGUCACGGGUUGAUAAAUUUGUUGACGCUCUCAGCAUCUAAAAAUCUAGUGACUCUUCAAAGAAUGAAGAUAGCUGAUUGCAAAAUGAUAGAACAAAUCAUACAAUUGCAGGUUGGAGAAGAAGCGAAAGGUUGCGUUGUCUUCGAGGAAUUGGAGUACUUGGGACUUGAUUGUUUGCCAAGCCUAACAAGCUUUUGUUUGGGUAAUUACGCUCUUGAAUUCCCGUCCUUGAAACAAGUAGUUGUGAGACAGUGUCCAAAAAUGAAGAUCUUCUCUCAAGGAGUCUUAGACACACCAAUGCUAAACAAAGUGAACGUCACCGAAGAAGAAAAAGAUGAUGAUGAAGAAGAUGAUGAUGAUGAUGAUGAUGAUGAUGAUGAUGAUGAUGAUGAUGAUGAUGACGACGACGACGACGACGAUGAAGAAGAAGUAGAUGAUGAUGAUGAUGAUGUUGGGAAGGCAACCUCAAUGACACCAUAAAAAAAUUGUUCAAUGAAAUGGUGAGUAUCAAUUAAGUUUUGGUGCUAUUUAGCAAAUAAUUUUAUAGAAACCAAUGUGAUAUAAUAUGAUUGGUUGACUGAAAAUAUAUAAUAAUAAAAAAUAAAUAAAUUAUGAGGACCAUGUAAUGUUUUUGUUUAACUAAUCAUAUUAUAUCGCAUCAGUUUAUACAAUAUUGUUUGUGCACAAGAGGUGGUGGUCAUAUAAUUACUCUAGCUUUAUUAUUCUUAUGGUGGCAAUGUAUGCUUGCUUACACGAGUAAUUACAAAAUCUGCAGAAUUCUAAAGAAGAGAUUGAGCCAAUCCUUCAGGUACAGUGAAGAAGCUAUCCCGAACCAGGCCAAUCUCUUAUACAUGAUUUAGCUUGCUCGUUCUUCUGUACUUGAAUAAUUUGGUUCUACACAUAUUUACAAUUUUUUGCUCAUGCUACAGACUUGCAAGACACUUUGGAUUUUGUUUGAUGUAUUCUCUGUUUAAGAAAGGACUUGAAUUGAUGUUUCAUGUUUCAUGUUUCAUGCAAUAUUCGAUUAGAUUCUGCCUAAAUUUCUGUAUUAUUCAUUCAAUUGGUCUUUUAAGCAUUUGAUUUCUAACCUCUCCUGAUAGAAGAUCAUUAGCCAAAGAAAACAGCAUAAAAUUUGUGGCAUUAUGAGAAUAAGAAUUUUUUUAAGUAUAGUAAAAUUAUCUCAACCAUUGUUAAAAAUAAUUAAUCCGUCAAACUGACCUUCUCACACCAACAUGCUUUAAAUUAAAAGAAUUUCGUGAAAGUCAAGACCAUGUUAUAGAUCUCGUGGAAAUAAGUAAACCCGUAAUUUUUUUCACAGCAUCAUAAGAAAAAAUCAUUUUUUAAAAGUAUUUUUGUUAGCUGUUGAGUUUUAAUAGUAGUAGCUAUUAAACAAUAACAAUUAGUGUAUAUUAAAAAGUUGGAAACCGGUUGACACCACUCGGGAAUCGAGCAGUUCACUUGUUUGCGAGUAGAAACCAACUUUACUACUAUUUACAAUCAUACCAAAAAUAGUAACUAAAGAAUCAGGAAAUUUCCUAUUCACUAUUCUUCAUUUUUUAAUGCAAAAUUCCCAUUCGAAAACACCAAUGACUUUCAUUCAAAGUAAAUGAGAAAUUACAAUGAAAAUAGAAUCAAAAUACAUGUAUGUAUACCUAAAACAAAUGAUUUUUUUUAAUUAAAAAAAAAAAGCACAGUUGAGGUGAAAUGAAACCAGAGUCAUGAUAUCUCUGGUUCCAGCUUUGGGACAACAGCAGACUUGAGUUCUAUAUGAGAAACACGUACAGCACCAAUCAGCCGCUCCGGUAAUUCAGCUGUAGUAUUUGCCUGCAUACAGAAGAGCAAGAUAAAGAAGACACACACAGAAGCAUUAUAUCAUUCUGAGAACAUUCAAGUAUGCAAAAAUGCAAGUGGCAGUGCAAUAUCUCAAAAUCAUGUCUUUUCCCUUGUGUCCAUUUAGCAGUGGGGGAAAAAAACAAUCAUACAUACCUGUACAAGGAAAGCCAUAUCAACCACCAAUGUCGUAAUUACACCAAUUACAAGGCCCAAAACUCCAUUAGCAACAGUAGAAGAAUCGAUGUCAACAUCAAUCUACAGAAAGAUGAACAAUGUUAAACCUUUUUAAAGGUAUUGGACGCUAUUUGAAAGGGGAACAUCUCAUGUACUAUAGAAAUUCCAAGAGCAUUUACUUCUAAGUACUUGGGACCGCGAAUAUAGUUACAAUCAACUGCCUUCCCCAAUAAACAAGGGGUGAUUCCAACACUCUGGCGCACUAUCCAUGAACCCUGCAUGAUUCAGUGCUUAAAAUCAAGAACAAGUGCAAAACAAAUUCAAGAGGGUAAAAAGGACAUAAAGUUUGAAGGUACAACCCAUCAAUACAUUCACACCUAAAUGCAUGCCUUCUUUGUACAAAUUGAAGUGUACCAUGCAGUAAAGGGUAAGUAUACGUUAAUAUAGUCCUACUACAUGAAGGCCAAGAUGGAUACCUUAGGAACAUAUGGAAUAAGUUUCAACCUACUAUUGCGAAAUUCAUCAUCGCCAUCAACAAACCGUUGCAAAAGUGAUCCCGUAACCAAUUGCCUUGUAACAAAAUAAAAUACCAUACUAUAAUGUGUUGAACCAGGAACCUGCAGAUGCUUAGGUUACAACUAUACAACCUCCCAAUACAAUAAGUUUGAAACUUAUACCUUCUGAAAUGAAACAAACUUUCUUGAAGAUUAAAGAUCAGUGAGAAAAGCCCUUUUUCAGAAGCAACCUACAUAUUUUAGAAUAGGGCUCAGUGCGUUAUAGAUUCAAUGAACCAUGAGAAGUUAUUUACAUUGUUGUAUCUCACAGGCAGUAUUUUCUCCUAAUGUAUCAAUGGAAAAUGCUAGUGAAUUGAAUGAAGCUAGAGCAGAGCAUGAUGUUGCUGUGUAGCUGACUUUAGCAGAUCAACUCACUAAGCUGACCUGGCAAAGUUAUUUAGCUAGUUGAGCUGAUGUGUCAAAUUAGUUAUGCAGCAAAUGGUUAUGUGAUGUAACAAACUCGUGUGUGUGUUGAGCAAAUUGUAGCUUAAUAUAAAUAUCAGUCUAUAUUCAUUCAGUUGUAAUGCUAAAGUAAUAAAGGUUCUACAAACUUCUUUACAGAGCUUUCUUUUAUUUUCUUCAUUUUCUAGCUUGCCAAACAAUACAAAACUAAGUUUCUUUCAUGGUAUUAGAGCCAUAAAUGGCGAAUACAGUUCAAAAUAACAACUCUUUUAGUUUUGUUACGCCUGUAAAGCUAGACCAAAACAACUUCAUUUUAUGGCGCGCACAAAUUUUAGCAUCGAUCUAAGGAAACGGUCUGGAAGGGUUUAUCAAUGGUGAUCAAGAAUGUCUUGAGCAGUUUCUUUCUUCUGGAAACAACAAUGGAGCUGAAAUUUUAACUGAAUCUGAAUCCAAAUCUAUUAAUCCAGAGUUCAUAGCUUGGAUGAAGACUGAUCAACUUCUGUUGAGUUGGAUGAUGUCGUCGAUACAGCAAAAUCUACUUGCUACUGUGAUUGACUCCACAACUUCAAAACAGCUCUGGGAGACUCUUACUAGUAUGUUUAUUUCUUAUCUUAAUCACAAGCUAGAAUUCAAACACUUAGAAUGCAGAUUCAAACUAUUAAGAAAGGUGCAAUGCAUAUGUCUGAUUACUUUGCAAAAGUAAAAUGUAUAGCUGAUACUUUAGCUCUAGCUGGAAAACCUGUUGAGUUAAGUGAUCUUGUGAUGCAUGUAUUAACUGGUCUUGAUUCAUCAGAUUAUGAAUCUUUAGUCACAGCUGUUUUAGCUCAAGGUGAGAAGAUAACAUUAGAUGAACUAUAUCCUUUGCUAUUGAAUCAUGAAAAUAGAGUUGAGCAAAAGAAAGGAAAAAUUGCUGGUGAUGUGAUGCACAAUAUGACAGCAAAUAUUGCUCAGAAGAACUCAUAUGCUGGAAAGAAUAAUGGCAAUUUUCAAAAAAAUUAUGGAAAUAAUUCUGGAGGUGGAAAUAAUUCUAGGUAUGGAGGUUUUAGUGGAUAUGGAUAGGGUCAGUUUAAUAAUGGUGGUAAUUCCUCUGAAAUUGUUUGUCAAAUCUGCUUCAUACCUGGUCAUGCAGCCAAUAGAUGCAAAAAUAGGUACAAUUCAUCUUUUGUUCCACAGAGAAACUAUGGCAGAGGUAAUAUGAAUGGUGGCAGAGGUUUUAAUCAAGGGCAAUAUGGUAGAGGAAGAGCUUUUAAUGGUAAUGGUGGCAGAGGUUUUGGAGGUUUUGGUUUAAAUGCUGGUUUUGGCUAUGCACCCAGGGGUUUUGGCUAUCAAGGAAAUAUAGUGUAUCCAGAUAGUAAUCCUUCUGCUUAUUACUCAUUCACCCCUGGACCAUCUACUUUUGUUUCUAGUCAAGGAAAUAAUAAUCCUGGACAGUCAAGUGCUUCAUCUUCCUCAGCUAUGCCUUCUUCACUUCCACCAGAACACAUUGAAGAUCCUUCAUGGUAUAUUGAUAGUGGGGCAACAAAUCACAUUACAAAUGAUCUAGGUAAACUUCUGGAUUCACAAGUUUAUACUAGUACUGAAAAAUUGUUUGUUGGAGAUGGAAAUGCAUUAGCUAUUACACAUGUAGGAUCAGUUGUGCUAAAUACUUCAACUUCUAAACCUUUAAGAACCAUGUUCUUCAUGUCCCUUUUAUUACUAAGAAUUUGCUUAGCAUUUCAAAAUUAUUGGCUAACAAUCCAGUUACUGUUGAAUUUCUUAGUGAUUUGUGUUUUAUAAAGGCUAGGAACACAGGGAAAAUUUUACUUGAAGGUGUUGCUAAAGGUGACUUGUAUAGAGUCUCUUCACAUGUUGCUGCUCAUUCAGUCUUUCUCAAUUCAGUUGGUCAAAAUAAAGUUCACUCUCUUUGCUUGUUCUCCUGUUUUCAAUUCUGAUCAGCUCACUGCUGUUAGUUCUUAUGAAUUGAAUAAAAAGUCAUGUCUGUCAAUUGUUACAAAGAGUUCUAUUGAUGUAAAUCUUCUUCAUAGAGAAAUUAGGACGCCCAGCAUCUUAUACUCUCAAAACUAUACUCAAAACUUGUAACAACUCUACUGCUUAUAAUAAAAUUGAAAGCUUGAAAUUUUGUUCAGCAUGUCAAUAUGGGAAAAAUCAUAUGCUGCAUUUUGAUUCAGUUGAAACAAAAACUUCAGCACCCUUAAAAGUGAUAUAUGCAGAUCUUUGGGGUCCUUCUCAUGUAUGUUCUACCCAAGGAUAUAAUUACUACUUAUCAAUCUUAGAUGAUUAUAGUAGAUUUACCUGGAUAUUUCCAUUGUCAGCCAAAUCUGAUGCUCUUGAAGUGUUUACCAAUUUCAAAAUUUUUAUUGAAAAGCAUCUUCAACUUCAAAUCAAAACUGUCCAAACUGACUGGGGAGGAGAGUUCAGAACAUUUUCCUCAUUACUCAAUGCUUCUGGUAUCCAUUUUAGACACCCUUGCCCACAUAUUCAUCAUCAAAAUGGAAGAAUUGAGAGGAAACAUAGACACAUAGUUGAUGUAGGUCUGACCUUAUUAGCUCAAGCACAUUUACCACUCAAAUUUUGGUGGAAUGCAUCCCACACAGCUGUCUAUUUGAUAAACAGACUUCCAACUCCAAUUCUAAACAACAUUUCUCCUUUCCAAAAGUUAUUUCAUCAUCAACCAGAUUAUUCAACACUUAAAACCUUCGGUUGUGUUUGUUAUCCAACACUCAGACCAUACAAUAGACAUAAGUUUGAUUUCAGAACUACAAGAUGUAUAUUCAUUGGCUACAAUUCACAACACAAGGGAUAUCAGUGUCUUCACUCUUCUAAGAGGGUUUACAUUUCAAAUCAUGUCACCUUUGAUGAAAAUUCUUUUCCUUGUGAGUCUGGAGCAGAUUUUCUUCACUCUCUUCAAGUUGUCAGUCAACAAAAAAUUAUAAGUCUUCUUUCAAUUCCUCUGUUCCUUCUGUUACUCAGUUACAAGCACCUUUAGCAGCAUCAUCAGAACACCAUCAAAAUGUUCAUCAUUCAGAUGCUCCUACUCCCUCACCAAAUUCUACUCCACUUUAUUUUUCUGAUAAUUCCAACUCAGCUUCUUCUUCUUCACCACCACAUAAUUCACCUCCACAUACAUUGCCACAACCUGCAUCAACUGGUCAUCCAAUGAUAACCAGGUCAAAAGCAGGUAUUUUCAAGCCAAAAAUUUAUUUGUCAGCUUUAUUAGCCUAGAAAUCAGAACCAACUUCUGUUUCCCAAGCACUUUCUAAUCCUAUGUGGUAUAAGGCUAUGCAAGAAGGGUAGCACUUAAAACUAAUCACACCUGGGAUUUAGUUUUACCUGCUACUCCAGUGAAGAUAGUUGGCAGCAAAUGGGUGUUUCGAAUAAAGUACAACUCAGAUGGUUCAAUUUCAAGAUAUAAAGUCAGGCUUGUUGCAAAGGGGUUUCAUCAAACACAUGGGAUUGACCAUACAGAAACUUUUAGUCCAGUGGUUAAAGCUUCAACUGUUAAGAGUUAUUCUUAGCUUAGCAGUAUUGAAUCAAUGGGUGAUUAGGCAAGUAGAUGUUAAUAAUGCCUUUCUAAAUGGCAUUUUAAUUGAAGAGGUGUACAAGGCUCAACCUGAAGGUUUUGUUGACUCAACUAAACCUAAUCAUAUCUGCAAGCUGAAUAAAGCUUUGUAUGGCUUAAAACAGGCACCUAGAGCCUGGUUUGAUAGAUUCAAGGAUGCAAUGAUCUCUAAACGGCAUUUCCAACAUUCAAGGUCUGAUAACUCUCUGUUUCAUGCCUGGAACAGUGGUCAUCUAACUCUUGUUUCGGUCUAAGUUGAUAUUAUCAUCACUAGUUCCAGUCCAACACUAAUUCAGCAAGUUAUUCAGAGUAUGAAUCAAGCCUUUGCUUUAAAAGACAUGGGGGAACUUAGCUAUUUUCUGGGGAUUGAAGUCAGCAAGUCUUCACAAGGGGUUUCCUUGACACAAGCAAAGUAUAUUACUGACAUUCUGGAUAAACAUGGCAUGACAGAUUGCAGUCCUGUGCCUACUCCAAUGUCUACUGGUUAUUAUCUCACAAAAGAAUCAGGAGAGCUAAUUGAUAAUGUUUCUCAAUAUAGGAGUGUUAUAGGAGUUCUUCAAUAUGUUACUCUUACCAGACCUGACAUUGCUUUCUCUGUAAACAAGCUAAGUCAAUUCCUUUCAAGUCCUAGAACACAACAUUGGGAAGCAUGCAAAAGGUUAUUGAGGUACUUAAAAGGCACUAUAUAUCUUGGGCUGCAAUUUAAUAACAAAGGAGCUUUGCAACUACAUUGUUUUUCAGAUUCUGACUGGGCUUGUGAUCGUGAUGAUAAGAAGUCAGUGGCUGGCUUUGCUGUUUACCUAGGCCCUAAUCUAGUCUCAUGGUCAUCAAAGAAACAAGCUGUUGUUUCUAGGUCCAGCACAGAGGCUGAGUAUAGAUCUCUUGCUCAUGCUGCUUCAGAGGUUCCCUGGAUAUAAUCUUUACUUGGUGAACUUAACAUCAAAUUGAGCUCUACUCCUAUGAUGUGGUGUGAUAAUCAAGAAGCAAUUGCUUUAGCUUACAAUCCAGUCUAUCAUGCUAAAACUAAGCAUGUCGAAUUGGAUAUACAUUUUAUCCGAGAUAAAGUUACUGCUAUAGAGAUUGAAAUAUGUUUUGUGCCCAGUCAAGAUCAAACAGCAGAUGUGUUGACUAAGGCUUACUUUCAAACAGUUUAGUUACUUAAGAAGGAAGCUGAAUGUUCAUCCUAAACAUUUUAGCUUGAGGGGGGAUGUUAGUGAAUUGAAUGACGUUGGAGCAGAGCAUGAUGUUGUUGUGUAGCUGACUGUAGCAGAUCAACUCACUAGGCUAACCUGGCAAAGUUAGUUAGCUGGUUGAGCUGAUGUGUCAAAUUAGUUAUGCAGCACUUGUGUGUGUGUUGAGCAAAUUGUAGCUUAAUAUAAAUAUCAGUCUGUAUUCAUUCAGUUGUAAUGCUAGAGUAAUAAAGGUUCUACAAACUUCUUUACAGCGCUUUCUUUUAUUUUCUUUCAUUUUCUAGCUUGCCAAACAAUACAAAACUAAGUUUCUUUCAGAAAAGGAAAAAUAAAAAGAAAAGAAUAGUUACUUGUGCAGUACAGCCUUGACGCCUAGCUACAUGGUCCAUUCUCUUUGUGUCUUUGAACCAAUCAACAGCAACAAGAUCCAUUAAAUGUUUUCCCGCAGGUAUCUGCAGUUACAAAUUGCACAAAGCACAAGAGCCAACCAAACUACAUCAUAACCUGUCGACCUAGCAUAUGCAGGAUAUAUAAAUACCAUAACAAACAACCAAAAUAUGGGGGAACCUUUGUUUUGUCAUAACAAAAAUGCUUGCUACGAACUCUAAAGUUAUUUCCACCAGAAAGUUUCCAGCAGUCACGAGCAUUAUCACAGUCAUCGUGUCGCAGGUUGCCUGAAAAAUAAGACAAAUCAAUUUGAUCAGCCUGCUCUUCCUCUAGGGUAGCAACUAAUUGAAAAUUAUAAACCAAAAAAAAAAAAAAAAUCAAUACCAUAAAAAUCCACUAAUGAGGACAUUAGCCAAAUAUACAAAAAUGAAUACUUAUCAUCCACCUGUCCUCUUGAAAUCAUUCUCAAUCUUUUUUUCAUUUGUCUGAAAUCCCAAGGAAAAAUAUGUAACUAAUACUUCCCAUUCAUGACUAUUGUCUGUCAUAUAAACAUGACAUUUAAUUGAAAUAGUAAAAUUAUUUAAUUAUUUUAAUUAACUGUUAAUCCUAUAAAUUAUUUUUGUUAAAUCUAGCAAGAAUAACUAACAUUUCUUUAAGAUAUAUUUUGGCGGUAAAUUAAAAAAAAAUUAAUUAUUUGGCGGGAAUUAUUGAAAUUGGAGCCAUUUUUUUGUGGGAAUUGAAAUAUAUUCUUUAAAUUAUUAUAUAAAAAGCAAAAUGUACAUACACACACAUAUAUAUAAUUUAUAUAUAAAAAUUCUCUAAUUUGUUCACAAGUAUCAUAGAUUAUAAUUCAGUUAUGAAAUAAAAUAACUACAAUAAUUAUAGUUAAGUGAAUACUUCAUUAAUUCUUAAUUUGCUUCCUAACAUUAAAUGAACUUGAGUCAGCCACCUGAAUCAACCAGUAACAACGCCUGAGUCAACCAUCUGAAAAAACCAGCAACCCUAGCUGAUUCAAGCACCUGCAAUUAACAUCAACACAACAGGAACAAUCGUAAAUCAGCACCAAGAACAGACCAAACCGCCAUCAAAUGCCACAAAACCAAACAGUCUGCUACUGCCAUCAAAUGCAAGCAAGCAUAUGCAACAAAACCAGAUGCAAGUGAAAUUCUGGAGAAUAUCGGAUAAACCAAACCAAAUGCCACACUUCUAGUAAUUAGACUAGAUGCAGUGUUCAAUUAAACUAAAUGUAGUCUCAUAUUACAUUCAAAUUUUCUAAAAAAACCAGUGUUCCAUCAGAGAAGCACCAAAACCAAACCAAUCUAAUCCAGCAUAAUUACCAGCUCAACCCAAAACAAUUACACAUUAUAUUGACAUAUCAAAAUUCGCUAUCAAAACAUAGCCAAAUAAAUGACAAUAAACUGAAAACAGACCCGAACCAACUGAUGUUGCAGCCCUAGUAGUCAUUGUCCGUUCCACUGCCAUAGGAGCGAGGGUAGGCUCCGUUGUUGAUGAGUGAGUAAGAUAAGGCUCCAAAUCAAUAGUUCCACCUCCUUUCUGCAAUUCAAAAAACAGAAAUUCAUAUAUGUAAAACUAUUAAAAAGUGUGAAACAACCUGUAAGUAUUCAACUUCUGUCAACUCAAUAGCACUUACUAAAGUUUUUAUACAGAAGAAAAAGGCAUUUUAAGUCCAAAAAAUUAGAAUUAUUGGUUGAACUCCAACUCCAUCAAUCCAUGCAACCAUCGAACCUUUAACGAAAAAAUGAAGCAUAAUUAACAAGACAUCUGAAUCAGAAAGAUUGUGCUUUGAUUUGGCACGAGGUGUUGGAAACAACUUAACAAAUCUAGACACAAUCUAUAACCAUCAAGUCCAAACAAAAGUCAGGAUCUAAAAUACUUUGAAAAAUCAGAAAAACCGCAAACUAUCAGUUUCAAUUUCUUUUUCACCCAUUGUAAGCUCAAACUGAAGGUAGCGGCGCUACCUUUAAACAUCAUUUGGGCUUAUACAUGUGACAUUUGCUCAUGAACAACUAAAGUUGAAUAAGAUUUUUAUAUGAAACGGAAUAUAAAAAGUCAAAGUAGAAUAUGACAGGAGCUACAAUAUAUUAUUCAGCAUUAGCAUUAUGUAUAAAAUAAAUUUAGAGGCAUCAUAUUCAUUCACAAUCUUGCAGAGGUAAUACCAGAUUAUGGCACGCAACUCUUGAAUAGCAGAUAAAGGAGGAGAUGCAGUAGGAAGGUAGUAACUUGCUUGCAUGAGAACUAAAAAGUAAUCUCCCAAGAUCAAUUAUAGAUCUCAUAAAACAAAAACAGUGAGGCAAACACAAUUAUUGUGAACAAUUAUUCAUAGAACCACAUACCAGCAACAAGAUCAAAGUCAUCUGUGUAUAAAUCGAUUCCCCACAGCUGACUGCCUCUGACCUAAACAUAAUGAAAUUACAUAAAUAAGAAGUAGAGUCAUAAAAUAUGCUGCUGUAACAGCUAUCAAUAAAUUUCCAGACAAAUGGAAUUUGAUAUGUAAGGCUAUAACUAGCAACACUUCAAAAUAAUUUGAAGUAGCAUGAUCUUACUUUAAGGAUCAAUACUACAAUCUUUCAGAAAAAUUAAAGUCUAACCAAAAUUAAAACCUUAAACAUACUAAAAUCUGGUAAAUAGACCUAUAGGAAUUCCAAUGACCUCCAAAAUAUUUGAAAAAAAAAUUAAUUUACAGCAAAAAAUGUUAAAGAUUUGUAAAAUGGAGGCCCACACUACUAUUCAAAUUACAAAAGAGGAAAGGGAGCUGGCCAUUAAAUGAUAAAGGCAUGCAUAAAGAAAUACGAGCACCACAUUAAGUGAUAAAGGCAUGCAUCGAGAAAUACAAAAAAUAUGCCCAUAAAGACGUCCACUCAAGCCUUAUAAGCGGCUUUAUGCAAAGGAAAGCCAAUUAGUUAACAGUAAAUGAAUUUCAAGGUGCAAUAAUUAAACUCCCUGAUCAGCACAUUUAAGGUUCAUGCAUUUCUACAAAACAUGUAAAUCAUAAGAACUUUUUUGGUCCAAAUGCUAACCAGUAAUUAAGUAGAUUAUCAAAGUUGUCACAGAACAAGCACCACAUUGAUUGCUAUGCAAAAGAUGAAAGUAAAAGUUAAUACUUUAUUUUAUUUUACUUUUCGAGAGUUUUGAUCAUCAUGUGCAAAAUAGUAGUAUAACUUGCUCAGUGUUAUCUCAAAAAGCUUGCUUAAAAUACCUAUUAGCACCAGUCCAAGUUGUCAAAUAAAUCCUUAUCUAUCCAUUCAUCUCUGACCUUGCCAAAAAGAUUUAAACGAGCAUCUAUAUUCUCACUCCAAUCUUUCACAAUCAUAGGCUUUAACUUAGACCAGUUCUUCAAUAUCCCUUCCACUGUGAGCCCCUCGAAAACCUUGUAAAUUGAAUCACAUUUAUCAUCAGUUCCAAAUCCAUCUGUCAAAAGGCUAAGCAAAUGAAUAUACAAUCAACACCAUUCUUCCAAACGAAUAUACAGUCAACACCAUUCUUCUAAACACAAACAAAGUUUGAACGUAUGACAGAUUUUUAGCCAUUUAAUAUUCCAUCAAAUAUAAUUAGAUCACACCUACCAAGGAUUUUUGAAAAGAAUGCAUUCUCAUCUUAAGCAGCAACCUCACCAGUAACACAUUUUCAUACCCUGUUUCCACCUCUGGUCGCACCACCAAAAAAAAUUCAGUACUAAUUAGCUUCAACAGAGUCUAUUUUUUAUUUCUUUUUUUUCCGAAAUAAACCUCCAUUCUUAUACAUAAAAUUAAAAUAUCAAUUAAAUAAACAAGGUCUAUGCUUACUAGUAAAACACGUCCAUUUUCAGGUAGAGGCAGAUAAUAAAAGAAAAUUAAAAUUGAGAUAAAAUAAGAAGAGCUUACUAUGUGCAUUUGAUCAACAAUCCAAUCCUCAACGAUGGAAUCGAUGCCAUCAAAUAAACAUGACUUAAUCUUGAAACCAUAAACUGCACUAAGCAUAGCACCAAAGCCAGAGCGUGACUAUAAAGAAGAAAAAUAAAAAGAAGGAAAAGAAGAAUUAAAUCAACAUGAAAUUGAACUUUUGUUUUAUCUUCCACAAGCAAGAAAUUCAACUGGAACAAUACAAAAUAUGAAAUUUUUAGCAAUCUUACUAGCAUUAUGCACAAAUCUCAAUUCACGACAAAUAGGGGAAUGAAUCACUAACAUCACUCAAUUCAUAUAUUCAAAUAAUGUAUCCCCACUCCUAACAAGCAACGUGCUACCACAGUCGAUUAGUUGUUAGGGUUAAGGCUUACCAUAGAGAACUGGAUGGCGCUAACUAAAUGACAAGUUGAAACGGCAUCUGCAAUCGUAUUGAAUGACAUUGAACCGCGAGGUAGGGUUUAAAUGAAUACCGGGCAGAGAUAAAUUGGUGUGGUGAAUUAGGGUUUUGUGGCUACGUUUUAUUUCGAUUGAAAAAAGGAAUUUGAGCCAGGCUUUAAUAUGUAAAUUUUCGCUUAGUUGAAACAGAGGAAAGCUUUUGGGUUAUUAAAGUGAAAGAUAUGGAAUAAUACAAAAAAUUAUUGAAGUGAAAGAGCAGGAAUACAAAAAAUCAGCAGAUGAGAUCGUUGAAGAUGCGGAGGUUUGUAUAUAAAUAUUAAAUUGAUCGUUGAAAGAUGUAUAAACCUCCAUAAAAUUGAGUUACGACUUGAAGGAUUGUAUAUAAACAUUAAAUUGGUCUAAUUUAACUUGUAUGUAAACAUUAAAUUCUAUAUAAAUACACAGAACAGAACCAUAUCAGUGUUGGAAAAAAAAAAUCCAGAGUUACAUAAAUUCAAUAAAAAAUUAUUGAAUUUUUUAUUACUAACUUUGAACACUCUAAUUUCAAUAAAAAAAUUAUAUUACUAAAAUAGUCUUAAUUGAAUUUACUAUUAAAGACAUUAGAAUAACUCAAUACUAAUAUUCUCAAAUAUAUUUCUCUCCAUAGUCUAAUCUAAUUCAUUCUAAGAAUCCUAUAGAAAAUCUAUUAUUUACUUUUUCCUUAUUAAACAGAAAAACAUGUCAUUUGUUGCUAACUAACAUUUUAGAACUAACAACAGCAGAUUAAAUAAAAUUAUCAGAAAAAGAAAUCAAACAGGAUUUUGAUCGUCGUCAUCUUCACUCUUGCCUUUUUCUUUUUCUUCACACAUGUGGCUUGCGCACACAUCCCCUCUCUCAUCCUUAGGGCCGCCCUUCAACAAUAUCCAAUCAUCGAUUAUAAUUAUUUAGAUUGACCAAAUCAAGCUUUGAUAAGAUAUUGGUUGAGAUUAGAAGUAGGCAGCCAGCAACGACAAUACUAAUUAAUAUCUCAUGAGAAUUUUAAAGAAGAAUCUAACGUUGCCCAAUUCGUUUGAUUUCAAUGAAGUCUUUCUCCUACCUAUACUUUCGCAUAUUCUCUUUUAUUUCCAAAGUUAAGGUUAUGGAUGUUGUAGAGUUAAAAGCUGAACAUUGCUAGGAAAGCAAUAAAAGGAAAUAAAUAAAAAUUAAAAAUAUAAAAAGAGUUAAGUCUUUUUUUUUUGUCUAUUAGUGUUUUUGUAUUUAAUAACGAAAGAAAAAAAUAAAGUAAAUAUUAUCUGUUAGAUUAUUAAAAUAACACUUGUCCAAAUCUCAAUAUCAUGAUAUUAGGGAAAUUUUUAAUUAAUAGAUCUUCAUUUUUAAUUAGUAGAUAUUGUUUAAUGUAUAAUAUCAUGAUAUUAGGGAAAUUUUUAAUGAAUAGAUCUUCAUUUUAGGCUAAAGCACCCAUACAGUAGUCCCCCCUACGUACUGCGAGCUUACUACAAAAGAUAAGACUAUUUAGUUGUGGGACAAAUAAAGAGGGAAAGUUAAAUAAUAUAAUUCAUUUGUUAUUAUGAACUAACCAACUCAAAACAAAAAGGAUUGAUAAUACAGUUCAAAAUGCAUGCAACAAUGGUGUAUUUAAAAUGGAACUAAUGCACAAAUAAAAUUUAUGCAUCUCUUUGAGGAAGGCUUUUAGGGCAACAAAUGAAAAUAGUGAGCUCGCAUUUUCUGUUAUCAUUCUCACCACUUGAAAAAGAGAGAAAAAAAACUGAGAGGAAAAACAGGGCUCCCUUGUUUUCAUUCCCUAUUUUUUCAGUUUGGGAAUUGCAAAUAACUUCUUUACUUCUCUCUUAUUUUAUUUUUAAAAUUUGUUUUAACUCAUUAAUUCUUUUUCUUGUUCUUGUUAAAGCGUUUAGUAAAUCAUAUGAUCAUCUGAUCAAAUCCCUAACGUUAACAUACCCAUAAUCUAUUAAUAAAAUUUAUUUGAUUUUAUAAUCAUUAAAUUGAAGAUUUGUUCAUGCAAUUUUGUAUGGUGACCAGCUUUCAUUUUUUUCUGUUAAACAUAAGAACAAUUUGUGCAUAACGUCCAGGUUGGAACUCGUAAUAACGAGGCAUCAUUUGUGGACAGAACAAAUGAAAUAACAAAAAAGCAUAAAUCAAGUCAUUAUUGAUCCUACUUUGAUGUUUAGUUUCUUUCUAAGAUGUCAUUCCUCAUUCAAGCUUUUGCUUUCUCUUUUAUCAGGCAUCUCACAAAGCUUUCUCUCUACUAAUAUGCUCUGCAUAUCAUUAGAACAUAUGAAAGCUUUUGCUUUCAAGCGCAAAAGGUAUUUAUUCGUUGAAAACUUUUAACUUGAUUAUUUCAUUAGAACAUAUGAAAUUAGUGCUUUCUUCAAGUUAAUUGAGUUGAACAACAUUUUUUAAAGUAUUUUACCCGAUCCAUUUCUUGUAUCUCACUGCAUGCCUUGUUAAAGAUUCGGCUUUUGGUCUUGAUUCUGAACUUCAAAAAUUAAAUCUUAAAACUCGGGUAUAAAAGGGGUGCAUGAUUAAGUCUUCUUCUUUUGCAAUUCAUUGUUAUUACACACAUCAACAUUUUACUAGGACAUUCGUCUGCAGUUAACAGUGAUCUUUUACUCAUUAAAAUUUUUCCUAAUAAUUUCUUUGAAUACCCGUUCUUACUUAAUAUUCAAUGCGAAUGGAGAAGCUCACCAAUUCUCUGAUCCCAGACAAUUAAAGAGGUACACAUGUUCUAAAUCAUCUAAUAAUAUCUUUUACUAGCAGUUCUUAAUUUCCAAGAAAAAAAUUUCUCUUGUUUGUUUUCAUCUUGUCAUUUAUUUUGCUUGAGUUUUAAGUUAUUGUUCAUUUGUAAUGUCUGUGUUCUUAUUAUUAGCUUUGGAUAAUUUGCAUCCAUUUUUCCCAAAAAAAAAAAAACAAUUAGAGAAAUUGUGGGCUUUUAUUCAGACCCCUGAAACCUUUCUGUUAAUAUAAAAACUCUAAUCCUUGAGCAAAAGGUGGUUAAAAAAAUAAAAGAAAAGAAUUCUCUGUUUAAAUAUCAGUUGGCUUAAGAUCAAUGUUGCUUGCCUCCUGUCUUUUCUUUGUUUUGUUUGUUUGUUUGUCAUUUUAUUAGAUUUGCUUUGUAUCUAAUUUUACUUGGAGAUUAAAGAUGAGUGAGAACUGCCCUUUCUUCUGAAGCAACCUACAAAUUUUAGAAUAGGGCCCAGAGUAUUAAAGAUUCAAUUAACCGCAAAAAGUUAUUUACUUGCAUCACUUGAAAAUUGAGCUGUUUACAUUAGAAAUUUUCAUGCAUUCACGAGCAAUAUCAUCAUGUCACAAGAUAGCCUGAAAAGCAAGUUUCCUCUGUUUUCGUUCCUUUGUUUUCAUUCCCCUGUUUAUUGAAUUUUUUUUUUUUGGCCGGAAAUUAAGAAGAAAAAAUUGGUAAAACAAGUUGCCUCUGUUUUCAUUCCCCUGUUUUUUGUGGAAAGAAUAAACCAAACUUUAAUUUUUUAUUUUAUUUUAUAUUUUGGUUUUUGAAUAUGCAUAAAUCAAAUCAUAUAUUAUUGAUCUUACUUCGGUUAUUUGCUGUUUAGUUUCUCUCUUAAAUGCUUUUUGUGUGUUUCCGGUAUUUGCUUUUAUAAAAGUUUUAGUCCCGAAUCAUUCGUUCAAGGAUUUGCUUUAUGUUUUAUUAGGCAUAUACAUUGCUCUGUCAAUCAAUAUUCAUUUCAAUUUCACAGUACACAAGCAAUGUAUAUACCAAAAUUACUCAAAACACAACAGGUAUUAUUCUAUGAAAACUUAAUUAUUUCUUUAGAAUAUAUGAAAACGUAGAGUUGUGAACUGGUGCUUUCUUCUUCAACAUGCGUCAACAGGGCAACAAUAACCAAAUACAUGAUAUAGAAAAGCGGUGCAUGACUAAUUCUUUUUCUUUUGCAGGUCUUUGUUAUUGCUCUCAUCAACUCUUUUCUCACACAUUCCUCAGCAGUUACCAGUGAUCUUUUUCCUCUUUCAACUUGUUCUUAAAUAUUGAAGGCCAAAUAGAGAAGCUCACCAACUCUCUAAUCCCAGAUAAUUAAAGAGGUGCACGAUUUCUAAAUCAUUGAAUUUUUUUUUUUUUUUGAUAGUAGAAUCCCUGAUCCUUGAUCUUGACAUCUGCUCUUUCUUAAGUUCCAUCUACUUUCCAAGAAAAAAUUUCCUCUGGUUUGUUUUAAUAUUGUAACUUAUUUUGCAUGAGUUUUAAGUUAGUAUUCAUUGUUAAAGCCUGUGCUCUUAUUAUUUCUUUUGGUUAAUUUGCAUGCUCUCCCCCCCCCCCCCCCAAAAAAAAAAGGUUAGAAAAAGAUUAUAGGCUUUUACUCAGACCCUUGAAACCUUUACUGAUAAUACCAAAAACUCUAAUCCUUCAACAAAAGAAAGCAAGAAAAAAAGGUCCUAAGUUUAUUGUCUUUUAUUGGCUUUGUACCAAAAACUCUGAUCUGUUGGCUUUGUAUCAGUAUUGCUUGUUUGUUGUCUUUUAUUUCAUUAUUUGUAUCUAAGUUUAUUUGAAGAAUACAGAUCAGCAGGAAAAGCCCUUUUUCUAAAGCUAACUAUACAGAUUUUAGAAUAGGGCUCAACCACAUGAAAAUAUUUACGUUGUAAUAUCUCAUAUUAAUAAUCUAAAAACAACCAAUCCAACAAGUUCAAAUUCAGUCAAAUCUUAAAAAAAAUUGCUUUUAAGGAGUACAUGAUAGCUAUUAAACUUUGGUUAAAGAUCUUUUGGGCAAACGUGAAAUUAAGUCAAUCAUAAAUCAACCAAUCCAACGAGUUCAAAUUCAUCACUUGCAAAAUUAAGUUUUCUUCCGAAAUUGAGUUGUUUCCAGUAGAAAUUUUCCCGCAGUCACGAGCACCAUCAUCAAAACAAGAUUAUUAAUAUAAGAACAAGAGUUGAGGAAAAAAAAAUAGUUAAAACAAGAUUCCUCUGUUUUCAUUCCCCUGUUUUUUUUCGUUUGGUGAUUGAAAAAUUUUAUCUCUAAACUUUUAUAAUUUUCCAUUAAGGUUUAUAUUUAAAUAAAGAGUUAAAAAAAUCUAAUUCUAAAUUUAUGGAUUGAAUGAUUAUUAUUAUAUUCUCUUAGAAUUGGUUACAAUAUCAAUUAAAUAACGAAUAGAGUUAUUGAUCACUUUGUUAAAAAUGAACAUGUGUUCUGUUUAUAUGAACACGGGCUGCACGCUUUAAGUCUUGUUCUUUUACAAUUCAAUUGUAUUGCUUACUCCCAUAAACUCUUUACUCACAUUCUUCUGCAGUUAACAGUGAUCUUUUGCUCAUUAAAAGUUUUCUUAUAAAUCGAAGGCCAAGAGUGAAGCUCAUAAACUCUGUGAUCCUAGAUAAUUGAAGAGGUGCGUUUGUUCUAAAUACUUUAAUAAUUUCUUUCAAUAGAAUAAUUUCUAAUCUUUGAUCUUGAUAGCAGUUGUUUCUUAAUGUCCAACAAAAACUAUCUCUUGUUUGUCUUAAUCUUGUCAUUUAAUUUUCUUGAGUUUUAAGUUACUGUUUAUUGUUAACUUCUGUGUUCUUUUGCAGUAUUAUUAAUGGUUAAUUUGCAUCCAUCUUCCAAAAAAGUUUUCUUUCCUCAAAAAAUUGUUGGUUUUCCAUUCAGGCCCCUGAAACCUUUUUCUAAAAAGUUGUUUGUUGUCGUUUCUUUCUUUUUCUUCCCCGGUAGUUCAUUUAAUUUAUUUGAAUCCAUUUUUUUUUCAACAGCCAAAAACUAGAUAUAUAUUGUUAAGCAACCGGCAAUGGCUAUAGAAGCGUGUCUGGCUUUUUUAACCAACUGCGUAUCAGAAGGUGCAAAGUCACUGUUCAACCCGAUUACACGGCAGAUAUCUUAUGUGUUCAAGUACCAGAGCUAGGCUACAAGGGGAUGAGCUUUAUGAGGGUGUCACAGACUGGCUACAUAGCAUUGAUGAAUUCAUCAGUGAAGGAGUUGCAAAAUCCAUCAUUGAUGAUGAAGAAAGAGCUAAGAAGUUCUGCUUCAAAGGAUUGUGCCCAAAUUUGAUGUCCCGUUACAAGCUUAGUAAACAAGCAGCAAAGGCCGCAGAAGCUGCCGCUGGUCUCGUGGGAAAAGGCAACUUCUCUAAUGUUUCCUACCGUCCUACUCCAAAGAGCACAGGACUUAAUGACGGGAAAGAUAACGAGGCCUUUGAUUCAAGAAUGAAAGUAUUUCAGGAUGUUAUGGAGGCGUUGAAGGAUGAUAAGCUCAACAUAAUUGGGGUCUACGGCAUGGGCGGCGUGGGUAAAACCACGCUAGUCAAGCAAGUUGCUAAGAAAGUGAAGGAAGAUAAGUUGAUCGAUAAGGUCAUUAUGGCUGAGGUAACACAGAACCCAGAUCCCCAGAAAAUUCAAGACAAGCUCGCUUCUGAUUUAGGCAUGAAAUUUGACUUGAAUGAUAGUAUACACCAUAGAGCUUCUCGACUGCGUGAAAGGUUGAAGCAAGAGAAGCGGGUCCUCAUUAUAUUGGACAAUAUUUGGACAAAACUUGAGUUAGAUGCGGUUGGAAUUCCUUCUGGAGAUGUUGAUGAGAAAGAUAGAGAGGAUGUCAAGAUUGGGUGUCUUGAUAUUCAAAGUUUGAAUAUCAAAAUCAAACUUCUAGAUAUUCAAACUUUGAAUAUCAAAUUCAAAAUUCUAGAUAUUCAAAGUUUGAAUAUCAAACUUUGAAUUUUGAAAUUUUGAACAAUAAUAAAUAAUUAAAAAAAUACGUGAAUAGUAGCCAAGAUUUUGGCUAUAAAUAGAGGGACUCAUUCCCUCAUUUGUUCAUCCAAUUUUGAGAAGAGUUUUCUUGUAUUUAGAGAGAGUUUAGAGAGCUUGAAAUUAUAAGCUUUUGUUUUAGUGUUUUGAGAGUUUGGGUGUAUUGGGAUUUUGGGAAGUGAGCUAAAAUACUACAAUACUUGUAACUCCUUUUCACUAGUAAAAUAUUUCCUUCUGUCUUCGCCCGUGGACGUAGGCUAAAAGUCGAACCACGUAAUUUCUAGUGUCCUCUUUUGUGCUUGUUCUUUAUUUUCUUCCAAUUUUACUUUAGCUGCGUGUCUGCUUCACCCACCAAUUUCCUAACAGUGGUAUCAGAGCUAUUGGUUGUAUUUUUGGAGUCGGGUACUGUUCACGUAAGGGGUACUAUUCACGUAUACGGUACUAUUCAUAAGAAACGGUGGGAGCGAUCCAAGAAUUUUGUGGUGUAAAGCAGGGAAUAGUGGUGUGAGUAAAACAACUGUGUGGUUUUGUACAUGUCUAGGAAAGUUUUGUCACAAAGGCGAUAAGAGCUUAAGGAGUCUGGGUUUUAAGUAGGACCAUUGUGACCCCUCCAGUCUUUCUUGGGAACUUUCCUGGUGUACAUUCUCACACAUACUCACAACUAUUCAAGGAGGUACACUAGCUUGUGUGCGGUAUUUAUCAACAAAAUGGCGGCAAAGUAUGAAAUUGAGAAGUUUAACGGAAAUAAUUUUUCGUUGUGGAAAAUGAAGAUGAAAGCUGUAUUGAGGAAAAAUAAUUGCUUGGCAGCAAUUGGAGAAAGGCCCACGGAGAUAACUGAUGACAAGUGGAACGAGGUAGACGGCAACACCAUUUCUGAUCUACACUUGGCACUUGCAGACAGAGUAUUAUCCAGUGUGGCAGAGAAAAACACAGCGAAGGAAAUAUGAGAUACUCUCACAAAAUUGUACGAGGCCAAGUCACUACACAACAAAAUCUUCUUGAAGAGAAAACUCUAUACUCUUCGAAUGGCGGAAUCUACAAUGGUGACCGACCACAUCAACACCUUGAAGACUCUAUUUUCACAAUUCACAACGUUGAGUCAUAAUAUAGAGGAAAAUGAACGUGCAGAGCUUCUACUUCAAAGUCUACCAGAUUCAUAUGAUCAACUCAUCAUCAACCUGACAAACAACAAUCCAGCGGACAGUCUAGUUUUCGACGAUGUUGCAGCCUCCGUAUUAAAUGAGGAGAGCAGGCAGAAAAAUAAGGAAAACAGACAAGCAAGUUCGCAGCAAGUGGAGGCACUAUCAGUGACGAGAGGGAGAUCAACGGAACUUGGCCCCAGUGGGAGUCAAAAUCAGGGUAGAUCAAAAUCCAGAAGUAAAAUGUUAAAUGCUACAAAUGUGGCAAUUAAGGGCACGUCAAGAAAGAAUGUUGGAGUAACUAGAAGAGAAAAGAGGGCAAAGAACCUGAGUCAUCAAAUGCUCAAGGUUGUGUAGCAAGUACCUCGGAUGAUGGCGAAAUUCUUUACAGCGAGGCAACAACUGUUUCAGAAGGCAGAAAACGACUUUCUGAUGUCUGGCUUAUAGACUCAGGAGCUACCUGGCACAUGACCUCUGGGAGAGAAUGGUUCCACACAUAUGAACCUAUCUCAGGAGGAUCUGUAUAUAUGGGAGAUGAUCAUGCCUUGGAGAUCGCCGGUAUUGGUGCUAUCAAAAUAAAAAUGUUUGAUGGUACAAUUCGCACAAUUGGAGAGGUACGACAUGUCAACGGCCUGAAGAAAAAUCUAUUGUCUUUGGGACAAAUGGAUAGUCAUGGGUACAAAACUCAUGUGGAGAAUGGAAUAAUGAAGAUCGUUAAAGGCGCGCUUGUAUUGAUGAAGGCAGAAAAGAUCGGUGCUAAUUUAUUCAUGCUUAAAGGAGAAACACUACAGGAGGCUAAUGCGUGUGUCGUGUCAAAUGGAGAAGAAUCAACGAUGAUGUGGCAUCUCAAACUUGGCCACAUGUCAGAACAAGGCUUGAAGAUUCUCUCUGAGUGAAAAUUGCUUCCGGGGCUCAAAUCGGUAAGUUUACCAUUUUGCGAGCAUUGUGUUACAAGUAAGCAGCAUAGAUUAAAAUUCAGUAGAUCUAUUGCUAGAAGUAAAUGCAUUUUAGACUUGAUCCAUUCUGAUGUUUGGGAAUCACCGAAUAUAUCCAUGGGAGGUGCAAAGUACAUGGUGACUUUCAUUGAUGAUUAUUCCAGAAGAUGUUGGGUGUAUCCAAUUAAGAAAAAGUCAGAUGUAUUUCCUGUGUUUAAAGAAUACAAAGCGCGGGUGGAACUUGAAUCUGGUAAAAAGAUCAAGUGCUUGAGGACAGAUAAUGGUGGAGAGUAUACAGACGGUGAGUUUCUUGCUUUCUGUAAGCAAGAGGGUAUUCAGAGGCAAUUCACGGUGGCAUACACUCCUCAACAAAACGGAGUGGCAGAGCGGAUGAACAGAACUCUUACAGAAAGAAUAAGAGCUAUGUUGAGGACUGCUGGUCUACCCAAUUCAUUCUGGGCAGAAGCAGCCAAAACUGCCUGUUAUAUAGUAAAUCGGUCGCCAUCUACAACUAUUGGGUUGAAGACGGCGAUGGAGAUGUGGACUGGAAAGCCAGCUGAUUAUUCCUACCUACAUGCAUUUGGAUGUCCUGUGUACGUGAUGUACAAUGCCCAAGAAAGAACAAAGCUGGAUGCAAAAUCUAGAAGAUGUAUCUUCUUGAGGUAUGCUGAUGGAGUAAAGGGGUAUCGUUUGUGGGACACCACUGCCCACAAGAUCGUCAUCAGCAGAGAUGUUAUUUUUGUAGAAGAUCAACUGCAAAGAAAAGAUGGAGAUGAUGACACUGUAAAAGAAAAGUCAGAGACUGUGCCGGUAUAUGUCGAAAAUAAUCCAGAAGAUUCAGAUUCUUUUGAAGCAGCACUAGAGCACGAAGAACAAGAACCAGUCGAGUCUGAGGCUCCAGAAGUUCGUCGGUCAACUCGUGAGAGACGACCGCCGGUGUGGCACUCGGAGUAUGUCACAGAGAUCAACGUUGCAUACUAUCUUCUAACAGAGGAUGGAGAGCCUUCAACUUUCCAUGAAUCUUUAAACAGCUCAGAUGUUGCUUUGUGGAUGACAGCAAUGCAGGAAGAAAUUGAAGCUCUAUACAAGAACAAGACAUGGGAACUUGUACCACUACCACACGGAAGAAAAGCCAUUGGAAACAAAUGGGUCUACAAGAUCAAACGUGAUGGCAAUGAUCAAGUGGAGCGGUAUCGUGCGAGAUUGGUGGUGAAAGGAUAUGCUCAGAAAGAAGGUAUUGACUUCAACGAGAUAUUUUCUCCGGUGGUUCGACUCACAACAGUCAGAGUAGUCUUGGCGAUGUGUGCUACAUUUGACUUACAUCUUGAGCAGUUGGAUGUGAAAACUGCAUUUCUUCAUAGAGAACUUGAAGAAGAAAUAUAUAUGCUCCAACCAGAAGGUUUUGUAGAAAUAGGAAAUGAGAACUUGGUUUGCAGGUUGAACAAAUCUCUAUACGGUCUCAAACAGGCGCCGAGGUGUUGGUAUAAGAGAUUUGAUUCCUUCAUCAUGAGCCUUGGAUACAACAGACUCAGUUCAGACCAUUGUACAUAUUAUAAAAGGUUUGAAGAUAAUGAUUUCAUCAUUUUGUUGUUGUAUGUGGAUGACAUGUUGAUAGCAGGUCCCAACAAAGAUCGAAUCCAAGAAUUGAAGGCACAGUUGGCUAGGGAGUUUGAAAUGAAGGACUUAGGACCAGCAAACAAGAUUCUAGGGAUGCAAAUUCACCGAGACAGAAAUAACAAGAAGAUUUGGCUUUCACAGAAGAACUACUUGAACAAAAUCUUGCGGCGCUUCAACAUGCAAGAUUGUAAGUCAAUUUCUACCCCACUUCCUGUUAAUUUCAAAUUAUCCUCAAGUAUGUGUCCUAGCAAUGAAGCAGAGAGGAAGGAGAUGUCUCGAGUACCGUAUGCAUCAGCAGUGGGAAGUUUAAUGUUCGCUAUGAUAUGUACAAGACCGGACAUUGCACAAGCAGUGGGAGCAGUCAGUCGAUACAUGGCGAAUCCUGGUGGAGAGCAUUGGAUAGCUGUGAAGAGGAUUCUGAGAUACAUCAGAGGAACCUCAGAUGUUGCAUUAUGUUAUGGAGGAUCAGAGUUUAUUGUCAGGGGCUAUGUGGAUUCAGAUUUUGCAGGUGAUCUUGAUAAAAGAAAAUCCACUACUGGUUAUGUGUUUACACUUGCGGGAGCAGCUGUAAGUUGGGUUUCGAAGCUGCAGACUGUUGUGGCUUUAUCUACAACAGAAGCAGAAUACAUGGCAGCUACACAAGUUUGCAAGGAAGCUAUUUGGAUACAAAGGUUAUUGGAGGAGUUCGGGCACAAACAAUAGAAAAUUCCUGUGUUUUGUGACAGUCAGAGUGCCUUGCACAUUGCAAGGAAUCCAGCCUUUCAUUCCAGGACAAAGCACAUAGGAGUUCAGUAUCACUUCGUUCGAGAAGUAAUGGAAGACGGAAGUGUGGAUUUACAGAAAAUCCAUACGAAGGAGAACCUAGCAGAUGUUUUGACCAAGCCGAUAAAUGCUGACAAGUUUAUCUGGAGUAGAUCCUCUUGUGGCCUAGCAGAAACGUAAGUAACCUGACAAUGGCGAAGCAGAAAGGAUGGUGUGGAGAUUGAUUGGUUCUCAAUCAAAUCUCCAAGUGGGAGAAUGUCAAGAUUGGGUGUCUUGAUAUUCAAAGUUUGAUUUUGAAAGUUUGAAUAUCAAAAUCAAACUUCUAGAUAUUCAAAGUUUGAAUAUCAAACUUUGAAUUUUGAAAUUUUGAACAAUAAUAAAUAAUUAAAAAAAUACGUGAAUAGUAGCCAAGAUUUUGGCUAUAAAUAGAGGGACUCAUUCCCUCAUUUGCUCAUCCAAUUUUGAGAAGAGUUUUCUUGUAUUUAGAGAGAGUUUAGAGAGCUUGAAAUUAUAAGCUUUUGUUUUAGUGUUUUGAGAGUUUGGGUGUAUUGGGAUUUUGGGAAGUGAGCUAACAUACUACAAUACUUGUAACUCCUUUUCACUAGUAAAAUAUUUCCUUCUGUCUUCGCCCGUGGACGUAGGCUAAAAGUCGAACCACGUAAUUUCUGGUGUCCUCUUUUGUGCUUGUUCUUUAUUUUCUUCUAAUUUUACUUUAGCUGCGUGUCUGCUUCACCCACCAAUUUCCUAACAGAGGAUGAUCAGAGAAGAUGCACAAUAAUAUUGACGUCUAGAAGUCGAGAUUUAUUGUGCAUUGAUAUGAAUUGUCAGAAAAUUUUCUGGAUCGAUGCUUUAUCGAAAGAAGAAGCAUUGCAGUUAUUUGAGAAGAUAGUGGGUGAUUCAACUAAAAUAUCUUAUUUUCAAAGUAUAGCAAAUGAGAUCGUUGAAAAAUGCGGAGGUUUGCCUGUUGCACUGAGUACAGUUGCAAAUGCUCUGAAAAAUAAGGAGCGUUACUUUUGGCAAGAUGCAUUGAAUCAGCUAACAAGAUUGGAUGCAACAGAAAUUCAUGGCAUGCAAGCAAAUGUGUACACCUCCAUAAAAUUGAGUUAUGACUUCUUGGAAAGUGCGAAGGCAAAAUCUCUGUUCCGUCUUUGUGGUCUGUACAGUGAAGGUGAUGCCAUAGAAGUUUCUGACUUAUUGAGAUAUGGUGUGGGUUGGGAUUUGUUUGAAAAUGUUUACACAUUAGAAGAAGCAAGGAGUAGAGUGCAUCGGUUGAUCGACAAUCUCAAAUCUUCAUGCUUAUUGUUGGACGGUGAUGCUGAAGAUGAAGUUAAAAUGCAUGACGUCAUUCAUGUUGUUGCUGUAUCAAUUGCUGCAGGGGAGCGCAUGUUUAAUAUUCCAAAUGUUGCUAACGUGGAGAAAAAGAUGGAAAAGACAAUACGGAAAGACCCAAUUGCCAUUUCAUUACCCCAGAGAGAUAUUCAAGAGCUCCUGAAAGGUUGCAAUGUCCCAAUCUCCAGUUAUUUUUGUUGUCUGCAGAGGGUAAUGCCCCUAUGCAAAUUUCAGACCUCUUUUUUGAAGGGACGGAAGAACUCAAAGUUUUAAGUCUUAUUGGAAUUCAUUUCUCUUCAUUAUCUUCAUCACUUGGUCACCUCAUUAACCUUCAAACAUUGUGUUUAGACUGCUGCCAACUAGAAGAUGUAGCGGCAAUUGGACAGCUAAAGAAAUUAGAGAUUCUUAGCUUUCGAUAUUCCGACAUUAAGCAGUUGCCACUUGAAAUUGGUCAAUUGGCGCGGUUACAGUUGCUAGAUUUGAGCAAUUGUAGAAGCCUUGUAGUGAUAGCACCAAAUGUCAUAUCAAAAUUUUCUCGAUUGGAAGAACUAUAUAUGGGUGACAGCUUUUCGCAGUGGGAUAAGGUUGAAGGAGGAAGUAACGCCAGUCUUGCUGAAUUGAAGGGGUUGUCAAAGCUAACUACCUUGGAGAUACAAGUUCGGGAUGCCCAAAUUCUGCCGCAGGAUUGGGUCUCUGUGGAAUUGCAAAGAUAUAAGAUAGGUAUAGGAGAAGCGUGGCGCAUGUGACGCGUUAAUUCUGAAACAUCAAGAUUGGUGGAGCUCCAAGGGCUAGAAAAUGUUAGCACUCUUUUGGAGAAUUAUGGGACUAAAAUGUUGCUGAAGAAAACUGAAGAUAUCCAUCUAAACGAACUGAAGGGUGCUCAGAAUGUUGUUCAUGAAUUAGAUGAUGGGGAAGGUUUUCCACGAUUGAAGCAUCUUUCUGUAGAAAGAUGUUCUGAGAUUUUGCAUGUUGUCGGUUCAGUUGGACGGGUUCAUUGUACAAUCUUUCCCUUGUUGGAGUCAUUGUCUCUUUGGUUUUUGAGCAAGUUGGAGACAAUAUGUGACAGCCAACUCACAGAAUAUCAAAUUUUCAGCAACUUAAGGAUUAUAGAAGUACAAUUCUGUGACAAAUUGAAGCAUCUUUUCUCAUUCUCCAUAGCCAAAAACCUACUGCGGCUUCAAAAGGUAGAAGUGGAUGUUUGCGAUGAUCUGGAAAUGAUGGUUGGUAAGAGUUGAAAUUAAGUGUUGGUGGGUUUAUGGACUUCGCCUCAAUUAUUUUGAAAAAAAAAAAAAAACAACGACAAAGAUUAAUUAUGUAUAUUGUUUUUGUUUGUUUAUAGGACCCGACAGGGAGAAACCAACAACUUCUUUGGGAUUCAACGAAAUCAUUGCUAAUGAUGAUCCUGCUCCAAAGGUGAUAAUUUUCUGAUCAAUAAUUAAUUGAUUAAUUUAUUAUCACGAUUAAUCUUCGAUCAUCAAAAGAAUAUUAUACUAGACGGUUGUACUUGAAGGAACAAAAAUGUACGGGUUUUCUUUGCAGGUUAUUCUUCCGAGCUUAGAGGAAUUGAAUCUCAGGGACUUAAGAAACAUGAAAAAAUUAUGGGCCGAUCAUAAUCAAGGAAUGUACUGUUGUCAAAAUUUAACAAAGCUGUACGUGAGCAGUUGUCAUCGUAUGAAGUAUCUGUUUUCGUAUUCUAUGGUUAAUAGUCUUGCGAAACUCCAACAUCUUGAGAUAAGCACUUGUUGGUCAAUGGAAAGGGUAGUCGACACCACGGGGUGGUCAGAAAGAGAUGAAGGAAAGUUGAUUGAAUUAAAGGUUUUUCCUAAACUACACUUCCUGCGGCUCGAGAAUCUUCCAGAACUAACAAGCUUUGCCAAUACGGGACAUAUUCAUUCAGAUUUAGUUGUUGAAUUCCCUUCUUUGCUAAGCCUCGAGAUUGAUACUUGCAGUAAUAUGUUAAGAUUCAUCUCUACGAGCUCACCAGAAGACACCAUUCAUUCUGAAAUGCAACCUCCUCCUCUCUUUGACGAAAAGGUUUCUUUUUUUUUUAAUAAAAAAAUUAAUUUUAGUCACAAUAUUUAAUUUGUCUUUUCCUUGAGUCUUCAAAUUUAGUUAAUAUCCACCUCAAAUUUAGUUAUCAAUUGAUUAUGCCAUUAAUUGAUUAAUUAGUUAUUUAAUCUUUAACUGCCAGGUACGACUUCCUGGGUUGGAGGUAUUACAUAUUAGGUCGAUGGAUAAUUUGAGAAAAAUAUGGCACCACCAGCUUGCUUCGGAGUCUUUCAGAAUAUUUUUCCUCCAUUGGUAAGGUUGCUGUAUUCAUUUCGAAUCUUUUUUUUUUUCAAAUUACAUCCAACAAUAUUUUAACCAUUUUUUGUUUACAAAUGAUAUUCAGCCACUGAUUAUUUAUUUCAAGUAUCGUACUUCGAACCACCACUCUGAAAUCUACGUUUUAAGUCCAGUUUUUAGGUUCGUCAGCAUUAGAAUCAACAAUAUAAAUUUUUUAAACACGAUUCAACAGCAUAAUAUAAUUCAAUUAAAUAGAUUUUGCUCAUAUCUUAAUAAGUACGAUUUUCAAAAAUUAAAGGAUAGUCACUCAUCUUAUAGGUUCACAAAUUCAUCUAUAUAUUUCUCUUUUCCUUAAUUCUUCACAUUUCGAUUGGAAAAAGAAAAAAAGAAAAUAAAAGUCUUCAAAUUUAAUUAAUCUCUUGUUUAGUUACGAAUUGAUUAUGCCAUUAAUUAACCACAAAUUCAUGAUUAUUUACAACUGACCCGUGAUUGUAAAGAAAUUUCCUUGAGUCUGGAAGUACUUAAUAAAGAUCCACUUUACAGCAGCAGUCCCUUGUUGACAAUAUUGGGAAGUCUUUUCCAAUUUUUUUUUCCAUUUUUAAAUGUACAUAAAAAAAGGGACCAAGGAAAAGGGAAAAGGCGGCAUUUUGGUUGAAUUUUUUUUCCCUAAAAGGAAUAGUUGAAAUUUGUAAAUUUAUGCUUAAAAACUGAUAUCAAGAUGCAAAAUAAGUCUAAUAUAUUUAGAAAUUGCCUUAAAUUCUUUCUACGUUCCUAAUAGUAAAUAGUGUAAAUGCAUUUUUAUUAUCUUUGUUUAUCUGGCUUUUAUUUAUUCAUUUAUCUUGUUGCUUUUUUUGUUUAACAAAAAAUUAUCUAGUUGAAUGAUAUUCUUACAUUUUUACUUUUUUAAUAUACACACAUAUGCACACACUUUUGUUUAUUUUCAGGUUGGAAUUCCUAGUAGUCUGGUGAAUCUUAAUGUAUCGAAUUGCCAAAAAUUAGAAGAAAUAGUAGGACAUGUUGGAGAAGAAGUGAAGGAGAAUCGUAUUGCUUUCCGCGAAUUAAAAGUUUUGAUACUUGAUUAUUUACCAAGGCUUACCAGCUUUUGUUUGGAGAAUUAUACUCUUGAAUUCCCAUCAUUGGAACGAGUUUCUGUGACACAUUGUCCGAACAUGAAGACUUUUUCUCAGGGAAUCUUAUCCACACCAAAGCUAUACAAAGUGCAAGUUAGUAAAAAGGAAGAGGGUGAAUUGUACCAUCGGGAAGGCAAUAACCUUAAUUCCUUUAUACAAAAGAGCUACGAAGAAAUGGUAUGUGCUAAUCGAUUCGUCCAAAUUACUUGCACAUUUAAAAAUAUGUUACAAAAAGAUGGUCUGUGUUAAUCGAUUCACCCAAAUUGUUCAUGCAUCUCCCCUACGCUUGCACAUUUAAACAUAUACACCUACCUUGUAUAUGUAGUUUUAGAAGUUAAAACACAAAACAUGUAAGUUUAAUAUGUGUGUGUGUAUAUAUAUACAUAUAUAUAUAUCUAAUGCCUUUCAAAAAAAGAAAUUUAUAUAUCCAGUGCAAUUGUUUUGGUUUAUGCAGAUUGGAUUCCGUGACAUAGAGCAUUUGCAACUCUCACAUUUUCCACGCUUGAGAGAAAUAUGCCAUGGCCAAGCACUGCCUGUCAGCUUCUUCAACAAUUUAUUUAAGCUGGUGGUGGAUGACUGCACGAAUAUGUCGAGUGCUAUUCCUGCCAAUCUGAUACGGUGCUUGAACAAUUUAAGGUACCUAGAAGUGAGGAAUUGUGAUUCACUAGAAGAGGUGCUUCAUUUGGAAGAGCUAAGUCCUAAGGAAGAACAUAUCGGCCCCCUGUUUCCUAGGCUUUUUAGCCUAAGGCUCAUUGAUCUUCCAAAACUCAAAAGAUUCUGCAACUUCACUGGGAAUAUAAUUGAACUGCCUUGGUUGUCGACGCUGACUAUUGAGAAUUGCCGAGAUAUAGAAACAUUCAUAUCCAACGCUGUAGUGCACGUGACAACAGAUAACAAGGAACCUCAAAAAUUAAAAUCAGAAGAGAACCUCUUGGUAGCUAAUCAAAUACAACAUCUCUUCGAUGAAAAGGUAAUCAUUAUUAUUAUUUUUUCCCUUCACUUUCAUUCGGACAGAUGUAAUUUCAUUAGAAUCAAAUCAAAUUUAAUGACUCAUCUUUUUGCACGUCGUCUUAAUUUAUAUCUGAUUUAACAAUAUAACCGUAGUUAUUAACUAACUUUAUAGUAUGAAUUAUAAAAAUGUCUCAAAUUAAUUAGAUGCCUAGUGACAGGAGGUGAUGAACUAUAUCGAUUAUGCGUGUUACAUCUCUGUUUUCCUAACUAAUUCAUAUUGGAUUUAGGAUCAGAUUUCAUUUGUGUUUUAAAGGGUAAUCGAUUUGAUACUUAUAUUUGGGAUCCUACUGCAAAGCAUACUAAUUUGGAAAUAAAAUAUAAAAUGCCGUGAUUAAUCUUGUCCAUAAAAUAUGCAGGGGAAGACUGCAGAGAUUGGAUACAUAUUUUCAUUUACAACUUAAUUUUGUUGAUUUUUAGGUUGCAUUCCCUCAAUUGAGAUAGUUAAACCUGUCUAGAUUACACAAAGUGCAGCAUCUCUGGAAGGAAAAUGACGAAUCCAACAAAGCGUUUGCAAACUUGGAAAGUCUAGAAAUAUCAUAAUGUAGUAAGUUGCAAAAAUUAGUACCACCUUCGUGGCAUUUGGAAAAUCUGUGGGAACUAGAAGUAUCGAAGUGUCACGGGUUGAUAAAUGUGUUGACGCUCUCAGCAUCUAAAAAUCUAGUGAAUCUUCGAGGAAUGAAGAUAGCUAAUUGCAAAAUGAUAGAACAAAUCAUACAAUUGCAGGUUGGAGAAGAAGCGAAAGAUUGCAAUGUUUUCAAGGAAUUGGAGUACUUGGGACUUGAUUAUUUGCCAAGCCUAACAAGCUUUAGUUUGGGUAAUUACGCUCUUGAAUUCCCGUCCUUGAAACAAGUAGUUGUGAGACAGUGUCCAAAAAUGAAGAUCUUCUCUCAAGGAGUCUUAGACACACCAAUGCUAAACAAAGUGAACGUCACCGAAGAAGAAAAAGAUGAUGAUGAAGAAGAUGAUGAUGAUGAAGGAUGUUGGGAAGGCAACCUCAAUGACACCAUAAAAAAAUUGUUCAAUGAAAUGGUGAGUAUCAAUUAAGUUUUGGUGCUAUUUAACAAAUUAUUUUAUAGAAACUAAUGUGAUAUAAUAUGAUGGGUUGACUGAAAAUAUAUAAUAAUAAUAAAUAAAUAAAUAAAUAAAUUAUAAGGGCCAUGUUAUGUUUUUGUUUAACCAAUCAUAUUAUGUCGCAUUAGUUUAUACAAUAUUGUUUGUGUACAGGAGGUGGUGGUCGUAUCAUUACUCUUGCUCUAUUAUUAUUAUGGUUGUAAUGUAUGCUUGCUUACACGAGUAAUUGCAAAAUGUGCAGAAUUCUAAAGAAAAGAUUGAGCCAACCCUUCAGGUACAGUGAAGAAGCUAUCUCGAACUAGGCCAAUCUCUUGUACAUGAUUCAACUUGCUCGUUCUCCUGUACUUGAAUAAUUUGGUUCUAAACGCAUUUACAAAUUUUUAGUCAUGCUACAGACUUGCAAGACACUUUGGAUUUGUUUGAUGCAUUCUCUGUUUAAGGAAGGACUUGAAUUGAUGUUUCAUGUUUCAUGCAAUUUUCAAUUAGAUACUGUUUAAACUUCUGCAUUAUUCAUUCAAUUGGUGUUUUAAGCAUUUGAUUUCUAACUAGUCUUGAUAGAAGAUCAUUAGCUGAAGAAAACAUCAUAACAUUUGUGGCAUUAUCAGAAUAAGAAUAGUUUUAUGAGUAUAGUAAAAUUAACUCGACCAUUAUUAAAAGGAAUUAAUCCGUAAAACUGACUUUCUCAGACCAGCACCCUUUAAAUUAAAAGAAUUUCGUGAAGUCAAGGCCAUGUUAUAGAUCUUGUGGAAAUAAGUGAACCCAUAAAUGUUUUCACAGCAUCAUAAGAAAAUCAUUUUUUUAUUAGUAUUUUUGUUAGUUGUUGAGUUUUAAAAGUAGUAGCUCUUAAACAAUGACAAUUAGCGUGGUCGUAGUUGGGGAUCGAGUAGUUCACUUGUUUCCUAUUACACUCAUUCCAAAAAUAUUAUUACACUCAUUCCAAAAAUAGUAACUAAAGAAUCAUGAUAUUUCCUAUUAAGUAUUCUUUAUUUUUUAAUGCAAAAUUCCCAUUCGAAAACACCAAUGACUUUCUUUCAAAGUAAAUGAGAAAUUACAAUGAAAACGGGAUCAAAAUACAUGUAUGUAUACCUAAAACAAAUGAUUUUUUUUUAUUAAAAACAAACAGUUGAGGUGAAAUGAAAACAAGGUCAUGAUGUCUCUGGUUCCAACUUUGGGACAAUAGCAGACUUGAGUUCUAUAUAAGAAACACGUACAGCUCCAAUCAGCCGCUCCGGUAAUUCAUCUGUAGUAUUUGCCUUCAUACACGAAGCAUUAUACCAUUCUGAGAACAUUCAAGUAUGCAAAUAUGCAAAUUGCAGUACAAUAUCUCAAAAUCAUGUCUUUUCCCUUGUGUCAUUUAGAAGUGGGGGAAAAAAACAAUCAUACAUACCUGUACAAGGAAAGCCAUGUCAACUACCACUGCCGUAAUUACACCAAUUACAAGGCCCAAAACUCCAUUAGCAACAGUAGAAGAACAUGCCAACAUCAAUCUACAGAAAGAUGAACAAUGUUAAACCAUGUUAAUGGUAUUGAACAAGCUAUUUGAAAGCGAACACAUCCCAUGUACUAUAGAAAUUCGAAGAGCAUUUACUUCUAAGUACUUAGGACCGCGGAUAUAGUUACAAUCAACUGCUUUUCCUAAUAAACAAGGGGUGCUCCCAUCACUCUGGCGCACGAUCCAUGACCCCUGCAUGAUUCGGUGCUUAAAAUCAAGAACAAAUGCAAAACAAAUUCAAAUCAGUAGAAAAAGGAAAUGAAGUUUGAAGGUACAACCCAUUAAUACACUUACACUUAAAUGCAUGCCUUCAUUGUACAAAUUGAAGUGUACUAUGCAGCGGAGGGUACGUAUUAGUUAACAUAGUCCUAAUACAUGAAGACCAAGACGGAUACCUUAAGAACGGAUGGGAUAAGUUUCAGCCUACUAUUGCGAAAUUCAUCAUCGCCGUCAACAAACCAUUGCAAAAGGGAUCCUGUAAUUAAUUCCCUUGUAGAUGUAGAUGCUUACGUUACAACCAUACAACCUCCCAAAACGAUUAGUUUGAAACUUAAUACCUUCUGAAAUGAAACAAGCUUACUUGAAGAUUAAAGAUCAGUGAGAAAAGCCCUUUUUCAGAAGCAACCUACAUAUUUUAGAAUAGGGCUCAGAGUGUUAUAGAUUCAAUGAACCACCAGAAGUUAUUUACAUUGUAGUAUCUCAUAGGCAGUAUUUUCUUCUAAUCCGUCAAUGGAAAAGGAAAAAUAAAAAAGAAAAGAAUAGUUACUUGUGCAGCACAGCCUUGACGCCUAGCUACAUGGUCCAUUCUCUUUGUGUCUUUGAACUAAUCAACAGCAACAAGAUCCAUUAAAUGUUUUCCCACAUGUAUCUGCAGUUACAAAUUGCACAAAGAGCAAGAAGAACCAACCAAACUACAUCGUUACAUGUCGAACUAGAAUAUGUCGGAUAUAUAAAUACCAUAAGAAACAACUGAUAAGCCCUAAACUGAAACGGUUAGAUAAACAACACAGUAGAGAGCAGAAUGUUGUUGGAAGUAGGAAAACUGGUAUUUAUCUGCAGAAAUAAACCAAAACACCCAAGCAUUCGAAAGGCUUGGUAUCUCUCCCAAAAUGAACAAGCUCACUACGAAAUAAUUCUCUAGAUCCCCUUCCCAAAAAACAGCUCCUCUCCAUAUAACCUCCUCACUUCUACGCCCAAAUAGAAUAACAGAAAACUCUAACAAAUUAUCAAAACAGAAUACCAUCAACUUAUCACUAACAGAAAUGCAUAACAAACUCUUUUAUCUAUACUACUUGAUGACACGUCAGCCACGAUUGGUAUUUCUGGAAUUACCCUUGCGCCUUGCAUAUGUGAAACGCACUUGUGGCCUAACAUUACCAUCCGCCCAAACUUUCACCUUGUCCUCAAGGUGGAAAUCGGGAAAUUGUUGUUAGAUCAGAUGAAAAUCCUCCCAAGUUGCCUGAAACUCAGCCAAGGAUUUCCAUUGGAGCAGCACCUCCGCUUCACCGGAUUGACCAUUAACCUUACGACGAACUCCCAACAAUUUUUCAGGUUCCACCACGAGUUCAAGCUCAGGAGUCAACUGUGGGGGGAUGGUGGGGGAAAAAGAUGACACACCAAGUGCUGCCCUCAACUGCGAAACAUGAAAGACAGGGUGGAGUUUUGCUGUUUGAGGCAAUUUUAGUUUGUAUGCCACCUUCCAGAUACGCUGAAGAACCUUAAAUGGUCUACCAAGUCGUCCAAUAUGGCAUCACGAUCCUCCAUUAACUGUUCUACCAAAGAUACCGAAGCAGCUCCUUGCUCAUACCGAAUAAGAGGGGGUGGAUCCCUUCCAUAGAGAGCACGAAAUGGAGUACAACGUGUAGAAGAGUGGAAGGAAGUAUUAUACCAAUACUUAGCCCAUGCCAACCAGCGAGCCCAACUUCGAGGUUUUCCAGAAGCAAAGCAGCGUAGAUACGUUUCUAGACAACAGUUGACAACUUCUGUUUGUCCAUCAGAUUGUGGAUGAUAGGCGGUGCUUCGUUUGAGAGUAGUUCCCUGCAGCUUGAACAAUUCACUCCAAAAAUGGCUCAAGAAUAUCUUAUCUCGGUAAGAGAUAAUUGACUGUGGUAUCCCAUGAAGCCUAAAAAUUUCACGAACAAAGAUUCCAGCAACCGAAACAGCAGAAAAAAGGAUGUUUCAAUCCUAUGAAGUGAGCAUACUUACUCAGCCUGUCCACCACUACUAAGAUGGCAUCCCACCCUUUAGAACGAGGCAGCCCCUCAAUAAAAUCAAGUGUGACUUCCUACCAAACCUGGGCUGGUAGUGGAAUAGGUUGAAGUAACCCCGCAGGAGUAGUGGCCAAAUACUUAUUCUGCUGGCAGAUGGUGCAUUCCCGUACAAAUCUGGUGGCAUCCUUGCGCAUACCUAUCCAAUACAAUUCUGCUGCUAAGCGUUGGUAAGUUUUUGUUUCUCUCGAAUGUCCCCCAAUUGGAGUGGUGUGAAACUCUCCUAUGAGAGCAGAAAGAAGCUUAGUAGUCCGAGGAAUAACCAGCCGACUCUUGUAGAACAAUAAUCCAUGCUCAACUGAUAACCCCAUGUGAGAUUGUGUACCCGAAGUUAUGUCUUCCCUAAGUUUCUUCAGAAAGGUAUCCUUUGCCAACUCAACCUUUAAGGAAUCCCAAUGUUGCCACUGAGGAAUCGCCAAAGCUGAACACUUUGCUGAUUCUGUUAAGCGUGAGAGUGCAUCCGCUACUCAAUUACUUGCCCCACUACGAUAUUGAAUAUCAAAAUCAUAUCCCAUGAUUUUGGUGAUCCAUUUUUGAUAUUCAACUCCAACAAUCCUUUGCUCUAAAAGAAAUUUUAAGCUCUAUUGGUCUGUUCGCACAACGAAUCGCCUUCCCAACAAGUACGGCCGCCAUUUCAGGAUUGCAAACACUAUGACCAUUAGUUCUUUCUCAUAUAUGGACUUAAGACGAGCCUGGGGCCCCAAAACUUGGCUAUAGUAAGCUACUGACUGUUGCCCUUGUAGUAGAACAGCUCCUAACCCAAAACUAGAUGCAUCAGUCUUAACAAUAAAUGGCUUUGUGAAAUCAGGCAUUGCCAACACAGGGAUUGAAGACAUAGCUUGUUUGAGUUCUUCAAAUGUCGCUGCAGCUUCUAGACUCCACCCAAACCUAUCUUUCUUGAGCUGAUCAGUCAAUGGCGAUGCGAUUCUAGCAUACCCAGCCACGAACUUUCUAUAAUACCCCGUCAAUCCCAGAAAUCCCCUUAACGCUUUCAGAUUAGUGGGCGUUGGCCACGAGUUCAUGGCUUGGAUUUUACUUGGAUCCGCUGCCACCCCUUGUCCUGAGAUGAUAUGGCCUAAAUAUGCCACUUGAGUCCUUCCAAACUUGCAUUUUUUUCGGUUGGCAUAAUGGCUGUUGGCCUGCAAUAUUCCCAAGACGAGAGCCAGGUGCCGCUGAUGGGAUUCCACUGAAGGGCUGUAAAUUAGAAUGUCAUCGAAGAACACUAGAACAACCUUCCGAAGAUAAAGUCGGAAGACAUCAUUCAUCAAGGAUUGGAAAGUCGCCGGGGUAUUCGUUAGUCUGAAAGGCAUGACAAGAAACUUGUAGUGUCCAUCAUGCGUUUGAAAAGCAGUCUUAUGAACAUCCUGACUACUGACUCUGAUUUGAUGGUAGCCCGACUUUAAAUCUAGCUUGGAAAAAAUUCUAGCACCAUGUAACUCAUCUAGGAGUUCAUCAAUGACAUUGAUGGAAUACUUAUCUAGUACCGUCGCUUUGUUGAGAGCCCUGUAAUCCACACAAAAACGCCACGAUUCGUCUUUCUUUUUAACUAACAAAAUUGGGCUCAAGAAUGGACUAUUGCUGACUUGGAUUAUUCCCGCAUCUAACAUCUCUUGAAUCAGUCUUUCAAUCUCAUCCUUCUGGGCAUGAGGAUAGUGGUAUGGUCGGACACUAACAGGUUGAUUGCCGUCUUUGAGCAAAAUGGAAUGCUCAUGUCCCUUAGUAGGUGGUAAGCCCAUGGGCAUGUUAAAAACCAAUUCGUAUUCUGCUAGGACUUGGUUUAGAUUCGGUGGCACCUUAGGGCUCACUUCGCACAGACCUUCAAAUUGAUUACAUUCCACCAAAAUUCCAGCUCCCUCGUGCUUAAUGGUGCGCAUCAUUGCCUUUAAUGAAACUAAAGUCUUGCCAAGGGAAGGAUCCCCUCGUAGAGUAACAGAUUCAUUUCCGAGCAUGAACUUCAUCACCUGUGUCUUCCAAUUUGUGUGUGUCAUCCCCAAAGUUUCAAGCCACUGAACUCCUAAUAUAGCAUCCGAGCUCCCCAACCCAAGCGGCAAGAAUUCCUCUACAAUAUCUAUUCACUGUAGAUGAAUAGUCACUCCUCGACAUAAACCUUCUCCCCUUACAGCCACUCCAGUACCCAUAGUCACCCCAUAAGCCCCAGUUUUAACAAUGGGUAUCUGCAUCUUACUAACCAAAUCUAGAGAAAUAAAAUUGUGGGUCGCACCUGAAUCAAUCAGUAUCACCACCUCUUGCUCCCCGAUAGACCCUUUAAGCUUCAUCUUCUUUGGUGUAGUCAGACCAACCACUGAGUUAAGAGAGACCUUUACCCCUUGAUUAAUUUCGGCCGUUUCCAGUUCGGGAUCGCCUUCACCCGAACCUUCUUCCUCUUCCUACUCUGCUUCGUCCAUGCCGUAGGUGAGAAGGACAGUCAAUUCUUUCUUCUUGCAGCGAUGCCCAGGUGCCCACUUUUCAUCACAUCGAUAACAUAGUCCCUUCUCUCUUUUCUUCUGUAAUUCUGAAUUGGACAACCUCCUAACCUCUCCCGAAAAUCAGGCCGUGUUAUGAUUUGCCCUAAAUGAAGAUCGCGAAACUUCAGAAUGGAAGUUCACACCUCGCAUUGACCCUCCUGCUCGAUGAAACCCACCAUCUGCUUUGUGGGCCUUGGUCACCCGUAGUUUCUCCUCAAUCUUUUGGGCUAAGUCCAUGGCCCGGCCUAAAUUACUGGGUUCUAUGAUCCGAACCUCGAUCCGGAUUUCAGGCUUCAACCCGUUGAUAAAAUUUCCCAGAGCUAGUUCGUAUAUAAUGUUCUCCAAUGGCACCGAAAGUUCGAUGAAUUUCUGGCAGUAUUCUCACACACUGCUAUCUUGAGUAAGGGCUAGCCAUUAUUCAUGGAGAGAACUGGCUUGGAUUACUCGGAAUUGUUUCAAGAUUAGUACCCUCAUCUCUUCCCAAACCAUCAUGGAUCUCUUUCUAUUCUCCCAUUAAUACCACAACAGGGCAUCUCCCUCAAAAGCUAUUAUCGCCGCCUCAAGUUUUUCUUCAUUGGAUAACCGAUUUACGGAAAAAUAUCGUUCAGCCUUCAGAAUCCAGCCAUCCGAAUUUGAGCCAUCGAACAGUGGCAUCUCAAGUUUUCAGAUUCGAAAAUCAUGGCGAGUUCCGCCUGAGCUCGACCUACCGCCGAAGUUGGGGCUGAGCAUCUUUUCCCUUUUAUUCGAAUACGAACCUCCCGUAUCCUCCUGAAGUUUGAUGAACUGUUCGAAUCGUUUGUUCAUCGUCAGUAUUUCAUCCUUCAACGAUCCCAUUUCCCAUUGAAACUCCUCCUGCGCAGCACCAUCACCUCCUCCAUGGAAUCCAUUCGUUGAGCAACAUUUUGCCAGUCAUUUUCCAAGUACGUGAUUGCUUUGAUACCAAUUUGAUAAGCCUUGAACUGAAAUGGUUAGAUAAACAACACAGUAGAGAGCAUAAUGUUGUUGGAAGUAGGAAAACUGGUAUUUAUCUGCAGAAAUAAACCAAAAUACCCAAGCAUUCGAUAGGCUUGGUAUCUCUCCCAAAAUGAGCAAGCUCACUACAAAAUAAUUCUCUAGAUCCCCUUCCCAAAACACAACUCCUCUCCAUAUAACCUCCUCACUUCUACGCCCAAAUAGAAUCAUAGAAAACUCUAACAAAUUAUCAAAACAGAAUACCAUCAGCUUAUCACUAACAGAAAUGCAUAACAAACUCUUCUCUCUAUACUACUUGAUGACACGUUAGCCACAAUUGGUAUUUCCGGAAUUACCCUUGCGCCUUGCAUAUGUGAAACGCACUUGUGGCCUAACAACAACCAAAAUUGGCGGGAACCUUUGUUUUGUCAUAACAAAAAUGCUUGCUACAAACUCUGAAGUUAUUUCCAUCAGAAAGUGUCCAGCAGUCACAAGCAUUAUCACGGUCAUUGUGCUGCAGAUUGCUCGAAAAAAAUGAGAUAAAUCAAUUUGAUCACCCUGCUUUUCCUCUAGGGCUGCAACUAAUUGAAAAAAAAAAGAUUAAUUCCAUAGAAAUCCAUUAAAGAGGACAUUAACAAAAUAUAUAAAAAUGAAUAUUUAAGUUAUCAUCCACCUGUUCUCUUGAAGUCAUUCUCUUAAUCUCUUUUUUCAUUUGCCUGAAAUCCCAAAAAAUAUCUAACUAAGAACAAAAGUUAGAAAAGGUGUGCACACGCACACACACAUUGCAUUGGAGUUCGUGAAUUUUUAUCUUUUAGCUCAUUCUUUAUUUUAUUAAAAUGGUAGAUCCCUCGUUAAAAGGUGACUCUACAUACGUGUAUGUGUGUGUUCCCUAUAAAAGGACUGAAGAAAAUACAGUAACACGUAAAAAUAUGACUUAAAAUGGCGACCCAAUAGAAACAUAUUAACCCAUAACAGCGCAAAAUAAAAUGUGAAAGCAAGAAACUUACCAGCAAUGCUAUUUAACAUCUGAAGAAGACAGUGUUGCUAAACAUUGACACAUAACCAACACCCCACCCUUUUAGAUCAAUCUGCAUAAGAUGCUGUACUUGUGUUCUGGGCCUACCAUUUUGAGGUUUUAGUGGGGAAAUGUUGAAUCCACCACCUGAGAAAUCAGAAUACAGGAAGCAAGUGGUGCAACUUGGCAUGACUUAGCACUUGUUAAUUCUCUACAUCAACCAAAGUAAAGGACAGAAAACUAACUCUCCACGUGAGCUCGUACAUAUCCUGGCUGUGGACCACAGUUCUCAUGCUCCCUAGAAUGAAAUAACACAACUGCGUGAUAACAAAACACAGCUUAUGGAAACUUCUAGUGCCAGAAAAGAUAGAUUUAAUUUCAAGAAGUGGGGAAGCAAGAACCUUACCAUAACUCGCAGCGUCAUUUCAACGCCAAUAACGCACUUAACAAAGGCCGCGGGGCCAAACAAACCUGCAACCAAAUGAAUUCAUAAAUAUAAAUAAAUUCCGUAGAGGAAAGUAGGAAGAUUAUUUAAAUAAAAAUGAUAAAUUUCAGGGAAUUCCACUAUCCUCUGAAUAAAACAGAUAACCCAUGUGGUUUUAAAAUUCAUUAGACCCUUCCCCUGAACUUUUCAAAUUUGCCACAGAACUCCCCUAAAAUCCAUAUGAGACCUUUCUAGAGAAUUUUUUUGGAAUCAAGGAGAAGCUUUUAGACGAACUUCUAAACCAAACUAAGCCCUAUAUUUAAGUCAUAUUGAGGAAACAUAAGAAAAAAAAUUCCAGAAAAAGUAUCAGCUAAGAAUUAAAAUUAAAUUCAUCAAAAUGAUCUCAAUCACUAGAUUUUUUACUGUCACAGUAUAUUUAAAAACUUGCAGAAGGCCCAAAGAGAACUUAGGACUGUACCGAGGGAAAAAUAAGACGGUGUAUUUAUUUUAUUUCUAAAUUCCAACAAUUACAUUGGGACACAGAAAUUUUAGGUAAUUUCCUCACAUAUUAUAUCAGAAGACAGGAAAGGGGAAAGAAGAAAACAAUAAAUAUUCUAUUCUGACCAAAGCAUAAAUGAGAUGAUUGAAUCAAGAGACUAUUACAUUGGAAACCAGUCCAGCUGAAGCCUAUGAUGGAGAAUAGCCGUAUGACCAUCUAUCUUGUGAAGAUAUGUGUAUAUGGACUUAAAUGAAGAAACUGGAAAAGUAGAGAGCUGUUGUGCAGAUUGACUUCAGUUGAUGGGGUUUAUUUGAUAUCUUCCGCUGACAUGACAUGAAUUCAUUAUAAUCUGUUAUAACGAAGCCCAACACACUGAUAUAAAACAGAGGCUGAUGAGUGGUGCCUGAUAGAGAGUGAAUAUCGUCUUCAUUUGUUCAUUAUUUUGCAUAGAAUCUGUUCCAUUGUGAUCUAUGCAUAAUCUUCUGUAAAUCACUUGUGAUUGGGUUAGUUCUUGAUCAAUAAUAAUGAGUAAAUUUUCCUUCUAAGUUUGCUGGUCUGUGUCUUUGUUUUGUUUCUGAUAUAGCUUCUUUGUUCUGGGUUUCUUGAUUAGAUUGUGUUCUUGGUAUUUCUACUUACCAAGAUUCGUGAGUCUUGCUGUGAUUUAGGCUUAAAAGUCUUAACAAGUGGUAUCAGAGCCUGGUGAAUUUCAGCCAUGUCUCUUCCAAGGCAUGAAAUUAAAAAAUUCACCAUUGGUGGUGAUUUCUCGCUUUGGAAGCUGAAAAUGAGAGCUCUCCUUGUGCAUCAAGGGCUUGAAUCUGCCCUGGAAGAAGAAGAUCCAAAGGCCUCUACAGGUUCGGGGAUUGAUGACAAAAGGUGACAAAUACAGAAUCGAGCUCAUAGCACUUUGAUUUUGAGUCUUGGUGACUCAAUCUUGAGAGAGAUCUCUGAAGAGAAGACAACCUUAGGAAUUUGGAACAAGGUUGAAACCCUGUGUAUGAAGAAAUCCCUGGCUCACAGAUUGUUCUUGAAGAAAAGGUUGUACACAUUCUCAAUGAGAGAAGGGGUUACAAUACAAGAUCACAUUGACACUUUUAACAAGAUCAUUCUUGAUCUUGAAGGGGUGAAAAAUGUAAAAAUCUGUGAUGAAGAUAAGGCAUUCUUCUUGCUGAGCUCUCUACCAAAGUCUUAUGAAGGCUUUGUAGAUACAAUGCUCUAUGGGAGGACCACUUUGACUCUUGAAGAUGUUAAAGCAUCCCUCAGUUCAAAAGAGAUUCAGAAGAACAGUGAGCUUGAAACAAGUAAUGGUGAGGGGCUGAUUGCAAGAACAGAAAAGAAGAAAGAUCAGAAGAACAAAAAUCAAGGAAAAGGGCAUGGAAAGAACCAAGAAACUGCAGACAAGAAGAAAAAGAAAAGAAAGUGCUUCUACUGCAGAAAGGAGGGGCAUUACAUAAGGGAUUGCUUUGAGAAGAAGAAGAAGAAAAGUCAAGAAAAGUCAGGGGAUGCAGCAGUAGCCUCUGAUGAUGGUUCUGAUGGAUAUCAAAGUGUUGAUUUACUUGUGGCCUCAAACAGCAAUACAAAAAGUCAGUGGGUCAUAGACUCUGGAUGCUCUUUUCACUUGUGUCCUGACAAAACCCUAUUUUACAAAUACGAAGCUAUUGAUGGUGGUAGAGUCUUAAUGGGAAACAAUAAUGUGUGCAAUAUUGUUAGUGUUGGUUCUGUAAAAAUCAAGAUGUUUGAUGGAACUAUAAGAUCUCUACAUGAGGUGACGCAUGCUCUUAGGCUAAAGAGAAAUUUAAUCUCUUUAGGCAUGCUAGACAGCUUAGGGUAUUUCUUUAAAUCAAGAAGUGGUGGUUUAGAGAUAAGAAAGGGGACUGAGAUAGUGAUGAAGGGGGUUAAGGAGAAUGGCUUAUAUGUAUUGCAAGGCUCAUCAAUGCCUGUUCUAGAAGGAGUUUCUGCUUUUUCUGAGGAAGAUAGAACCAAGUUAUGGCACCUUAGGCUUGGUCAUAUGAGUAUCAAGGGGCUGCAAGAGCUUAGUAAACAAGGGCUACUUGGUGGGGAUAGAAUCCAGCAACUGGAGUUUUGUGAAAACUGCAUUUUUGGCAAAUCACACAGGUCCAAGUUUAACAAGGGGGAGCAUAUGUCUAAACAAGUUUUGGACUAUGCACACACUGACCUCUGGGGGCCUGCUCAAGUCCCUUCCUUAAGUGGUGGCAGGUAUUUCAUGUCACUUAUUGAUGAUUACUCAAGGAAGGUAUGGAUCUACAUAAUCAAGACCAAAGAUCAAGCCUUGGAAAAAUUCAAGGUCUGGAAAUCAUUGGUAGAAAAUCAGUCAGGCUUCAAGCUGAAAUGUUUGAGGACUGAUAAUGGCUUGGAUUUUUGUAGCAAAGAAUUUGAGGAAUAUUGCCAAAAGCAUGGCAUAAAGAGGCACAAAACAGUAAGGUUCACCCCCCAGCAAAAUGGCUUGGCUGAGAGGAUGAACAGGACCUUGGUGGAUAAAACCAGAUGUAUGCUGAUAAAUUCAAAGCUUCCAAGAAGUUUUUGGGCAGAAGCUGUCAAUACAGCAAGUUAUUUAGUUAACAGAAGCCCAUCUUCUACAAUUGGCUUCAAAACACCAGAAGAAUUGUGGAAGGAAAAACCAGCAAACUACAAAAAUCUCAGAGUUUUUGGGUGCCCUGCUUACCUCCACAUCAAUCAAGGCAAACUGGAUGCAAGGGCCUUGAAAGGAGUCUUUGUUGGAUAUCCUGAUGGGGUUAAGGGGUACAAAAUCUGGUGUAAGGAUCAAGGAAAGUGCAUAGUCAGCAGGGAUGUUGUGUUUCAUGAAUCUGUAUUGCUGAAAGAAAGUACAGAACAUGAUACUGGGCUGCAAGACAAUCCAGCAGCUAACAAACAAUUUGGAUCUGGAACUUCCAAGGUUAAGGUGGAGCUAUUGACAGAUAAAGGCAGUGAAAAAGAAACAGCUUUUGAUGAUGAAAGGGCCAUAGCUGAAAGUGAGGAACAUGAGGUAUUAAAAUUGCCACAAGCUGACUUACAGAGCUAUCAGUUAGCUAGAGAUAGAGUUAGAAGGGAAGUCAGAGCACCAGUGAGGUAUGGUUAUGCUGACUUAAUUGCCUAUGCACUAUUGUGUGCUGAUGAAAUGAUAAUUGAAGAGCCUGCUAACUUCUCUGAAGCUAUGGAAAGUGUGCACCGUGACAAGUGGCUUGAGGCAAUGCAAGAUGAAAUGGAGUCACUUCAAAGAAAUCAGACCUGGACACUUAUACCAAAUCCAAGAAACAAAAGGUUGAUAAGCUGUAAGUGGAUUUUCCAGAGGAAGGAAGGAAUUUCAGAUAUUGAACCUCCCAAAUAUAAAGCAAGGCUAGUGGCUAGGGGGUUUACACAGAGGGAAAGUGUAGAUUUCAAUGAAAUUUUUUCUCCUGUAGUGAAGCACAGUUCAAUAAGAAUCUUAUUAGCCAUGGUAGCUUUACUUGACUUAGAGCUGGAGCAGAUGGAUGUAAAAACAGCCUUCCUUCAUGGUAAUCUUGAAGAACAGAUAUUGAUGGCACAGCCUGAAGGAUUUGAGUGUAAGGGUAAGGAGGAUUAUGUUUGUCUGCUGCAUAAGUCCUUGUAUGGACUCAAGCAAUCCCCUCGACAGUGGUACAGAAGGUUUAAUGAUUUUAUGGUCUCAAAGGGCUAUCACAGAAGCAAAUAUGACAGCUGUGUUUACUUUGGUGGAUCAAAUCAAGGUGGAGUUGCUUAUUUGCUUCUGUAUGUUGACGAUAUGUUAAUUGCAAGCAAAUACAAGUCAGAAAUAGAGAGGUUAAAGAAUCUGUUAAAGGCUGAGUUUGAAAUAAAUGAUCUUGGCAAUGCCAAAAGAAUCCUUAGGAUGGAUAUUAUCAGAGAUAGAUCUGCUGGCACUUUAUUCUUGAGUCACGAGAAAUAUAUCAAGAAAGUUCUGGAGAGGUUUGAGAUGCAAGACUGUAAACCUGUUCAGACUCCACUUGGUCCACAAUUCAAGUUGUCAGUAGCUCCAACAUCAGAAGAUGAGUCUCAGAUGAAUGAAUUCCCAUAUGCACAGGCUGUGGGGAGCCUGAUGUAUGCAAUGGUAUGCACCAGGUCAGACAUAGCUUAUGCAGUAAGUGUUGUCAGCAGAUAUCUUAGUUGUCCAGGCAAGGUUCACUGGAAUGCUGUCAAAUGGAUAAUGAGGUAUCUAAAAGGUUCUUCUACUUGUGGUUUGCUGUAUGGGAAGACUAAGAGUGAAAAAAUUGAAGUCAUAGGGUUUGUAGACUCUGACUUUGCUGGAGAUCUUGACAGAAGAAAGUCUACAUCAGGAUAUAUGUUUGUGUUAAAUAGUUGCCUGAUCAGCUGGAAGUCAUCUCUUCAGUUUGUCGUUGCUUUGUCCUCAACUGAAGCUGAGUUCAUUGCAACUACAGAGGCAGUAAAGGAGGCCAUGUGGCUAAGGGGCUUGCUUAAUGAGCUAUGGUUAAAUCAGAAGAUUGUUCAGGUUUUUUGUGAUAACCAAAGUGCCAUACACCUGGUAAAGAAUCAGAUGUAUCAUGAAAGAACCAAGCACAUUGAUGUGAAGCUCCAGUUUAUCAGAGAUGAAGUUGGAAAGGGUACAGUGGUUGUGUCCAAAAUCCAUACCAGUGUGAAUCCAGCUGAUGCUCUAACAAAAUCACUUCCUACUGCAAAAUUUGAGUUCUGUGUGAAUCUAAUGGGCAUCAUGCCCAAAUCUAACUAAAUUUAAGAAGAUGAAUUGUAGUUGAAUGAAGGUUUUUAGGUGCUGUAUUAUUAAAGGGAUCAACUGAAUCAACUGCAAGGUGGAGAUUGUGAAGAUAUGUGUAUAUGGACUUAAAUGAAGAAACUGGAAAAGUAGAGAGCUGUUGUGCAGAUUGACUUCAGUUGAUGGGGUCUAUUUGAUAUCUUUCGCUAACGUGGCAUGAAUUUGUUAUAAUCUGUUAUAACGAAGCCCAGCACACUGAUAUAAAACAGAGGCUGAUGAGUGGUGCCUGAUAGUGAGUGAAUAUCGUCUUCAUUUGUUCAUUAUUUUGCAUAGAAUCUGUUCCAUUGUGAUCUGUGCAUAAUCUUCUGUAAAUCACUUGUGAUUGGGUUAGUUCUUGAUCAAUAAUAAUGAGUAAAUUUUCCUUCAAAAUUUGCUGGUCUGUGUCUUUGUUUUGUUUCUGGUAUAGCUUCUUUGUUCUGGGUUUCUUGAUUAGAUUGUGUUCUUGGUGUUUCUACUUACCAAGAUUCGUGAGUCUUGCUGUGAUUUAGGCUUAAAAGUCUUAACAUACCUCUUCAACUAAGCUGCGAUACAGAAGACUACAAUCCCACCUGCACAAAACAUGAAAAACGGUGUACGUGCGGCAUGAACUUUGAGAAAGGUACAUAAAAAAGAUCUGAUGGCCAAGAAAUACAACAAUUGUACAACCAAAAGAGGAAGAAAUCCAUGUCUAGUACGCUGCCCUCUUCAAGACCUCUAAAUACUGAGUCAAAUUGAUAGGAAUUUCAUGGAAAUAACUAUUCGACAAAUGAUCAGCCUUGCUGGCCUUUAUAAGCCAACGCAAAGAGAUUAUGGAACAAUGCAAUGGUGCAAACCAAGAAUUAUUAGGGUACAGACAAUAAAAUUAAAUAGAAUAAUUUGAACACAUUACUAGCAAACCUUGCCAAGAGACUUGUUAAAAUCUAAAUCGCAAACCAGCUAGAUUUGCUAGGAAACAGGUAAUUUCAGGCAGCACGCCUUCUCCUGUUUUAGAACACUCUUUUAUGUAAUAGUGACUUCAAAAGUGUAACAUGUUUUGAAAAAAAAAAAAGGAAAGAACGUCUUUGACACUUCAUGAAAUGGCUAAGAUAAAAGCUUUAAUUCUAGUACAACAAAUUAAUAUAACUAACUUCAACCAUCAAUUGAUCUAUAGUUCAGCAACAAAAAAUACAGAUAGCUACAUUUAUUUUGUCUUCAUCAAAUACCAUUAGCUAAGUGGAGAAAAGUUAUAAAAAUGAGUCCCAGUCUUUCUUUAUUAAUGAAGCAAUCCAUCAAACUUCAAAAGCUAUUUUCAUUUCCACAUGCUUCAUAUACUUAAGCAACAAAAGUUUGUAAUAAUCUUUAGAAAGCACCAUGCAGAUUAAUUAAAUAUAUUCAAAAAGGCACAUACAGAAUCGGGACUGGAGACAAUGUGAAUUGCACAGCAUACAAGAGGAAAUAUAAUACUCAGCUUACAUAGACAGCCAAUAUAGUCUUGAUUAUGUUAAAGUAACUAAAAAUAAAAAAUAGAAAAGAAGCAUACUCGUAUCGUGUCCCAUCCAUGCUCAUGACAAGUUCAAAUAUUUCUUCACAGCUGGCCUUCAUAACACCAACAGCCUUCAUUGCUCUACUACAGCUUCUCGGCUGCAUUAAGUAAACUUUAGAUGAUGGUUCUGACCUAAACCAUUUUAAUGCUUGGCAAAAUCACAUCCUGAGCAUAGAGUAAAGAAAGUGGCAUACAAGGUAAUCAACUUCAAGAAGCUCUUCAGAAAUGCAUAAUCCUGUUGGGGAGAAAAGAAAAAAGAAAGAAUACAAAUAAAAAGAACUCACAAACAAUUCAUUUCCUGCACUACACAUCAUCAGCAGUUUUGCGGGAACACAAAAAUGUUAUAAUAACUUUUCUUGAUUGCCACCCACAUGCUAAACUGAUCAAAUACAAAA
rnacentral:lncRNA from 1 species